rnacentral:lncRNA from 1 species
AAAGUUACAUCUUUACUGUAAUUAUGAAAUAAAUUUUUAGUCAUCAAUCACAUAAUAUUUUAUCUUAACGGAUGAUGUUCAGUCUAAGAAUUUAUAAUACCUUGAAGGUUAGUAGCUUUGAAAAUAAGAAAUUGUUCAUUUGCUAAAAAGUUAACUUAGUAUUUAAGUUUUUCAAUUGAAAAUUUUGAAAAAAGUCUUGAGAACUAGCCCUCCUUAGUAUUUCAGCGGAUAAAUAUGAAAAAUAGGCUUGAAGAAAUUAUUGUUGUGUGUGCUUAUUCUACUUGGGCUUUGGGCUUGAUUACACGGUCGAGCACUUACACCUGUCAUAAUAAUAGGCUUUUACUUUCACCACACGUUUGAUAAUUUCUUAACCUUCCGAAUUAAAUCUGAUUAUAAUUCUUUUAAAAUACAAAUUAAAUAGCACGUGAAAUCGGAAAAUAUUUUACAGCGAUAAGAAUUCAUAUAUUCAUUGUACCAGCACAUAUAAAAUAGACUAUAAAUUUAGUUCCAAAAUACAUUCUUAUCUUCAUAUAAAUUUUACAUUAUUAAUUUAAAUUAAUAUUAAAAUAUGUUGUUUCUUUCACUAUGUUAUUUUAUUUACACAGUUUACACACGUUGAUUAAUUUGCAGGAGAAAUUCCUCUAGAGUUUGGCAAUCUUGCCGACUUGGAGUGGAUGUCGUUGGCAGGCAACAAUCUCCAAGGCAUGAUUUUAAACUUUUUGCAAUUUUAUUUUAGCUAUGCUUGCUUCUGUAUUAAUUCGUUUGUUUAUUAAUUAUGCAAUGAUUUAUUGCUUUUCUUUCAGAUAGAGACAAAGCUCCAUGUCUCCCCUCACUCAUUUCAUUCUUUAAUUUAUGCAGAUAAAAAUAAAAAUAAAAUCUUUUGUAAUUUUCUUUUGUCAUAUUGCCACAUCCGUUUUGAAGCUCCCAAUUAAGUCGAUGAAUUAGAAUGAUGCUUCACUCUUAUUCUUGUCAGCCCAAUUCUUAUAUAAUUGAAGAGUAAAUUGUUAUUAUGAUAUUUGUCAGCCAAUAAAUUCUUUUUUUCCCCCCAAAUAUGAGUGAUCAAAUUGUUUGCGCAUAUAUAAAUGUACUUAAUUUGCAGGACGUAUUCCACGGGAAUUGGGGAAUCUUACAAAAUUGGAGAUAUUACAGCUGUUCACGAAUAACUUAUCCGGUAACUUUCUUUAUGAUAUAUAUAUAUAUGAGACAUCUUCCGCUUCUUAAUUAAUAGAUUUCAAGUCUCUCAUUAUAAAUUCUCAUAUGAGGAUGUGUCGUUACCUCUAUCUAACAUUAUUCUGUUUUUUAUUAGAAAUUAGUUUGUGUUAAUUCAAAAUUCUGUAGCAUUUAAAAAAAAUUAAAAACACGUGGAAUAAAUUGUUAAUCUUUCUUCUUUACUGAAUUUGGAUUUCUCAAAAAUAAUCUUGACAAGUAUGCUUCACUAAUGAUAUGCAUGUGUGACAACUUCGUAAAAUAUUUUACAUGGAAUCACUAAUUAUCUCUAAAGAUGCCAUCAGUGAUAAUAUUUUAUCUUAACCGACGAUGAUGUUCAGUCUUGGAAUUUAUAAUAUCUUGAAGGUUAGUAGCUUAGAAAAUAAGAAAUUGUUCAUUUGCUAAAAAGUUAACUUAGUAUUUAAGUUUUCCAAUUGAAAAUUUUGAAAAAAGCGUUGAGAACUGGCGCUCCAUAGUAUUUCAGCGGAUAAAUAUGAAAAUUUAUCCAAUUGUUCAUUUGCUAUAAAUUCAUUAUUCUUUGAAGCAAAUCUGAUUAUAAUUCCUUCAAAAUUAAGUUUGUCAUUAAAUGAUUUCUCAGGAGCCAUACCAAAAGAAAUCGGGAAUUUGACCAAACUCAAGGAAUUAUCUCUUGACCUUAACAGACUCCAAGGUGCGCAUGAUCACAGAGUUUAAUUAUGAAAAUUGUUGCAUAAGUUAUAUGGAUAUCCUUGAUAACCGCAGCAAGCAAACAAAAUCAAAUAAAAGCUAACUGAGACUCGAAUAUCCUAAACCCUGAAAAGGAAUGGUAAUGGUAUAAUAUGGAUUCUGUAGGCAUAUUUCACUGGACUCAACAUUUAUGGUUAAUUUACAACUCUUUGUUGUAGAGUCUGAGAAAUUGCUUUAUAUUAGGGGUGGGGAAAAUAAUGCUGGGCCACGAAUUUCAGGCAGAAUCCAGAUUGGGCCCAAUUAGACUUAUAGCUCAGCUCUGUGUCGAUAUCUGGGCCUUUACAAAUAACUAAUGGGCCAAUUAAUAAUAAUAAAUAAAUUACACACGGUCGAACACUUACACAGUUCCCUAGACACAUGCUUUCACUUUCACCACACAUUUGAUAAUUUCUUAGCCUUCCCAAUUAGUUUAUAGCAAUUUAUAUAUAAAUAACUAAAGCAUACUAAAGCUACCAUUGACGUACGGAUGAGUGGUGUCAAAAGUGUAUCUUGUUUUAUUUAUUAUUGUCCUAUGAUACAAAUCUGAAUAAUGGAAUAUAAUGCUUUGAAAAUACCGAUGAAAUAGCACAUGAAAUCGGAAAAUAUUUUACUGCAAUAAGAAUUCAUAUAUUCAUUGUAGUAGCACAUAUAAAAUAGACUAUAAAUUUAAUUUUAAAAUACAUUCUUAUCUUCAUAUAAAUUUUACAUUACUGAUUUAAAUUAACAUUAAAAUAUGUUGUUUCUUUCACUAUGUUAUUUUAUUUACACAAUGAUGUGACUAUUGGAAUUAAUAAUACUUAUAAUUAUUUUGUAAAAUUUAAUACUUUGUUAACAUUUUAUCUACAUAUAAUAAUUAAACUGAAACUUGUAUUUAAAAAAUUCUAGUUACGCAUAUUCAUUUCAUGACAUAAAAGUGUAUAUUUAUGCUAAUUUACCAGUAUCAACAAAAUUCUUUUGAGACAAAUAAUCUAAUUUAUAUUUGUAUAUUUAAAAUACUUGCAUUUAUUAUAUUUUGAAAAAAACUUUAUUUGCAAUUAUUUUAAACUGUUGGAUUCAAAUUUUCGUAGUUAUUAAAGUCAAAUGGUACAAAUGUAGAAUAGUCAAAAACAGAUUUGUAUAAUCAUUUUUCGAUGUAUAAAUUUCUUAGUUAGUAGGAAAAUUAGAAAUAGUUGAUUUACUCAUAAAUAAAUUUAAUGUCAAUUUUGGAAAACUUGAACUAAAUGUUGAUAACUUCGAAUCGGUCGAGCUGAGUUUCUCUUCCUUGACCCACGGACCCAUUGAAAGUUCUAUUCGAAUUGAGUUUCCCGGUGCUUAUAAAAAGCAUUUCUUUUCCUUGUUGCAGUAAUUUAUUCACAAAUGAGUUUAUUAGCAUCGAAGUUACCGGAGAGUCUGAGACCAUGCUAGUAGGAGAAAUUUGAAAAGAAAUUAUUUUACUGAAUUAAUUUAUUUUAUCUUCUUGUAACUGAAAUACUACUUUUUUUUUUUGGGCUAUCACUGGGGCUUGAUUUACUUUAAUAGUAGCAGCCACCGACUUAGGCAUUUUUUACUUCUCACCACACAAUUUGAUCUUUUAAUUCGUUUUAACCACAUAAUCUAUCUAUCUCUCACCUAUUGCUUACUUAAAUCUCAUGCAUAUUUUACCUACUAAUUUUUAUAAAUAUUAGUCAAAUAUAUUUUAUUACGUUUCUCUUGUAACUGCUCCAAAUGUGUACUAUUAACACUUAACCCUCCCUUUUAAUUUACCGUGCAAUCUAUCUAUCACUUAAGUCAGAUAUAUAUUUUACCUAUAUUUUACCCCAAAAAAUAUAAAAAUAAAAGAAAAAUAAUAUGUGUACCAAUUUGCAUAUAACUAACAAAGCAUUGACGGCGUGUAGCCUUUCAAUACUUCACGAGUGGCUUUUCUUGUGUGUUAGUACUUGUAAUAAUUGUGUAGCGUAUAAAUGACAUUUUAUUAUUAAAGUGCGUCCAUUUUUAUAUAUUACUUAUUAUUUGAAAAAUAAUCUGAAUAUAAUUCUUUUAAAAUAUAGGGGAGAUACCACUUGAAAUUGGUAAUCUCCAAAAUCUGGAGGAGUUGGACCUUCGUCAAAACAAAUUAAUUGGUACUGUCCCAGUUGCAAUCUUUAAUGUGUCAACACUCAAAUUACUUGGGCUUCAAGAUAAUUCUCUCUCUGGAAGUCUUUCGUCCAUCACAGACGUCCGACUACCAAAUCUUGAAGAGCUUGUUUUGUGGGGUAAUAAUUUCAGUGGUAGAAUUCCUCGUUUCAUCUUUAAUGCUUCUAAGCUCUCUAUACUAGAAUUGGAAGAGAACUCAUUCUCCGGUUUUAUUACCAACACAUUUGGCAACUUAAGAAACCUUGAGCGGCUUAAUUUACAAGAUAAUUAUUUGACAUCUUCAACUCCAGAAUUGAACUUUCUAUCCUCGUUGUCAAAUUGCAAGUCUUUAACAGUUAUUGGCUUAUCAAAUAAUCCACUAGAUGGCAUUCUUCCCAAGACGUCUAUCGGAAAUCUUUCUCAUUCUUUGGAAGAUUUUCAAAUGCACAAUUGUAACGUUACUGGUGACAUCCCUGAAGAGAUCGGCAACUUGACCAACUUGAUAACCAUUGAUUUAGGAGGCAAUAAAUUGAAUGGAUCGAUUCUGAUUACUCUUAGCAAAUUACAAAAGCUUCAAGGUUUGGUUCUUGAUGAUAACAAAUUAGAAGGAUCAAUCCCAGAUGAUAUUUGUCGUUUGGCUGAGCUGUAUAAAUUGGAGUUGGGUGGCAAUAAGCUUUCAGGAUCAAUCCCUGCAUGCUUCAAUAAUUUGAUUGCUCUGAGGAUACUGUCGUUGGGUUCCAAUGAGUUAACUUCUAUUCCCUUAACUUUUUGGAACCUUAAGGAUAUCUUGUACCUCAACUUUUCUUCAGCCCACUCCCAUUAGAGAUUGGAAAUUUGAAGGUUUUGGUUGGAAUUGAUUUUUCGAUGAAUAAUUUUUCAGGCAUUAUCCCAAAAGAAAUUGGAGGCCUAAAAAAUCUAGAAUAUCUCUUCUUAGGAUAUAAUAGAUUGCAAGGAUUGAUUCCUGAUUCAUUUGGUAAUUUGAUAAGUUUGAAAUUCUUGAAUUUGUCCAAUAAUAAUCUCUCUGGGGCAAUUCCUGCAUCUUUAGAGAAACUCUCAUAUCUUGAAGAUCUAAAUCUUUCUUUCAACAAGCUAGAAGGAGAAAUUCCUAGGGGAGGAUCUUUUGGAAACUUCUCAGCUGAAUCAUUUGAAGGAAAUGAAUUAUUAUGUGGUUCACCUAAUUUACAAGUCCCGCCAUGCAAAACUAGCAUCCACCACCCAUCAUGGAAUAUUUCUCUUCUCCUGGGGAUUGUCUUGCCAUUGAGUACUACAUUAAUGAUAGUAGUCAUUUGGUUGAUCCUAAGAUAUCGACAGAGAGGAAAACAACCAUCGAAUGAUGCUAAUAUGCCACUCGUAGCAAUGUGGAGAACGUUUUCAUACCUAGAACUUUGUCGAGCAACAGACGGAUUUAGUGAAAACAAUCUAAUCGGCAGAGGAGGGUUUGGCUCUGUUUAUAAGGCAAGACUUGGGGACGGGAUGGAGGUUGCAGUGAAGGUCUUCAAUUUGCAAUGUAGAAGAGCAUUUAAGAGUUUCGAUGUUGAAUGUGAAAUAAUGAAAAGUAUUCGCCAUCGAAACCUUAUCAAAGUUAUUAGCAGUUGUUCAAAUGAAGAGUUUAAAGGGUUGGUAUUAGAAUACAUGCCUCAGGGAAGUUUGGAGAAGCAUUUGUAUUCGACUAACUGCAUUUUGGAUAUUUUUCAAAGAUUGAACAUAAUGAUAGAUGUUGCAUCAGCUUUGGAAUAUCUGCACUUUGGUUGUUCAACUCCAGUAAUUCAUUGUGACUUAAAGCCCAGCAAUGUAUUGUUAGAUGAUAAUAUGAUUGCUUAUUUGAGUGAUUUUGGCAUCGCGAAGCUCUUAAUUGGAGAAGAUCAGUCUAUGACUCAGACGCAAACACUUGCCACAAUAGGUUAUAUGGCACCAGGUUUGUUCAAUAUAAAUAUUUUCUAUUUCUUGUAAACUUCCUAAUAAGUUAUUUAUGUUUCAUAAUCUUCAUUAGAUGAGGAAAUUAUUAUUAAUGAUAUAUCUUACUAUAUAAAUGUUGCAAUUCAUAGAGUAUGGAAGAGAAGGACGAGUAUCCACAAAUGGAGAUGUUUAUAGCUUUGGAAUUAUGUUAAUGGAAACUUUUACCGGGAAGAAACCCACAGAUGAAAUUUUUAAUGGAGAAAUGACAUUAAAGCAUUGGGUUAAUGAUUGGCUACCCAUUUCCACUAUGGAAGUUGUUGAUGCUAAUUUGCUAAGCCAGGAGGACGUACAUUUUGUUGCAAAGGAGCAAUGUGUGUCAUUUGUCUUCAAUUUGGCUAUGGCGUGCACUGUGGAAUCUCAUGAGCAGAGAAUCAAUGCAAAAGAAAUUGUAACAAAGCUCUUAAAAAUUAGAGACUCAUUACUUAGAAAUGUUGGAGGCAGACGUAUAAGACAACCAAAUUUAAAUUGAUUCUACCCCUCCAUUGCUUGCUAUCCUUUUCAGAGACUUGAACGGUUAUCCUUCAUACCAGUUUUGUUGAUAUGUUUUGUUAUUGCUCUUGCUUAUGUUUGUUUCUCUAUUUCUUUAAUUUGCAUGCAUGUAUUUUUCGUUCUCUUUUAUGUAUUUGUUGGUUUGUAUGUAGUUUGUUUUUAGGGGUAAGGUUGAUUAUGUCCUCCCCUAAUUAGACGUAUCCUUUUUAUGUUUAUUCAAUAAAGCUUCUCUAAUACUAUCGAGGUUCAUCAAAAGAAAAUUUUUAAUUAAUUUUCUUUUCUUUGACAGGUAAUGAAAUUCUAAUCUUCAUAGUGAAUAACUUCAAUAAUAGAGUGUAAGAGUAUUAGUAGUUAUGGUUGUUUUUUGAACCUGGAGUCAAGAGCAAUUUAACAGCAACAAACAAGUCUCUUGUAUUAUAGGCAAAAUUCUUUUCAUUAAUCUUAUUUGUCUACAUGUUCUCCUAUUUUCUCCAUUAAUCUUCGCUCAAGGUUUCAUGCUUCCUCUUUGAUAAAGGAAAAUAUUACUCGUGAAUAUUUCAAAUUUUCAAUUUGACAUGAGCGACUAUUUGCCAGCCAUUUGAUAAAAUGGAUAUGAGUGGAGUUUUCAAUCAUUACCUCCACCAAAAUCCUUACAACGCCACUUUUUAAUUUUAUUUUUUAAAAUACAUUCAGUUUAAUUUUAAAAAAUAAAUCCAUUUGUAAAAUUUAAUCUUUUUCUCAUAAAUUUCAACCUAAAAAAUAUAUUUCUUUUAAAUUUUUAUUAUAAAAUACUUACAAGUUCUAAACUAUUAAAUUAUUUUCUUCUUAUUAUAUAGUUUAUAUCUCCAUAACUCUAAACUCCUAUAAUUUCUUAAAAAAAAAAUUUUAAUUUAAAAUAUAAAUAUAAAAUAUAGAAUGGAGUGAGUAUAAAAAAACUUGUUAAAAUAAUAAUUCUUUUAAGUAUUUAACUGAAUUUUAAAUUAAAAUAAGAAAUAAAUUAUUUUUUUGGGAAAUAUUUAACCUACCCCCAAAUAAAUUGACAUUUUGCACCGCGUCCCCAAAAAAUUUGAUUUGUUGCACCGCGCCUCCAAUUCCGUUAUUUUCUCAGUUAAGUUUAACGGUGAGGGGGUAAAAUUGGAAGUUUAUUCCUCAAAUUACUUUUAAUAGGAAUUCUCUUUAUUGCAAUUGAAAUAAAAAUCUUUAAAAAUUAAAGGAAAAAUAAUAGUGGUGACAAUGUACAUGUAACAAGAAAUUUUUUUUAUUGCAAUUGAAAUAAAAAUCUUAAAAAAAUUAAAGGAAAAAUAAUAGUGGUGACAAAUGUACAUGUAACAAGAAAUUUUUUUUAUUGCAAUUGAAAAUUAAAGGAAAAAUAAUAGUGGUGACAAUGUACAUGUAACAUCAAUAAAUUUUUAUUACAUCUAUAAUAAGACAACUAUAGUGAGAUUACUCUUAUUUAGUUGAAUUGUAUGUAAUAAAAUUAGUUUAAAAAAAUCUAACCCGUCAGUAUUCCAUAUCACAUGAUUAACGUAUUUAAAAAAUCUUAGCUGUUCCGUCGCUUGUUUUAAACACUGCAGCAACAACCGGUAUAAAAUAGACUGAACUCAUUUAAUGGGAAUUUUUCUCAUUGGUCUAUUUCUCUUCGCACCUUAGGUUCCUCUAACAAACUUAAAAGAUGUUCCCCAUCCCACGUGUCUCCAAAUCUUCGUAUUUCCAAACAAACCCCUGCCAAAUAGAGAAGAGGAUGGCUUUUAUUGCAAACUGUAUGAACGUUAUGGCCAUGGGACAUUGGAUCAAAAUCAAACCAAUGGAUUGUAAAGCAAACUUACCGAUUAAAAAUUCAACCAAUUGAAUCGGUUUGGUGUCACUUAAAAAAUAAAUAAUAUAUAAAACAACACAAUUAUCAUAUUAAUGAGCCACUGUUAUAUUCAUUCAGUCAGUAUUUUUCUUUUCCCAUUUUCAAUGAAUGCUUAAUUUUCCAUAUGGAAAACAAUUUGUCCCAUUGAGCACUGUUUAAAUCAUUCCCUAGUUUGUUUAACACGCAAAGAAUAUUCUUAUUUGUAAAAAUUCAUUUAAGUGAUGACUGUGAUAUGACUUGACCAAUCGUUUAAUUUGUAUAAUUUAUAAAAAUUUGAGCUUCAAGUAAUGUAGAUAGAAUGGUUAAUUAUUUUAAUAUUCAGAUAAAUUGAUAUAUGUCAUUAUAUUAUGAGUGGAUGAAAUAUCCAAUAGAAAAAAAAAUAUUUGUAUUCGUCAUUUUUAGUGGGAAUCGAUUUAGUGUAACUUAUCCAUAAAAAUGGUUGCCGACUUAUCUUGUUUCUCAUUUUGUUUAAUUUUCAUAAAUUUGACUCAUGAUUAAUUGUGAGUGAAGAAUUUUUUGGAAAAAAUCUGGUCUUCCAUUUAUUUUGUAGGAUUUAAAAGAUUAAAAAACUUUAAUACAUAUAAUUUUAUGUUCGAAACUAAAUACUCGUAGUAUUGCUGCUUCUAUAAAUAACUCAUUUGAGCUUCCAGCCUGUUAUUUGUAUUUUACGUUUCUGUUUCUCUUCCUCUUCAUAAAGAUUUUUUUUUUUCCAUUCUCUUUUUCUUCCACUUUCCCGACUCCCAAACACCACCAGUCUUUGAUUUUCCUAGAGUAUUAACUAUCUGUUUACACGAACAUAGACCGACAGUUUGCCUAAUUACUAUCAAGAAACAACAUACUCUGUCUCGGGGUCUCUUCGUUUAUUGACUUGUCACUUGUGAACGGGCUAAUUAAAGGGCGUUCCUUCCUUCAAGAAAGGAUAACGUUACCCCGUUAUUCGGUAAUGACUGUCCGAUUGUCUUCGCUUUCAUUGACUUCGCAACUGUGAAUUCUAAGCCGGGUUAAGGAUUGACAAAAUGUUAUAACCCAUAAAGCACGGAUAAUUAAUUAAUGGGCCACUGAUUUCUUCUUUAAAGGCUAAUUCUUGGUAAAGAUCAGAAAGUUCUCAAAUAAAAAUUCGGCUUUGUGGAAAUUAAAUUAAAAGCAAUUAAGCAUUAUAAAUUACUUAACAGCUUAAUCGAGUUUGGUUUUGAAAAAUAUAUCUUUAAAUCUCUUGUAAUUAAAGAUAAUUAUCAUAUUACUGUCUCAAAUGGACCGAUUUCAAUCAAAUGAAAUCUAGAAAAUUGAGCAGCUCAUUGAUGUAUUUGGUCGAAUUGUGACUUGUGUCAGAGUCUUCGUUUUAGAAGAGUGCACAGCAGCUGCCAGGUCCACUUGGCAGUUGGCACGCCAAAAUUUUUCUGUUGACCAAUAAUUUUGAAAGGGAUAUUAUUAAUUUAAUAUCAAAUAUUUUCUAACACAUCACUUUACUAUCAAAAUUUUUUGACAAUAAUUUUUUAUCACUUAAUAUUUCAGUUUUUAUCAUUUUAUCAUCAAAAAAUAGUAAAAGCAUACUUAGUGUAAGUUGUUCAUAAAAAUGGUUGUUGAAUUGUCUUGUUUCUCAUUUGGUUUAAUUUUCAUAAAUUCGACUCACACAAUUCAAUUAUGAGUGAAGAGUUUUUUUGGGAAAAAUCUGGUCUUCCAUUUACUAGAAUCAGGUCUGAAUGAUUUUAUUAUUUUUCUUUUGUUUGAAAUAUACGUGGAAAAUGUUGAACACUUUGUAGGAUUUAGAAGAAUUUGAAAGUUUGAAUGCAUAUAGUUUACUAUCCAUCAGCUAGUGCAUAUUCUGUAUUUUAUGAAAUCAAAGCUGGUUGAUUGAGAAAUGGACCUUAUUACAUGUCAUAAGAUUUUACAGUGCUUUCUAAUGGAGCAAAAUAAAAUGAUUCUUACCUGCACAGAAAAUUAGAAACGAAAAGGAGGGUUACUGAUCCACAGAGUUGUUAUUUACGAGAAGCACAUAGAUAUUACACUUAAUUUAUUAUCCAUCUGUAUUGUUUAGAUGACACUGAAGUAUUACCUAAAUUAGGCUUUCAAAACUUCUUUUUCAAAAAUCUAUGGUUGUGAUGCAUCUCUAUAAACUCACUCGUACAAAUUCUAUCUAAUGCCAAUCAUUUUAACUCUGUUCUGAACAAAGCAUGAAAGGAUAUGUUCACUUAUCUAGUUAUGUUUUCUAUGCUUUCACUUCACUUGAUUCACCUUGUCCCUCGUUUUAGAAGAGUGCAGAGCAGCUGCCUUGUCCAUUAGGCACAGUUUCUUUUCUGGAAUUAGAAAAGAAAAGGAGGAUUACUGAUCCACAGAGGUGUCAUUUACUAGAAGCACAUAAAUCUUACACUUAAUUCAUUAACCAUAUGUAUGUUCUAAUGAUACUUAAGUAUUACCUAAAUUUGCCUUUCAAAACUUCACUUCGAAAAAGUCCAAGGUUGUGAUGUGUCUGUAUAAAUUCGCUAAUACAAGUUCUCUCUAUUCCCAAUUGUUUUAAACUCUGUUCUGAACAGAGCAUGAAAGGAUAUAUUCGUUUAUCUAGUUAUAUUUUUUAUGCUCUCACUUCACUUGAUUCACCUUCUCCAUCUUUUAAAACAGUUGUAUAUGUCGGAGUAUCAAGUUCAUCACAAGGAUCAUAUUAUGGCCCAAGGAAGGAGCACAGUUCAUUGUCUGCACUCAAGCUUAGCAGAGUAUUUUGGGAUUCAAGAGUGUUAGUAGGCCGUUACAGAUGCCAUGCUGGCAAGCGUGCUAUGACUGACUGCUAUUUGCACGUAAAAUUUGCCCAAAACAAAUAGAAUGAGAAUACUUGUACAAAAGGACAAGAUUAAUAAAGUGAAUAAAUUUUAUCUUUUAGUGAAUGCUUCUUGUCUUUUAGAGUUUUAGUGCAUUUUCGUGUGUAAUUUUAUGUGCAAAUAGCAUUACGCAUUAGUAAUUAGUCUAGAGUGUUCUAAUUUCUUCUAAUAAGUAGCUGAUUUGAGCUUAAGACUUGUAUUUUAUGAUUUUGUUACUUUCUAAUAAAGAUUUUCUCUGUUCUUUUUUUACUUUCACUUUCUCUUCCAUUUUCCCGACUCCCAAACACCACCAAUCCUUGGUUUUCUAGAGUAUAGCUAUGUAGUUCUGCAAACACGAAACUGCUGUUUGUCCAAUUACUUUCAAGAAACAACGUACUCUGUGGUUUAUUGACUUGUGACUUGUGGACGGGGCAAAUUAGUCACGGUCCGAUUGUCUCCUCUUCCACUGACUCUGUCAAUUCAUGACUUUGGCACACAGUAGACGCCAGCUGGCUUCUCCACUUGACGUGCAAAAAACUUUCUUGAGUCGGGUUAAAAUCGAUUGAUUAUUUUGUUUGGUGAUGAUGAGUUAUUUGUCAAUUCAUGAGUUUGAUACAGUGAAACGCUUAACGCUCUCUUGUGAUGCGCGGGAGAAAAGCCACCAGCGAUGAUGAAGAGGACGAAAAACAUUAUUUUGUUAUUUAAAAUAAGACUAUCAAUUAUAGGGUAAUGCUAAGUUACAUGCAUGUACCUUACAUCCCUCUCACAUGAAUAGUGUAUGGAUACUAUUCAUGUGAGAGGGUUGUAAGGUACAUGCAUGUAACUUAGAGGGAUCCUCAAUUAUAUAUUCCAAAAUAAUUGAGUUUGGUUAACCAAAGUUGGUUGAUGUGAGUGGUUCGGCACUCUCACUCCUUAAGAGAGAUCAGGGGUUCAAACCCCACUCUCGUAUGGAGUCACCACUUUGGCCAGCACUUUACCCCUUACGGGCCGACUCGGUGCAAGCGGGGAUUAGUCUGGGUUGUGGUACGAGCUUAAAGAUGCCUCCCAUAGUUAGGGUCCACUCAGGACUACCUCGUGGUUCAGACAAAAAAAAAUAAUAAUAAUUGGGUUUGGAUGGCCAUUUGGUUUUUUAAAAUAGCCAAAUGGAAUCUUACCGAAUUAGAGUGCUCGACUUCUUUAUACAGAAUUUUGAAAGUGUGAAAAUCAAGAAAUUAAAUACUCUUCAUAUGGUGGGAGGAGGUUUGGUUGCCGUUAUGCUAAAUAAAAGAAAAAUAAAGUAAAAGUACAAUACUUCAAUAAUCUCAUUCCCAAUCAUACCCGAAAUAAAAUUUUCUGUAUAUUUUUAUGAAAUAAUUAUUUAUUUUACUUUGGUAAUUUUUUUUAUUUAAAGUAAGGUAAACAUCCUUUGCUUUGGCCUUUACUCUUGACUCUAUUUCAUGGUCAUAUUCAAUCUCAUUCUUCUGUAGGUUUGUGGCUGCUUUAUGAGUUACGAUUUUUUAUAGGAUUGCAUGUAGAUGAUACAUUUAUAUACAUUUUUUCUUUUUUCUUUUCUUCUUCGGUGAGCAUAUAAAAAAUUUAGUUUUUGUUACUAUGUGAAAUGAAAAUAGUCCUCAUUUCAAGGAUUAAUGGGCCACUAAUUUCGUCUUCUUAAAAGAAAAUUAAUUAUUUUCAGCGAGGUAAUUGGAAGCUUGAGCAUUUCUAUAUUAUACAGCCAAACAAACCUAAUGGUGCGUUUACUUGCCGGAUUGGGGAAUCGGAAUCAGGAAUCGGAAUGACUGAUGGUGUUUACUUCAUAAAUAUGGAACAUGAAUCGGAAUCGGAAUAGUGGGGCCCACCACUAUUUGGGAAUGGAGAAUGAGAGAUUGAUUCCCAUGGGGGAGGUGGGAAUGUGUCUCCUAUUCCCGGGAUUGACCAUUUUGCCCUUCCCCAAAAUGGAAAAUGCCCACUUUGUCCUCUUUUAUAAUUAAUUAAUAUAAUAUUAUAAUCAAUUAAUUAAUAUAUUAUGAUAAAUAAAUAAAUAAAUAUAUUAUUAACUAUAAUUAUUAAAAAUUAUAGUUCUUGAAUAAAUAAUCACAAUAAUUAAUAUAUUAUUAUUAUAGUUAAUUAAUUAAUUAUUACUAUUAAUUAAUUAAUUAUUACUAUUAAUUAAUAUAUUAACAUAUUAUUAAUAAUAAUUUAUUAUUAUUAUUUUUGAAUAAAUAAUCACAAUAAUUAAUUUAUUAUUAUUAUAAUUAUAAUUAAUUAAUUAAUGUACUAUUACAAUAAUUAUUAAUAUAAUUAAUUUAUAUAUUAUUAUUAAUGAAUCAAUAUAAUUAUUACUAUUAAUUAAUAUAUUAAUAUAUUAUUAACAAUAAUAUAUUAAUAAUUAUUGUUCCUGAAUAAAUAAUCACAAUAAUAUAUUAAUAAUUAUUGUUCCUGAAUAAAUAAUCACAAUAAUUAUUAUUAAUAUUUUUAAUUAAUUAAUAUACUAUUAUAAUUAUUAUUAUAAUUAAUUCAUAUAUUAUUAUUAAUUAAAUAAUAUAUUUAUUACUAAUAAUUAAUAUAUUAUUAACAAUAAUUAUUAUAAUUAAUUCAUGUAUUAUUAUUAAUUAAUUAAUUAAAUUAAUAUUAUUAAAUAAAUAAAUAAUUUAAUUAUUACUACUAAUUAAUAUAUUAAUAUAUUAUUAACAAUAAAUAUUAAUAAUUAUAUUUUUUGAAUAAAUAAUCACAAUAAUUAAUAUAUUUUUAUAAUAAUUUUUAUUACAGUUAUUAUGAUUAAUUAAAAAAUUUUACAAGUAGUUAAUAUAUUAGUUAAUAAUAAUUAUGAAAAUAAUCCAUUAAGUACUUUUUAGUAAUUUGUUACAAUUUAAUUCAUUCCGAUUCUGAUUCCAAGACAAAGUAAACACAUUAAUGACAAUUCAACUCAUUCCGAUUUCGAUUCCUACAGUUCAAGUAAACAAUUUAUUUUGAUUCCCAUUCCAGCUCAUUCUCAUUCUUGUCCAUUUCGAUGCCAGCUCAUUCCAAUUCCAAUUUAGUAAACACAGCAUAAGUGAUAAGAAUUUCCAUAUGAGAUAUAAUUUGGAGGGAAAAAAAAUACUAAUUCAAGUUAAUAGAAAGAUUACAGCAAUAUAAUUUCAAUUUAUCCAAAAAUUUGAGUUUCAAGGAAUAUAGCAUUUAUUAUAUGUAUAGAGAAGCAAUUUUUAAAUAUUUCUUUUUUGAAUGAAUAAAAGUUUUUUUGAUAAAAAUUUCACAAUCAUAUUUAAAAAAAAGUUUAUUUUUUUUUAAAAAAAGUCACUCCUCUUCCUACAUAAUUUAGGAAUUUAACAUUACUUUCUUAGAAAUUUUGGUUUCACUAUAAAUACUCGGUAUACAGCAAACUUAUGAGUGUUCUUGCAUUACCAAUCCAAUUAAGCACACGCUUAAAAUCUAAAAUAAUCUCAUCUCAUGGAAAGUGUUCAUUCUCUCAAUAUUAUGAGCAGAUUUCUCUUACUCCAUUGAUUGAUUCUUAUUUCCUUAUUUAUCACAGCCAGUGGCGGACCUACACGUGGGCUACAGCCCGGUCUAGUCCAGAAAAAAUCGUUUAUACCCCUUAAUGUUUCAUUAAUUUAGUAAAAUUAUAGAGUUUUAAUUUUAUUUUCAUAUAUGUCCCUAACUCAAUUACCCUUAUAUUUUCAUCAAUUUAGUAUAACAAUAGAGUUUUUAUUUUAUAUUCAAAUAUGUCCCUAACCCAAUUACCCUUGUGUUUUCAUCAAUUUUAUAUAACAAUAGAGUUUUUAUUUUAUUUACAAAUAUAUCCCUUAUUCAAUUAUAUUAUUUUCAAUUGAAAUUAGUGACUUAUUUUAUAAAAUGAUUAAAUCAUAUAUUUAUUGAAUAGAUUGAAAACAUUAGGGAGCUAAAAUUUUAUUACUACUUUAAUUUAUUUUAAAAAACUUCUAAUUGAAAAAAAAAAUAUGUCAAUGUAAUAUAACAUUGUCACUAGUAUUAAAAGUACUUACAGAAACAACAUGCAGUAACAAUUAUCAAUAUUUUAUAAAAUUUUUAUGUGAAUUUUCAGAUUUUAUUUAUUAGUUAUAUUAACUAAGAGGGCAAGUUAGAAAAUAAAAUUUGAGUAUUUUAAGGAGCUUUUGAUAGAAGAAUUAUCAACAUCUAGUUUUUUAAAGAGAGCUAGAGCGCCUGACAAAGAAACAACUGCACCCAAAUACAUUUUUGCUGAAUUGAGUUUAGUUUAUUAUUGAAACUUUUGACUAAUAAUACCUUUACAAUUUGAAAGGAUGAAUAAAUUUUAAUUGUUUAAUUUAUUAAGUUUAGUAAUUAAGUACUUCACCUCAAACAUAAAAGUGUUACUUGUAAUUUUUAAUUGAUUGUAAUUACAUGUAUUGAUCUAUUUUAAUUUGAAAUUCUUAAUUGAUUUUUUAAUCCUUAUAUAAUUAUAUAUUAUUAUAGGCUGCAAUGUCAGAUUCUAUAAUUGAAGAAUAGUGUUUUCAUAUUCGAGUUACCUUUUGUUUUUUACUCUUUUUCUAUAAUUAUUUUUGUUUAUAGUUCAUAUUUAGAGAGAGAAAAUUUUUGGUAUUCCUCCUUAUUUAAUAUACUUAUUUUUAUAUAUAAAUUUUUAUGUUCGCUUCAAAAUAUAAAUUUUAAAAUUUAGCCCGGGGUAAUAUUAAGUCCUGGAUCCGCCCCUGAUCGCAGCUGCAACAGCCAACACAAGUACUAUUACCACAGACCGAGAUGCUCUGCUUGCCCUGAAAGCUCACAUAACUCAUGAUCCAACCAAUUUCUUCGCCAAAAAUUGGAACACGAAUAUCUCUUUCUGUAAUUGGACAGGCGUCGCUUGCGAUGUCCAUAGACAUAGAGUCACAGUCUUGAAUAUUUCUGGCUUAAAUCUCACGGGCACCAUCCCCUCUCAACUUGGGAAUCUUUCUUCUCUGCAAUCACUCAAUCUAAGUUUUAACCGACUUUCUGGUUCCAUUCCCUCCGCCAUUUUCACCACGUACACACUAAAAUAUGUUAAUCUCCGUCAAAACCAGCUCUCCGGCGCUUUACCUUCUUUCAUCUUCAACAAGUCUUCUUUACAACAUCUUGAUUUCACUUUCAAUACAUUGUCUGGUGAAAUUCCUGCAAAUAUUUGUAGUAAUCUUCCUUUCCUUGAAAUUCUUUCUUUACAAGAAAACAUGUUCCAUGGAGCAAUACCGUCCAAUCUAUCAAAUUGCACAUAUUUAAGAAUCUUAAGUUUGGCAUACAAUGAUUUCUCGGGAGCCAUACCUAGAGAAAUCGGCAAUUUGACCAAACUUAAGGGAUUAUAUCUUGGCGCUAACAGGCUCCAAGGUGCGUAUGAUGAUGGAGUUUAUGAAAAUUGUUGCAUAAGUUGUAAUAUGAAUAAUGUUCCAUAAUACAGUUUACACCCGUUGAUUAAUUUGCAGGAGAAAUUCCUCGAGAGUUUGGCAAUCUUGCCGUAUUGGAGCUGAUGUCGUUAGCAGGAAACAAUCUCCAAGGUAUGAUUUUAAACUUUUUGCAAUUUUAUUCUAGCCUCUGCUUGCUUCCGUAUUCAUUAGCUUGUUCUUUAAUUAUGCUAUGAUUUAUUGUUUUUCUUUCAGAUAGAGACAAAGCUCCACGUCUCCCCUCACUCAUUUCAUUCUUUAAUUUAUGCAGAUAAAAAAAAAAAAUGCUCUGUAAUUUUCUUUUGUCAUAUUGCCAUUUCCAUUUUGAAGCUUCCAAUUAAGUCGAUGAAAAUGAAUGAUGUUUCAUUCUUAUUCUUGUCAGCCUAAUUCUUAUAUAAUUGAAGAGUAAAUCGUCAUUAUGAUAUUCGUCAGCCAAUAAAUUCUUUUUUUCUUUUCCCAAAUAUGAGUGAUCAAAUUGUUUGCACAUACAUAUAUGUACUUAAUAUGCAGGAGGUAUUCCACAGGAAUUGGGGAAUCUUACAAAAUUGGAGGGGUUAGAGCUGGUCCAGAAUAACUUGACCGGUAACUUUCUUUACGAGAUAUAUAUAUAUAUAUAUAUAUGAGACAUCUUCCGCUUCUUAAUUAAUAGAUUUCAAGUCUCUCAUUAUAGAUUCUCACAUGAGGGUGUGUCGUUACCUCUAUCUAACAUUAUUCCGUUUUUUAUUAGAAAUUAGUUUGUAUUAAUUCAAAAUUCUGUAGCAUUUAAAAAAAAUUAAAACACGUGGAAUAAAUCGUCAAUCUUUCUUCUUUACUGAAUUUGGAUUUCUCAAAAAUUAUCAUGACAAGUAUUCUUCACUAAUGAUAUGGAUGUGUGACAACUUCAUAAAAUAUUUCACUAAUUAUCUUUAAAUAAUUGGAGAUGCCAUCAGUGAUACAUAAUUUCUUUGCAAUCACCAUACCAAAAGAAAUCAACAAUUUUAUUAAUCUUAAAGAGUUAUACCUUCACUGCAAUUAUGGCAUAAUUUUUUAUCUAAAGAAAUUUUAGCCAUCAAUCGCAUAAUAUUUUAUCUUAAUGGGUGAUGAUCAAUCUUGGAAUUUAUAAUAUCUUGAAGGUUAGUAGCUAUUAAAAUUAGAAAUUGUUUAUUUGCUAAAAAGUUAACUCAGUGUUUAAGCAUUUCAAUUGAAAAUUUUGAAACAAACGUUGAGAACUGGUCCUCCUUAGAAUUUCAGCGGAUAAAUAUGAAAAAUAGACUUGAAAACAAAAUAUUUUACUGAGAUAAUAAUUAAAAAGAGAGGAGAAGUACAAUACUCAUGACUUAGGGUUGCUGUGUACUUAUUUUACUUGGGCUUCGGGCUUGAUUACACGCGGUCGAACACUUACUUUUGGGGAUGAGUGGUGUCAAAUGUGUAUAUGCUUUUAUGUAUUAUUUAUUAUUCUUUGAAACAAAUCUAAUUAUAAUUCUUUCAAAAUACAGAUGAAAUAACAAGUGAAAUCGGAAAAUAUUUUUCUGCGAUAAGAAUUCAUAUAUUCAUUGUAGUAGCACAUAUCAAAUAGACUAUAAAUUUAGUUCAAAAUACAUUCUUAUCUUCAUAUAAAUUUUACAUUACUAAUUUAAAUUAAUAUUAAAAUAUGUUGUUUCUUUCACUAUGUUAUUUUAUUUACACAAUGAUGUGACUAUUGGAAUUAAUAAUACUCGUAAUUACUUAGCAAGAAUAUAAAUUUAAUACUUUGUUAACAUUUUAUCUACAUAUAAUAAUUAAACUGAAACUUGUAUUUAAAAAAUUUUAGUUACGCAUAUUCAUUUCAUGAUAUAAAAGUGUAUAUUUAUACUAAUUUACCAUUAUCAAUAAAAUGCUUUGAGACAAAUAAUCUAAUUUAUAUUAGUAUAUUUAAAAUACUUGCUUUUAUUAUAUUUUGAAAAAACUUUAUUUGCAAUUAUUUUAAACCUUUGGAUUCAAAUUUUCUUAGUUAUGUAUAAAUGUAUAAUAGUCAAAAACAUAUUUGUAUGAUCAUUUUUCAAUGUAUAAAGUUUCUUAAUUAGUAGGAAAAUUAGAAAUUGUUGAUUUACUCAUAAAUAAAUUUAGUGUUUAGCAUUUCAAUUUUGGAAAACUUGAACUAACUGUUGAUAACUUCGAAUCGGUCUAGCCGAGUUUCACUUCCUUGUCCCAUGGACCCAUUGAAAGUUCUAUUCGAAUUGAGUUAGUACUUGUAAUAAUUGUAUAGUGUAUAAAUGACCUUUUAUUAUUACAGUGCAUCCGUUUUUAGAUAUUAUUUAUUAUUUGAAAAAUAAUCUGAAUGUAAUUCUUUCAAAAUACAGAGAAGAUACCACCUGAAAUCGGUAAUCUCCGAAAUCUGGAGGAGUUGAACCUUGGUGAUAACAAAUUAGUAGGUACUAUCCCAACUGCAAUCUUCAAUGUGUCAAAACUCAAAGCACUUAAGCUUUAUAGUAAUUCUCUCUUGGGAAGUCUUUCGUCCAUCCCAGACUUCCGACUUCCAAAUCUUGAAGUGCUUCUUUUGUGGGGUAAUAAUGUUAGUGGCACAAUUCCUUGUUUCAUUUUUAAUGCUUCUAAGCUCUCUAAACUAGAUCUGGAAAACAACUCAUUCUCAGGUUUUAUUCCCAACACAUUAGGCAACUUAAGAAACCUUGAGCGGCUUAAUUUAGGUGAUAAUUAUUUGACAUCUUCAACUCCAGAAUUGAGCUUUCUAUCCUCGUUGUCAAAUUUCAAGUCUUUAACACAUAUUGUGUUAUCAAAUAAUCCACUAGAUGGCAUUCUUCCAAAGACGUUUUUCAGUAAUCUUUCUUAUUCUUUGGAAGAAAUUCAAAUGCACAAUUGUAACAUUAGUGGCGGCGUUCCUAAAGAGAUCGGCAACUUGACCAAUUUGACAACCAUUAUUUUAGGAGGCAAUAAAUUGAAUGGAUCGAUUCCGAUUACUCUCGAAAAAUUACAAAACCUUCAAUAUUUGGGUCUUAAAGAUAACAAAUUACAAGGAUCAAUCCCAGACAGUAUUUAUCGUUUGACUGAACUGUAUGAGUUGGAGUUUGGCGGCAAUAAGCUUUCUGGAUCAAUCCCUGCAUGCUUCAGUAAUCUGGCUUCUCUGAGGAUACUUUCGUUGGAUUCCAAUGAGUUAACUUCUAUUCCCUUAACUUUUUGGAACCUUAAGGAUAUCUUGCAACUCAACCUUUCAUCAAAUUUUUUUACUGGCCCACUCCCAUUAGAGAUUGGAAAUUUGAAGGUUUUGGUUGGAAUUGAUUUUUCGAUGAAUGAUUUUUCAGGCGUUAUCCCAACAGAAAUUGGAGGCCUAAAAAAUCUAGAAUAUCUCUUCUUAGGAUAUAAUAGAUUGCAAGGAUCGAUUCCUGAUUCAUUUGGUGAUUUGAUAAGUUUGAAAUUCUUGAAUUUGUCCAAUAAUAAUCUCUCUGGGCCAAUUCCUGCAUCUUUAGAGAAACUCUCAUAUCUUGAAAAUCUAAAUCUUUCUUUCAACAAGCUGGAAGGGGAAAUUCCUAGGGGAGGAUCUUUUAGAAAAUUCUCAGCUGAAUCAUUUGAGGGAAAUGAAUUAUUAUGUGGUUCACCCAAUUUACAAGUCCCGCCAUGCAAAACUAGCAUCCACCGCACAUCAAGGAAAAAUGCUCUUAUCCUAGGGAUUGUCUUGCCAUUGAGUACUAUAUUUAUGACAGCAAUCAUUUUGUUGAUCAUAAAAUAUCGAAAAAGAGAAAAAAGGCCACCAAAUUAUCCUAAUAUGCCACCAAUAGCAACGUGGAGAAGGUUUUCAUACCUAGAACUCUGUCAAGCAACAGACAAAUUCAGUGAAAACAAUCUAAUCGGUAGAGGAGGUUUUGGCUCUGUCUACAAAGCAAGAAUUAGGGAUGGGAUGGAGGUUGCAGUGAAGGUUUUCAACCUGCAAUGUGGAAGAGCAUUUAAGAGUUUCGAUGUUGAAUGUGAAAUGAUGAGAAGUAUCCGCCAUUGAAACCUUGUCAAAGUUAUUAGCAGUUGUUCAAAUGAAGAGUUUAAAGCAUUGGUAUUAGAAUACAUGCCUCAUGGAAGUUUGGAGAAGUAUCUGUAUUCAAGUAACUACAGUUUGGAUAUUUUUCAAAGAUUGAACAUAAUGAUAGAUGUUGCAUCAGCUUUGGAAUAUCUGCACUUUGGUUAUUCAGCUCCAGUAAUUCAUUGUGACUUAAAGCCCAGCAAUGUAUUGUUAGACGAUAAUAUGGUUGCUCACUUGAGUGAUUUUGGCAUUGCAAAGCUCUUAACUGGAGAAGAUCAAUCUAUGACUCAAACACAAACACUUGCCACAAUAGGCUAUAUGGCACCAGGUUUGUUCAAUAUAAACAUUUUCUCUUUCUUGUAAACUUCCUAAUAAGUUACUUAUGUUUCAUGAUCUUCAUUAGAUGAGGAAAUUAUUAUUAAUAAUAUAUCUUAUGAUGUAACUGUUGCAAUUCAUAGAGUAUGGAAGAGAAGGACGAGUAUCCACCAAUGGAGAUGUUUAUAGCUUUGGGAUUAUGUUAAUGGAAACUUUUACUGGGAAGAAACUCACAGAUGAAAUUUUUAAUGGAGAAAUGACAUUAAAGGAUUGGGUUAAUGAUUGCCUACCCAUUUCCACUAUGGAAGUUGUUGAUGCUAAUUUGCUAAGUCAGGAGGACAUACAUUUUGUUGCAAAAGAGCAAUGUGUGUCAUUUGUCUUCAAUUUGGCUUUGGAGUGCACUAUGGAAUCUCCUGAGCAGAGAAUCAAUGCAAAAGAAAUUGUAGCAAAACUCUUAAAAAUUAGAGACUCAUUACUUAGAAAUGUUGGAGGCAUAUGUAUAAGACAAUCAAAUUUAAAUUGAUUUUGCCCCUCUUUCAUUGCUUGCUAUCUUUUUCAGAGAUUUGAACGAUUAUCCUUCAUACAAGUUUUGUUGAUAUGUUUUGUUAUUGCUCUUGCUCAUGUUUAUUUCUCUCUUACUUUAAUUUGCAUGCAUGCAUUUUCGUUCUCUUUCAUGUUUGCGUUGGUUUGUAUGUAGUUUGUUUUUUGGGGUAAGGUUCAUUAUGUCCUCACCCUAAUUACAUGUAUCCUUUUUAUUUUUAUUCAAUAAAGCUUCGUUAUUACUAUCGAAGUUUAUUGAAAGGAAAUUUUCAGUUGAUUUUCUUUUCUUUGACUAGUAAUGGAAAUUCUAAUCUUUAUAGUGAAUAACUUCAAUGAUAGAAUGUGUGAACAUAUUUAGUAUGUUGAAAAUGAUCAUUAGAGAAAACAACAAGUAUCAAGGAAUAAGAUGUAAUUAAAUUGAUUGGACAGUUAAGAUAUCGAUUUAAUUAAUGAUGUGGUACAAAAGAUUGAGCGGUAAAGAAAUCAAUGUGGCUUGGGACGAAUGAUUAUUCGAACAUACAAUUAUGGAGGUCAACUCCAAUCUUAUAGUGGAGUAUAGUUGGAAUUAAAUGAUUAGGCUUAUUUAAUUACAGGCUUAAUUGUUGUAGCCAAUAGUGUAUGUUCCCAAAUGAUCCCCGAGUUAGCUCAUUUAAUUGACUGCACCACUAUUGGAUUAAUAAGCAAGAUAACUAACUAUUUGGGUCAAAAGCCUAAAUAUAUCAUUUAGUGGGAGGCUCCAUUUAAUAUGCUUGUGUGUAAGGGGCCUUAUGUUAUUUUACAAGGUGGGCCCCCUAUAGAAAAAGCAAGUAACUUGAUUUUUUAUUUUUAUUAUUUAGAGCCUAGGGUUUUCACUAAAGGGAGAUAUAAAAAGACUUAUUUUCUCAAAAGAAAAAAGUGAGCCGCAAUACAUAGAUUAGAGAAAAAGAAUUUUUCUCUCUCUAAUUGAGAGGAAAAUUUUCUGUUGCUAGUUGCUUUUAGUAGUGAUAAAGGCGUCCACAAAUCAAGUGCAGAUCAAAUCUAAGUCAUAACCUGGAAGAUCAUUGGUGACAGAUCGUGAUCUAACAAGCGUGCUGGUGACGGAUCGUGAUCUAAUAGGUGUGGUGGUGACGGAUCGUGAUUAGGGAGCCUAGAUUAACUCAGCGAAAAAGCCAAAUCAAAUUGUCAAGGUAUGAUUUUCUAGAUUACGAAUUCCUAUAUAUUAUAUGAGAUCAAUCCUAAAAGCUUUUUUUUUAAAACUGAUUUUUCCCUGACAAGAAAUUCACGGAUCAAUGGCUUCUUAUUGUUUCUUUUAGAUGACAGCUUGCAAUCUCUGGGUGUGCAUUCAUAAUGCCUUACAUGAAUACAAGAAUGAAGGUUGCCCCCCCCCCCCCCCCCCCCCCCCCCCCUCUCUCUGGGCCAAUUGCAGUUUUGAUAACAACUCAAAUCGGUGUGGUAGAAAGCCUUGCCCCAGACCUCCGCCAUUUUCUCUUCCACCACAAUUUGGGGAACCUAAACUACUUACUUUUUGCCAGUUUUUCUUGAAAUAUUUUUGAGAAGAAAACCAACAAUACAUUUUAUGAUUUGGGCUGUUUUAAAGAUCUUUGCUUGAUACCUCUGCUACUGGUUUUCAGCAGAGUGCCCAAAAAUAAUCAGUGCACGCACUAUAGGCUCUAUUAUUAUCAGUAAAAAGUAUUAAUGAUAUAUAUUGGGAUCGACUUUUUUAUUUGGGAGUGGAAGCAUGCUUGAAAGAGUAGAGUGGUGCAUCUUGUUCAAACAUGCCAAUUCCAUCUUAUGAAAUAGGAGUUAGACUGAACAAUGUUAUGUCUUCAUUAUCAUUUCAGAAGGAAACAAAUCAAAUGCAGCAAUUGAUGUACGAGUUGCUGUUGGCGCUGCUAUAUUUUUUACAGACUCUCAUACCAUGGAAAAACUCAGCUUUAAAGAAUGGUAUGAUGCUUUGAUUUAUGAAGUAAUUGGUAUAUAUUUUGUACCUUCCAUACAUUUUGCUCUGUUAAUGUUAUUAUUUGAUAACAUGUUUGUCGAGUUGCACAGUGUCUAGAAUUUUGAGAUUAAGAAGAGUCUAAAUGCUAUACAAAUACACUCCUUUCAUUUUAUACAACUUUGAUUGAUCAUUGUUUUAAAUUUACCUCAGGCAUCAAUGGAGUCUAUCCGAGUCUCCUUUGCUGGGGAAUCAGUCAAAUAACAGCACAGGUGCAUAUGUUCUAUCUCUUUUCAUUUAAAACUUCAAUUGAGUUGCUAUCUAUUUAACUUUGGCAAGUGAGAGAGAGGGAUGGGACCGUCCAAUUAAAUUUAAGUUUCAAGUGGCAAUCCCACCACUGUCGUCUCAUGUUUGCCAAAUUCAAAUUUGAAAAUCUCACCAAGUCAGUAUGGUGAUGUUGUGGGAUUGUCUCGCCUAGGUUUUUAGCCUCAUGACCUCCUUUAUUAGAAAAAGUCUUAAGUGUUCUUACUCAAUGGUAGAAUCAUGAUUUUACUUCAAUGGAAGCCAUACUGAUUAAAAUAUACUCUUUUGAUCAACUACUUAUUUGAUGUUGCUCUCUCAACCUUAAUCUCCUUCUUUAUGAAAAAUUUAUUGUAAUACAUGGAAGUAUAUAUUGCACUGAGUAAAAUGAAAUUGUUCAAAAAUUAACAAAUUCAGCUUUAUUAUAAUCUAAAACAAAGUAAAUAGAAUAAUACCCAUCAUGUAAAAAUAAAAAAUAAAAUUUUUAUACCACUUGGAAUUUAUUUUAAAUGUUUUGGUCAAAUCUAAGAAGCACAAACUUUGAACAAUGAUAAUAGGUAAAAACUAAUAAUCUUAUAAUAAAAAGUAAGAAAAAAAAUAAAGUUGAUUUAGCAGCUAAGAAUAAAAAAAGAAAAAUAGAAAGAGAGAGAAAUUAGUUUAGGCUUUAACCAUUGUUAUAGUAGAGAAAAAAAUUAAUUAAGAGUAAUUAGUUUAGACACUAUAAUGUAUUAUGUAUACGAAGGCUACAUUUAAAUGUGAAAUAAAAAUGAGUGCUUAUAUUAAAAAACAAUCAGUCUCAUUGCGUCCUCUUUCAUCGACAUAGGCAAAUUUGCGGUCAACUCGUGGCACCCUUAUUGACACGCAAAGAACUUACAUCGAGGAGUUGUUUGAUUUUAUGUUUCAAACUAAGUACCAUAGCAUUACUACUUCUAUAAAUAACUCAUUUGAGCUUCGAGCCUGUUAUUUGUAUUUUACGUUUCUGUUUCUCUUCAUAAAGAUUUUUUUUUCCAUUCUCUUUUUCUUCCACUUUCCCGACUCCCAAACACCACCAGUCUUUGAUUUUCCUAGAGUAUUAACUGUCUGUUUACACGAACAUAGACCGACUGUUUGUCUAAUUACUGUCAAGAAACAGCAUACUCUGUCUCGGAGUCUCAUCGUUUAUUGACUUGUCACUUGUGAACGGGCUAAUUAAAGGGCGUUCCUUUCUUCAAGAAAGAAUGCCAAGAAAGUACCAUCCAUUAGACACGUUAAGAAUUAUAAUUUUACAUUAAAAAUGGUAAUAAUCAUAAUAAUCGGUUUAGUGUUACCCCGUUAUUAGGUAAUGGCUGUCCGAUUGUCUUCGCUUUCAUUGACUUCGCAACUGUGACUUCUAAGCCGGGUUAAGGAUUGACAAAAUGUUAUAACCCAUAAAGCACGGAUAAUUAAUUAAUGGGCCACUGAUUUCUUCUUUCAUAAAAGAGAACUUUUCCAGGGAGAUUGGAAAAAAAGGCUAAUUCUGGGUAAAGAUCAGAAACUUCUCAAAUAAAAAUUUGGCUCUGUGGAAAUUAAAUUAAAAGCAAUUAAGCAUUAUAAAUUACUUAACAGCUUAAUUCUGAGCUAAUCGAGUUUGGUUUUGAAAAAUAUACCUUUAAAUCUCUUGUAAUUAAAGAUAAUUAUCAUAUUACCGUCUCAAAUGGACCGAUUUCAAUUAAAUGAAAUCUAGAAAAUUGAGCAGCUCAUUGAUGUAUUUGGUCGAAUUGUGACUUGUGUCAGAGUCUUCGGUUUAGAAGAGUGCACAGCAGCUGCCAGGUCCACUUGGCAGUUGGCACGCCAAAAAUUUUCUGUUGACAAUAAUUUUAUUAAUUUACUAUCAAAUAUUUUCUAUCACAUCAUUUUACUAUCAAAAUUUUUUGACAAUAAUUUUUUGUCACUUAAUAUUUCAGUUUUUAUCAUUUUAUCAUCAAAAAAUAGUAAAUGCAUACUUAGUGUAAGUUAUCCAUAAAAAUGGUUGUUGAAUUGUCUUGUUUCUCAUUUGGUUUAAUUUUCAUAAAUUCGACUCACGCAAUUCAAUUAUGAGUGAAGAGUUUUUUUGGGAAAAAUCUGGUCUUCCAUUUACUAGAAUCAGGUCUGAAUGAUUUUAUUAUUUUUCUUUUGUUUGAAAUAUACGUGGAAAAUGUUGAACACUUUGUAGGAUUUAGAAGAAUUUGAAAGUUUGAAUGCAUAUAGUUUACUAUCCAUCAGCUAGUGCAUAUUCUGUAUUUUAUGAAAUCAAAGCUGGUUGAUUGAGAAAUGGACCUUAUUACAUGUCAUAAGAUUUUACAGUGCUUUCUAAUGGAGCAAAAUAAAAUGAUUCUUACCUGCACAGAAAAUUAGAAACGAAAAGGAGGGUUACUGAUCCACAGAGUUGUUAUUUACGAGAAGCACAUAGAUAUUACACUUAAUUAGCCUUUCAAAACUUCAUUUUCAAAAAUCUAUGGUUGUGAUGCGUCUCUAUAAACUCAUUUUAAACUCUGUUCUGAACAGAGCAUGAAAGGAUAUGUUCACUUUUCUAGUUAUGUUUUUUAUGCUUUCACUUCACUUGAUUCACCUUGUCCCUCUUUUAAAACAGCUGUAUAUGUUGGAGUGCCAAAUCCAUCACAAGGAUCAUAUUAUAUCCUACGGAAGGAGCACAGUUCAUUGGCUGCACUCAGUUUACAGAGUAUUUCGGGAUUCAAGACUGUAGGUUGUUGCGGAUGCAACUUGCAAGGCUGUUGCUUUGUGACUGUAUGCGACGCUGGCAAGUGUGCUCUGACAGAUUGUGGAGAUGGCACCAAAGAUUGUAAACUAACUAGUACUGAAAAAUCCUAUUUGCACAUAAAAUUGCAUAAAAUAAAUAGAUUGAGAAAAGUUGUAUAAAGAAAUAAGAUUAAUAAAGUAAAUAAAUUUAUCUUUUAGUGUUUUUGUGUAUUUUUAGGUACGUACAAGAAGCAUUACUCAUUAGAGUGCAAUUUAUGCACUAGUUUUGCAUUAUUUACUUCCCUUAAUAUCGAUGUUUUGCAUUUAAUAAUAGUGAUUUACUUGUAUUUUACUUUUGUAGGUGCAAUUCUAUUGAUUGGUGAUAAAAUUGAGCUACAAGAUUAUGUCUAAGGAUGAUUGUUCUCUUGGAGAAAUUAUGAGCGUCAGAAGAACUUUGUUGAUAAGGCGUGGGCGCGUGCUGUCAACUACGGACCUGUAGUUUUUAGUUUAACGUGUUUUGUAUUUUUGGUUAUUUUUGUAAUUACGAAUUUAAUAUUUCAGAUAUUAGUAUUUUAUUUUAAAUAGAACUAUAGAGGAGAAGAGAGAGAGAGUAUUUAAGGGAAGAAUCUAUUGUGAAAAAGGGGACUUUCGGGGGAUUUUGAAAAAAAAGAAAGAAACUCUGGAUCUAAAUUUUUCUCUUCUCUCUAUGAAGAACUAAACCUAUUAUUCUGGUUUAAGGUUAAUGAAGCUUUGAUUCAUCACUACUGUGAGAUCUUUCUUAUUAUCAUGAUUAUGUUUGUUAAUUAGAUAAUUGACCACUAUUUAAUUAACAAACAUAAUCAUGAUAAUAAUUAAGAGAAUAAACAAAUACCCAAAAAGUAAUAAAACAAUUAAAGCAUAAGAAAGAUCUCACAGUAGUGAUAAUUAUAUUUUUUUUAAAAUAUAAAUAAAAUGAAUUUAUUUAAUGGAAAUUUAAAAAAGAGACACUUAUCUAUGCAAGCAAAGUUGCAUUCUGUCUGUGGGGACCUUAAAAAAAAAAGCAUAAUGAUAAACUGAUGACGACAAUCCUUAAGUAUUUGUUUUCUUUAGUUACAGUUAGGUUUGAAUGGUUAAGUUCAAGUUCGAAUUUUCUUUUUGUAAUUUAAAUUAAAAUUGAUAGAACAAAUGGGCUAAUCAGUAUGAUGAAGAAGAAGAAGAACUUUUGGUCCAUUCAAUGGACCGAAUUCAAUCAAAUGAAAUCUAGAAAAUAGAGCAGCUCAUAGAUGUACGUCGCUAAGUGGAUGUUCAUUUGGAAGUACUUUUGGUCGAAUUGCGACUUGCGCCGGAGGCUUCGUUUUAGAAGAGUGCAGAGCAGCUGCCUUGUCCAUUAGGCACGCCAACGACUUUCUAUUGACCAAUAAUUUUGAAAGCGAUAUUAUUAAUUUACCAUCUAAUUUUUUUAUAUUAUCAUUUCACCAUCAAAAUUUUUUGAUAAUUAUUUUUUUCACUUUGUGUUUUAGUUUUUAUUAUUUUACUACCAAAAAAUAGUAAACACACCCCUAAGAUAGGUUAUCCACAAAAAUAGUUACCGAAUUGUCUUGUUUCUCAUUUUGUUUAAUUUUCAUAAAUUCGACUCAUGAUUCAAACGUGAGUGAAGAGUUUUUUUUUGGGAAAAAAAUCUGGUCUUCCAUUUACUAGAAUUAGGUAUGUGUGAUUUUAUUAUUUUUCUUUUGCUUGAUAUAUAUCUGGAAAAUUAUGAAUACUUUGCAGGAUUUAGAAGGAUUUGAAUAUUUGAAAGCAUAUGGCUUUCUGUCCAUCAGCUAAUGCAUAUUCUGCAUUUUAUGAAUAUCAGAGCUGGUAGAUUGAAAAAUGGACCUUAUUACAUGUCAUAAGAUACUUUGCUCAAAGCUGCAAUUGGGCAACGCCGUGCUGUUCUUAUCGGCCAAGGCAAGCCAUUUACUAUUCUUUCUAAUGGAGCAAAAUAAGAUGAUUCUUACCUGCAUAGAGAAUUAGAAAAGAAAAGGAGGAUUACUGAUCCACAGAGCUGUCAUUUACUAGAAGCACAUAAAUCUUACACUUAAUUCAUUACCCAUCUGUAAUGUUCUAAUGAUACUUAAGUAUUACCUAAAUUAGCCUUUCAAAAUUUCACUUCGAAAAAAUCCAAGGUUGUGAUGUGUCUGUAUAAAUUCGCUAACACAAGUUCUCUCUAUUCCCAAUUGUUUUAAACUCUGUUCUGAACAGAGCAUGAAAGGAUAUAUUCGUUUAUCUAGUUAUGUUUUUUAUGCUCUCACUUCACUUGAUUCACCUUCUCCAUCUUUUAAAACAGUUGUAUAUGUCGGAGUAUCAAGUUCAUCACAAGGAUCAUAUUAUGGCCUAAGGAAGGAGCACAGUUUAUUGUCUGCACUCAAGCUUAGCAGAAUAUUUUGGGAUUCAAGAGUGUUAGUAGGCCGUUACAGAUGCCAUGCUGGCAAGCGUGCUAUGACUGAUUGCUAUUUGCACGUAAAAUUGCCCAAAACAAAUAGAAUGAGAAUACUUGUACAAAAGGACAAGAUUAAUAAAGUGAAUAAAUUUUAUCUUUUAGUGAAUGCUUCUUGUCUUUUAGAGUUUUAGUGCAUUUUCGUGUGUAAUUUUAUGUGCAAAUAGCAUUACUCAUUAGUAAUUAGUCUAGAGUGUUCUAAUUUCUUCUAAUAAGUAGCUGAUUUGAGCUUAAGACUUGUAUUUUAAGUUUUUAUUACUUUCUAAUAAAGAUUUUCUCUGUUCUUUUUUACUUUCACUUUCUCUUCCAUUUUCCCGACUCCCAAACACCACCAAUCCUUGAUUUUCUAGAGUAUAGCUAUGCAGUUCUACAAACACGCAACUGCUGUUUGUCCAUUUACUUUCAAGAAACAACGUACUCUGUGGUUUAUUGACUUGUGACUUGUGACUUGUGACUGGGGCAAAUUAGUCACGGUCCGAUUGUCUCCUCUUCCACUGACUCUGUCAAUUCAUGACUUUGGCACACAGUAGACGCCGGCUGCCUGCUUCAUUUGACGUGCAAAAAACUUUCUUUGGUUUUUUUGUUUGGUAAAUUAAACUCAACCUAUGGGUUAUUUUGUUUGGUGAUGAUGAGUUAUUUGUCAAUUCAUGAGUUUGAUGCAGUGAAACGCUUAACGCUCUCUUGUGAUGCGCAGGAGAAAAGCCAGCGAUGAUGAAGAGGACGAAAAACAUUAUUUUGUUAUUUACAAUAAGACUAUCCAAAUGGAAUCUUGUUUUCUAAAAUAAUUGGGUUUCGAUGGUCAUUUUGUUUUCUAAAAUAUCCAAAUGGAAUCUUACAGAAUUAGAGUGCUCGACUUCUUUAUACAGAAUUUAUAAAGGGGAAAAAUCAAGAAAUUAAAUACUCUUCAUAUAGUGAGAGGAGAUUUGGUUGCCAUAAUGAGAAAUAAAAGAAAAAUAAAUUAAAAGUACAAUACUUCAAUAAUCUCAUUCCCAAACAUACCAGAAAUAAAAUUUUCUGUACAUUUAUGAAAUAACUAUUGAUUUUACUUUGGUAAUUUUUUUUUUUUUAAAGUAAGGUAAACAUCUUUAUUUUCUUUGCAUACGAGCCUUCUUUCUUUUGCUUUGGCCUUUGCUCUUGACUAUAUUUCAUGGUCAUAUUCAAUCAAAAUCUUCUGUAGAUUUGUGGCUGUUUUAAGAGUUACAAUAAAUAUGUUAUCUCAAUUUAAAAAAAAAUGCAAUCGCAAUUAUCAAACACGACUAAUCCUAACAAUUUAUUCAAAAAUUUGAGUGUCAAGAAAUGUAGUAUUUAUGAUAGCAUGGCUAGUUUCAGAUAAAUGAUAAAUCAAUAUAUGACAUGUUACUAACUUACUUUAGGAAGAAAAUUAUAGAAUAAGUUUUUGAAUUAAUAGAAUUAUUUUACGACAAAACUAUCACAAUCUAAUUUAAAAAUAAAGUUAUUCUUUAAAUUUCUCAUUACUAUUCCUACCUGUCUUGUUAUACUACUUAAUGGCACUGCUGAAGCCUUGAACUAUCAAACAAAAAGCAAAAACACAUCAACAUCUGUUGUCCCAGUGAGCACUGUUAAAUUCAUACGAUAAAAGGAGUCUUUAAUUGACAUAGGCAAUGUGCGGUCAACUUGUGGCACCCUUACUGACACGUAAAGAACUUUCUUACACCACAGCCAAUACUUUUAUGAAUUUUUAGGACAGGUAAAAUUUUCAAAUUUAAAAGAAAAAAAUACAGAAAAGUAAUUUCAAUUUAUCCAAAAAUUUGAGUUUCAAGGAAUGUAGCAUUUAUUAUAUGUCAUGUUAACAUAAAGAAGAUUUAAAAAUUUCUUUUUUGAAUGAAUAAAAGUAUUUUUUGAUAAAAAUUUGACAAUCAUAUUUACAAAAAAAAAUAAAAAAAAAUCGCUCCUCUUCCUACAUAAUUUAAGAAUUUAACAUUUUAAAUUAAUCUUUUUAAUCAAAGUAAUAAUCUCUCCUUCCGUCUGUAAAUGCUAAAAUUUAAUAUUAUAUCCGUUGACGAUAUUUGCUCCAAAUUCACGAGAAUAAAAUUUCUAAUAGAAUUGUGAAAUUCGUUACUCGAAAUUUGUAUAAAAUUCGUGAGAAUAGAAGGUUUGAUCAUAGGAAAUUAAAAUAUCACUAUCCAAUGCAAAAAUGGUUAUAAAGAAAAACAAAAGUCACGGGCUUAUUAUAGAAAAAAAAAUUACUUUCCAUUUUCCAAUAAUUAAAUUAAUUCUAAAAUCAUAGACUUUUGGAAAGUAUCACAAAGGAUAGACUUUUGGUGACCGAGGUCAAGCCUAACGCAUGCCGGUCUUUUUCUCCUCUACUUUCUUAGAAAUUUUGGUUUCACUAUAAAUACUCGGCAUUACCAAUCCAAUUAAGCACAGACUUACAAUCUAAAAUACUCUCAUCUCAUGGAAAGAGUUCAUUCUCUCAGUAUGAUGAGCAGAUUUCUCUUACUCCAUUGUUUGAUUCUUAUUUUCUUAUUUAUCACAACUGCAACAGCCAACACAAGUACUAUUACCACAGACCGAGAUGCUCUGCUUGCCCUGAAAGCUCACAUAACUCAUGAUCCAACCAAUUUCUUCGCCAAAAAUUGGAACACGAGUAUCUGUUUCUGUAAUUGGACAGGCGUCACUUGUGAUCUCCAUAGCCAUAGAGUCACAGUCUUGAAUAUUUCAAGCUUAAAUCUCACAGGCCCCAUCCCUGCUCAACUUGGGAAUCUUUCUUCUCUGCAAUCACUCAAUCUCAGUUGUAACCGACUUUCUGGUUCCAUUCCCUCCGCCAUCUUCACCAUAUACACACUGAAAAAUGUUAGUCUCCAUAAAAAUCAGCUCUCUGGGCAAAUUCCUGCAAAUAUUUGUAGUUAUCUUCCUUUUCUUGAAGUUCUUUCUUUGUCCCAAAACAUGCUUCAUGGCGGAAUACCGUCCACUCUAUCAAAUUGCACAUAUUUAAGAAUCUUAAGUCUGCCAUACAAUAAUUUCUUGGGAGCCAUACCAAAAGAAAUUGGGAACUUGACCAAACUUAAGCUAUUAUAUAUUGGCGUUAAUAGACUCCAAGGUGCGUAUGAUCAUGGAGUUUAAUUAUAAAAAUUGUUCCGCAAGUUGUAAUAUGUAUAAUGUUCCAUAAUGCAAUUUACACACGUUGAUUAAUUUGCAGGGGAAAUUCCUCGAGAGUUUGGCAAUCUUGCCGAAUUGGAGCGGAUGUCGUUAGCAACUAACAAACUCCAAGGUAUGAUUAUAAACUUUUUGCAAUUUGAUUCUAGCCUCUGCUUGCUUCUGUAUUCAUUCGUUUGUUCAUUAAUUGUUUUUCUUUCAGAUGGAGAUAAAGCUCCAUGUCUCUCCUCACUAAUUUCAUGCUUUAAUUUAUGCAGAUAAAAAUAAAAAAAAAUUUAAUUUUCUUUAUUCAUAUUGCCACUUCCGUUUUGAAGCUCCCAAUCAAGUCGAUGAAAAUGAAUGAUGUUUCAUUCUGAUUCUUGUCAGCCUAAUCUAUAUAUAUAUAUAAAGCUGAGACUUGAGGAGGUGAUAUGGUAUCACUAUUUCUCAUCUUUGUAUAUUCUCUAUUUUCUAAUAAAUAGAGAAAUUUUCUUUUAAAUUUAGUUUUUCAUCUUCUCACAAUUAAUUUAAUUGUUAUUACACAAUAACAAUUAUGUAAAGGUUUUAAUGAGGCAUAUUCUUUGUAAUGAACAUCCAAGGGGGAGUGUUAUGAAUUUAUUAAAAUAAAUGUAGAUGUUCAUAACAUAUAUCUCUUAGUCUCCCUACUAUCUCCCAUUAGCAACCUUUAACUUCCCUAUAACUCCCACUAUCUCACAAGAAAUUAUGAUCCAUAAUUUUUCCUUAAUUUCAUGGAGUGAUUAUGUAACUAUAAAAGGAGAGCUCAUCUUUUUGUUUUGUACACACAAUUGAAAUGAAUAAAAUCACUGUAUAAUAUAUUCUCUCAUUUUAUUCUUUAUCUUGCAUUACUUCUUUAUUUGUAUUGCUGGCUAAUAGCUUUUUUUAUUUUUUAUAAGGCUGCCUCAUCUUAAAAAAAAAAUCAAUUCAUAUUUUUUAUCAGUUUCAUCAAGUGUAAAGUAAAAAAAAAAGGAUAAUACUAAAUUCUUUUUUCAAAGCCGCGUGAAACGCGGUUAUAUUUUCUAGUUCUUAUAUAAUUGAAGAGUAAAUUGUCAUUAUGAUAUUCGUCAGCAAAUAAAUUCUUUUUUUCUUUUUUCCCCCCAAAUAUGAGUGAUCAAAUUGUUUGCGCAUAUAUAUAUAUAUAUAUAUAUAUAUAUAUAUAUAUAUAUAUAUAUGUAUGUAUGGAGAAAUGUUCCAGUCAGGGAUUUUAAAGUACGGGAAAGUACGGGAAACCUUUAAAACCGCAUGGUUUUAAAGGCUUAAAACUGUAAGCCUUUAAAGCUGUGUGGUUUUAAAGGUUUCCCAUACUUUCCCGCACCUUAAAAUCCCUGAUCAGAAAACUACUAUGUAUGUAUGUAUAUAUAUGUACUUAAUUCGCAGGAGGUAUUCCACAGGAAUUGGGGAAUCUUGCAAAAUUGGAGGGGUUACAGCUGUUCGGGAAUAACUUGACUGGUAACUUUCUUUACGAUAUAUAUAUAUGAGACAUCUUCCACUUCUUAAUUAAAAGAUUUCAAGUCUCUCAUUAUAAAUUCUCAUAUGAGGAUGUGUCGUUACCACUAUCUAACAUAUAUAUUUUUUAUUCAAAAUUAGUUUGUGUUAAUUCAAAAUUCUAUAGCAUUUAAAAAAUAUUAAAAACACGUGGAAUAAAUCGUCGAUCUUUCUUCUUUACUGAAUUUGGAUUUCUCAAAAAUUAUCUCAACAAGUAUGCUUCACUAAUGAUAUGCAUGUGAGACAACUUCAUAAAAUAUUUUACAUGGAAUCAAUAAUUAUCUUUAAAUAAUUGGAGAUGCCAUCAGUGAUACAUAAUUUCUUAAUAAGCACCAUACCAAAAGAAAUCAACAAUUUUAUUAAUCUUAAAGAGUUACAUCUUCACUGCAAUUAUGACAUAAAUUUUUAGUCACCAAUCACAUAAUAUUUUAUCUUAACGGAUGAUGUUCAAUCUUGGAAUUUAUAAUACCUUGAAGGUUAGCAGCUUUGAAAAUAAGAAAUUGUUCAUUUGCUAAAAAGUUAACUUAGUAUUUAAGUUUUUCAAUUGAAAAUUUUGAAAAAAGUAUUGAGAACUGGCCCUCCCUAGUAUUUCAGUGGAUGAAUAUGAAAAAUAGGCUUGAAGAAAUUAUUGUUGUGUGUGCUUAUUCUACUUGGGCUUUGGGCUUGAUUACAUGGUCGAGCACUUACACCUGUUAUAAUAAUAGGCUUUUACUUUCACCACACGUUUGAUAAUUUCUUAACCUUCCCAAUUAGGUUAUAGCAAUUUAUAUAUAAAUAACACUUACACCUGUUAUAAUAAUAAUAGCAUCCGCCGAUCGACUACGAGUGAUCAAAUUGUUUGCACAUAUGUAAUUUGCAGGAGCAAUUCCGCGGGAGUUGGGAAAUCUUACAGGAUUGGGGACCUUAGAGCUGUCUGAAAAUUUUUUGACCGGUAUCAUUCCUUCAUCUAUCUACAAAUUGCUUUUCUCUAUUAAAUUUGAAAUUGUCAUUUAAUAACUUAACAAGUAACUUCCCUUACAACAUCUAUCUACAAAUUACUAAUUUAAAUUAAUAUUAAAAUAUGUUGUUUCUUUCACUAUGUUAUUUUAUUUACACAAUGAUGUGACUAUUGGAAUUAAUAAUACUUAUAAUUAUUUUGUAAAAAUAUAAAUUUAAUACUUUGUUAACAUUUUAUCUACAUAUAAUAAUUAAACUGAAACUUCUAUUUAAAAAAUUCUAGUUACGCAAAUUCAUUUCAUGACAUAAAAGUGUAUAUUUAUGCUAAUUUACCAUUAUCAACAAAAUGCUUUGAGACAAAUAAUCUAAUUUAUAUUUGUAUAUUUAAAAUACUUGCAUUUAUUAUAUUUUGAAAAAAAAUUAUUUUACUGAAAUAAUAGGCUUUUACUUUCACCACACGUUUGAUAAUUUCUUAACCUUCCGAAUUAGGUUAUUGCAAUUUAUAUAUAAAUAACUAAAGCAUACUAAAGCUAGCAUACAGUACUCAUGACUUAGGCUUGCUGCAAUAUCCAUUAAACACGGUCGAACACUUACACAUGUUAUAAUAAUAUUAGCAUCCGCCGAUCGACUAUGAGUGAUCAAAUUGUUUGCACAUGUGUAAUUUGCAGGAGCAAUUCCACUGGAGUUGGCAAAUCUUACAGGAUUGGAGAUCUUAGGCCUGUCUGAGAAUUUUUUAACCGGUAUCAUUCCUUCAUCUAUCCACAAAUUGCUUUUCUCUAUUAAAUUUGGAACUGUCAUUUAAUAACGUAACAGUUAACUUCCCUUACAACAUGUCUGUGUGACAUGUUUUGCUUCUUAAUUAAAAUAUUUCACUUCUCUCAUUAUAAAUUCUCAUAGGAGGAUGUGUUGUUAUUACUAUUUAACAUUAUCUCGUUUUUUAUUAGAAAUUAAUCUGUGUUUAUGCAAAAAAAUUUAGCAUCUAAAAAAAGUAUAAAAACACGUGGAAUAAAUCGAAAAUCUUUCUUCGUUACUGAAUUUCAAUUUCUCAAAAAUUAUCAUGACAGCUAUGUUAGUGUCUUACUAAUGAUAUGCAUGUGUGACAGCUCCAUAAAAUAUUUUACAUGGAAAAUAUGAAAAAUAGACUUAAAAAAAAAAAUUAUUUUACUGAAAUAAUAGUUAAAAAGAGAGGAGAAGUACAGUACUCAUGACUUAGGCUUGCUGUGUACUUAUUUUACUUGGGCUUCGGGCUUGAUUACACACGGUUGAACACUUACAUCCCCCGACAUAGGCUUUGAGGGAUGAGUGGCGUCAAAUGUGUAUCUGCUUUUAUGUAUUAUUAUUCUUUGAAACAAAUCUGAUUAUAAUUCUUUUAAAAUACAGAUGAAAUAGCAUGUGAAAUCGAAAAAUAUUUUACUGCGAUAAGAAUUCAUAUAUUCAUUGUACUAGCACAUAUAAAAUAGACUAUAAAUUUAGUUCCAAAAUACAUUCUUAUCUUCAUAUAAAUUUUACAUUAUUAAUUUAAAUUAAUAUUAAAAUAUGUUGUUUCUUUCACUAUGUUAUUUUAUCUACACAAUGAUGUGACUAUUGGAAUUAAUAAUACUUAUAAUUAUUUUGUAAAAAUAUAAAUUUAAUACUUUGUUAACAUUUUAUCUACAUAUAAUAAUUAAACUGAAACUUGUAUUUAAAAAAAUUCUAGUUACGCAUAUUCAUUUCAUGACAUAAAAGUGUAUAUUUAUGCUAAUUUACCAUUAUCAACAAAAUGCUUUGAGACAAAUAAUCUAAUUUAUAUUUUUAUAUUUAAAAUACUUGUAUUUAUUAUAUUUUGAAAAAAAUUUAUUUGCAAUUAUUUUAAACCGUUGGAUUCAAAUUUUCGUAGUUAUUAAAGUCAAAGGGUAUAAAUGUAUAAUAGUCAAAAAUAGAUUUCUGUGAUCAUUUUUCAAUGUAUAAAUUUUCUUAGUUAGUAGAAAAAUUAGAAAUUGUUGAUUUACUCAUAAAUAAAUUUAAUGUUUAGCAUUUCAAUUUUGGAAACUUUGAAUCGGUCGAGCCGAAUUUCGCUUCCUUGACCCACAGACCCAAUGAAAGUUCUAUUCGAAUUGAGUUUCCCAGUGCUUACAAAAAGCAUUUCUUUUCCUUGUCGCAGUAAUUUAUUCACAAAUGAGUUGAUUAGCAUCGAAGUUACCUGAGAGUCUGAGACCAUGCUAGUAGGAGAAAUUUGAAAAGAAAUUAUUUUACUGAAUUAAUUUAUUUUAUCUUGUUGUAACUGAAAUACUACUUUUUUUUUUGGGCUGUCACUUGGGCUUGAUUUACCUUAAUAGUAGCAGCCACCGACUUAGGCGUUUUUUACUUCUCACCACACAAUUUGAUCUUUUAAUUUGUUUUAACCACAUAAUCUAUCUAUUUUUCACCUAUUGCUUACUUAAAUCGCAUACAUAUUUUACCUACUAAUUUUUAUAAAUAUUAGUCAAAUAUAUUUUAUUACGUUUCUCUCGUAACUGCUCCAAAUGUGUACUAUUAAUACUUAACCCUCCCUUUUAAUUCACCAUGCAAUCUAUCUAUCACUUAAGUCACAUAUAUAUUUUACCCCAAAAAAUAUAAAAAUAAAAGAAAAAGAAUAUGUGUAGCAAUUUGCAUAUAACUAACAAAGCAUUGACGGUGUGUAGCCUUUCAAUACUUCACGAGUGGCUUUUCUUGUGUGUUAGUACUUGUAAUAAUUGUGUAGUGUAUAAAUGACAUUUUAUUAUUAAAGUGUGUCCAUUUUUAGAUAUUACUUAUUAUUUGAAAAAUAAUCUGAAUAUAAUUCUUUUAAAAUACAGGGGAGAUACCACUUGAAAUUGGUAAACUCCAAAUUCUGGAGGACUUGCACCUUGGUCAAAACAAAUUAAUUGGUACUGUCCCAGUUGCAAUCUUUAAUGUGUCAACACUCAAAUUACUUCAGCUUCAAAAUAAUUCUCUCUCGGGAUGUCUUUCGUCCAUCGCAAACAUCCGACUACCAAAUCUUGAAAAGCUUCAUUUGUGGGGUAAUAAUUUUAGUGGCAUAAUUCCUCGUUUCAUCUUUAAUGCUUCUAAGCUCUCUACACUAGAGUUGGAAGAGAACUCAUUCUCCGGUUUUAUUCCCAACACAUUUGGCAACUUAAGAAACCUUGAGCGGCUUAAUUUAGGUGAUAAUUAUUUGACAUCUUCAACUCCAGAAUUGAGCUUUCUAUCCUCGUUGUCAAAUUGCAAGUCUUUAACACUUAUUAUCUUAUCAAAUAAUCAACUAGAUGGCAUUCUUCCUAAGACGUCUAUCGGUAAUCUUUCUCGUUCUUUGGAAGAAUUUUACAUGCACAAUUGUAACAUUAGUGGCGGCAUCCCUGAAGAGAUCAGCAACUUGACCAACUUGACAACCAUUAUUUUAGGAGGCAAUAAAUUGAAUGGAUCAAUUCCGAUUACUCUCGGCAAAUUACGAAAGCUUCAACGGUUGAAUCUUGAAGAUAACAAAUUAGAAGGAUCAAUCCCAAACGACAUUUGUCAUUUGGCUGAACUGUAUAGAUUGGAGCUGGGCGGCAAUAAGCUUUAUGGAUCAAUCCCUGCAUGCUUCGGUAAUCUGGCUUCUCUGAGGAUACUGUCGUUGGGUUCCAAUAAGUUAACUUCUAUUCCUUUAACUUUUUGGAACCUUAAGGAUAUCUUGCAACUCAACUUUUCAUCAAAUUUUUUGACUGGCCCACUCCCAUUAGAGAUUGGAAAUUUGAAGGUUUUGAUUGGAAUUGAUUUUUCGAUGAAUAAUUUUUCAGGCGUUAUCCCAACAGAAAUUGGAGGCCUGAAAAAUCUAGAAUAUCUCUUCUUAGGAUAUAAUAGAUUGCGAGGAUCGAUUCCUGAUUCAUUUGGUGAUUUGAUAAGUUUGAAAUUCUUGAAUUUGUCCAAUAAUAAUCUCUCUGGGGCUAUUCCUACAUCUUUAGAGAAACUCUCAUAUCUUGAAGAUCUAAAUCUUUCUUUCAACAAGCUAGAAGGAGAAAUUCCUAGGGGAGGAUCUUUUGGAAACUUCUCAGCUGAAUCAUUUGAGGGAAAUGAAUUAUUAUGUGGUUCACCCAAUUUACAAGUCCCGCCAUGCAAAACUAGCAUCCACCAUACAUCAUGGAAAAAUUCUCUUCUCCUAGGGAUUGUCUUGCCAUUGAGUACUACAUUAUUGAUAGUAGUCAUUUGGUUGAUCCUAAGAUAUCGACAGAGAGGAAAACAACCAUCGAAUUAUGCUAAUAUGCCACUAGUAGCAACGUGGAGAACAUUUUCAUACCUAGAACUUUGUCGAGCAACAGACGGAUUCAGUGAAAACAAUCUAAUUGGCAGAGGAGGUUUUGGCUCUGUUUAUAAGGCAAGACUUGGGGACGGGAUGGAGGUUGCAGUGAAAGUUUUCAAUUUGCAAUGUGGAAGAGCGUUCAAGAGUUUCGAUGUUGAAUGUGAAAUGAUGAAAAGUAUUCGCCAUCGAAACCUUAUCAAAGUUAUUAGUAGUUGUUCAAAUGAAGAGUUUAAAGCGUUGGUAUUAGAAUACAUGCCUCAUGGAAGUUUGGAUAAGUAUCUGUAUUCAAGUAAUUGCAUUUUGGAUAUUUUUCAAAGAUUGAACAUAAUGAUAGAUGUUGCAUCAGCUUUGGAAUAUCUGCACUUUGGUUAUUCAGCUCUAGUAAUUCAUUGUGACUUAAAGCCCAGCAAUGUAUUGUUAGACGAUAAUAUGGUUGCUCAUUUGAGUGAUUUUAGCAUCGCAAAAUUGCUAACUGGAGAAGAUCAAUCUAUGACUCAAACACAAACACUUGGCACAAUCGGCUAUAUGGCACCAGGUUUGUUCAAUAUAAAAUUUUUCUAUUUCUUGUAAACUUCCUAAUAAGUUAUUUAUGUUUCAUGAUCUUCAUUAGAUAAGGAAAUUAUUAUUAAUGAUAUAUCUUACUAAGUAACUGUUACAAUUCAUAGAGUAUGGAAGAGAAGGACGAGUAUCCACAAAUGGAGAUGUUUAUAGCUUUGGGAUUAUGUUAAUGGAAACUUUUACCGGGAAGAAACCCACAGAUGAAAUUUUUAACGAAGAAAUGACAUUAAAGCAAUGGGUUAAUGAUUGGCUACCCAUUUCCACUAUGGAAGUUGUUGAUGCUAAUUUGCUUAGUCAGGAGGACGUACAUUUUGUUGCAAAGGAGCAAUGUGUGUCAUUUGUCUUCAAUUUGGCUAUGGCGUGCACUGUGGAAUCUCCUGAGCAGAGAAUCAAUGCAAAAGAAAUUGUAAAAAAGCUCUUAAAAAUUAGAGACUCAUUACUUAGAAAUGUUGGAGGCAGAUGUAUAAGACAAUCAAAUUUAAAUUGAUUCUACCCUUCCUUCAUUGCUCGUUAUCCUUUUUAGAGAAUUGAACAGUUAUCCUUCAUAUAAGUUUUGUUGAUAUGUUUUGUUAUUGCUCUUGCUCAUGUUUAUUUCUCUGUUUCUUUAAUUUGCAUGCAUGUAUUUUUCAUUAUCUUUUAUGUUUUUGUUGGUUUGUAUGUAGUUUGUUUUUAGGGGUAAGUUGAUCAUGUCCUCCCCUAAUUAGACGUAUCCUUUUUAUGUUUAUUCAAUAAAGCUUCUCUAAUAUUAUGGAGGUUCAUCAAAAGAAAAUUUUUAAUUAAUUUUCUUUUCUUUGAUAGGUAAUGAAAUUUUAAUCUUCAUCGUGAAUAACUUCAAUAACAGAGUGUAAGAGUAUUAGUAGUUAUGGUUAUUUUUUGAACCUGGAGUCAAGAGCAAUUUAACAGCAACAAACAAGUCUCUUGUAUUAUAGGCAAAAUUCUUUUCAUUAAUCUUAUUUGUCUACAUGUUCUCUUAUUUUCUCCAUUAAUCUUCGCUCAAGGUUUCAUGCUUCCUCUUUGAUAAAGGAAAAUAUUACUUGAGAAUAUUUCAAUUUGACAUAAGAGACUGUUUUGCCAACCAUUUGAUAAAAUGGAUAUGAGUGGAGCUUUCAAUCAUUACCUCCACCAAAAUCGUUACAACGCCACUUUUAAAUUUUAUUUUUUAAAAUGCAUUCAGUUUAAUUUAUAAAAAAUAAAUCCAUUUGUUAAAAUUAAUCUUUUUCUCAUAAAUUUCAACCUAAGAAAUAUAUUUCUUUUAAAUUUUUAAUUAUAAAAUACAUACAAGUUCUAAACUGUUAUAUUAUUUUCUUCUUAUUAUAUAGAUUAUAUCUCCAUAUCUCCAUAACUCUAAACUCCUAUAAUUUUUUAAAAAUAUUUUUAAUUUAAGAUAGGAAAAUUAUCAUUUGUAUACCCUAUAUUUGCUCUGUUAUCAAAAAUACUACAACACUUUGAGGGUGUAUCAAUCGUCCACCCUUAGUUGACAAAAUGUAUCAGCUGACCACCAAACCGUUAGUUGCCGUUUGAAAGUUAACGGAAUUACAGUGAAUUGACGAUUUUACCCUUGAAAAUUAUCACUUGUAUACCCUUAAUUUCUCUUUUUAUCACUUGUAUACCCUUAAAUUAUCACUUGUAUCUUAUGAAAAGACCAAAUUACCCUUCUAACGUCAUCAUAUUUAAACGGCAACUAACGGUUUGGUGGUCAGUUGAUACAUUUUGUCAACUUUGGGUGGAUGAUUGAUACACCCUCAAAGUGUUGUAGUAUUUUUGAUAAUGGAGUAAACUAAGGGUAUACAAAUGAUAAUUUCCCUUUAAAAUAUAAAUAUAAAAUAUAAAAUGGAGUGGGUAUAAAAAAACUUGUUAAAAGAAUAAUUCAUUUAAGUAUUUAACUGAAUUUAAAUUAAAAUAAGAAAUAAAUAAAUUUAUUUUUUAUUAGUUAAGUAAUUUUCAAUUGAAAAAGAGCUGUAUGAGUAAUAUUAUUGAAAUAUGAUUAAAAUUCUUAUGAAUUAAACAUUUUCGUAUAAAUACUAGUGAUAAUUAUAGAGAAAGUAUGAUGAACCAAAGAAAACUUGAAUAUAAAUACUCCAAUGUAAUUUUACACAUGCAAAUUAUGAACCAAUGAUCUUUAGAGCAUUAUAAAAUUAUUUUGACAUAAUUAUUUAUUUUGAAAAAUUGCCAACAAUGUUUUAUUAAAGUGGGAUUGAAAAGAUUAUGCUACUUAUAUAAGACAUGAUAUCAUUUAACAUGGCUUGCAGAUUAUGAGAAAUAUAUUGAUCUUACAAAUAUUUAAUAUGUUAAUUAGACAGGUCCAGCUGCCUUCCACCCGCUGGAAGGUACAACUUAUUUUGUCCUCUAGUGUUGUGGCCAUUGGAUAUUUGAGAAAUUGAUCUAUCGGUUCUUGUUCAGCAGCGUGAAAUUGAAUUUCAAUCGGCAAACGUUUCAUGAACUUUGCAAGGGACAAUUAUCUACAAAAAUAUUUUUUAAAAAAAUAAUUUUUCCCUUUCAUCAGCCGCCGCUGCCACCCACAACUCCUUAAUAUCAUCAUCACCAUCCCAAUCCUUAGCCGCCAUCCACAAGCUCUAACAACCACCAUGACCGCCAUCACAACCACCACUCCUCAUAACCCCUAGCCACCACUACAAACAUUCACAAACCCUACCAAUCAUCCACAACACCUAACCGCCGUCACCAACAAACUUUCGCCGCCGCUUCCUACAAGCAAGCCUCACCACCCACCACCGCACACACACAAAGCCACACCAACCGCCAUACUAUUGUGACAGAGCCCACAAUGUAGACAAGAUCCAGCAGAGGGGGGAUGUUUUCCUUCUUCGGCUGACUAUUCUUUUUUUUUUAUUUUUUAAUUAUUAUAUUACUUUUAGUUAUUUUUAGUUAUUCUUUUAUUUUGUCUAUAUUUUGGUUGUUAGAUUGUUUUUGUUGUUGUUAUUGGCGGCAGUGGAGUUGCAGCUCGUGAUGAUGAUGGUGAUGUUGGUGUCAUUUUAAUCGAGAUUUUGUCUUUUUUUUACCGGCUACGCCAGUCAUCUUCAUUCAUUACGUGUCCAUUUCUAACAUGUUAGAUUUUACUACUUUUUAAUCCAAGGAUUAGACCACAACGAGACAAAAGAUGGGGUACCUUCCAAUGGGUGGAAGGUAGUUUCGGCCCAAUUAGACUGAGUCUAUGCAAUAAAAAUUUCAAAUUAAAAAAUAAGCCCUUUAUUUUCUUUUAAUCAUAAGUGUGAUCUUAAUUAUUAAAGUCAUUUAAUGUCCAUUACUUAUUCAUUUUUUUUAAUUACCUAAAUGACAUUGAAAGCUCUACUCAAUAAUAAUUCAUUCAAAUGUUUUAUUUUAAAGUAAUCGGAAACUGCAAAUGAAGCAAAUGCUUGAAAUCACAAACAACCUAAAAUUAGAUUUUCAUUUUUCAAUGUUGCAAUGACUUUGAUCUUGAUAUUGAAAAUUUAUUUGUAACUUAUAUAUAGGCCUCGAUUUUAUCAUAAUUGGUUAGUAAGGCUACGUAGGGAGCAUGGAUAAAUUUUGGGAUUGGAUUAUAUUUUUGGAACUAAAAAAUUAAUUUCAUCCAAUGUUAGUUUGGCUGUUAGGACUAGCAACUUAGUCUAAAAUUAUUGAAAUUAUUGAUGUUUUAUAUUAUAAUAUUUUCAUUACCACUUUAAACAUUAUUGGUAACUUAAAUCAUUUUUUAAAUUAAAUAUAAAUUUAAUUAAUUAUAAAAAUUAAUUUAAUUAAAUAUAAAAAUCAUUUAAAUUAAAUAUUAACAUUAAUUUCAUAAUUUUUUACCUAGAAUUUUAUAUUAUAUUAAAUACUAAAAUUCUAUUCGAUAAUUUAUUAUCAUUUAUUUAAUAAAUGUUUAGUAUGUUAUAUUAUUAUUUAAAUUAAUUUUUUAUUUACAUAUAAACAUAAAUUAAUAUUUACUAAUUUCAAAUUUUUUUAGUUUGUUUAAUAAUAAAAGCUAAAUUACUAUAUUGAAAAUAUAAAUAGUAUUCUAAUGUAUUAUAGUCUAAAUCUCACCCCAAUGAGUUUAUUUUAUACACCUUUUAUUAUAUUAACCACAUUUAUAAUGCAGUGCAAUGCAACAAAAUUUUUUUAACAAAUAUGAGUUAGCAUGAAAAUAAUAUUUUAGUACAAUGUAAUACAAUGUAAUGUAAGCUGACAAAUGGAUAUUUAAUGGAAGCAAAAAUUGCAGAUGGUUUGGUUUGUGGGUCUCUCAAAAGACAACAAAGAAACCAAUAUGAUAAACUAAUUCUAUCCUCUUUAAUGGUGUCUUUACUAAAUGGAAAUCAGAAGAGUUAGAAUUGAAAUAGGCUUGAAUCGAAAUAAGGAAUUAAAAUCAGAAUAAGUUGUUUAUUUAAGUUGUAUGAAUCAGAAUCGAAAUAAUUUUUAUUCAAAUUGAUGUGUUUAUUUUCUCUUGAAAUUAGAAUGGACUAUUACAAGUUACUAAAAAAUCAUUUGGUAAUUGUUGUCUCUAGUAUUAUUUGUAUCUGUUAUAAUGUUAAAAAUAAUACUAAAAAUGAAAAUAAUAAUAAUAAUAAUAAUAAUAAUAAUAAUAAAGACAAUUAUAAUAAAAUUAAUAAAUUAUUAUUAUUAUUAUUACUACUACUACUACUAGUACUGAAGACCGCCUAGUGAAGAUUGGAUAGUGAAGAUGAAGACAACGAUCCUGGCAACCAACUGUUGCUUCAAAGAUGAUGUGCCCAAAUGGAGACAACCAGCGAUGACCAGCCAACUAGAUCCCAAUCUCGAUGUUGUGAUCUCACAUGAUCACUGAUAAAGCGAUGUGCGAUGCCAGUGUUGUGAUUUCUUUUUAUUUAUAUUUUUUAAUUUAUUGGGGGUAUUUUCAAAAUUUAGUAAUUUUAAUAUGGGCAAAUUGGAUAGUUGAGGGAACAAGAGACUGAUUUCCAACCAUCCUAAGAAUUAGUCUCUCAUUCUCUAUUUCUAAUUUGAUGUGGGUCCUAUUAUUUCGAUUUCAAUUUUUACAUUUAUUUGUAAAGUAAAUGACGUUAAUGAUUUCAAUUUCUAAUUGGAGAAGAAAACACAUCAUAAUAAUUUUUUAGAUGCUUCCAUGGCAUAAUCUCAUUGGUCCGUUUUUCUUCACGCCUUAGAUUCAACUUCAAGAUUUAAGAUCCAAUUUGAAGCAAACACAACUACAAAACAAAUAUAAUAAGCGUUACUAAGCCUGCGGCUGACUGGCUGUGGCCAAGCAAAUGGAACUCAUAGUGACCGAACCAUAUCUUAUUAUCUUACGCCAGAAGUUAAACAAUGUUCCCAUUCCACGUGUCACUCUCUGACCAACCCCCAAACUUUCUACAUAUUUCCAAAGAAACCCUUACCAAGUCAAGAUAAUUACCUUCACUCUACUUAUAUAAAUACUGUCCUCGAUUCAACUGAUGACGACAUAUCCUUACAGUCUUUAUUUAAAAGGAAAAAUUAUAAAAAAUUAUCCUCGUUCCCUAAAACUCUAGGGUUUGUCAAGAAUCGCUAAACAUAUAUCCCAAUCAUUCAAAAUCUCAAUUUAACCUCUCUAGGGUUUUGAUUGUCGAGGAUUCGCUUGAAAAUUUAGUAUUUUUUAGUGGAUUUUGCUUGUCUCGUAUGCUUCAAUUGUUGUUCGGUUCUGAAAAUAAUUUGGAAUUUUAGGGAUUUUCAAUUGUUGUUCGGUUCUGAAAAUAAUUUGGAACCAAAAAUUCCCAACAAUUGUCAGUUGUUUUAAACUCUAUUCCGAACAGAGCAUGAAGGGAUUCACUUAUCUAAUUAUGUCAUUUAUGCUUUAACUUCACUUCAUUUCAUCUUGUCCGUCACCUUGACUAAAGUUGUGUAUGUUGGAGUAUUAGGUUCAUCACAAGGAUCAUAUUAUGGCUAAGGAAGUAGCACAGUUUAUUAGCUACACUCAAGUGUAGCAGAGUAUUUGGAUUCAAGACUGUUAUAAGGUUGUUACAGAUGCAAUGCUGUUGCUGUGUAACUGUAUGCCAUGCUCGCAAGUGCGCUGUAACAGAUUGCUCAUCAGGCACCGGAUAUUUUAAGCUAAUUUUGGUAAUUAGUCUAGAGUGUUCUGAUUUAUUCUAUAAAUAGCUCAUUUGAGCGUAGAACCUUUAAGGUGUAUCGUACAUUUCUGUUACUUCUAAUAAAGAAUUUCUUUAUUCCUUUUUCUUUCACUUUCUCUUUCAUUUUCAUGAUCCCCAAACACCAUCAAACAUAGAAUUGCUGUUUUAGGCCAAUGGACAUAACGUGACAAGUUUUUGAAGUGAAUGACUCCUCUUUUCUCCAUAAAUCUUUGCUUAAUUUUUUUGUUCCCUCAACCUUUUUUGGCCUUUUCUGCUAAAAUUCAUUUUUUUGAUACAUUAUGCAAAAAUUGAUGAAAAUGAGUUACUCUAGAACAUCAAUAAAUUUUUAUUACAUGAUAAGACAAUUAUACUUAGAUUACUCUUAUUUGGUUGAAUUAUAUGUAAUAAAAUUAGUUUAACAGAAUCUAACCCGUAAAUAUUCCUUAUCACAUGAUUAACGUACUUAAAAAAUAUAACUGGUCGGCCGCUUGUUUUACAAUUCUUUUAUAUAUCUUUGAAACUUUCAGCUUCCUAACACAUCAUAUUGUUCUCAAUUCGUCUAAAUUAUUUUUUUUGGUCAAACACUAUAGCAACAACCAGUAUAAAAUAGAAUGAACUCAUUUAAUAAAAAUUUUUCUAGAUGCUUUCAUGACAGAAUCUCAUUGGUCUAUUUCUCUUCAUGGCAAAAUUUUUCUGAAAUACACUUAGUUUUUUAAAAAAGAGCUUUAUGAGAAAUUUUCAGUGUGUCAAAAGGCCUACUUAAUGGACUGGAUCCCGACUCAUUAAUUUUAUAACCCGACUUACAAUCCGAAUCAUUAUUCACAGAGAUUAAUUUGCUAUUGCUUAAGGCACAAUAUUUACUAAGCAAUUUAUCAGCAAUAAAACAUGUAUAUUAUAGUGGUUUGUAAUAAAAUUGGAAGAAGACAUCACGUACGAAUUGGAUUUAUCUGAUGAAAUUUGAUUAACGAAAGUGUAUGAAAAUAUAUAAAGAAAAUAGUAAAAAAAAUUGUUGUGUAAAUGUUGUAUAGGUGAUAUAUUACUUUUAUAAUCCAUCAAGGUACAUUUGAUUUUAAUGAUGAAACAAAUACAAAUAAAUCCAUGUAUGUCAAUGCUAGAUGGUUCCAUAUUAAACUUGUGAAGUAUAGAAAAUAAGCGAGAUUCGUAAAAAAUAUUUUAGAUAAUACCACUGAAAAGUUAUAAAAAAUAUUUUUAAAAAAAAAAAGAAAUACAUACUCGAGACACCAAGACCGAUACGCACAAACUCACACAUUUACAUAUUAAUUGAGGGAAAAAAUGAUAUUCUGAGUAAUAUUGUUGACAUAUGAUUAAAAUAAAAUUCUAUUUAAUGAAACAUUUUCGUAUAAAUACUAGUGAUAUUUGUAGAGAAAGUAGAAUGAAGUAAAAAAAAAAAAACUUGAAUAUAAAUGCUCCAAUAUAAUUUUUCCCAUGCAAAUUAUGAACUAGUGAACUUUAAAGCAUCAUAAAAUUGUUUCAACAUAAGUAAUUAGUUUGAAAAAUUGCCAAUAAUGUUUAAAGUGGGGACGAAAAGAUUAUACUAUAUGAGACAUGAUAUUAUUUAAGAUAGCUUACAAAUUAUGGGAAAUGUAUUGAUCUUACAAAUAAUAUUUAAUAAGUACAAAUUUCAAAUUAAAUAAUAAACUCUUAAUUUCCUUUUAAUCAUAAUUAUGAUCUUAAUAAUUAAAGUCAUUCAAUCUUAAUCACUUUUUCAUUUUUUUAAACUACCUAAAUGACAUUGAAAACUCUACUCAAUAUUAAUUUAUUCGAAUGUUCUGUUUCAAAAUAAUUGAAAACUGUAAAUGAAACAAAUGCUUGCAAUCACAAAUGGCAUAAAAUGGGAUUUUUAUUUUUUAAUAUUGCAAUGACUUUGAUCUUGAUAUUGGAAAUUUAUUUGUAACUUAUACUAAGUCUUCAAUUUUAUCAAAAUUAGUUUCUAAAGAUGCAUUUGCCAUACUGUGUAGUUUUAUUGUAUGAUGAUAUAUUACAUUAGGGUGCAUUGUAUUGAGCUGUAAUGCAAUACUAUUUUAUAUUAAUGUUAAAACUAAAUCAACCUUAUUUAAAUUUAUUAAUAUUUUAGGGUUUUAUUAGUAAUAUCUGAAAUUAAGUAUUAAAUAAUUAUUUUUAUAAUAUACAAAUUAUUUAAUAAUAUUCUACUAUUAAAUAAUAAAAUAUUAUAAUAUUAUGUUAUAUUAUUAACAAUUAUUCUGUUAUAAUAUAAUUUAUUUUUAUAUAUUAGUUAUUAUAAUUUAUUAUAAUCAUAUUAUAAUAAUAUUAUGUUGUAAAAAUAUAAUACUAUAUAAUUGUAUGAUAUAAUAUGAAUUAAUUUAUAAUUUAACAUUAAAUUAUAAAUUUAUUUUAUUUAUUAAUGUCAAAUAUAAUUGUCUAAUUUAAAUUUAGUAUUUUUUUAAAAAUAAACUACUAAAUAAUUAAAAUAAUUUUAUAUAAUAAAGUAAAAUAAUGUAUUAUUAUUUAUUAAUUAAAUAUUUAGGUUUAUUAAUAUACUAUAUUAUUAAUUAAAUUUAAUGAAUAUUAAUUAAUAAUUUAAAUUUAUUAAAUAAUAAAAGUUAAAUGAUUAUAUUUAAAAUAUAAAUAAUAUUUUAAUGCAAUAAAACCUAAAUCCCACAUGUAUACCACAUUUGUUAUACAGUGUAAUGCAACAUUUGUUAAGUGUGAAGGAUUAAUUGCAAUUUCGAAUUUUUGAUAAAAUUUAAAUUAAAAUUGGGCGGUUAUUAAUUAAUUGAUGGCUAGUGAUACUACAACGGCGGCCGAAGCUCCGGAAGAAGCGGAGGCGGUGGAGGGUUAUGAUAGCGAUCCAGAUGAAGUGAAACACUAUCUCGUGAUGCGCAGAAUGGAAGCAAGCGAUGAUGAGGAGGAGGUGGAGAAAGAAUUUGAGCGUCGAAUAGGAUCUACAUUUACUCUUAAGAUGAAUCUGAUGAUGAAUUAGAACAUGACAUAUAAUUAGAAGAAGAAGAUGAGGACUAUAAUAGAAAUAUUUAUGGGACCCAUUUUCGCAUCCAAUUGAAGGUUAAGACAAGACAUCUAAUAAGGGCUGCUCUCCAAAUUAUGUUACCACACCUACGGUCAAAGCUCGCUAGCACUUUUAUAACGGGAUGGCAAUGAGGCGGCUUCGGGGCAGGAUGACGAUCCUCACCCCCAUCCCGAAUUAGAAGCAGUCUCCAAACCUGCCUUCCAUAUCCCUGAUAAUUCUCAAAAUGAGACAAGGAUUAAAACAGAGGCUCAAUUCUCAAUUAUUUAGUUUUUAAGUAAAAAAAGAGCUCUCAAUCUGGAUCUGAAUAAUUGUUUAUUAAGGACUAAUUUUGAAGCUAGAACAUUUAACAAUUCAAAUGAGGUUCCUUUUGUUUCAUCUGAUAUUUUCAAAAGUUUGAAAGCUACUUGGAAGAUAUCAUCAAUCUCAGUCUAUAAAAAUCCAAAUGUUAUUUGUGCGGAAAAUACAAGAUAAUUAACAAUCUACAUGCUCUCUCUUCCACUGGAAAAAUAUAUAUAGUCCAAUAUAUAUUAAAUAUUUCUAUUAUAUGAAGAGGAAGAAGAAGUUUAUGAACAAGAGGAGAGAAGGUUGUUACAGAUGUAAGGCUGUUACUGUGUAACAGUAUGCCAUGCUGGCAAGUUUGCUAUAACAGAUUGCCAAGCUGGCACUAAUUAUUUUAAACUAAUAUUAGUAAUUAGUCUAGAGUGCUCUAAUUUAUUUUAUUCUAUAAAUAGCUCAUUUGAGCUUUGAACCUGUAACGUGUACUGUACUUUUCUAUUACUUCUAAUAAAGUUUUUCUCUGUUCUUUUUUCUUUCACUUUCUCUUCCAUUUUCCCGACCCUCAAACAGCGUCAAUCCUUGAUUUUCUACAGUAUUAGCUGUUUGGUUCUACAAACAUAGAACUGGUCGUUUAUUGACUUGUUACUUGUGAACAGGGCCAAUAAAGGACAAAUAAGAUGUUGGGCCAAUGGGCCCAACGUCACAGAUCUUGAAUUGAUUGUCUCUUCUUUUCUCCACAAAUCUUUGCUUAAUUUUUAUGCUCCCUCAACUUUUUUCCCCUUUUUGUGCUAAAUUUAUUUUUUUGAUACUUUAUGCAAAAAUUAUGAUGAAAAUUAAUUACUUUAGAACAUCAAUAAAUUUUUGUUACAUUCAAGAUACGGACAAUUACACUUAGAUCACUCUUAUUUAGUUGAAUUAUAGGUAAUAAAAUUGGUUUUAACAAAAUACGAUUCUUAACCCUCGUAAUUAAAGGCUCGUGUUAUUUGGUUUAGUUAUAACACCAUGCAACAGGUCGUCUUGGUGGGUUCAAAUUAAUAUACGAUCAUUCUCAAUUUUUAAUAGUUCGUAAUUAAAAAGUCUUAUAUCACAAUUAGAAUUUGCAAACAUGCCAAAGUGAGUUAAAUCAAAACCUAUAAAUUUGAGGUGUACUACAAACUUCUGACAAAUUAAAAUUUAAAACGAUUAAUUAAAUGCUAGACAAAAUUUAGCUUAUUAAUGUUCCUGACCACAUGAUGAAUGUACUUAAAACAUCCUAACUGGUCGCUAAUUGAUUAGUUGUUAUUUUUUCAAUUUCUUUUUAUAUAUCUUUGAAACUUCUAGUUUCCUAACAUGUUAUUCGCAAUUCGUGUAAAUUAUUAUUUUUUAAAUAUUAGAGCAACAACCAGUAUAAAAAUGAAAUGCACUCAUUUAAUGGAAAUUUUUCUAGAUGCUUCAAUGGCAGAAUCUCGUUGGUCUAUAACUCUCACGCCUUUGAUUCAAGAUUCAAUUUCAAACCAACGCCGAACAAACAGUAUAAACCUUAAUAAGUCUGUGGCUGUAGCCCAACAAACCUACUUCCGGCUCACCGAAUAAUCAUCUCUUACGUCGGAAUUUAAACUUAAACAAAGCUACAUCCCACGUGUCCCCAACUUUCUUCAUAUUUCCAAAAAACCCCUACCAGAUCCAGAUAAUUACCUUCACUCUUCUCGUAUAAAUAGAGAAGACGACGGUUCCUGCAACGUGAGUCACGUGAACGUCAAUUUCAAACCAACGUGAGUCACGUGAACGUUACGGCCAUGGGACAUUGGAAUUGGAUCAAACCACCGGAAUGCACAGCAAAAUUAACCGAAUAAACUAAAUUAGAUCCAACCAAUUGAAUCGGUUUGGGGCCAAUUGCAGUUUUGAUAGCAACUAAAAUCUGUGUGGCCCAGUUACCACAGAGCCUUGCCCCAGAUCCCUGCCAUUUUCUCCUCCACCUCCAUUUGGGGAAAUUACUACUUACUUUUUGCAAGUUUUUCUUGAAAUAUUUAUUUUGAGAAGAAAACCAACAAUACAUUUUAUGAUUUGGGCUCUUUCAAAGAUCUUCGCUUGAUGUCUAUGCUACUGGUUUUCAGCAGAGUGCCCAAAAAUAAUCAGUGCACGCACUAUAGGCUCUAUUAUUAUCAGUAAAAAGCAUUAAUGAUAUAUUGGGAUCGACUUUUUUAUGGGAGUGGUAAAGUGGUGCAUCUUGUUCAUGCACCGUAGAGCCAAUUCCAUUUUGUGAAAUAGGAGUUGAAUAAAAUUUAUUGUAAUACAUGGAAGUAUUGUUAGAAACACGAACACAGUGAGUUGACAAUUUAAAUUGCAAUUAAUUGAAACAAAAUGUAAACCAGCAAUUGGAAACAGCAAAUUAAGAACAGAAGAGAAAUGAAACGGAAUAAGAAAUAUAAACCCGAGGCCUGCACAAGGCAGUUUCCUUAAAACAGAUUUACCACCUCUUUUCUUGUGCUUAAGGUCUGCUGGUAUCUAUUUCCCAGGAUACAACGAGUACGAAUUUCUAGUCAAGCACAGGCUGGAGAUUCCGGCGAACCACAACAGGUAACUCGAUUAGAGAAAGACGAAGAAGGAUGAAGGAAAAAACAAGUGUGUUUUGUGCUGGUUUUUAUGGUGUCCAAAAACAGAAGAAGAGAUGCCUUUUUAUAAUCAUGUGAGGAUGUAACAGCUAAUGUGUAUUGAAUUUCCGAAUUCAAAAUUGAAUUAAAAAAACGUGAACAACAGCUAAAAAUAAUUGUAAAAGCUGUUACACAUUCUUUGAAUUCAAAACAUCAAAUUGUUACAAUAAAAAAUUCAAAAGGAAAUUAAAAACGUGCCAAGCUUGCAUGGAUGAUUUUGGGCUUCUUUUUCCCAUGUGGGAUAAGCCUCAUUUCCUUUCAAUCUAACUUCAAGGGUGAACUUUGAGAGACAAUUUCUCAUUCACCCAAGCACCAUUUUGAGAAAAUAAGAUUAUACUAUUGAAGUAUCAAUGGAGUAGAAUUCGAACCUCACAAUAUUUUCCACUUUUGUUAAGUGGGACCCACUCAAAAUGUGCCCUCAAAAUAGCAUGUUAUGCUAUUUUUCCAACAAUCCCCCACAUGAAUGAAAAUUGGCAGUAAAAACAAGAAAACCGCUAAAUUUUGACAUCAAAACCAUUUUUGACUCUUAAUGAUCGAGUUUAUUGGAUUGAUACCUAGCACAUGAUAGGUAGGUGUUAUCCUUUGAACCUUUCCUUGUAAUAGUAUAAAUACUUUACUAGCUGAUCAGUAGACGCGAUGUCUUUGAACUGUUCUGCCAUUAGUGUAAAGGAUCAUAUACUACACAUAGGUAUUUCCCCUAACACUGUUGAGUUCUCAUGAUUAUGUUCGUUUUGGCCUUGAACAUCUGCCUGGUUCUGCAAGAGUUUCUAAGAGCUGAACCCUUUAUAGCUCCCUUUGAAGCGGCCCCACUUCUCUCUCACAUAGGUAAUAUUUUAAUUAAGAGUAACCCGCAUUACUCCGCUAGAAUUUUCGACGCAUAAGAAUCAUUAAGAGCCUAGCUCAACCUUAUUCCCCACGGGCAACACUGUUUCAUCAUAGGAAUGGUCAAUGAGGUAAUCCUCUCAAGAGAAUGACCCCCACAGUGAUCCAUCUUUAGUCUUUAACAAAUAGGUUGUCCAAUUGAACCUAGAUCUUAGGAUCUCCAGUCUACUAGGUUAGGUUUUCCUUCGUUAUUGACUAAUCAAUCUAUAGGUUUUAAUCACAUCCCCCUCGAUAAUUUUUCUACUAGCUCUCUAUUUAAUCCUUUGGUUAGCGGAUCCUCUAUGUUAUCCUUUGACCUUACAUAGUCAAUAGAAAUAACUCCAGUAGAAAUAAGUUGUCUAAUGGUAUUAUGUCUACUACGAUGUAUGUGUCUAGACUUACCAUUAUACAUAUUGCUUUGUGCCCUACCGAUAGCUGAUUGACUAACGCAAUGUAUACAAAUCGUAUACACAGGCUUUGGCUAUUUUGGAAUACCUUCUAAAAAAUUGCGUAGCCAUUCUGUUUCUUCACCACAUUUAUCUAAUGCAAUGAAUUCAGAUUCCAUUGUAGAUCUAGCAAUUACUGUCUGUUUAGAACAUCUCCAUGAUACAGCUGCACCUGCUAGUGUAAAUACAUAGCCGCUAGUAGAUUUUGAAUCUUUUACAUCUGAUAUCCAGUUAGCAUCACUAAAUUUUUCUAAUACUUCUGGAUACCUAGUAUAGUGCAGUCUAUAAUUACGAGUGUAUCGAAGAUACCUAAGUACUCUUACAAUAGCUUUCCAGUGAUCAGUUCCUGGAUUACUCGUAUAUCUACUAAGUUUGCUUACUGUAUAGGCUAGAUCUGGUCUGGUACAAUUUGUUAAGUACAUCAGACUACCUAUUAUUCUAGCAUAUUCAACUUGAGAAAUACUCUCUCCUCUGUUUUUCGAUAGAUGAAUACUAGUAUCUAAUGGAGUUUUAGACAUAGUAUUAUCCUCUUUAUUAAAUUUCCCAAGAAUUUUAUCUACAUAAUGAGUUUGACUUAAAAUAAGUCCAUUAGAAGUCCUUGAAAUUUUAAUUCCCAAAAUGACAUCUGCAAGACCCAUGUCUUUCAUGUCAAACUUAGACUUCAACAUAUUCUUGGUAGAUUUAAUCAUGUCAUCAUUACUCCCAACAAUAAGCAUGUCAUCAACAUAUAAACAUAAAAUGACAUAGCCAUUUUCUGUUUCUUUGACAUAAACACAUUUGUCACAUUCGUUGAUCUUAAAGCCACUAUUAUCAUCGUAUGAUCAAAUUUCUCAUGCCACUGUUUCGGUGCUUGUUUCAAGCCAUAUAAUGACUUAACCAAUUUACAAACUUUCUUUUCUUGUCUUGGAGCUAUAAAACCUUCAGGUUGCUCCAUGUAGAUUUCUUCAUCUAAAUCUUCAUUUAGAAAAGCCGUCUUUACAUCCAUUAGAUGUAUCUCGAGAUUGCGCAAAGCUGCAAUUGCUAUUAUCAUCCGUAUGGAAUUUAUUCUCGUAACAGGAGAAUAAGUAUCAAAAUAAUCAAGGCCUUCUCGUUGCCUAUAACAUUUAAUUACAAGCCUAGCCUUGUACUUAUCGAUUGAUCCAUCGGCUUUCAUUUUCCUUUUGAAAAUCCACUUAUACCCCAAAGGUUUAUAUCCUGGAGGAAGAUCUACUAGCUCCCAAGUAUGAUUUUGUAAAAUGGAUUCAACUUCACUGUUAAUGGCUUCUUUCCAUAAAGUGCCUUCAGCUGAAGUUACAGCCUCUUUGAAGCUUUGAGGUUCAUUUUCUAGCAAAUACGUCAGAAAGUUUGGACCAAAAGACUUUUUUAUUCUAGCUCUUUUGCUACGUCUAACCUCAAUUUCUUGUUCUUCUUCUUCUUCUGGUGCUUGAUCAUUUUCUUCAUUUUCAAGUGUUGUUUCAUGAAAUUGUUCCAAUUCUCUCGAUUCCACUCUAGAAUUGCAAGGAAACACAUGUUUGAAAAACGAUGCAUUUCUUGAUUCUAUUAUUGUAUUUUUGUGGACAUCUGGAAUUUUAGACUCAUGCACCAAAAAUUGAUAUGCACUACUAUUUUGUGCAUAACCAAUGAAAAUGCAGUCAACAGUUUUUGGUCCUAUUUUCACUCUUUUAUUUAAAGGAACUACUACUUUAGCAAGACACCCCCACACUCAUAAGAAUUUAUAUGAAGGUGAUCUACCUUUCCAUAGCUCAUACGGGAUUUUAUCUUCUUGCUUUCGGGGUAUCUUAUUUAAUAAAUAAUUAGCUGACAAAACAACUUCUCCCCACAUAUUCUGGGGUAACCCAGAACUUAUCAACAUUGCAUUCAUCAUUUCCUUUAAAGUUCGAUUCUUUCAUUCUGCAAUCCCAUUAGAUUGAGGUGAAUAUGGAGCUGUGACUUGAUGUAUGAUUCCACUUUGUUCACAUAGUGACAUAAACGGAACAACAUACUCACCACCACGGUCACUCUUUAAUUCUUUGAUUUUUCUAUUAAGUUGAUUCUCAACUUCAUUUUUGUAGAGAAUAAACUUUUCCAAAGCUUUAUCUUUACUUUUCAAUAAAUAUACAUAGCAAUAUUUUGUGCAAUCAUCUAUAAAGGUAAUAAAAUAUUUAUUACCACCUCUUGUUUGAAGGGAUUUAAAGUCACAAAUAUCACUAUGUAUUAAAUCAAGUGGUUCGGUGUUUCUUUUAAUUAUUUGAAAAGACGACUUAGUUAGUUUUGCCUCAACACAAGUUUCACACUUAUGUUUCAAAUCAAUUUGGAAAUUGGGAAUAUGCUUCAUGUUAAUUAAUUUACGCAAAGAAUUAAAAUUAACAUGUCCUAAUCUACCAUGCCAAAGAUUAGAAGACUCAACCAAAUAAGCAAAAGAUGUAGCUUUAUUAUUAAUUGUUGGUUUCAAAGUCAUUACAUUGAGCUUAAAUAGCCCAUCAUCAACAUAACCCUUUCCCACAUACAUCCUAUUUUUAGAUAAAACUACCAUAUUUGACUCAAACACCAUUCGAAAACCAUGUUUAUUCAGCAGCGAUCCAGACACCAAGUUCUUCCGAAUUUCUGGCACAUAUAGCACAUUGUUCAGAGUCAGUUCUUUCCCAGACGUCAUCUUCAAAACCACCUUCCCUUGACCCUCAAUCUCAGACGUAGCCGAAUUCCCCAUGAGUAGCUUCUCUCCAUUGCUAUCUGCUUCAAAUGAAGUGAACAACCCUUUUUCCGAGCAAACAUGUCUGGUUGCUCCUGUAUCUAUCCACCAUUCUCUUGGAUUAGAGCCAACCAGAUUCACUUCUGAAACCACUGCAGAGAGGUUUAUGUCUUAAACAUGUUGCGUGAUGUUUUACACCACAUUCGCCUCUCGCUUCUUUUUAGGCAACCUGCAAUCCGAAGCCUUGUGACCCAUCUUAUCACAAUUAUAACAUUUUCCUUGAAACUUUGUUUGUUUCUUGGAAAUUCCUCCUUUCGGGCCCAAUUUUUUAUUUUUUAUUUUUAGGUCCAUGUUCAACAAAAUUUGCAUUUGCCAUAGAAAUAGGCCCUCUUCUUUCUGCAUUUCUGUUGUCUUUCUCAAUUCUGAGCUUAACAACCAGCCCUUCAAUAUUCAUCUCCUUUCGUUUAUGCUUCAAAUAGCUCUUGAAAUCUUUCCAAGCAGGAGGCAAUUUUUCAAUAAUUGCAGCAACUUGAAAAGUUUCACUUAGAUGCAUCCCUUCCGCAAGGAUUUCAGAUAAUAUAAUUUGAAGUUCUUGUACUUGACUUAUUACAGUUUUAGAAUCCACCAUUUUAUAAUCUAGGAAGCGACCAACAACAAAUUUUUUGGUACCCGCGUCCUCGGUUUUAUAUUUUCGGUCUAAGGAUUCCCAUAGCUCCUUGGCUGUUUUCUUUCCUAUGUAUAUGUUAUACAAGGAGUCACUAAGACCAUUCAUUACAUAAUUUUUACACAAAAAAUCCGAAUGGUGCCAUGCAUCAAUUGCACUUGCAACUUGAAUAUCUGUUUCACCCUCUUUGGGUUUAGGAGCAUCCUCGGUCAAGAACCUCGCAAGGUUCAACGUGGUCAAGUAAAAGAACAUCUUUUGAACUUUUCAGGCCUUUCCGCAUGAUUGACAAGAAUCGCCACAGAGGCUGGUUCCUUCACAACAUUUGGUGCAGAAACCGGAACAUACGGAACAUCAUCACUGGUUUCAGUUGCCAUCUCAAUGAUAAUAAAUUCUGUUUUAAGAUUGUUAGAAAAACGAACACAGUGAGUUGACAAUUUAAAUUGUAAUUAAUUGAAACAAAAUGUAAACCAGCAAUCGGAAACAGCAAAUGAAGAACAGAAGAGAAAUGAAACGGAAUAAGAAAUAUAAACCCAAGGCCUACACAAGGCAGUUUCCUUAAAACAGAUUUACUACCUCUUCUCUUGUGCUUAAGGUCUGCUAGUAUCUGUUUCCCAGGAUACAACGGGUACGAAUUUCUAGUCAAGCACAGGCUGGAGAUUCCGGCGAACCACAACAGGUAACUCGAUUAGAGAAAGACGAAGAAGGAUGAAGGAAAAACAAGUGUGCUUUGUGCUGGUUUUUCUGGUGUCCAAAAACAGAAGAUGAGAUGCCUUUUUAUAAUCAUGUGAGGAUGUAACAGCUGAUGUGUAUUGAAUUUCCGAAUUCAAAAUUGAAUUAAAAAAACGUGAACAAUAGCUAAAAAUAAUUGUAAAAGCUGUUACACAUUCUUUGAAUUCAAAACAUCAAACUGUUACAAUAAAAAAUUCAAAAGGAAAUUAAAAACGUGCCAAGCUUGCAUGGAUGAUUUUGGGCUUCUUUUUCCCAUGUGGGAUAAGCCUCAUUUCCUUUCAAAUUUCUAACUUUAAGGGUGAACUUUGAGAGACAAUUUCUCAUUCAUUCAAGCACCAUUUUGAGAAAAUAAGAUUAUACUAUUGAAGUAUCAAUGGAGUAGAAUCCGAACCUCAUAAUAUUUUCCACUUUCGUUAAGUGGAACCCACUCAAAAUGUGCCCUCAAAAUAGCAUGUUAUGCUAUUUUUCCAACAAGUAUAUAUUGCAUUGAAUAAAAUGAAAUUGUUCAAAAAUUAACAAAUUCAGCUUUAUUAUAAUCUAAAACAAAGUAAAUAGAAUAAUACCCAUCAUGUAAAAAUAAAAAAUAAAAUUUUUUAUACCACUUGGAAUUUAUUUUAAAUGUUUUGGUCAAAUCUAAGAAGCACAAACUUUGAACAAUGAUAAUAGGUAAAAACUAAUAAUCUUAUAAUAAAAAGUAAGAAAAAAAAUAAAGUUGAUUUAGCAGCUAAGAAUAAAAAAAGAAAAAUAGAAAGAGAGAGAAAUUAGUUUAGGCUUUAACCAUUGUUAUAGUAGAGAAAAAAAAUUAAUUAAGAGUAAUUUUAUGACUUUUUAGAAAUGAGUGAAUUAAAAUAAUAAAUUAUAAUUUGAUAAUUAUCUUAAUUAAAAAAUGGCUGUUGAAAUAAAAUUAGUGAAUUUAAAUAGGCCGCCCAAAAUCCAAACUCGCAUACCAAUAAUUUUCUAAUUUACAUAAAGUUUUUCUAAAUGUUUGAUAAAAUUUGAUUCUCAAUUGGCCUAAUGGAGAAACAACCAGCAAAAUGCAAAAUUGCAUUCCGUUUGUGGGAUCCUGGAAAAAAUAAAAGAAAGAAAACAGAGUAAGACGCUGAUACCGGGGGCUUUAAUAUUUUUCUAGGUGCUUCCAUGGCAGAUUCUCGUUGGUUCAUUUUUCUUUACGCCUUAGAUUCUAUGAUUCAAUUUCAAUCAAAUACGACAAACAAAAGAAGCUUUUAAGCCUGCAGCUGAAAUAGAUGGUACUUUAAUUUCGGCUGAACAUACAUAUGGCAAGAUUAUUAUUCAAUAUCGAGAUCGGAUAAGGGUCCAUAUGAUCAUGGGCCAGGCCACUACUUGCUCAUGCUUUGAAUCAAAAUUAGUGACGUUGGAAGCUGAAAGGGGCAAAUGAUGAAAUGGGGUUCAUCAUAUACUAUGCCCGACGGGAUAAGAUCAUCAUUUAAUUGCCUCCUCUUGUCGAUAGAUAUUUGCCGAAUUUUUCUAUUUAAAAAAUAUUAUAUUGGUUAAUAUAAUUAGAAGUUUUACAAAAUAUAACUAUAAUUUUAAAAAAAAUUUAUACUUAUUAAUUUAAAUUUUUCAUUGAGUUCUGCUAUUUAUCCCGGGUUAAAUUUCGGGUCAAACCCUGAAUUAAACAAAACGACGUCGUUUUCGCUUCUUUUUUUGGUCAUUUUUGCUUCUAUGGAACGAAGUCGUUUCAGCCAAACAAAAGCGAAUGUCUUCGUUUUCUGCAACAAAACCUCACUCUUCUUGAUCCCAUAUCUCUCCUACUUUCUCAGAACUCCAAUUCUCAAAACCCACCAGUCACACUGAAACUCAUUACAGAGAAUUACUUCAUGGAGAGGGGACCCAGAUUCCAUGAAUACGCUGAACUGAGAGAAUCAAGACUGAGAAGGAAGGUUAUACGAGUAGAAGAUGAAACUGAUGAAGCGUAUGAGCCAAAGCGAUCGCCUUUAAAGAAACAAGUGAAGUUUCGGGGGAUUUUGACUGGUUCAAGAAAAGGGUCCUCUGUUUCCUCUGUUUUGGCUCAGUCAGUGCCUGACUUUUCAGCAACUUUGCGGAAAGAAAAUCGGAGGCCGGCGGGUAGGGCGCUUGAGUUGACUCCUCCGGCUAAGAAUUGGUCGAAAAUGAAUGGGAAUUUGUCGAAUUCCAGAGGAAGUAAGUCGGCAAAUGCGGGGUAGAAGAAGGGAAUGAUGGCAAGAAAGAGUUAUGCGAGUAUUGAAGAAUUGAAGGGCAUGUCAAUGGGAGUGGCAAAGGACAAAAGUGAAAGAAUUAUAAAUAAUAGAAAGCAAGUUAAUUAGAAGCACAAAAGCAGAUUUUGUGGACACCAAAAUAGUCCAGAAUCAGCAGCUUUAUUGCCUUCUAUAAGCAUGAGAAAAAUGACACACACACACACACACACACACAUCACUGCUGCUGUUCAAGCUUUUGUUCGGGUGAUGAAUCGAAGAGGAAGAAGAAGAGAAAGAAAAGCAGCUGCGUUUUUUUCUGUUUUCACUGAGUUGAAACGACUACGUUUCAUGGAAGCAAAGAGAAAAAAAAAAAAAAAAAGAAACUAAAACGGCAUCGUUUUGAUUUGAUUCGGGAUUUGACCUGGGAAAAGUAGCAUUUUCCUUUUUCAUUUGGUAGUUGUGUUUGAGAAAAAGUUGAUAGGCACUACUUAAAUAGUAUUAAUAUGGCAACAAAAAACAUGCGAGCAAAGUAGACUAUUGCUUUAUUCUAUAAAUAGCUCAUUUGAGCUUAGAACCUUUAAAGUGUGUCGUACGUUUCUGUUACUUCUAAUAAAGAUAUUCCCUAUUCCCUUUUCUUCCACUUUCUCUUCCAUUUUCACGAUCCCCAAACACCAUCAAUCCAAGAUUUUCUAGAGUAUUAGCUGUCUAUUUCUACAAACAUAGAAUUGCUGUUUUAAGAAACAAAAUAGUCUGUCCUGUCACCCAUGGUCUCCUCAUUUAUCGGUUUGUGAACAGGGCUAAAUAAAGGGCAAAUAAGAUAUUGGGGCAAUGGGCCUAAUGUGACAAGAUCUUGAAUUGAUUGCCUCUUUCUUUUCUCCACAAAUCUUUGGUUAAUUUUUAUGUUCCCUCAACCUUUUUGCCCUUUAGCACCAAAAUUCAUUUUUGAUACUUUAUGCAAAAAUUAUGAUGAAAAUGAGUCACUUUAGAACAUCAAUAAAUUUUUUUGACAUCCAAGAUAACGACAAUUACACUUAGAUCACUCUUAUUUAGUUGAAUUAUAUAUGUAAUAAUGUUGGCUUAACAAAAUAUGAUUCUUAAUCGUUGUAAUUACGGGCUGGUAUUCUUUGGUUUUAGUAGUAGGGCUUAUAACGCCGUGCAACAGUUCUUGGUGGGUUCGAAUUAUUAUACGAUCAUUCUCAAAUCUUUACGGUAUGUAAUUAAAAAUUCCUAUAUAGCAAUUAGAACUUACAAACAAGUUAAAGUGAGUUAAAUCAAAUGUAUAAAUUCGAGGUCUAUUACAAACUUCUAAAAAAGAUUUUCUGUUCUUUUUUCUUUCACUUUCUCUUCCAUUUUGCCAAUCCCCAAACACCGCCAAUCCUUGAUUUUUUUAGUAUUAGCUGUCAAUUUCUACAAACCUAGAACUGCUGUUUGUUUGUCUAAUUAUUUUCAAGAAACAAAACUCUUUGUCAUGUGGUCUCUUCGUUUAUUGGCUUGUGAGCAAAUAAGAUAUUGGGCCGAUGGGCUUAACGUGACAAGUUCUUGAAUUGAAUGGCUCCUCUUUUUUUCAUAAAUCUUUGCUUAAUUUUUUUUGUUCUCUCAACCUUUUUUGGCCUUUCGCGCUAAAAUUCUUUUUUUGAUACAUUAUGCAAAAAUUAUGAUGAAAAUGAGUUACUUUAGAACAUCAAUAAAGUUUUAUGACAUGUAUAAUAAGACAACUAUAGUGAGAUUAGUUGAAUUAUAUGUAAUAAAAUUAGUUUAACAAAAUCUAACCCGUCAGUAUUCCAUAGCACAUGAUUAACGUAUUUAAAAAAUCUUAGUUGUUCCGUCGCUUGUUUUACAAUUAUUUUAUAUAUUUUUGAAACUUUCUGCUUCCUGACACAUCAUAUUGUUCUCAAUUCGUCAAAAUUAUUUGUUUCUUCAAACACUGCAGCAACAACCGGUAUAAAAUAGACUGAACUCAUUUAAUGGGAAUUUUUCUCAUUGGUCAAUUUCUCUUCGCACCUUAGGUUCCUCUAACAAACUUAAAAGAUGUUCCCCAUCCCACGUGUCCCCAAAUCUUCGUAUUUCCAAACAAACCCCUGCCAAUUAUCAUAUUAAUGAGCCACUGUUAAAUUCAUUCAGUCAGUAUUUUUCUUUUCCCAUUUUCAAUGAAUGCUUAAUAUGGAAAACAAUCUGUCUCAUUGAGCACUGUUUAAAUCAUUCCCUAGUUUGUUUAACACGCAAAGAAUAUUCUUAUUCGGCUCGGCAGCCAAUCCGUUAAAAUUUGUUAAAAUUCAUUUAAGUGAUGACUGUGAUAUGACUCGAUCAAUAGUUUAAUUUGUAUAAUUUAUAAAAAUUUGGGCUUCAAGUAAUGUAGAUAGAAUGGUUAAUUAUUUUAAUAUUCAGAUAAAUUGAUAUAUGUCAUUAUAUUAUGAGUGGAUGAAAUAUCCAAUAGAAAAAAAAAAUGUUUGUAUUCAUCAUUUUUAGUGGGAAUCUAUUUAGUGUAACUUAUCCAUAAAAAUGGUUGCCGACUUAUCUUAUUUCUCAUUUUGUUUAAUUUCAUAAAUUUGACUCCCGAUUAAUUAUGAGUGAAGAAUUUGUUGGAAAAAAUCUGGUCUUCCAUUUAUUUUGUAGGAUUUAAAAGAUUAAAAAACUUUAAUACAUAUAAUUUUAUGUUCGAAACUAAGUACUCGUAGCAUUGCUGCUUCUAUAAAUAACUCAUUUGUGCUUCCAACUUGUUAUUUGUAUUUUACGUUUUUGUUUCUCUUCAUAAAGAUUUUCUUUUUUUUUCUUUUUUCCAUUCACUUUUUCUUCCAUUUUCCCGACUCCCAAACACCACUAAGCCUUGAUUUUCUAGAGUAUUAACUGUCCGUUUCUACGAACAUAGACCUACAGUUUGUCUAAAUACUAUCAAGAAACAACGUACUCUGUCGCGGGAUCUCUUCGUUUAUUGACUUUUGACUUGUGAACGGGGCUAAUUAAAGGGCGUUCCUUUCUUCAAGAAAGAAUGCAAAGAAAGUACUAUCCAUGAGACACGUUAAAAAUUAUUUUACAUAAAAAAUGAUAAUAAUCAUAAUAAUCGGUUAAGGAUCGACAAAAAUGUUAUAACCUAUAAAGCAUGGAUAAUUAAUUAAUGGGAAUGCACCUCUCAUCUUUACCAUUCUCUUUGUCAUUUUCAUAAUUCAGCUGUUUAUUAAUAAAGUGAAUAAAUUUAUCUUUUAAUAAUAUGUUUCUUGGCUGUUUUUUUGUGUAUUUUUGUGUACAAUUUUGUGUGCAAAUAGCAUUAUUCAUUAGUAAUUAGUUUGGAGUAGCUCAUUUUGAGCUUAGGACCUGUAACUAGUAUUUUAUGUUUCUGUUAAUCUUUAAUAAAGAUUUUCUCUAUUUUUUUUUCCCUUUCACUUUCUCUUCCAUUUUCCCCGACUCCCAAACACCACCAAUCCUUGAUUUUCCAGAGUAUUAGCUCUCUAUUUCGACAAACGCAUAACUGUUGUUUGUCUAACUACUUUCAAGAAAUAACGUAGUCUGUGGUUUAUUGACUUGCGAACGGGGCUAAUUAGUCACGGUCCGAUUGUCUGACUUCUCCAUUGACUCGGUCAAUUCACGACCUUGACCUGCACAGUUGAUACAAACGGACUUCUCCAUUUGAGGUGUACAAAACUUUCUUGAGUCAUUUUGUUUGGUGAUGAUGAAUUGGAUGUCAGUUCAUGAGUUUCAUGAUGAAGAGGACCAAAAACAUUAUUUUAUUAUUUAAAGAAGACUAACAAUUAUUUCGAUGGUCAUUUUAUUUUUUAUUUUUAAAUAUCCAAGGUGCUUGACUUCUUUACACAGAAUUACAAAGCAAAAUAAUUAAGAAACUAAAUACUCGUCAUCCAAGUGAGAAGAGAUUGGGUUGUUGAUACAUUAAAUAAAAGAAAAAUCAAUUAAAAGCACAACAAUUCAAUAAUUUCAUUCUCAAUCAUAUCAAAACUAAAACAAAUUAUUAGGGAUUUGCAGUUUUUUUUAGUGUAAUCCUCGUUAAUUACAGUUUGGUCUGAAGGGUUGAGCACAUGAGAAUAGAAGGUUUGAUCAUAGGAAAAUAAUAUAUCCCUAUCCGAUGCAAAAAUGAUUGUAAAGAAAAAAUUACAUUCCAUUUUCCAGUUAUUAAAGUAAUUCUAAAAUCACUAGGAUCACAAAGGAUAGGCUUUGGUUGACUGAGGUCAGCCUUAACGCAUGCCGGUCUUUUUCUCCUCUACAUUCUUAGAAAUUUUGGUUUCACUAUAAAUACUCGGUAUAUAGCAAACUUAUAAGUGUUCUUGCAUUACCAAUCCAACUAAGCACACGCUUACAAUAUAAAUACUCUCAUCUCAUGGAAAGAGUUCAUUCUUUCAGGAUGAUGAGCAGAUUUCUCUUACUCCAUUGUUUGAUUCUUAUUUCCUUAUUUAUCGCGGCAGCAACAGCCAACACAAGUUCUACUAUCACAGACCGAGAUGCUCUGUUGGCCCUGAAAGCUCACAUAACUCAUGAUCCGACUAAUUUCUUGGCUAAGAAUUGGAACACGAGUACUCCUGUCUGUAAUUGGACAGGUGUCGCUUGUGAUGUCCAUAGCCAUAGAGUCACAGUCUUGAAUAUUUCAAGCUUAAAUCUCACAGGCACCAUCCCUUCUCAACUUGGGAAUCUUUCUUCUCUGCAAUCACUCAAUCUCAGUUGUAACCGACUUUCUGGUUCCAUUCCCUCCGCCAUCUUCACCAUAUAUACACUGAAAUAUGUUAGUUUCCGUGAAAAUCAGCUCUCCGGCGCUUUCUCUUCUUUCAUCUUCAACAAGUCUUCUUUACAACAUCUUGAUUUUAGUCACAAUACACUGUCUGGUGAAAUUCCUGCAAAUAUUUGCAGUAGUCUUCCUUUUCUGGAUUUCCUUUCUUUGCAAGAAAACAUGUUCCAUGGCGGAAUACCGUCCACUCUAUCAAAUUGCACAUAUUUGCAAAAAUUAGGUUUGGUAUACAAUAAUUUCUCGGGGGCCAUACCUAAAGAAAUCGGCAAUUUGACCAAACUUAAGAUAUUAUAUCUUGGCGGUAACAGGCUCCAAGGUGCGCAUGAUCACAAAGUUUAAUUAUGAAAAUUGUUGCAUAAGUUGUAGUAUGAAUACUGUUCCAUAAUACAGUUUACACACGUUGAUUAAUUUUCAGGAGAAAUUCCUCGAGAGUUUGGCAAUCUCGCCGACUUGGAGCGGUUGUCGUUGGCAGGCAACAAUCUCCAAGGCAUGAUUUUAAACUUUUUGCAAUUUUAUUUUAGCCAUGCUUGCUUCUGUAUUCAUUCGCUUGUUCUUUAAUUAUGCGAUGAUUUAUUGUUUUUCUUUCAGAUAGAGAUAAAGCUCCAUGUCUCCCCUCACUCAUUUCAUUCUUUAAUUUAUGCAGAUAAAAAUAAAAUAAAAAUGUUUUGUAAUUUUCUUUUGUCAUAUUGCCACUUCCGUUUUGAAGCUCCCAAUUAAGUCUAUGAAAAUGAAUGAUGUUUCAUUCUUAUUCUUGUCAGCCUAAUUCUUAUAUAAUUGGAGAGUAAAUUGUUAUUAUGAUAAUCGUCAGCCAAUAAAUUCUUUUUUUUUUUACCCCAAAUAUGAGUGAUCAAAUUGUUUGCGCAUACAUAUAUGUACUUAAUUUGCAGGAGGUAUUCCACAGGAAUUGGGGAAUCUUGCAAAAUUGGAGAUGUUACAGCUGUUCCAGAAUAACUUGAUCGGUAACUUUCUUUACGAUUUAUAUCUGAGACAUCUUCCACUUCUUAAUUAAUAGAUGUCUUAAUUAAUAGAUUUCAAGUCUCUCAUUAUAAAUUCUCAUAUGAGGAUGUGUAGUUACCACUAUCUAACGUUAUUCCUUUUUUAUUAGAAAUUAGUUUGUGUUAAUUCAAAAUUCUGUAGCAUUUAAAAAAAUUAAAAACACGUGGAAUAAAUCAUCAAUCUUUCUUCUUUACUGAAUUUGGAUUUCUCAAAAAUAAUCUUGACAAGUAUGUUUCACUAAUGAUAUGCUUGUGUGACAACUUCAUAAAAUAUUUUACAUGGAAUCACUAAUUAUCUCUAAAGAUGCCAUCAGUGAUACAUAAUUUCUUAACAACACCAUACCAAAAGAAAUCAACAAUUUUAUUAAUCGUAAAGAGUUACAUCUUCAUUGUAAUUAUGACAUAAAUUUUUAGUCAUCAAUCGCAUAAUAUUUUAUCUUAACUGAUGAUGAUGUUCAGUCUUGGAAUUUAUAAUAUCUUGAAGGUUAGUAGCUUUAAAAAUAAGAAAUUGCUCAUUUGCUAAAAAGUUAACUUAGUAUUUAAGUUUUUCAAUUGAAAAUUUUGAAAAAAGCGUUGAGAACUGGCGCUCCAUGGUAUUUCAGCGGAUAAAUAUGAAAAAUAGGCUAGAAGAAAUUAUUUUACUGAAAUAAGAGUUAAAAAGAGAGGAGAAGUACAGUACUCACGACUUAGGCUUUCUGUGUGUGCUUAUUCUACUUAGGCUUUGGGCUUGAUUACGCCCGUUAUAAUAAUAGGCUUUUACUUUCAGCACACAUGAUGAUUUCUUAACCUUCUCAAUUAGGUUAUAGCAAUUUAUAUAUAAAUAACUAAAGCAUACUAAAGCUAGCAUUGAUGUACGGAUGAGUGGCGUCAAAAGUGUAUUUGUUUUUAUGUAUUAUUUAUUCUCUAAAACAUAUCUGAAUACAAUUCUUUCACAAUACCGAGGAAAUAGCACAUGAAAUCGGAAAUAUUUUAUUGCGAUGAGAAUUCGUAUAUUCAUUGUAGUAGAACAUAUAAAAUAGACUAUAAAUUCAUUAUUCUUUCAAGCAAACCUGAUUAUAAUUCCUUCAAAAUUAAGUUUGUCAUUAAAUGAUUUCUCAGGAGCCCUACAAAAAAAAAUCGGGAAUUUGACCAAACUCAAGUAUUUAUCUAUUGGCGGUAACAGGCUCCAAGUUGCGCAUGAUCACAGAGUUCAAUUAUGAAAAUUGUUGCAUAAGUUAUAUGGAUAUCCUUGAUAACCGCAGCAAGCAUACAAAAUCAAAUAAAAGCUAACUGAGACUCGAAUAUCCUAAACCCUGAAAAGGAAUGGUAAUGGUAUAAUAUGGAUUCUGUAGGCAUAUUUCACUGGACUCAACAUUUAUGGUUAAUUUACAACUCUUUGUUGUAAAGUCUGAGAAAUUGCUUUAUAUUAGGGGUGGGGAAAAUAAUUGUUGGGCCACAAAUUUCAAGCAGAAUCCAGAUUGGGCCCAAUUAGACUUAUAGCUCAGCUCUGUGUCGAUAUCUGGGUCUUUACAAAUAAUUAAUGGGCCAAUUAAUAAUAAUAAAUAAAUUGAGAAGGGUAUGAGUGAAAUUAGAUAUGAAUGAAUCUGCUAGUGUAUGUACACAUUUUUCUAAUUAAUGCGUUAUGAGCCUGCCGCUGCCAGCAUGGAAAUUACAGAAACUAAGGAGAGAAUUGACCCAUUAAUUAAAUUAAAAAGAAUACGGAAUAUAUAAGCAGUCAAAAUAUAGGUGAAGUAGGCAUGAAUUGUCACAUAACUAAAUUUGAGAGUAAAACCGUGACUUGGGUUUGAAUGUUUGAUUAAGUUACUUCUAUUUCAAGUUGCUUAUUUUGCGUGGGCUUCAGGCUUAAUUACACACAGUCGAACACUUAUACAGUUCCCCUGACAUAGGCUUUCACCUUCACCACACAUUUGAUAAUUUCUUAGCCUUCCCAAUUAGAUUAUAGCAAUUUAUAUAUAAAUAACUAAAGCAUAGAAAAGCCACCAUUGAUGUACGGAUGAAUGGUGUCAAAAGUGUAUCUUGUUUUAUUUAUUAUUGUUCUAUGAUACAAAUUUGAAUAAUGGAAUAUAAUGCUUUGAAAAUACCGAUGAAAUAGCACAUGAAAUCGGAAAAUAUUUUACUGCAAUAAGAAUUCAUAUAUUCAUUGUAGUAGCACAUAUAAAAUAGACUAUAAAUUUAAUUUUAAAAUACAUUCUUAUCUUCAUAUAAAUUUUACAUUACUAAUUUAAAUUAACAUUAAAAUAUGUUGUUUCUUUCACUAUGUUAUUUUAUUUACACAAUGAUGUGACUAUUGGAAUUAAUAAUAAUUAUAAUUAUUUUGUAAAAAUAUAAAUUUAAUACUUUGUUAACAUUUUAUCUACAUAUAAUAAUUAAACUGAAACUUGUAUUUAAAAAAUUCUAGUUACGCAUAUUCAUUUCACGACAUAAAAGUGUAUAUUUAUGCUAAUUUACCAUUGUCAACAAAAUGCUUUGAGACAAAUAAUCUAAUUUAUAUUUUUAUAUUUAAAAUACUUGCAUUUAUUAUAUUUUGAAAAAAAAAUUAUUUGCAAUUAUUUUAAACCGUUGGAUUCAAAUUUUUGUAGUUAUUAAAGUCAAAGGGUAUAAAUGUAUAAUAGUCAAAAAUAGAUUUGUAUGAUCAUUUUUUAAUGUAUAAAUUUUCUUAGUUAGUAGGAAAAUUAGAAAUUGUUGAUUUACUCAUAAAUAAAUUUAAUGUUUAGCAUUUCAAUUUUGGAAAACUUGAAGUAAAUGUUGAUAACUUUGAAUCGGUCGAGCCGAGUUUCUCUUCCUUGACCCACAGACCCAUUGAAAGUUCUAUUCGAAUUGAGUUUCCCGGUGCUUAUAAAAAGCUUUUCUUUUCCUUGUCGCAGUAAUUUAUUCACAAAUGAGUUGAUUAGCAUCGAAGUUACCUGAGAGUCUGAGACCAUGCUAGUAGGAGAAAUUUGAAAAGAAAUUAUUUUACUGAAUUAAUUUAUUUUAUCUUGUUGUAACUGAAAUACUACUUUUUUUUGGGCUAUCACUGGGGCUUGAUUUACUUUAAUAGUAGUAGCCACCGACUUAGGCUUUUUUUAAUUGUCACCACACAAUUUGAUCUUUUAAUUUGUUUUAACCACAUAAUCUGUCUAUCUAUCUCUCACCUAUUGCUUACUUAAAUCGCAUACAUAUUUUACCUACUAAUUUUAUAAAUAUUAGUCAAAUAUAUUUUAUUACGUUUCUCUCGUAACUGCUCCAAAUGUGUACUAUUAAUACUUAACCCUCGCUUUUAAUUUAACCCAAAAAUAUAAAAAUAAAAGAAAAAGAAUAUGUGUAGCAAUUUGCAUAUAACUAACAAAGCAUUGACGGUGUGUAGCCUUUCAAAACUUCACGGGUGGCUUUUCUUGUGUGUUAGUACUUGUAAUAAUUGUGUAGUGUAUAAAUGACAUUUUAUUAUUAAAGUGCGUCCAUUUUUAGAUAUUACUUAUUAUUUGAAAAAUAAUCUGAAUAUAAUUCUUUUAAAAUACAGGGGAGAUACCACUUGAAAUUGGUAAUCUCCAAAAUCUGGAGGAGUUGGAGCUUGCUCAAAACAAAUUAAUUGGUAUUGUCCCAGUUGCAAUCUUUAAUGUGUCAACACUCAAAAUACUUCAGCUUCAAAUUAAUUGUCUCUCGGGAAGUCUUUCAUCCAUCACAGACGUCCAACUACCAAAUCUUGAAAAGCUUGAUUUGUGGGGUAAUAAUUUCAGUGGCACAAUUCCUCGUUUCAUCUUUAAUGCUUCUAAGCUCUCUAUACUAAAUUUGGGAGGGAACUCAUUCUCCGGUUUUAUUCCCAACACAUUUGGCAACCUAAGAAACCUUAAAUACCUUUAUUUAGAAAACAAUUAUUUGACAUCUUCAACUCUAGAAUUGAGCUUUCUAUCCUCGUUGUCAAAUUGCAAGUCUUUAACACAUAUUGACUUAUCAAAUAAUCCACUAGAUGGCAUUCUUCCUAAGACGUCUGUCGGUAAUCUUUCUCAUUCUUUGGAAGAUUUUCACAUGUACAAUUGUAACAUUAGUGGCGGCAUCCCUGAAGAGAUCAGCAACUUGACCAACUUGAUAACCAUUGAUUUAGGAGGCAAUAAAUUGAAUGGAUCGAUUCUGAUUACUCUUAGCAAAUUACAAAAGCUUCAAGGUUUGGUUCUUGAUGAUAACAAAUUAGAAGGAUCAAUCCCAGAUGAUAUUUGUCGUUUGGUUGAGCUGUAUAAAUUGGAGUUGGGUGGCAAUAAGCUUUCAAGAUCAAUCCCUGCAUGCUUCAAUAAUCUGAUUGCUCUGAGGAUACUGUCGUUGGGUUCCAAUGAGUUAACUUCUAUUCCCUUAACUUUUUGGAACCUUAAGGAUAUCUUGUACCUCAACUUUUCAUCAAAUUUUUUGACUGGCCCACUCCCAUUAAAGAUUGGAAAUUUGAAGGUUUUGGUUGGAAUUGAUUUUUCGAUGAAUAAUUUUUCAGGCGUUAUCCCAACAGAAAUUGGAGGCCUAAAAGAUCUAGAAUAUCUCUUCUUAGGAUAUAAUAGAUUGCAAGGAUCGAUUCCUGAUUCAUUUGGUAAUUUGAUAAGUUUGAAAUUCUUGAAUUUGUCCAAUAAUAAUCUCUCUGGGGCAAUUCCUGCACCUUUAGAGAAACUCUCAUAUCUUGAAGAUCUAAAUCUUUCUUUCAACAAGUUAGAAGGAGAAAUUCCUAGGGGAGGAUCUUUUGGAAACUUCUCAGUUGAAUCAUUUAAAGGAAAUGAAUUAUUAUGUGGUUCACCUAAUUUACAAGUCCCGCCAUGCAAAACUAGCAUCCACCACACAUCAUGGAAAAUUUCUCUUCUCCUAGGGAUUCUCUUGCCAUUGAGUACUACAUUAAUGAUAGUAGUCAUUUGGUUGAUCCUAAGAUAUCGACAGAGAGGAAAACAACCAUCGAAUGAUGCUAAUAUGCCACUAGUAGCAAUGUGGAGAACAUUUUCAUACCUAGAACUUUGUCGAGCAACAGACGGAUUCAGUGAAAACAAUCUAAUCGGCAGAGGAGGGCUUGGCUCUGUUUAUAAGGCAAGACUUGGGGACGGGAUGGAAGUUGCAGUGAAGGUCUUCAAUUUGCAAUGUAGAAGAGCAUUUAAGAGUUUCGAUGUUGAAUGUGAAAUAAUGAAAAGUAUUCGCCAUCGAAACCUUAUCAAAGUUAUUAGCAGUUGUUCGAAUGAAGAGUUUAAAGGGUUGGUAUUAGAAUACAAGCCUCAGGGAAGUUUGGAGAAGCAUCUGUAUUCAAGUAAUUGCAUUUUGGAUAUUUUUCAAAGAUUGAACAUAAUGAUAGAUGUUGCAUCAGCUUUGGAAUAUCUGCACUUUGGUUGUUCAACUCCAGUAAUUCAUUGUGACUUAAAGCCCGACAAUGUAUUGUUAGAUGAUAAUCUGGUUGCUUAUUUGAGUGAUUUUGGCAUCGCGAAGCUCUUAAUUGGAGAAGAUCAGUAUAUGACUCAAACGCAAACACUUGCCACAAUAGGUUAUAUGGCACCAGGUUUGUUCAAUAUAAAUAUUUUCUAUUUCUUGUAAAUUUCCUAAUAAGUUAUUUAUGUUUCAUGAUCUUCAUUAGAUGAGGAAAUUAUUAUUAAUGAUAUAUCUUACUAUUUAACUGUUGCAAUUCAUAGAGUAUGGAAGAGAAGGACGAAUAUCCACAAAUGGAGAUGUUUAUAGCUUUGGAAUUAUGUUAAUGGAAACUUUUACCGGGAAGAAACCCACAGAUGAAAUUUUUAAUGGAGAAAUGACAUUAAAGCAUUGGGUUAAUGAUUGGCUACCCAUUUCCACUAUGGAAGUUGUUGAUGCUAAUUUGCUAAGUCAGGAGGACGUACAUUUUGUUGCAAAAGAGCAAUGUGUGUCAUUUGUCUUCAAUUUGGCUAUGGCGUGCACUGUGGAAUCUCCUGAGCAGAGAAUCAAUGCAAAAGAAAUUGUAACAAAGCUCUUAAAAAUUAGAGGCUCAUUACUUAGAAAUGUUGGAGGCAGAUGUAUAAGACAAUCAAAUUUAAAUUGAUUCUGCCACUCCAUUGCUUGCUAUCUUUUUCAGAGACUUGAACGGUUAUCCUUCAUACCAGUUUUGUUGAUAUGUUUUGUUAUUGCUCUUGCUCAUGUUUGUUUCUCUAUUUCUUUAAUUUGCAUGCAUGUAUUUUUCGUUCUCUUUUAUGUUUUUGUUGGUUUGUAUGUAGUUUGUUUUUAGGGGUAAGGUUGAUUAUGUCCUUCCCUAAUUACACGUAUCCUUUUUAUGUUUAUUCAAUAAAGCUUCUCUAAUACUAUCGAGGUUCAUCAAAAGAAAAUUUUUAAUUAAUUUUCUUUUCUUUGACAGGUAAUGAAAUUCUAAUCUUCAUAGUGAAUAACUUCAAUAAUAGAGUAUAAGAGUAUUAGUAGUUAUGGUUGUUUUUUGAACCUAAAGUCAAGAGCAAUUUAACAGCAACAAACAAGCCUCUUGUAUUAUAGGCAAAAUUCUUUUCAUUAAUCUUAUUUAUCUACAUGUUCUCCUUUUUUCUCCAUUAAUCUUCGCUCAAGCUUUCAUGCUUCCUCUUUGAUAAAGGAAAAUAUUACUUGCGAAUAUUUCAAUUUGACAUAAGAGACUGUUUUGCCAACCAUUUGAUAAAAUGGAUAUGAGUGGAGCUUUCAAUCAUUACCUCCACCAAAAUCCUUACAACGCCACUUUUAAAUUUUAUUUUUUAAAAUACAUUCAGUUUAAUUUAUAAAAAAUAAAUCCAUUUGUUAAAAUUAAUCUUUUUCUCAUAAAUUUCAACCUAAAAAAUAUAUUUCUUUUAAAUUUUUAAUUAUAAAAUACAUACAAGUUCUAAACUAUUAUUUUAUUUUCUUCUUAUUAUAUAGUUUAUAUCUCCAUAACUCUAAACUCCUAUAAUUUUUUUUAAAAUGUUUUUAAUUUAAAAUAUAAAUAUUAAGUAUAUAAUGGAGUGGGUAUAAAAAAAUUUGUUAAAAGAAUAAUUCAUUUAAGUAUUUAACUAAAUUUAAAUUAAAAUAAGAAAUAAGUUAAUUUAUUUUUUAUUAGUUAAGUAAUUUUCAAUUGAAAAAGAGCUGUAUGAGUAAUAUUAUUGAAAUAUGAUUAAAAUUCUUAUGAAUUAAAUAUUUUCGUAUAAAUACUAGUGAUAAUUACAGAGAAAGGACAAGGAACCAAAGAAAAUGUGAAUAUAAAUACUCCAAUGUAAUUUUACACAUGCAAAUUAUGAACCAGUGAUCUUUAGAGCAUCAUAAAAUUAUUUUGACAGAAUUACUUAUUUUGAAAAAUUGCCAACAAUGUUUAAAGUGGGAUUGAAAAGAUUAUACUACUUAUAUAAGACAUGAUAUCAUUUAAGAUGGCUUACGAAUUAUAAAAAAUAUAUUGAUCUUACAAAUAUUUAAUAUGUCAAUUAGACGGGCCCAGCUACCUUCCACCUGCUAGAAGGUACAUCUUAUUUUGUCCUCUAGUGUUGUGGGCGUUGGAUAUUUUAGAAGUUGAUCUAACGGUUCUUGUUCGACAGCGUGAAAUUGAAUUUCAAUUGGCAACCGUUUCAUGAACUUUGCAAGAGACAAUUAUCUACAAAAAUAUUAAAAAAAUAAAACCAAUUUUUCCCUUUCAUCAGCCGCCGCCGCCACCCACGAACCCUUAAUAUCAUCAUCACCAUCCCAAUCCUUAGUCGCCAUCCACAAGCUCUAACAACCACCAUGACCGCCAUCACAACCACCACUCCUCACAACCCCUAGCCACCACUACAAACAUUCACAAACUCCAACCAUAAUUGUCAGUUCACCAACAUUAUCCUCCAUUGACGCGGCCUACCAAUCAUCCACAACACCUAACCGUCGUCACCAACAAACUUUCGCCACCGCUUCCUACAAGGAAGCCUCACCACCCACCACCGCACACACACAAAGCCACACCAACCGCCAUACUAUUGCGACAGAGGCCACAAUGUAGACAAAUUCCCUAAGAGGAAGGAUGUUUUCCUUCUCCAGCUGACUAUUCUUUUUUAUCCUUUUUUUUGUUUUUUAAUUAUUAUAUUACUUUUAGUUAUUUUUAGUUUUUCUUUUAUUUUGUCUAUAUUUUGGUUGUUAGAAUGUUUUUGUUGUUGUUGUUGGCGGCAGUGCAGUUGUAGCUCAUGAUGAUGAUGGUGAUGUUGGUGUCAUUUUAAUCGAGAUUUUGUUUUUUUUUUACCGGCUACGCCAGUCAUCUUCAUUCAUUACAUGUCCAUUUCUAACAUGUUAGAUUUUACUACUUUUUAAUCCAAGGGUUAGACCACAACGAGACGAAAGAUGGGGUACCUUCCAAUGGGUGGAAGGUAGUUCGGCCCAAUUUAGACAGAGUCUAUGCAAUAAAAAUUUCAAAUUAAAAAAUAAACCUUUUAUUUUCUUUUAAUCAUAAGUGUGAUCUUAAUUAUUAACGUCUUUCAAUGUCCAUUACUUAUUUAUUUUUUUAAUUACCUAAAUGACAUUGAAAACUCUACUCAAUAAUAAUUCGUUCAAAUGUUUUAUUUUAAAGUAAUCGGAAACUGCAAAUGAAACAAAUGCUUGAAAUCACAAACGGCCUAAAAUUAGAUUUUCAUUUUUCAAUGUUGCAGUGACUUUGAUCUUGAUAUUGAAAAUUUAUUUGUAACUUAUAUAAAGGCCUCAAUUUUAUCAUAAUUGGUUAGUAAGGCUACGUAGGGAGCAUGGAUAAAUUUUGGGAUUGGAUUAUAUUUUCGAAGCUAAAAAAUUAAUUUCAUCUAAUGUUAUGUUUGGUUGUCAAGACUAGCAACUUAGUCUAAAAUUAUUGAAAUUACUAAUCUUUUAUAUUAUAAUCUUUUCGUUCCCACUUUAAACAUUAUUGGUAACUUAAAUCAUUUUUUAAAUUAAACAUAAAAAUCAUUUAAAUUAAAUAUUAACAUUAAUUUCAUAAGUUUUUUACCUAGAAUUUUAUAUUAUAUUAAAUACUACAAUUCUAUUCAAUAAUGUAUUAUCAUUUAUUUAAUAAAUGUUUAGGUUUUCAGUAUGUUAUAUUAUUAUUUAAAUUAAUUUUUUAUUUACAUAUAAACAUAAAUUUAUAUUUACUAAUUUAUAUUUAUUAUAAUUUAUUAAAUAAUAAAAUCUAAAUGAUUAUAUUUAAAAUAUAAUUUGUAUGUUAAUGUAUUAUAGCCUAAAUCUUACCCCUAUGAGUUUAUUUUUUCCACCUUUUAUUCUAUUAACCACAUUUAUAAGGCAGUGCGAUGCAACUAAAAAUUAUAACCAAAUAUAAGUUAGCAUGAAAAUAAUAUUUUAGUACAAUACAAUACAAUGUAAUAUAAGCUGACAAAUAGAUAUUUAAUGGAAGCAAAAAUUGCAUAUGGUUUGUCGGCCUCUCAAAAGACAGCAAAGAAACCAAUAUGAUACACUGAUUCUGUCCUCUUUAGCAGUGCCUUUACUAAAUAGGAAUAAAAAUGAAUUAGAAUCGGAAUAGAUUAUAAUCGAAAUGAGGAAUUAGAAAAAGAAUAAGUUAUUUAAUUAAGUUGUAUGAAUUAGAAUUGAAAUAAACUUCAUUCUAAUUGAUGUGUUUAUUUUCUCUUGAAAUUAGAAUGGACUAUUACAAGUUACUAAAAAAUCAUUUGGUAAUUGAUGUCUCUAGUAUUAUUUGUAUUUGUUAUAAUGUUAACAAUAAUAAGAAUAAAACUAAUACUAAAAAUGAAAAUAAUAAUAAUAAUAAUAGAGACAAUAAUAAUAAAAUUAAUAAAUUAUUAUUAUUAUUAUUAUUAUUAUUAUUAUUAUUAUUAUUAUUAUUAUUAUUAUUAUUAUUACUACUACUACUACUACUACUACUACUACUACUACUACUACUACUACUACUACUACUACUACUACCACCACCACCACUACUAUUAGUACUGAAGACCGCCCGGUAAAGAUUGGAUAGUGAAAAUGAAGACGACGAAGAUCCCGGCAACCACCUGCUACUCCAAAGAUGAUGUGCCCAAAUGGAGACAACCAGUGAUGACUAGCCAACUAGAUCCAAAUCUCGAUAUUGUGAUCUUGCAUGACCAUUGAUAAAGCGAUGUGUGAUGUCGGUGUUGUGAUUUCUUUUUUAUUUAUAUUUUUUAAUUAAUCAGGGGUAUUUUCAAAAUUUAGUAAUUUUAAUAUGGGCAAAUUGGAUAGUCUAGUGAACAGGAGACUAAUUCCCAAUCAUCCUAGAAAUUAGUCUCUCAUUCUUUAUUUUUAAUUUAAUGUGGGUUCCACUAUUUCGAUUCCAAUUCUUACAUUUAUUUAUAAAGUAAAUAAUGUUAAUGAUUUCAAUUUCCAAUUCGAAAAAUAAACACAUCAUAAUAUUUUUUUAGGUGCUUCCAUGACAUAAUCUCAUUGGUCCAUUUUUCUUCAUGCCUUAUAUUCAACUUCAAGAUUCAAGAUUCAAUUUGAAGCAAACACAACUACAAAACAAAUAUAAUAAGCGUUAAUAAGCCUGUGGCCAAGCAAAUGUAACUUGUAGUGACCAAUCAUAUCUUAUUAUCUUCCGCCAGAAGUUAAACAAUGUUCCCAUUCCACGUGUCACUCUCUGACCAAUCCCCGAACUUUCUUCAUAUUUCCAAAGAAACCCUCACCAAGUCAACAUAAUUACCUUCACUCUACUCAUAUAAAUACUGUCCUCGAUUCGACUGAUGUCUGAUGACGACAUAUCCUUGGUCUUUAAUUAAAGAAAAAAGGACACAGAGACUCCCAACGUUUGAAUAAGGGACAUAAAAUUUUUUAAUGUUUUAAAAAAGACACUCAGACCCCCAUUUGUUAAUAAUAAAUUAUAAUUUUACCAUUAUACCCUUAUAGCAUAUUAAAAAUUAAUUGUUCAUUAUCCAAUUUAUUUCCAUAUUAUUAAUAAAAAUUACGAAUAUAACUUCAUUACCCUAUUUUUCCAUUUAUUUUUUAUCAAAUUUUAUCUUCAAACUAAAUAAAUUUAAUCCAUUGCUCAAAAAUAAAAAUAAAUUAAAUUGAUUAUUAAUAUAAUACAAAUAACAAUUCUCCAUAUGUUAUUUCUUAUAAUUUCUUAUAUAUAAAUUAAAUUGAUAAUUUCUUAAAAAUAACAAUUCUCCAUAUAUAAAUUAAAUUUAUUUUAAUUUAAUAUAUGUUAUUUUUAUAUUAAAUAUAUGUUAUUUUUAUUAUAUUAGUAAUCAAUUUAUUUUUAUUCUUGAGCAAUGGAUUAAAUUUAUUUAGUUUGAAGAUAAGAUUUGACAAAAAUUAAAUGAAAAAAUUGAAUAAUGAAGUUAUAUUCGUAAUUUUAUUAAUAAUAUAGGAAUAAAUUAGAUAAUGAAUAAUUAUUUUUUAAUAUGUUAUAAGAGUAUAAUGAUAAAAUUAUAAUUUACUAUUAAUAAAUAGGGGUCUGAGUGUCUUUUUUAAAACAUUAAAAAAUUUUAUGUCCCUUAUUCAAACAUUAGGGACCUCUAUGUCAUUUUCCCUUAUUUAAAAGUGGAAAUUAUAAAAAAUUCUCCUCGUUCCCUAAAGAUCUAGGGUUUCUCGAGAAUCGCUAAACCUAGAUCCCAAUCCUUCAAAAUCUCAAUUUAACCUCUCUAGGGUUUCGAUUAUCGAGGAUUCGCUUCAAAAUUUAGUAUUUUUUAGGGGAUUUUGCUUGUCUCGUAUCCUUCAAUUGUUGUUCGGUUCUGAAAAUAAUUUGGAAUUUUAGGGAUUUUCAGAUUAUUUGGUUUUGCUUGAGUGCAAUUUCCUCUAGUUACGGUUUCAGUUUGAAGGGUUAAGUGCGAUUUCGAAUAUUUUUAUAAAAUUAAAAUUAAAAUUCAUAAAACGACUGGGCUUUUAAUAAUUAAUUGCUGGCUAGCGAUACUACAACGGCGGCCGCAGCUGCAGAAGAAGCAGAGGCGGUGGAGGAGUAUGAUAGCGAUCCAGAUGAAGUGAAACGCUCUCUUGCGAUGCGCAGAAGGGAAGCCAGCGAUGAGGAGGUUGAGGAGGAUAAAGAUUCAGAGCUUCCAAUAGUUCAAAGUGUCCACAUUCCUGCGGGAGAAGCGGAGGCUGUGGAUGAGUAUGAGAGCGAUCCAGAUGAAGUGAAACACUCUCUCAUUAUGCGCAGAAGGGAAACAAGCGAUGAUGAUGAGGAGGAGACAUAAUUUGAGCGUCGAAUGAAUUGAAGGGUCCAGAUUCACUCUUACAUUGAAUCUGAUGGCCAAGGUGGUGCUCCAGCUGAGUAUGAUGAUGAUGAUGAUGAAGAAGAGGAACAUGACAGAGAAUUAGAAGAAGAAGAUGAAGAAGGGGAUGUUUAUGAGGCUGUAGAGGAAGAAGAAGUUUAUGAAGAAGAGGGGAGGAAUGAUGGGGCGGUUAAAGUCAAAGGAAUAGAGGGUAAUGAUGCAUAAGGAGUACGGAGGGUGCAGUGGAAGUGAGUAAAGGGAAUAAUGAUAAUGGCAAUGGUGCUAAAAGAAUGAUGCAGCAGAGGAGAGAAUGGAGAAAGAGAAGAAGGAGAGUAAUGAGCCUUUUGUACAGCAACUGGGGCUUUUUGCACAGCAACUGGGGCUUCUUAUAUGGGACAAUGUUGCAGGUCGACACAGGUAUUAUUUGAUUUGAGUGACAAUUUAUAAAUAGCUAAUAGCUGUACUUUCAUUAGUGCUUGUCAAUUAAUCCAGUCUCGUUUUUUGGUGCUGUAUAAUGAUUGUUUGCUGGAAUCUGUGUAGAAGGCUUUUGGCCUAGUAGGUUGAAAGGAGAGAAAGUUCUCAAAUAAACAUCUGUGCUUUGUGGAAUAUAAUUAAUAGGUACAAAGCAUACUAAAUUACUUGACAGAGAGAUGCCGAGCUAAUCAUGAGCUAUGAUAGCAUCAUCCGUGCUUUGUGUAUUUUUAAUAGGGCUUGUCUAUUUCAAAGUGUGUAGUAAUUUUUGGGUUUAGUUUGAGUGAUGAAGUGUUAGAUGGGUUUCUGUUUGGCAUAGUUAAGUGGUUAAUACGAGCUAUUGAAGCAAAUAUGGAGUAGGAUAUCUAGUUUUGGGUUUGGUCUUAGUUUGAAGAUGGCUACUGAUUAUGCAGCUAGGUACUAAUUAGUGUUUGUGGAUUGCUAAAUGCUUUCUGUCAAAUGUGACUAGAUUAUUACUUGAAGUGCAUGGAUCUUACACUUAAUUAAUUAUAUAUCCAUUUGUAAUGUACAAAAUGAUCAUGUACUAUUGCUUAAAAUUAUGUUUUCAAGACAUCAUUUUGAAUCCAUGGUUGUAAUGUGUCUCUAAAUUCAGUAAGACAAGUUCUGUCAAUUGCUGUCGGAUGGCAGUGACUUGAAUAGUUUAAUGUUCAUUUGCAGAAAAAAAUUGAGAAAGAAAACUAAAAAUUUCUGUGCGUUCUGCUGGAAAUUUAAUUAGCUUCAUUUGAGCAUUAAUUGCUGGCAUUAUCUCUUAGAUUUCUCUUGCAUUGAAUGAAUGGAUGAGUGCUAAUCCAUGCAAAGACUUCCAUGCAUACACAAUGAAUGCUUCAUCAAAGGUAUGGUAAAAUGUCAACACGCUUGGCCCAAAUUAUCAAGCUGGUGUGGUGGCUGCUAGAUUUGUUCAUCCGGAUUUUGGACCAUUUUCAUUGACAAUGAGAAAAGCUGCAAGAUCUGUAAAUCGGAAACUCAUUGAAGUGCCAAAAGAGAGAUGGAAGUGAAUAACUAGGGAGUUAGUGAAAAGAGGGUGCAGUGAUUGUGUGGGAAGCUUUGGGUAUAUUUGGGGUUUGGAUGUAAGAUAAAAUAAUUUGAGAGAGAGGUUGUAACAAUUUUUCGGUAAUAGAGUUUUUCAGGUAACUCUUGUGUUGUGUGAUUGGAGUAUUCUCUAUUGUAUUUUUUUAUUUGUUAUUUAUUUGACAUAUUGCUAGCGGAGAUCUUGGGUGGGAGCCAAAAAUUCCCAACAAUUGUCAAUUGUUUUAAACUCUAUUUCGAACAGAGCAUGAAGGGAUUCACUUAUCUGAUUAUGUCUUUUAUGCUUUAACUUCACUUGAUUUCAUCUUGUCUGUCACCUUUAUUAAAGUUGUAUAUGUUGGAGUAUUAGGUUCAUCACAGGGAUCAUAUUAUGGCUAAGGAAGGGGCACAAGAGUAUUUGGAUUCAAGACUGUUAGAAGGUUGUUACAAUGCAAGGCUGUUGCUGUGUAACUGUAUGCCAUUCACGCAAGUGCACUCUUAACAGAUUGCUGAGCUGGCACCGGAUGUUUUUAGCUAAUAUUAGUUAUUGGUCUAGAGUGUUCUGAUUUAUUCUAUAAAUAGCUCAUUUGAGCUUAGAACCUUUAUAGUGUAUCAUACGUUUCCGUUACUUCUAAUAAUGAGUUUCUCUAUUCCUUUUUCUUUCACUUUCUCUUCCAUUUUCAUGAUCCCCAAACACCAUCAAUCCAUGAUUUUCUAGAGUAUUAGUUGUCUAUUUCUACAAGGGGAAAUAUCCACCGUCCACCUGAUUUUGUUUACUUUUUUAAAAAUAUACAAAUCCUAAAUUUUUUAGCUGCGCUCCACCUGAACUUAUAAUUUUUUUCACAUUUCCACCUCCGUCUGCAAACCGUCAAGGCGUUGCUGAUGUCAUAAGGCUAAAAUGAUAAUUUCACUUGGGCUUAAAAAACGACGUCGUUUAAGAUCUGUAAUAAGCAAAAAAAAAAGUUAUUUCAGUUUCAAGAAUCCAAACAAAAGCUUUGAUAAACUCGAAGCUCAAAGCUUAAUUAUUCUCUGGUCUCUACUCACCACAUUCGCAUUCAUGGCUGCACAAGACACACAAAUUGAGAGCGAAAAUAAAGACUCAAAAGAACCCAAAAACCUGUUCGCACACUUUAUAAACUUAUUAUUUUCUGCUCCAAUAUUUAAUAAUAAGCAAGAGAGAAAUAAAAGUGAAGGUGAAGAAAGAGAAGCUGCAGAGGCAAGCAAGAAACGAGAGGUGGUGAAAUUUUCGCUUUUAAAAAAAUAAAAAAAAGAAAGAAAAAGCAAAGGCAAAGCCAAAAUCUUCUACUCUGAAAGUCAUCGACCAUAGUCAUGGCGGAAAACACAGAAAUUGCUUCCAGUCCCAGAAAACAAGAAAACAAAAGCAUACUCUCGCGGUUGCCGAAAUUCCAACUCAAUCUCCAUUUCUUCUUUAAUCAACAACCUAAGAAAGUAGAAGAAACUGUUGUUUCUAAAGGGACUGCCAAAACGUCAACGGUUAGUGAAGCCGAUGACGGUAAUGCUAGUAGUGUGAAGCCGAGCUUGGCUAGGUUUCCAGACGCCACACGUCCGAUUCUUCCGCUGCCGAUUGAGCUCGAGGCCCAAGAGCCCGCCGGGCGGACUUCCAAUCCUGUCGUUCUCUGGCAGGUUCGCUUUCUUCCGUCUGUUCCUGUUUGGUUCCCGAGAAAAUGUGGGGUCCUUUUGUGUUGCGAGAUUGCGAGAUUUUAUAAUAUUUGUUUAAAAAAUAAAAUUUUUGAAAGGAUUUCAAGAUUUUCAGUCUUUAUCUAGGGCUACAAUACUCACAAAGUUAAUAUUUUGGCGUUUAUUGAGGGUAAAUAUAUAAUUUUUUAUUUUCGGGGUUAAAAAGUAAUUUGGACAAAAUUCCGUUAGUUUUAUUGACGGUUUACAGACGGAGGUGGAAAUGUGAAAAAAAUUAUAAGGUCAUGUGGAGCGCAGCUAAAAAAAUUAGAAUUUGUGUAUUUUAAAAAAAGUGGACAAAAUCAGGUGGACGGUGGAUAUUUUCCCUUUCUACAAACAUAAAAUUGUUGUUUUAAGAAACAAAGUACUCUGUCCUGUCACCCGCGGUCUCCUCGUUUAUCGACUUGUGAACAGGGCUAAAUAAACGGCAAAUAAGAUAUUAGGUCAAUGGGUCUAACGUGACAAGAUAUUGAAUUAUUGCCCUUUUCUUUUCUCCACAAAUCUUUGGUUAAUUUUUAGGUUCUCUCAACUUUUUUCCCCUUUAGCACUAAAAUUCAUUUUUGAUACUUUAUGCAAAAAUUAUGAUGAAAAUGAGUCACUUUAGAACAUUAAUAAAUUUUUAUUUUUACAUCCAAAAUAACGACAGUUACACUUAGAUCACUCUCAUUUAGUUGAACUAUAUAGGUAAUAAAGUUGGCUUAACAAAAUAUGAUUCUUAACUGUUGUAAUUAAGCACUAGUAUUCUUUGGUUUUAGUUGUAGGGCUUAUAAUGCCGUGGCUCAGUUCUUGGUGGGUUCAAAUUAUUAGACGAUCAUUCUCAAUCCUUUACGAUUCGUAAUUAAAAAUUCUUAUAUCACAAUUAGAACUUACAAACAAGUCAAAGUGGGUAAAAUCAUAUGUAUAAAUUCGAGGUUUAUUACAAACUUUUAAAAAAGAUUUUCUCUGUUUUUUUUUUCUUUCACAUUCUCUUCCAUUUUCUCAAUCCCCAAACACCACCAAUCCCUGAUUUUUUGAGUAUUAGCUGUCUGUUUCUACAAACAAGUUCUUGAAUUGAAUGGCUCCUCUUUUAUCCAUAGAUCUUUGCUUAAUAUUUUUGUUCCCUCAACCUUUUUCGGCCCUUUGCUCUAAAAUUCUUUUCUGAUACAUUAGCAUUACGCAAAAAUUAUGAUGAAAAUAAGUAUGCCAUGCCGGCAAGUGUAUUGUACAGAUUUCUAGAGUAUUACCUGUCUAUUUUUUUCACCGAUGACGAAGCUAAUUAUUAGUAAUCAAUCUAAAGUCUACCUAUAAAUACAAUAGGUUGCUUAGGUGGCACCAAUAUCCUAACUUUAUGCCAUGUUUCUGGUGUGUCUUCACAAAUUCACCGAUACAAAUUAAUUUCUACCAAUAUUACCAAAUGAUUGUAUUUUACGUUUCUAUUUACUUGUAAUAAAGAUCUUCAAUUUUAUUGGUUACAAAAUUCUCUAGGAUUGCAUGUACAUUAUACUUUUAUAUACAUAUUUUCUUCUUUCUCAUUCGUUUUCUGGGUGAACAUAUUAUUUUCGUCAUCAUCUCUAUAACAAUGAAGUGAAAAUAGUCCUCAUUUAAAGUAUUGACAGCAAUGUUAUACUCAAUAUAACGUAUAAAGCACGCAUAAUUUAAUUAAUGGGGCAGCUGCUAGUACCUUCUAUAGAAGAGAAUUAUUGCAGCAAGUUAAUUGGAAGCUCAAAGAGUUUCCGUAUUAGCCGAAUCUAAGCGAUAAGUGUUUCCAUGUGAGACAUAAUUUGGGAAAAAGACCAAUUCGAGUUAAAGAUCAGAAAACAAACACUGUCAACAAGCAUUAAUGUCAUUUGAUGCAUGAAAGACAAUUAGUCCCAUUUUUUUGUCCUGUUUACUUGACUUGGGCAAUUUGCCGUCAACUUUUCUCAUCCACGUCAGGUAAUGUGGCUUUUAUUUGGUAUGAAAAAGCCAAUGCUUUACGAUAAAACUAUCACACACAUAUUAUCCAUCUGUAAUGUUCAAAUGACACUCAAGUAUUACCUAAAUUAGCCUUUUAAAAAUUCAUUUUCAAAAACCCAUGGUUGUGAUGUGUCUCUAUAAAUUAAGAUCUAUCUGUUACCAACUGUUUUAACUCUGUUCUGAACAGAGCUUGAAAGGGUACAUUCACUUAUCUAGUUAUGUUUUUUAGGCUCUCACUUUAUUUGAUUCACCUUAUCCCUCUUUUGAAACAAUUGUUCACUGGCUGCACUCAGUUAACAGAAUAUUUUGGGAUUCAAAAUAACAUCUUAUUUUCUAAAAUAACUAAAUAGAAUCUUACAGAAUUAGAGUGCCUGACUUCUUCAUACAGUGCUUGACUUCUUUUUACAGAAUUAUAAAGUGAAAAAAUAAAUUAAGAAAUUAAAUACUUUUCAUGCGAGUGGAGAAGAUUGGGUGGCGAUUACAUUAAAUAAAAGAAAAAUAAUUUAAAAGUACAACCCUUUAAUAAUCUCAUUCCCAAUAAAUCGUUGAAACGUCUUGCUUCAUAUUGUUCUUUUUUUUUUUUUUGAUUAAUUGGCCUAAAUAUUGUAUUUUUGUCAGGAGUCUUGCAAUGCUGCGUAACACCGUAGUAAGAAGAAACGUGUCUAAGGUUGCCACGUGUUGUCUCAACAUCUGUGUGAAAACCGAAUUAACCAGUUUGCGUUCGACAACAAAGGAAAAUCUUUAUAACACCCUUUUUAAUUUUAUUUUCUGAAAUACACUCAGUUUUAUUUGUAGCAUAUAAAUCUAUUUAUUAAAAUUAAUCAUCUUUCCAGAAAAUAUCAAUCUAAAAAAUAUUUUUUUAAAUUUUUUUAUAAAAUACAGAUAAAUUCUAAUUAUAAAAUUUAUAUCUCUAUAACUCUAAACUCAUUUAAUUUUUUAAAAUUAUUUUUUAAAUUUAAAAUAUAAAUGUAAAAUAUAAAAUAAAUCCAUGUAUGUCAAUACUAGAUGGUUCCAUAUUAAACCUGUGAAGUGUAGAAAAUAAGCGGGAUUCGUAAAAAAUAUUUUAGAUAAUAACAUUGAAAAGUGAUAAAAAUAUUUUUUUUAAAAAAAAGAAAUACAUACUCGAGACACCAAGACCGGCACGCACAAACUCACACAUUUAUAUAUUAAUUGAGGGGGAAAAUGAUAUUCUAAGUAAUAUUGUUGACAUGUGAUAAAAAUUCUUUUUAGUGAAACAUUUUUGUAUAAAUACUAGUGAUAUUUGUAGAGAAAGUAGAAUGAAGUGAGAAAAACUUGAAUAUAAAUGCUCCAAUAUAAUUUCUCCCAUGCAAAUUAUGAACUAGUGAACUUUAAAGCAUCAUAAAAUUGUUUCAACAUAAGUAAUUAGUUUGAAAAAUUGCCAAUAAUGUUUAAAGUGGGAACGAAAAGAUUAUACUAUAUGAGACACGAUAUUAUUUAAGACAACUUACAAAUUACGGGAAAUGUAUUGAUCUUACAAAUAAUAUUUAAUAAGUACAAAUUUCAAAUUAAAUAAUAAACCCUUAAUUUCCUUUUAAUCAUAAUUAUGAUCUUAAUAAUUAAAGUCAUUCAAUCUUAAUCACUUUUUCAUUUUUUUAAACUAUCUAAAUGACAUUGAAAACUCUACUCAAUAUUAAUUUAUUCGAAUGUUCUGUUUCAAAAUAAUUGAAAACUGUAAAUGAAACAAAUGCUUGCAAUCACAAAUGGCCUAAAAUGGGAUUUUUAUUUUUUAAUAUUGCAAUGACUUUGAUCUUGAUAUUGGAAAUUUAUUUGUAACUUAUACUAAGUCUUCAAUUUUAUCAAAAUUAGUUUCUAGAGAUGCAUUUGCCAUACUGUGUAGUUGUAUUGUAUGAUGAUAUAUUACAUUAGAGUGCAUUGUAAUGAGAUGUAAUGCAAUACUAUUUUAUAUUAAUGUUAAAACUAAAUCAACCUUAUUUAAAUUUAUUAAUAUUUUAGGGUUUUAAUAGUAAUAUCUGAAAUUAAGUAUUAAAUAAUUAUUUUUAUAAUAUACAAAUUAUUUAAUAAUAUUCUACUAUUAAAUAAUAAAAUAUUACAAUAUUAUGUUAUAUUAUUAACAAUUAUUCUGUUAUAAUAUAAUUUAUUUUUAUAUAUUAGUUAUUAUAAUUUAUUAUAAUCAUAUUAUAAUAAUAUUAUAUUGUAAAAAUACAAUACUAUAUAAUUGUAUAAUAUAAUAUGAAUUAAUUUAUAACUUAACAUUAAAUUAUAAAUUUAUUUUAUUUAUUAAUGUCAAAUAUAUUUGUCUAAUUUAAAUUUGGUAUUUUUUUAAAAAUAAACUAUUAAAUAAUUAAAAUGAUUUUAUAGAAUAAAGUAAAAUAAUGUAUUAUUAUUUAUUAAUUAAAUAUUUAGGUUUAUUAAUAUACUAUAUUAUUAAUUAAAUUAAUGAAUAUUAAUUAAUAUAAAUAGUAUUAAAUAGUAUAUUAAUACUAUAUUAUUAAUAUACUAUAUUAUUAAUUAAAUUAAUGAAUAUUAAUUAAUAAUUUAAAUUUAUUAAAUAAUAAAUUUAAAUGAUUAUAUUUAAAAUAUAAAUAGUAUUUUAAUGUAAUAAAACCUAAAUCCCACAUGUAUACCACAUUUGUUAUACAGUGUAAUGCAACUAUAAAUUAUAAUUAUAUAAAAAUAAUAUUUUAAUACAAGUAUAAUGCCACUUGAGAAAUUGAUAUUUUAAUGGAACCAAAAUUUGCAUUUGGUUUGUGGGUCUCUCAAAAAAUAAUAAUAAAAACCAAUAUAAAACACUGAUUCUGUCCUCUUUAAUAUUUUUCUAAAUGCUUCCAUGGCAUAAUCUCAUUGGUCCAUUUUGUUUCACAGCUUAGAUUCAACUUCAAGAUUUUCAAUUUGAAGCAAGCUGUGGUCGACUGGCCGUGGCCAAACAAACGUGCCUCAUGGAGUCAUGGUGACUGAAUCAUCUCUUAUCUCAGAAUUUGAACUUAAACAAUUUGAACUUAGACUGUUUUUUUAUUGUCGAAGAUUCGCUUCAAAAAUUAGUAUUUUUUAGUGGAGUUUGCUUGUCUCGUAUCCUUCAAUUGUUGUUUGGUUCUGAAAAUAAUUUGUGAUUUAGGGAAUUUCGAUUAUCUGGUUUAGUUUGAGUGCAAUUUCCUCUAGUUACGGUUUCAGUGUGACGGAUUAAUUGCAAUUUCGAAUUUUUGAUAAAAUUUAAAUAUUUAUUUAUUUAUUUUGAGAAGGCUAGUGAUAAAAUUGGGCGGUUAUUAAUUAAUUGAUGGCUAGUGAUACUACAACGGCGGCCGAAGCUCCGGAAGAAGCGGAGGCGGUGGAGGAGUAUGAUAGCGAUCCAGAUGAAGUGAAACACUCUCUCGUGAUGCGCAGAAUGGAAGCAAGCGAUGAUGAGGAGGAGGUGGAGAAAGAAUUUGAGCGUCGAAUAGUUGGCGAUGAAUCUGAUGAAUCUGAUGCGCAGAAUGGAAGCAAACGAUAGGGCAGUUAAAGUCAUUGGCUGCACUCAAUUAUUAGAAGGUUGUUACAGAGGUAAGGCUGUUGCUGAGUAACAGUAUGCCAUGCUGGCAAGUUUGCUAUAGCAGAUUGCCAAGCUGGCACUAAUUAUUUUAAACUAAUAUUAGUAAUUAGUCUAGAGUGCUCUAAUUUAUUUUAUUCUAUAAAUAGCUCAUUUGAGCUUUGAACCUGUAACGUGUACUGUACUUUUCUAUUACCUCUAAUAAAGUUUUUCUCUGUUCUUUUUUCUUUCACUUUCUCUUCUAUUUUCCCGACCCUCAAACACCCUCAAUCGUUGAUUUUCUAGAGUAUUAGCUGUCUGGUUCUACAAACAUAGAACUGGUGUUUGUUUGUUUGUCUAAUUACCUUUAAGAAACAAUAUACUCCACCCUGCGGCCUCUUCGUUUAUUGACUUAUUACUUGUGAUCAAGGCUCAAUGAAGGGCAAAUAAGAUGUUGAGCCAAUCGGCCCAACAUCACAGAUCUUGAAUUGAUUGCCUCUUCUUUUCUCCACAAAUCUUUACUUAAUUGUUAUGUUUCCUCAACUUUUUUCCCCUUUUUGUGCUAAUUUUUUUUUUUGAUACUUUAUGCAAAAAUUAUGAUGAAAAUUAAUUAGUUUAGAACAUCAAUAAAUUUUUGUUACAUUCAAGAUAAGGACAAUUACACUUAGAUCACUCUUAUUUAGUUGAAUUAUAGGUAAUAAAAUUAGUUUUAACAAAAUAUGAUUCUUAACCCUCGUAAUUAAAGGCUCGUGUUAUUUGGUUUAGUUAUAACACCAUGCAACAGGUCGUCUUGGUGGGUUCAAAUUAAUAUACGAUCAUUCUCAAUUUUUAAUAGUUUGUAAUUAAAAAGCCCUACAUCACAAUUAGAAUUUGCAAACAUGCCAAAGUGAGUUAAGUCAAAACCUAUAAAUUUGAGGUCUACUACAAACUUCUGACAAAUUAAAUUUAAAACGAUUAAUUAAAUGCUAGACAAAAUUUAGCUUAUUAAUGUUCCUGACCACAUGAUGAAUGUACUUAAAACAUCCUAAUUGGUCACUAAUUGAUUAGUUAUUAUUUUUUCAAUUUCUUUUUAUAUAUCUUUGAAACUUCUAGUUUCCUAACAUAUUAUUUGCAAUUCGUGUAAAUUAUUAUUUUUUAAAUAUUAGAGCAACAACCAGUAUAAAAAUGAAAUGCACUCAUUUAAUGGAAAUUUUUCUAGAUGCUUCAAUGGCAGAAUCUCGUUGGUCUAUAACUCUCACGCCUUUGAUUCAAGAUUCAAUUUCAAACCAACGCCGAACAAACAGUAUAAACCUUAAUAAGUCUGUGGCUGUAGCCCAACAAACCUACUUCCGGCUCACCGAAUAAUCAUCUCUUACGUCGGAAUUUAAACUUAAACAAAGCUACAUCCCACGUGUCCCCAACUUUCUUCAUAUUUCCAUAAAACCCCUACCAGAUCCAGAUAAUUACCUUCACUCUUCUCGUAUAAAUAGAGAAGAUGAUGAUUCCUACAAAGCCACGUAAGUCAAGCGAACGUUACGGCCAUGGCACAUUGGAAUUGGAUCAAACCACCGGAAUGCAAAGCAAAAUUAACCAAAUAAACUAAAUUAGAUCCAACCAAUUGAAUCGGUUAAUGAAUCAGUUUAGUGUCACUCAAAAAACAAAUAAAUAUAUAAAACCACACAAUUAUCAUAUUAAUGGGGCACUUUUAUCAAACACUAUAGGAUCAACUAGUACAAAAUGAAUUCAUUUGGGAUACGUUUAACGUACUGUGCUAUGGUGUAUUGCAUUAACAUACAUUAUAUUAAGUUAUAAUGUUAUACUUUGAUAUAGUAUAAAUUGUAUUAUAUAAGGUAAUGUUUUAUAUUAAUGUUAAAACUAAAUUAAUAUUAUUUAAAUUUAUUAAUAUUUUAGGUUUUUAUUAUUAAUUUUUUAAAAUUAAGUAUUAAAAAUUAUUUUAUAGUAUAUAAAUGAGUUCAUAAUAUAUUAUUAUUAAAUGAUAAAAUAUUAAAGUACUAUGUUAUAUUAUUAAAAAUUGUUAUAUUAUAAUAUAAUUUAUUUCUAGAUAUUAAUUAUUAUAAUAUAGUAUAAUCAUAUAAUAAUAUAAUAUAAGUUAAUAUUAUAUUGUAAAAAUAUAAUACUGCACAAUUAUUUAAUAUAAUGUAAAUUAAUUUAUAAUAUAAUAUUAAAUUAUAAAUUUAUUAAAUAAAAUUAAAAUACUUUUUACGUAUUUAAAGUAAAAUAAUUAAAAUAAUUUAUGUAAUAGAAGUAUGAUAAUGUAUUAUCAUUUUCUCAUUAAAUAUUUUAGGUUUAUUAAUUUGUUAAAUUAUUAUUUAAAUUAAAAUUAAUUGUUUAAGUGUAAAUAUAAAUAUAAAUGAAUGUUUAAUAAAAUCUACUCCUAUGGAUCUAUUUUAUACACUUUUUAUUCUAUAAAUCACGCAUAUAAUGUAGUUGUAUAAUAGAAACUGGAUAUGUAAUGGAAGCCAAAUUGCGCACGGUUUGUGGGUCUGUCAAAAAAUGAUAAAAAGACCAAUAUGAUAGACUGACUCUGUCCUCUUUAAUAUUUUUCUAGAUGCUUCCGUGGCAUAGUCUCAUUGGUCCAUUUUUCUUCACGGCUUAGAUUCAACUUCAAAAAUCAAUUUGAAGCAAACACAACAAUUCAACAAAUAUAAUAAGCGUCGAUAAGCUUGUAGCUGACUGGCUGUGGCCAAGCAAAAUGUACCUCAUGGUUACCGAAUCAUAUCUUACGUCAGAAUUUUGAACUUAAACAAUGUUCUCAUUCCACGUGUCACUCUCUAACCAAUACCCAAACUUUUAUCAUAUUUCCAAAGAAACCCCUACCAAAUCAAGGUAAUUACCGUCACUCGGCUCAAAUAAAUGGUCUCCUCAAUUCAACUGAUGACGACAUAUCCUCAUAGUCUUUAUUUAGAAGGGGAAAUUAUAAAAAAAAGGGUUAUUUUUAGGAACUUUCCCUGAAGUUUAGUGUAUUAACAGUCUGAUAAAAAGUAUUUAUGUAAUUAUAAGUAUUUCCCUUAACAUUAGUAUAAAAAUACGUAAACGUCAGUAUAAAAAGGUAAACAAGUAAAAGUAAACUUGAAAUUUAAACAAAAUCAAAAUUCAAGCAAAAUAUGUUUCGAUGUCUGUGAAAUAGAGACUUAAACACACCAUUACCCAGUCCAAAGUCAUUAUCCAGUAGAUGAAAGAAAAUGAUUUUUUCACAAAGGGUACUUCUCCUCGUAAACACAGCUUACACUUGAACAAAACCCACCAUCAUUUUCAUCCAUGGAGAAGAAGCGUCUGCAACUCACAAAUAAUUUCUGAAAUCAUUGAUUUAUUUUCAUCUACUGCACAAGAUGACGUCGUGCGGUGGUCCAGAGCUUCCAAGAAGCGAGUAUUGCCAGCAUCUAGCAUCUACCGUGACUGGAAUUAGAUCGCAAGAAGAGGUCAGUCUUCGAAAACACAGCUUGCAUGCUUGAAUCAGUGGCUUACAAGAUAUUGUUGUUAUUUUAUUGAUUAAAAAUAACAAUGGGUCUGUUUUAAUGAAUGAAAAUGGUGUUGGAUGUUGUUUCUCUCUAGGGUUGUUAGUGUUGAGUUGAAAAAAACUAUUGGGUAAUGACUGAUAAGAGCAAUUUCCUAAUGAUUUAAGAGCUGUGUAAGUACUAGAUGUAGUUCAUCAAAGAUGGGUUUCGAUUUGCUUAUAAUCUGAUAAUCUUUUAGAGAACCCACAGUGGUUUAUGUGAUUGUUCAGUUUGGGGUCAUGACACUAAUUGAGUUGUGUGCUAGUUUCGGUUUGUGCAUGCCUUUGGUGUUCUUUUGCCUUAUUGUUGUAAUUCCUUCAAUAAUUUGGCGGUGUUGUUUUUUUUUUUUUUUUUGAGAAGGUAAUUUUGUAUUUGCUAAAUAAUGUGAUUGUAAUCAGAGGUAACUUAAGUAUAUUGUUCUACACACAAUUUUUGCUCCCACGUGAGAUGUUCUCUGUGUUUUUGUCUAAGGCUUUUGUUUGUUAUUCAAACUAGAAAAUAGUGGAUGCAAGACUAUGAAUUUGGCAUGUGAUAAACUUUGAAAUUGCCCUUUUUCUAGAUUAAAAAAUAUUGACUUGCCAUUUUCCUUGUUUGAUUCUAAUUUUCAAACAAGUGUGCCGAAAUCUUAAGUUCGAUUACAUGUUGUUUAUUGUAUUUCUUAUUUCAAAGUCUGUAAUCUAUCUGCGUGCAUCAUUUCAGAAGAAGAAUAAGCAGCUGCAGCAAGUCCAUUAGUUUAGGUGUUCCGAGUAUGACAGAGAUGAUGCUCUAGAUCCAGGUUUGAGGCACCAACAAAACUCGAAGAUAUCAAUUAUAGAGUGGGAUUUUCAGGACCUGAAAUCCAAUUUAAUAUUUACUUGAUCUGGGUUUAAAUAUGGAUGGAGCAAAGAUUGGUAUCAGAAGGGUUUUAUUGUCGGUGCCAACGCCUGUACUAUCAAGUUUACAAUAUGAAAAUCAUUUCUUUUAAUAGCUCUGCUCUUGUGGCAUGUAUUAGUUAUGAAGUAGUUUGUAAUAAAAAAAAAAUCACAAUAAUAAUAUGCAUGCAGGAUGCAGCUAUGCCGCCACACAUUAUUUCAAUUUUUUUAUUAUUUUGCAAUGUCAAUUUUUUUAUUAUUUUGCAAUGUCAAUUUUUUUAUUAAGCAAUUUCAUUUUUUUAUCCAAUGGAUAUUUUCAUCUUCUUAAGUAAUUUGUGAUUUUGGCACGAAUUACCCAUCAGUUCAUCAGCGAAUAAAGAAAUAUUUUGACAGGAAGGGUAUUUUUGGAUUUUCAAUAGUCAACUAACAGUCCACUUAACAGAAUACAAAUGUCAGGGGAGGUCUUUGUAAUUACGUGAAUACUUUCUAUCAGAAUGUUAAUACACCAAACUUCAGAGGAGGUCCUUAAAAAUAACCCUAUAAAAAAAUCCCCUCGUUCUCUAAAAAUAUGAGGUUUUCUCAAGAAUAGCUAAACCUCCAUCACAAUCCUGAAAAAUCUCAAUUUAACCUCUCUAGGGUUUCGAUUGUCGGGGAUUCGCUUCAAAAUUUUGUAUUAUUUUAGUGGAUUUUGCUUAUCUCGUAUCCUUCAAUUGUUAGUUCAGUUCUGAUAAUAAUUUGGAAUUCAGUUUGAAGGGUUAAGCGCAAUUUCGAAAUUUUUUAUACAAUUUAAAUUAAAAUUGAUAGAACAAUUGGGCGGUUAAUAAUUAAUUGAUGGCUAGUGACACUACAACGGCGCCCGCGCCCGCAGCUCCGGAAAAAGCGGAGGCGGUGGAGGAGUAUGAUAGCAAUCCAGAUGAAGUGAAACGCUGUCUUGUGACGCACAGAAGGGAAGCCAGCGAUGACGAGGACGUGGUGGAGGAGUACGAGAGCGAUCCAGAUGAAGUGAAACACUCUCUCGUGAUGCGCAGAAUGGAAGCAAGCGAUGAUAAGGAGAAGGAGGAUAAAGAAUUCGAGCGUUGAAUGAACCGUAGGGUCCACAUUCAUUCUUACGAUGAAUCUGAUGGCCAAGGUGGUGUCCAGCUGAGUAUGAUGAUGAUCACCUCUCUCGACCAGUUCAGGUUCAAGGGAAGGGUGCUCGAGGGGUACUUGUCUUGUUUAUCAUUUUUGUUUAAUUUUCAUAAAUUCGACGACCCACAAUUCAAUUAUGAGUGAAGAGUUUGUUAAAAAACUGUGGUCUUCCAUUUACUAUAACUAAGUCCGUGUGAUGUAAUUAUUUUUCUGUCACUUAAAUGUCUUGAAAAUUAUGAAUACAUUGUAGGAUUUAGAAGGAUUCUAAAGUUUUAAUGCAUAUGGGUUUUUUAUGUCCAUCCACUUAUGCGUAUGCUGCAUUUUAUGAUUAUCGUAGUUGGUAGAUUGACAAAUGGACCUUAAUUACAAGUCAAAUAACCUAAAUACUUAUCGGCCAAAGGAAGCCAUUUAUAGUAAUUUCUAGUGAAGCAAAGUAAAAUGAUUCAUACUGGCAAAGAAAAUUGGAAAAGAAAAGGAGGAUUACUGAUCCACACAGUGUCGUUUACUAAAGGUACGUUGAUCUUACACUUAAUUUAUUAUAUAUCCAUUUAUAAUGUUCAAAAUGAUAAUGUACUAUUUCUUAAAUUAGGCUUUCAAAACAUCAUUUUGAUAAUGCAUAGUUGUGAUGUGUCUCUAAAUUCAGUAAUACAAGUUCUUUCCUGUUACUAAUGGAUGAAGUGACUUGAAAUAGUUUAAUAUUUAUUUGCAGUAAAAAAGUUGAAAAAGGAACUAACAAUUUACAUGCGUUUUGCUGAAAAUUUAGUUAGUUUCAUUUGAAACUUGCAUGGGCAUUAAAUGCUGGCAUAAUCUCUUUGACUUCUCUUGCAUUUGAAUGAAUGGAUCAGUGUUAAUGCAGGCAAAGAUUUUCUGGACUUUCAUGGAUGCACAAUAAAUGCUACGUCAAAGGCCUGGUAAGAUGUCAGCAAGCUGGUCGAAGAUAUCAACCUGAUUUGGUGGCUGCAAGAUUUGUUCAUCCAGGAUCGUUUUCUUUGACAAUGAGAAAGCCCCAAUGUCUAUAAAUUGAGAACUCACUGAAUUGUAGAGAGAGAGAGGAAAGUGAAUAACGGGAGAGCCAGUGAAAAGAGAGUGUGGGAAGAUUUGGGUGUAAUUGGGGUUUGGGUGUGAGAUAAAAUAAUCAGAGAGUGGUUGUAAUAAUUUUUUAUAUAGUGAAAUUUUUUUGUCUCGUUAUUUUUUGCAGUGGUGGUUUUUUACUCUAAUAAAAGAGUCUUCCAAGUAAAUUUUGUGUGUUAUGAUUGGGAUAUUCACCAUUUUAGUUUUCUAUUUAUUAUUUGUUUUACAUAUUGCUAGUAAAAAUCUGGGGCGGGAACCGAAAAUUCCCAACAAUUAUUAAUUAUUUUAAACUCUGUUCUGAACAGUGCAUGAAGGAUCAUAUUCACUUCACUUCACUUCACUUGAUUUCAUCUUGUCCCUCUCCUUUAUAAAAGUUGCAUAUAUUGGAGUAUCAAGUUCAUCACAAGGAUCAUAUUCUGGCUAACGAAGGAGCACAGUUCAUUGGCUGCACUCAUGUGUAGCAAAGUAUUUGGAUUCAAGACUGUUAGAAGGUCGUUACAGACGCAAGACUGCUGCUGUGUAACGGUAUGCCAUGCUGGCAAGUGGGGCAGUGCGCUAUAACAGAUUGCGGAGGUAGCACCAAAUAUUGUGAACUAGUAUUCGUAAUUAGUGUAGAGUGUUCUGAUUUAUUCAUUUGUGCUUAAAACCUACAUGUAUUGUACGUUUCUAUCGGUAAUUUGUUCUGAUUUUUUUUUGGGGCCAAUUGCAGUUUUGAUAACAACUAAAAUCUGUGUGGUCCGGUUACCACAAAGCCUAUAAUGAUUGCAAUUACUGUAUGAUCAUUUCCCCAACUAUUAUUUGAAUAAUUGGUCCAGUUACCACAAAGCCUUGCCCCAGAUCCCUGCCAUUUUCUCCUCCACCUCCAUUUGGGGAAAUUACUACUUACUUUUUGCAAGUUUUUUGUGAAAUAUUUAUUUUGAGAAGAAAACCAACAAUACAUUUUAUGAUUUGGGCUGUUUCAAAGAUCUUCGCUUGAUGUCUCUGCUACUGGUUUUCAGCAGAGUGCCCAAAAAUAGUUUUCAGCAGUACAAAAAGUAUAUAUUUUGUACCUUCCAUACAUUUUGCUUUGUUAAUGUUAUUAUUUGAUAACAUGUUUGUCGAGUUGCACAGUGUAUAAAUGCUAUACAAAUACACUCCUUUCAUUUUAUACAACUUUGAUUGAUCAAGUUGUAUCUCUUUGAUAAUAUGUUCUAUCUCCUUUCAUUUUAAACUUCAAUUGAGUUGCUAUCUAUUUAACUUUGGCAAGUCAGAGAGAGGGAUGGGACUGUCCAAUUAAAAUUAAGUUCCAAGUGCCAAUCCCACCAUUGUCGUCUCUUGUUUGCCAAAUUCAAAUUUGAAAAUCUCACCAAGUCAGUAUGGUGAUGUUGUGGGAUUGUCUGGCCUAGGUUUUUAGCCUCAUGAACUCCUUUAUUAGAAAAAGUCUUAAGUGUUCUUACUCAAUGGUAGAAUCAUAAUUUUACUUCAAUGGAAGCCAUAAUGAUUAAAAUAUACUCUUUUGAUUAAUUACUUAUUUGAUGUUGCUCUCUCUACCUUCAUCUCCUUCUUUAUGAAAAAUUUAUUGUAAUACAUGGAAGUAUAUAUUGCAUUGAAUAAAAUGAAAUUGUUCAAAAAUUAACAAAUUCAGCUUUAUUAUAAUCUAAAACAAAGUAAAUAAAAUAAUACCCAUCAUGUAAAAAUAAAAAAAUAAAAAUUUUUGUACCACUUUGAAUCUAUUUUAAAUUUUUUUGGUCAAAUCUCAGAAGCACAAACUUUGAACAAUAAUAAUAGGUAAAAACUAAUAAUCUUAUAAUAAAAAGUAAGAAAAAAAUAAAGUUGAUUUAGCAUGUAAGAAUAAAAAAAGAAAAAUAGAAAGAGAGAGAAAUUAGCUUAGGCUUUAACUAUUGUUAUAGUAGAGAAGUAAUUUUAUGACCUUUUAGAAAUGAGUGAAUUAAAAUAGUAAGUUAUAAUUUGAUAACUAUCUUAAUUAAAAAAGUGGGUGUUGAAAUAAAAUUAAUGGAUUCAAAUAGCCCACCCAAAAUCCAAAAUUGCAUACCAAUUAUUUUCUAAUUUACAUAAAGUUCUUCUAUUUUUUUUUUAUAACAUUUGAUUCUCAAUUGGUCUAAUGGAGAAACAACCAGCAAAAAAAUAAAAAAUAAAAAAUAAAAAAUAAAAUGAAUGCAAUUAAACCGAAAUUCGUAAAAGAGCCGUAUGACAUUUAUGUGCAAGCAAAAUUGCAUUCUGUUUAUGGGAUCCUGGAAAAAAUAAAAGAAAGAAAACAGAGUAAGACGCUUUCGCUGUGGGCUUUAAUAUUUUUCUAGAUGCUUCCAUGGCAGAUUCUCGUUGGUUGAUUUUUCUUUACGCCUUAGAUUCUAUGAUUCAAUUUCAAUCAAAUACGACAAACAAAAGAAGCUUUUAAGCCUGCAGCUGAAAUAGAUGGUACUUUAAUUUUCAGCUGAACAUAUAUAUGGUAAGAUUAUUAUUAUUGAGCUUGAUGAGGCUAUAGAAAAUUCAAUAUCGAGAUCGGAUAAGGGUCCAAUAAAUUAUAAAAAUAAAGCAGCUCAAAGCCCAUAUGAUCAUGGGCCAGGCCACUACUUGCUCAUGCUUUGAAUCAAAAUUAGUGACGUUGGAAGCUGAAAGGGGCAAAUGAUGAAAUGGGGUUCAUCAUAUAGUAUGCCCAACGGGGUAAGAUCAUCAUUUAAUUGCCUCCUCCUCUUGUCGAUAGAUAUUUGCCUAAAUUUUUCUAUUUAAAAAAUAUUAUAUUGGUUAGUAUAAUUAGAAGUUUUACAAAAUAUAAGUAUAAUUUUUAAAAAAAAUUAUAUUUGUUAAUCUAAAUUUACAUCCAAGAUCACGACAAUUACACUUAGAUCACUCUUAUUUAGUUGAAUUAUAUAUGUAAUAAUGUUGGCUUAACAAAAUAUGAUUCUUGAUCGUUGUAAUUACGAGCUGGUAUUCUUUGGUUUUAGUAGUAGGGCUUAUAACGUUGUGCAACAGUUCUUGGUGGGUUCGAAUUAUUAUACGAUCAUUCUUAGUUCUUUACGAUACGUAAUUAAAAAUUCUUAUAUCACAAUUAGAACUUACAAACAAGUCAAAGUGAGUUAAAUCAAACGUAUAAAUUCGAGGUCUAUUACAAACUUCUAAAAAAGAUUUUCUUUGUUCUUUUUUCUUUCACUUUCUCUUCCAUUUUGCCAAUCCCCAAACACCGCCAAUCCUUGAUUUUUUAAGUAUUAGCUGUCAAUUUCUACAAACAUAGAACUGCUGUUUGUUUGUCUAAUUACUUUCAAGAAACAAAACUGUUUGUCAUGUGGUCUCUUCGUUUAUUGGCUUGUGAGCAAAUAAGAUAUUGGGCCGAUGGGCUUAACGUGACAAGUUCUUGAAUUGAAUGGCUUCUCUUUUUUUCAUAAAUCUUUGCUUAAUUUUUUUUGUUCUCUCAACCUUUUUUGGCCUUUCGCGCUAAAAUUCUUUUUUUGAUACAUUAUGCAAAAAUUAUGAUGAAAAUGAGUUACUUUAGAACAUCAAUAAAUUUUUAUUACAUCUAUAAUAAGACAACUAUAGUGAGAUUAUUCUUAUUUAGUUGAAUUAUAUGUAAUAAAAUUAGUUUAACAAAAUCUAACUCGUUAGUAUUCCAUAUCACAUGAUUAACGUAUUUAAAAAAUCUUAGUUGUUCCGUCGCUUGUUUUACAAUUCUUUUAUAUAUCUUUGAAACUUUCUGCUUUCUGACACAUCAUAUUGUUCUCAAUUCGUCAAAAUUAUUUGUUUCUUCAAACACUGCAGCAACAAUCGGUAUAAAAAAGAAUGAACUCAUUUAAUGGGAAUUUUUCUCAUUGGUCUAUUUCUCUUCGCACCUUAGGUUCCUCUAACAAACUUAAAAGAUGUUCCCCAUCCCACGUGUCUCCAAAUCUUCGUAUUUCCAAACAAACCUCUGCCAAAUAGAGAAGAGGAUGGCUUUUAUUGCAAACUGUAUGAGCGUUAUGGCCAUGCAUGGGACAUUGGAUCCAAAUGAAACCAAUGGAUUGUAAAGCAAAAUUACCGAUUAAAAAUUCAAACAAUUGAAUCGGUUUGGUGUCACUUAAAAAAAUAAAUAAUAUAUAAAACAACACAAUUAUCAUAUUAAUGAGCCACUGUUAAAUUCAUUCAGUCAGUAUUUUUCUUUUCCCAUUUUCAAUGAAUGCUUAAUAUGGAAAACAAUAUGUCCCAUUGAGCACUGUUUAAAUCAUUCCCUAGUUUGUUUAACACGCAAAGAAUAUUCUUAUUCAGCUCGGCAGCCAAUCCGUUAAAAUUUAUUAAAAUUCAUUUAAGUGAUGACUGUGAUAUGACUCGAUCAAUCGUUUAAUUUGUAUAAUUUAUAAAAAUUUGAGCUUCAAGUAAUGUAGAUAGAAUGGUUAAUUAUUUUAAUAUUAAGAUAAAUUGAUAUAUGUCAUUAUAUUAUGAGUGGAUGAAAUAUCCAAUAGAAAAAAAAAUGUUUAUAUUCGUCAUUUUUAGUGGGAAUCUAUUUAGUGUAACUUAUCCAUAAAAAUGGUUGACGACUUAUCUUGGUUCUCAUUUUGUUUAAUUUUCAUAAAUUUGACUAAUGAUUAAUUGUGAGUGAGUGGGGCUAAUUAUCCGUGGGGCGGCAUCAGUUGCUGCUUGAGUGGAGCUGCGCUUUAUCCAUAAAUCUGGUCUUCCAUUUAUUUUGUAGGAUUUAAAAGAUUAAAAAACUUUAAUACAUAUAAUUUUAUGUUCGAAACUAAAUACUGGUAGCAUUGCUGCUUCUAUAAAUAACUCAUUUGUGCUUCCAACAAUAAUUCACGUUUUUGUUUCUCUUCAUAAAGAUUUUCUUUUUUUUUCUUUUUUCCAUUCACUUUUUCUUCCAUUUUCCCGACUCCCAAACACCACUAAUCCUUGAUUUUCUAGAGUAUUAACUGUCCGUUUCUACGAACAUAGACCUACAGUUUGUCUAAAUACUAUCAAGAAACAACGUACUCUGUCGCGGGAUCUCUUCGUUUAUUGACUUUUGACUUGUGAACGGGGCUAAUUAAAGGGCGUUCCUUUCUUCAAGAAAGAAUGCAAAGAAAGUACUAUCCAUGAGACACGUUAAAAAUUAUUUUACAUAAAAAAUGAUAAUAAUCAUAAUAAUCGGUUAAGGAUCGACAAAAAUGUUAUAACCUAUAAAGCAUGGAUAAUUAAUUAAUGGGAAUGCACCUCUCAUCUUUACCAUUCUCUUUGUCAUUUUCAUAAUUCAGCUGUUUAUUAAUAAAGUGAAUAAAUUUAUCUUUUAAUAAUAUGUUUCUUGGCUGUUUUUUUGUGUAUUUUUGUGUACAAUUUUGUGUGCAAAUAGCAUUAUUCAUUAGUAAUUAGUUUGGAGUAGCUCAUUUUGAGCUUAGGACCUGUAACUAGUAUUUUAUGUUUCUGUUAAUCUUUAAUAAAGAUUUUCUCUAUUUUUUUUCCCUUUCACUUUCUCUUCCAUUUUCCCCGACUCCCAAACACCACCAAUCCUUGAUUUUCCAGAGUAUUAGCUCUCUAUUUCGACAAACGCAUAACUGUUGUUUGUCUAACUACUUUCAAGAAAUAACGUAGUCUGUGGUUUAUUGACUUGCGAACGGGGCUAAUUAGUCACGGUCCGAUUGUCUGACUUCUCCAUUGACUCGGUCAAUUCACGACCUUGACCUGUACAGUUGAUACAAACGGACUUCUCCAUUUGAGGUGUACAAAACUUUCUUGAGUCAUUUUGUUUGGUGAUGAUGAAUUGGAUGUCAGUUCAUGAGUUUCAUGAUGAAGAGGACCAAAAACAUUAUUUUAUUAUUUAAAGAAGACUAACAAUUAUUUCGAUGGUCAUUUUAUUUUUUAUUUUUAAAUAUCCAAGGUGCUUGACUUCUUUACACAGAAUUACAAAGCAAAAUAAUUAAGAAACUAAAUACUCGUCAUCCAAGUGAGAAGAGAUUGGGUUGUUGAUACAUUAAAUAAAAGAAAAAUCAAUUAAAAGCACAACAAUUCAAUAAUUUCAUUCUCAAUCAUAUAAAAAAUAAAAUUUACUGUACAUUGUUGUUCGGUUCUGUAAAAAAAAAAAAUUAUUAGGGAUUUGCAGUUUUUUUUAGUGUAAUUUUCGUUAAUUACAGUUUGGUCUGAAGGGUUAAGCACAUGGAUCAUAAUCAUAUUAUGGCCUAAGGAAGGAGCACAGUUCAUUGGCUGAACUCAGUUUACAGAAUAUUUUGGGAUUCAAGACUUCAGGUUGUUAAAAAUGCAACUUGCAAGGCUGUUGCUGCGUAACUGUAUGCAAUGCUGGCAAGUGUGCUAUAACAGAUUGUUGAGAUAGCACCAAAGAUUGUAAACUAAUUAGUACUGGAAAAUCCUAUUUGCACAAACAAUUGCACAAAAUAAAUAGAAUGAGAAUACUUAUGCAAAAAAAAUAAGAUUAAUAAAGUGAAUAAAUUUAUCUUUUAAUAAAAUAUUUCUAGUCUUUUAGUGUUUUCGUGUAUUUUUGUGUACGUGCAAAUAACAUUACUCAUGAGUAAUUAUGUUUUACGUUUCUAUUAUUUUCUAAUAAAGAUUUUAUCUGUUUUUGUUUUUUUCCCCCCUUUGAACGGGGCUAAUGUUGGUCUAACUGCUUUCAUGAAACAACGUACUCUGCGGUUAAAAUUAAUUGAUCAUUUUAUUUGGUGAUAAUGAAUUGGUUGUCAAGUCAUGAGUUUGAUGAUGCACAGGACGAAAAACGUUAUUUUAUUAUUUAAAAUAUGACUACCAAUUAUGUUGAUGGUCAUUUUAUUAUUUAAAAUAUGCAAAUGGAAUCUUACCGAACUAUAGUGCUUGACUUCUUCAUACAGUGCUUGACUUCUUUGUACAGAAUUAUAAAGUGAAAGAAAUUACGAAAUUAAAUACUUUUCAUGCGAGUGGGGGAGAAAUUCUGUAUAUUUAUGAAAUAACUAUUGAUUUCACUUCGGUAAUUACUUUUUAAAAGUAACGUAAACAUUUUUAUUUUAUUUGCAUUCGAGCUUUCUUUCUUUUUCGCUGGCCUUUACUCUUGACCGUAUUUUCAUGGGGCAUAUUCAAUCUGAAUCCUCUGCAAGUUUGUGGCAGUUUGGUUAGUUACGAACUUUUGUAGAAUUGCAUGAAGAUGACGCUUUUAUAGACAUUUUUUCUUUUUUCUUUUUUUCUUCAGUGAACAUAUUAAAAAUUUAGUUUUUUGUCAUCAUGACUAGAACAGUAAAAUGAAAAUAGUCCUCAUUUCGACGAUUGACAAAAAUGUUGUACUCAUACCGAUUAAUGGGACACUGAUUUCGUCUUCUUAAAAAAUUAUUAUUGCAGUGAGGUAAUUGGAUCGAAGAUGGACGAUUUCCAUAUUUGCCUAACCUAAGUGAUAAGAAUUUUCAUAUGGGACAUAAUCUGAUUUGUUUUGCUUGACUGUAUUCCAAGAGACAGUCAUAUCUACUAAAUGAAACAAAUCUUGCUUUUCUAGAGAAAUAAUGCAAUAUGCAAUUAUGCAUGAAGGUGCGCAUCCAUGUGAGAAAGUUGACGAAAGCUUCUUUUUCAGUAUUGUUGGAAUAAUGGUAUCGAUUGGAAUUGUAAGGAAAGAGGUCUUCGAGUCGUGGACAGCUGAACCGAAGAGAGCAGAUGAAUGCCCUUUGCAGAAGCAGGAAAUAAGCUGCCUAAAAGUAAGCAUUAGAUGAAUGCCCGAUCGAACACCACUAAUUCCAACAAUAUAUCAAAAAAAAUCUUUGAGUUUAAGGAAUUAAUUUUUUAAAUAUUUGAUAUAUGUCAUGUUCUGACUUAGUACAAGAAGAAAAUUAUAGAAUUUUUUUUUAAAUUAAUGGAAUUAUUUUACGAUAAAACAAUCACAAUCACAAUUAAAAAUAUUCUUUAAAAUUUCACUAUUUCUACUGUUAUUCUUUAAACUCUUUCUGAACAGAGCAUGAAGAGUCACUUAUCUAAAUAUGUUUUUUUUGUGCUUUCACUUCACUUGAUUCAUCUUAUCCCUCUUUUAUAGAACCUGCAACUCGUAUUUUACGUUUCUGUUACUUUCUCUUCCAUUUUCCCAACUCCCAAACACCAUCAAUCCUUGAUGUUACAGAGUAUAUUAAUUAAUUAAUGGGCCACUAAUUCUUCUUCUUAAAAGAAAAUUUUUGUAGGGAAAUUGGAAAAAAGGCUAAUUCAAUUUAAUUUUGAUAGGUGCGACAGAAGGAUAGGACCGUCCAAUUAAAUUGCAAGUGGGCAUUCCCACCAUUCGUGUCUCAUGCUUGUCAUAUUUAAAUUUAAAAAUCACACCAUGUCAGUAUGGUGAUGAUGUGGAAUUGUUUCACCGAAAUUUUUAUUUCGAUGGUGGCCAUAAUAAUUAGACUACUGAUUAAGUUGGUUGUGACAUAAAAUCAACGUUGUAUAAUUUUUUGGAUAUUAUCUCAAUUUUACUUCUGUAGGUUUGUUUUUUUGUAUAUUAUCUCAAUUUUUAAAAAAAUGUAAUUGCAAUUAUCAAACACGACUAAUCCCAACAAUUUAUCCAAAAAAAUUUUAUGAUAGAAUUGGCUAAUUUUUUUAAUCGACUUUCUGGAUAAAUGAUAAUUUUUUUGAUAGAAAUGUUACUUAAGUAUUACAGGAAGAAAAUUAUAGAAUAAUUUUUUGAAUUAAUAGUAUUACUUUACGAUAACACUAUCACAAUCUAAUUUUAAAAAAAUAAAGUUAUUCUUUAAAUUUCGCAUUACUAUUCCUACUUUUCUUGUUAUACUACUUAAUGGCACUGGUGAAGCCUCGAAUUAUCAAACAAAAAAGCAAAAAUAGUUCAAUAUCUGCUGUCCCACUGAGCAUUGUUAAAUUCAUACCAUAACAUGAGUACUUAUAUUAAAAAAAACAAUCGGUCUCAUUGCGUGCUCUUUCAUUGACAUAGGCAAUUUGCUGUCAACUUGUGGCACUUUUAUGAAUUUUCAAGACGGGUGAAUUUUUCAAAUUUAAAAGAAAAAAAUACAGAAAUGUAAUUUCAAUUUAUCCAAAAAUUUGAGUUUCAAGGAAUACAACAUUUAUUAUAUGUCAUGUUAAUAUAGAGAAGAAAAUUUUAAAAACUUCUUUUUGGAUGAAUAAAAGUAUUUUCUGAUAAAUAUUUCACAAUCAAAUUUAAAAAAUUUCACUCCUCUUGGUACAUAAUUUAAGAAUUUAAGAUUAUAAAUUAAUCUUUUUAAUCAAAGUAAUAAUCUCUCCUCGGUCUGCAAAUGCUAAAAUUUAAUAUUAUAUCCAUUGACAAUAUUUGCUCCAAAUUCACGAAAAUAAAAUUUCUAACAAAAUUAUGGAAUUCGUUACUAGAAAUUUGUAUAAAAGUUGUGAGAAUAGAAGGUUUGAUCAUAGGAAAUUAAUAUAUCCCUAUCCGAUGCAAAAAUGAUUGUAAAGAAAAACAAAAGUCAUGGGCUUAUUUAGAAAAAAAGAAAAAAUUACAUUCCAUUUUCCAGUUAUUAAAGUAAUUCUAAAAUCGCUAGGAUCACAAAGGAUAAGUUUUGGUUGACUGAGGUCAGCCUUAACGCAUGCCGGUCUUUUUCUCCUCUACAUUCUUAGAAAUUUUGGUUUCACUAUAAAUACUCGGUAUAUAGCAAACUUAUAAGUGUUCUUGCAUUACCAAUCCAACUAAGCACACGCUUACAAUAUAAAUACUCUCAUCUCAUGGAAAGAGCUCAUUCUCUCAUGAUGAUGAGCAGAUUUCUCUUACUCCAUUGUUUGAUUCUUAUUUCCUUAUUUAUCGCGGCAGCAACAGCCAACACAAGUUCUACUAUCACGGACCAAGAUGCUCUGUUGGCCCUGAAAGCUCACAUAACUCAUGAUCCGACCAAUUUCUUGGCCAAGAAUUGGAACACAAGUACUCCUGUCUGUAAUUGGACAGGCGUCGCUUGUGAAGUCCAUAGCCAGAGAGUCACAGUCUUGAAUAUUUCAAGCUUAAAUCUCACAGGCACCAUCCCUUCUCAACUUGGGAAUCUUUCUUCUCUGCAAUCACUCAAUCUCAGUUUUAACCGACUUUUUGGUUCCAUUCCCUCCGCCAUCUUCACCACAUAUACACUGAAAUAUGUUUGUCUCCGUGGAAAUCAGCUCUCCGGCACUUUCCCUUCUUUCAUCUCCAACAAGUCUUCUUUACAACAUCUUGAUCUUAGUAGCAAUGCACUGUCUGGUGAAAUUCGUGCAAAUAUUUGCAGUAAUCUUCCUUUUCUGGAGUACCUUGCUUUCUUCAAAAACAUGUUGCAUGGCGGCAUACCGUCCACGCUAUCAAAUUGCACAUAUCUGCGAACGUUAGAUUUUUCAUACAAUGAUUUCUCGGAGGCCAUACCUAAAGACAUCGGCAAUUUGACCAACCUUAAGGAAUUAUAUCUUGGCCGUAACAGACUCCAAGGUGCGAGUAAUCACGGAGUUUAAUUAUGAAAAUUGUUCCAUAAGUUGUAUUAUGAAUAAUGUUCCAUAAGAUAAUUUGCACGCGUUGAUUAAUUUGCAGGAGAAAUUCCUCGAGAAUUUGGCAAUCUUCCCGAAUUGGAGCUGAUGUCGUUAGCAGCAAACAAUCUCCAAGGUAUGAUUAGAAACUUUUUGCAAUUUUUUUCUAGCCUCUGCUUGCUUCUGUAUUCAUUCGUUUGUUCAUUAAUUAUGCUAUGAUUUAUUGUUUUUCUUUCAGAUGGAGAUAAAGCUCCAUGUCUCUCCUCACUCAUUUCAUUUCUUAAUUUAUGCAGAUAAAAAAAAAAUUGUUUUGUAAUUUUCUUUUGUCAUAUUGCCACUUCCGUUUUGAAGCUCCCAAUUAAGUCGAUGAAAAUGAAUGAUGUUUCAUUCUUAUUCUUGUCAGCCUAAUUCUUAUAUAAUUGAAGAGUAAAUUGUUAUUAUGAUAUUCGUCAGCCAAUAAAUUCUUUUUUUUUUCCCCCCAAAUAUGAGUGAUCAAAUUGUUUGCGCAUAUAUAUAUGUACUUAAUUUGCAGGAGGUAUUCCACACGAAUUGGGGAAUCUUGCAAAAUUGGAGAUCUUAGAGCUGUUCGAGAAUAACUUGACCGGUAACUUUCUUUACGAUAUAUAUAUGAGACAUCUUCCGCUUCUUAAUUAAAAGAUUUCAAGUCUCUCAUUAUAAAAUAUAAAUUCUCAUAUGAGGAUGUGUAGUUAUCACUAUCUAACAUUAUUCCGUUUUUUAUUAGAAAUUAGUUUGUGUUAACUCAAAAUUCCAUAGCAUUUAAAAAAAAAUUAAAAACACGUAGAAUAAAUCGUCAAUCUUUCUUCUUUACUGAAUUUGGAUUUCUCAAAAAUUAUCUGCACAAGUAUGGUUCACUAAUGAUAUACAUGUGUGACAACUUCAUAAAAUAUUUCACUAAUUAUCUUUAAAUAAUUGGAGAUACCAUCAGUGAUACAUAAUUUCCUAACAAGCACCAUACCAAAAGAAAUCAACAAUUUUUUUAAUAUUAAAGAGUUACAUCUUCACUGCAAUUAUGGCAUAAUUUUUCAUCUAAAAAAAUUUUUAGUCAUCAAUCGCAUAAUAUUUUAUCUUAACGGUUGAUGUUCAAUCUUGGAAUUUAUAAUAUCUUGAAGGUUAGUAGCUAUUAAAAUUAGAAAUUGUUUAUUUGCUAAAAAGUUAACUUAGUGUUUAAGCUUUUCAAUUGAAAAUUUUGAAACAAAUGUUGAGAACUGGUCCUCCUUAGAAUUUCAGCGGAUAAAUAUGAAAAUAGACUUGAAAAAAAAUUAUUUUACUGAAAUAAUAGUUAAAAAGAGAGGAGAAGUACAGUACUCAUGACUUGGGCUUGCUGUGUCCUUAUUUUAUCUGACUAUUGGUACUAAUAAUAUUUAUAAUUACUUAGUAAAAAUAUAAAUUUAAUACUUUGUUAACAUUUUAUCUACGUAUAAUAAUUAAACUGAAACUUGUAUUUAAAACAUUUGAGUUACGUAUACUCAUUUCAUGACAUAAAAGUGUAUAUUUAUACUAAUUUACCAUUAUCAAUAAAAUGCUUUGAGACAAAUAAUCUAAUUUAUAUUAUUAUAUUUAAAAUACUUGCUUUUAUUAUAUUUUGAAAAAAAAUUAUUUGCAAUUAUUUUAAACCUUUGGAUUCAAUUUUUCUUAGUUAUAAAUGUAAAAUAGUCAAAAACAUAUUUGUAUGAUCAUUUUUCAAUGUAUAAAUUUUCUUGGUUAGUAGGAAAAUUAGAAAUUGUUGAUUUACUCAUAAAUAAAUUUAGUCUUUAGCAUUUCAAUUUUGGAAAACUUGAACUAAUUGUUGAUAACUUCGAAUCGGUCGAGCUUCGCUUCGCUUCCUUGUCCCACGGGCCUAUUGAAAGUUCUAUUUGAAUUGAGCUUCUUUUCAGCGUCACCACAAUUUAUUCACAAAUGAGUUGAUUAGAGUCGAAGUUGCCUGAGAGUCUAAGACCAUGUUAGUAGGAUAAAUUUGAAAAGAAAUUAUUUUACUGAAUUAAUUUAUUUUAUCUUGCUGUAAUUGAAAUACUACUCUUUUUUUUUGGGCUAUCACUGGGGCUUGAUUUACUUUAAGAGUCGCAGCCACCGACUUAGGCUUUUUUACUUCUCACCACACAAUUUGAUCUUUUAAUUCGUUUUAACCACAUAAUCUAUCUAUCUCUUACUUAAAUCGAAUACAUGUUUUACCUACUAAUUUUUACAAAUAUUAAUCAAAUAUAUUUUAUUACAUUUCUCUCGUAACUGCUCUAAAUGUGCACUAUUAAUACUUAACCCUCCCUUUUAAUUUACCGUGCAAUCUAUCUACACUUAAAUCACAUAUAUAUUUUACCUAUAGUUUACCCAAAAAAAAAAUAUAAAAAUAAAAAUAAAAGAAUAUGUGCAGCAAUUUGUAUAUAACUAACAAAGCAUUGAUGGUGUGUAGCCUUUCAAUACUUCAUGAGUGGCUUUUCUUGUGUGUUAGUACUUGUAAUAAUUGUGUAGUGUAUAAAUGACCUUUUAUUACGAAAUUGCGUCUGUUUUUUGAAUUAUUUAUUAUUUGAAAAAUAAUCUAAAUAUAAUUCUAUUAAAAUACAGGGAAGAUACCACUUAAAAUCGGCAAUCUCCGAAAUCUGGAGAAGUUGGACAUUGGUGAUAAUAAAUUAGUUGGUAUUGCCCCAAUCGCAAUCUUCAAUGUGUCAACACUCAAAAUUCUUGGCCUUCAGGACAAUUCUCUCUCGGGAUGUCUUUCGUCCAUUGGAUACGCCCGACUUCCAAAUCUUGAAAUCCUUUCUUUAUGGGGUAAUAAUUUCAGUGGCACAAUUCCUCGUUUCAUCUUUAAUGCUUCUAAGCUCUCUAUACUAGAUUUGGAAGGUAACUCAUUCUCCGGUUUUAUUCCCAACACAUUUGGCAACUUAAGAAACCUUAGUUGGCUGGUUUUAUCUGAUAAUUAUUUGACAUCUUCAACUCAAGAAUUGAGCUUUCUAUCCUCGUUGUCAAAUUGCAAGUUUUUAAAAUAUUUUGACUUAUCAUAUAAUCCAUUAUAUAGAAUUCUUCCAAGGACGACUGUCGGUAAUCUUUCUCAUUCUUUGGAAGAAUUUAAAAUGUCCAAUUGUAACAUUAGUGGUGGCAUCCCUGAAGAGAUAAGCAACUUGACCAACUUGAGAACCAUUUAUUUAGGGGGCAAUAAAUUGAAUGGAUCAAUUCUGAUUACUCUCAGCAAAUUACAAAAGCUUCAAGAUUUGGGUCUUAAAGAUAACAAAUUAGAAGGAUCAAUCCCAUAUGAUAUUUGUAAUUUGGCUGAACUGUAUAGAUUGGAUUUAGAUGGGAAUAAGCUUUCUGGAUCAAUCCCUGCAUGCUUCAGUAAUCUGACUUCUCUGAGGAUAGUGUCGUUGGGUUCCAAUGAGUUAACUUCUAUUCCCUUAACUUUUUGGAACCUUAAGGAUAUCUUGAACCUCAACUUUUCAUCAAAUUUUUUGACUGGCUCACUCCCAUUAGAGAUUGGAAGUUUGAAGGUUUUGGUUGGAAUUGAUUUAUCGAGGAAUAAUUUUUCAGGCGUUAUCCCAACAGAAAUUGGAGGCCUAAAAAAUCUAGAAUAUCUCUUUUUAGGAUAUAAUAGAUUGCAAGGCUCGAUUCCUAAUUCUUUUGGUGAUUUGAUAAGUUUGAAAUUCUUGAAUUUGUCCAAUAAUAAUCUCUCUGGGGUUAUUCCUGCAUCUUUAGAGAAACUCUCAUAUCUUGAAGAUCUAAAUCUUUCUUUCAACCAGCUAGAAGGAAAAAUUCCUAGAGGAGGAUCUUUUGGAAAUUUCUCAGCUCAAUCAUUUGAGGGAAAUGAAUUAUUAUGUGGUUCACCCAAUUUACAAAUCCCGCCAUGCAAAACUAGCAUCCACCACAAAUCAUGGAAAAAAUCUAUUCUCUUAGGGAUUGUCUUGCCAUUGAGUACUACAUUUAUGAUAGUAGUCAUUUUGUUAAUCCUAAGAUAUCGACAAAGGGGAAAACGACCAUCGAAUGAUGCUAAUGGGCCACUAGUAGCAUCAAGGAGAAUGUUUUCAUACCUAGAACUAUGUCGAGCAACAGAUGGAUUCAGUGAAAACAAUCUAAUCGGCAGAGGAGGGUUUGGCUCUGUUUAUAAGGCAAGCCUUGGGGACGGGAUGGAGGUUGCAGUGAAGGUCUUCACUUCGCAAUGUGGAAGAGCAUUUAAGAGUUUCGAUGUUGAAUGUGAAAUCAUGAAAAGUAUUCGCCAUCGAAACCUUAUCAAAGUUAUUAGCAGUUGUUCAAAUGAAGAGUUUAAAGCAUUGGUAUUAGAAUACAUGCCUCAUGGAAGUUUGGAGAAGUACUUGUAUUCAAGUAACUGCAUUUUGGAUAUUUUUCAAAGAUUGAACAUAAUGAUAGAUGUUGCAUCAGCUUUAGAAUAUCUGCACUUUGGUUACUCAGCUCCAGUAAUUCAUUGUGACUUAAAGCCCAGCAAUGUGUUGUUAGACGAUAAUAUGGUUGCUCAUUUGAGUGAUUUUAGCAUCGCAAAAAUGUUAACUGGAGAAGAUCAAUCUAUGAUUCAAACACAAACACUUGCCACAAUAGGCUAUAUGGCACCAGGUUUGUUCAAUAUGAAUAUUUUAUAUUUCUUGUUAACUUCCUAACAAGUUAUUUAUGUUUCAUGAUCUUUAUUAGAUGAGGAAAUUCUUAUUAAUGAUAUAUCUUACUAUGUAAAUGUUGCAAUUCAUAGAGUAUGGAAGAGAAGGACGAGUAUCCGCAAAUGGAGAUGUUUAUAGCUUUGGGAUUAUGUUAAUGGAAACUUUUACUGGGAAGAAACCCACAGAUGAAAUUUUUAAUGGAGAAAUGACAUUAAAGCAUUGGGUUAAUGAUUGGCUACCCAUUUCCACUAUGGAAGUUGUUGAUGCUAAUUUGCUAAGUCAGGAGGACAUACAUUUUGUUGCAAAAGAGCAAUGUGUGUCAUUUGUCUUCAAUUUGGCUAUGGAGUGCACUAUGGAAUUUCCUAAGCAGAGAAUCAAUGCAAAAGAAAUUGUAACAAAACUCUUAAAAAUUAGAGACUCAUUACUUAGAAAUGUUGGAGGCAGAUGUGUAAGACAAUCAAAUUUAAAUUGAUUCUGGCCCUCCUUCAUUGCUUGCUAUCCUUUUCAGAGACUUGAACGGUUAUCCUUCAUACAACUUUUGUUGAUAUGUUUUGUUACUGCUCUUGCUUUCUUUAAUUUGCAUGCAUGUAUUUUUCGUUCUCCUUUAUGUUUUUGUUGGUUUGAAUGUAGUUUGUUUUUAGGGGUAAGGUUGAUUAUGCCCUCUCCUAAUUACACGUAUCCUUUUUAUGUUUAUUCAAUAAAGCUUCUCUAAUACUAUUGAGGUUCAUCAAAAGAAAAUUUUAAAUUAAUUUUCUUUUCUUUGACAGGUAAUGAAAUUCUAAUCUUCAUAGAGAAUAACUUCAAUAAUAGAGUGUAAGAGUAUUAGUAGUUAUGGUUGUUUUCUGAACCUGGAGUCAAGAGCAAUUUGACAGCAACAAACAAGUCUCUUGUAUUAUAGGCAAAAUUCUUUUCAUUAAUCUUAUUUGUCCACAUGUUCUCCUAUUUUCUCCAUUAAUCUUCGCUCAAGGUUUCAUGCUUCCUCUUUGAUAAAGGAAAAUAUUACUCGCGGAUAUUUCAAAUUUUCAAUUUGACACGAGAGACUGUUUUGCCAGCCAUUUGAUAAAAUGGAUAUGAGUAGAGUUUUCAAUCAUUACCUCCACCAAAAUACUUACAACGCCACUUUUAAUUUUUUUUUAAAAUACAUUCAGUUUAAUUUAUAAAAAAAUAAAUCCAUUUGUUAAAUUUAAUCUUUUUCUCAUAAAUUUCAACCUAAAAAUAUAUUCCUUAUCUAUUUUUAUUAUAAAAUUCAUGCAAGUCCUAAACUAUUAAAUUAUUUUCUUCUUAUUAUAUAGUUUAUAUCUCCAUAACUCUAAACUCCCAUAAUUUUUUAAAAAUAUAUUUUUUAAUUUAAAAUAUAAAUAUAAAAUAGAGAAUGGAGUGGGUUAAAAAAUUGUUAAAAGAAUAAUUCAUUUAAGUAUUUAACUGAGUUUUAAAUUAAAAAUAAGAAAUAAAUUAAUUUAUUUUUUAUUAGUUAAGUAAUUUUCAAUUGAAAAAGAGCAUGAGUAAUAUUAUUGAAAUAUGAUUAAGUUCGUAUGAAUUAAACAUUUUUGUAUAAAUACUAGAGAUAAUUAUAGAGAAAGUACAAUGAAGUGAAAAAACUUAAACAUAAAUACUCUAGUAUAAUUUUACACACGCAAAUUAUGAACCAAUAAUCUUUGGAGCAUCAUAAAAUUGUUUUAACACAAUUAAUUAGUUUGAAAAAUUGCCAAUAAUGUCUAAAGUGGGAUUUAAAGGAUUAUACUACAUAUAUAAGACAUGAUAUCAUUUAAGACGACUUACAGAUUAUGAGAAAUAUAUUUAUCUUACAAACAUUUAAUAUGUUAAUUAGAUUGAGUCUAUGCAAUAAAAUUUUCAAAUUAAAAAAUAAACCCUUUAUUUUCUUUUAAUCAUAAGCGUGAUCUUAAUUAUUAAAGUCAUUCAAUGUCCAUUACUUAUUAUUUUUUUAAUUACCUAAAUGACAUUGAAAACUCUACUCAAUAGUAAUUCAUUCAAAUGUUUUGUUUUAAAGUAAUCGGAAACUGCAAAUGAAACAAAUGCUUGAAAUCACAAACGGCCUAAAAUUAGAUUUUUAUUUUUUCAAUGUUGCAGUGACUUUGAUCUUGAUAUUGAAAAUUUAUUUGUAAUUUAUAUAAAGGCCUCAAUUUCAUUAUAAUUGGUUAGUAAGGCUACGUAGUGAGCAUGGAUAAAUUUUGGGAUUGGAUUAUAUUUUUGGAACUAAAAAAUUAAUUUAAUCAAAUGUUAUAUUUGGCUGUCAGGACUAGCAACUUAGUCUAAAAUUAUUGAAAUUGUUAAUCUUUUAUAUUAUAAUCUUUUCGUUCCCACUUUAAACAUCAUUGGUAACUUAAAUAAUUUUUUUAAAAUUAAAUAUAAAAAUUAAUUUAAUUAAAUAUAAAAAUCAUUUAAAUUAAAUAUUAACAUUAAUUUCAUAAUUUUUUACCUAGAAUUUUAUAUUAUAUUAAAUACUAAAAUUCUAUUCGAUAAUGUAUAAACAUUUAUUUAAUAAAUGUUUAGGUUUUUAGUAUGUUAUAUUAUUAUUUAAAUUAUUUUUUAUUUACAUAUGAACAUAAAUUAAUAUUUACUAAUUUAAAUUUAUUAUAAUUUGUUAAAUAAUAAAAGCUAAAUGAUUAUAUUGAAAAUCUAAAUAGUAUUAUAAUGUAUUAUAGUAUAAAUCUUACCCCCAAUGAGUUUAUUUUAUACACCUUUUAUUAUAUUAACACAUUUAUAAUGCAGUGCAAUGCAUCAAAAAAUUAUAACCAAAUAUGAGUUAGAAUGAAAAUAAUAUUUUAGUACAAUAUAAUACAAUGUAAUGUAAGUUGACAAAUAAAUAUUUAAUGGAAGCAAAAAUUGCAUAUGGUUUGUGGGUCUCUCAAAAGACAACAAAGAAACCAAUACGAUACAUUGAUUAUGUCCUCUUUAAUGGUGUCUUUACUAAAUGAGAAUUAGAAUGAGUUAGAAUUGGAAUGGACUUGAUUUGAAAUAAGGAAUUAUAAUCAAAAUAAGUUGUUUAUUUAAGUUGUAUGAAUCGGAAUCGGAAUAAAUUUUACUCAAAUUGAUGUGUUUAGUUUCUCUUAAAAUUAUAAUAGACUAUUACAUGUUACUAAAAAAUCAUUUGGUAAUUGUUGUCUCUAGUAUUAUUUGUAUAUGUUAUAUUGUUAAUAAUAAUAAGAAUAAAAAUAAUACUAAAAAUGAAAAUAAUAAUAAUAAUAAUAGAGACAAUAAUAAUAAAUUUAAUAAAUCAUUAUUAUUAUUAUUACUAGUAGUGAAGACCGCCCAAUGAAGAUUGGAUAGUGAAGCUGAAGACGAUGAAGAUCCCGGCAACCAAUUUCUGCUUCAAAGAUGAUGUGCCCAAAUGGAGACAACCAGUUAUGAUCAGCCAACUAGAUCCCAAUCUCGAUGUUGUGAUCUCACAUGACCACUGAUAAAGCAAUGUGUGAUGCUGGUGUUAUGAUUUCUUUUUUAUUUAUAUUUUUUAAUUUAUUGGGGUGUAUUUUCAAAAUUUAGUAAUUUUAAUAUGAGCAAAUUGUAUAGUUCAGUGAACAAGAGACUGAUUUCCAACCAUCCUAAAAAUUAAUCUCCCAUUCUCUCUCUCUAAUUUGAUGUGGAUUCCAGUAUUUCGAUUCCAAUUCUUACAUUUAUUUGUCAAGUAAAUGAUGUUAAUGAUUUCAAUUUUUAGUUCGAGAAGUAAACACAUCACAAUAUUUUUUUAGAUGCUUCCAUGGCAUAAUCUCAUUGAUCCAUUUUUCUUCACGCCUUAGAUUCAACUUCAAGAUUCAAGAUUCAAUUUGAAGCAAACACAACUACAAAACAAAUAUAAUUAGCGUUAAUAAGCCUGUGGCUAACUGGCUGUGGCCAUGCAAUUGUAACUCAUAGUGACCGAAUCAUAUCUUAUUAUCUUACGCCAGAAGUUAAACAAUGUUCUCAUUCCACGUGUCACUCUCUGACCAAUCCCCAAACUUUCUUUGUAUUUCCAAAGAAACCCUUACAAAGUCAAGAUAAUUACCUUCACUCUACUCGUAUAAAUACUAUCCUCGAUUCGACUGAUGACGACGUAUCCUUACAGUCUUUAUUUAAAGGGAAAAUUAUAAAAAUUUCUCCUCGUUACCUAAAAAUCUAGGUUUCUCAAGAAUCGCUAAACCUAGAUCCCAAUCCUUGAAAAUCUCAAUUUAACCUCCCUAGCGUUUCGAUUGUCGAGGAUUCGCUUCAAAAUUUAGUAUUUUUUAGUGGAUUUUGCUUGUCUCGUAUCCUUAAAUUGUUGUUCGGUUCUGAAAAUAAUUUGGAUUUUUAGGGAUUUUCAGAUUAUUGGGUUUUGUUGAGUACAAUUUCGUCUAGUUACGGUUUCAGUUUGAAGGGUUAAAUGCAAUUUCGAUUUUUUUUUAUAAAAUUAAAAUUAAAAUUCAUAAAACGAUUGGGCGUUUAAUAAUUAAUUGAUGGCUAGCGAUACUACAACGGCGGCCGUAGCUCCGGAAGAAGCAGAGGCGGUGGAGUAUGGUAGGGUUCCAGAUGACGGGAAACGCUCUCUUGUGAUGCUCAGAAGGGAAGCCACUGAUGAGGAGGAGGCGGGGGAUGAGAGAUAUUCAGAGCUUCCAAUCGCUCAAAGUGUGCAUAUUCCUGCGGGAGAAGCGGAGGCUGUGGAUGAGUAUGAGAGCGAUCCAGAUGAAGUGGCACACUCUCUCGUUCUGCGCAGAAGGGAAACAAGCGAUGAGGAGGAGGAGACAGAAUUUGAGCGUCGAAUUAAUUGAAGGGUCCAAAUUCAUUCUUACGAUGAAUCUGAUGGCCAAGGUGGUGCUUCAGCUGAGUAUGAUGAUGAUGAAGAAGGCGAAGAGGAACAUGACAGAAUUAGAAGAAGAUGAUGAAGAAGGGGAUGUUUAUGAGGAUGAAGAGGGGGCGGUUAAAGUCAAAGGAAUAGAGGGUAAUGAUGCAAGAGGAGUACGGAGGGGGCAGUGGAAGUGAGUAAAGGGAAUAAUGAUAAUGGCAAUGUUGCUAAAAAAAUGAUGCAGUGGAGGGAAUGGAGGAAGAGAAGAAGGAGAGUAGUGAGCCUUUUGCACAGCAGCUGGGCUUUUUAUAUGGGACAAUGUUGCAGGUCGACACAGGUAUUAUUUGGUUUGAGCGACAAUUAAUAAAUAACUGAUAGUGUACUUUCAUUAGGGCUUGUCAGUUAGUCUAGUCUCGUUUUUUGGUGCUGUAUAAUGAUUGUUUGCUGGAAUCUGUCUAGAAUGCUUUUGGCCUAGUAGGUUGAAAGGAGAGAAAGUUCUCAAAUAAACGUCCGUGCUUUGUGGAAUGUAAUUAAUAGGUACAAAGCAUACUAAAUUACUUGACAGAUAGAUGCCGAGCUAAUCAUGAGCUAUUAUAGCAUUAUCCGUGCUUUGUGUAUUUUUAUUAGGGCUUGUCUAUUUCAAAGUGUGCAGUGUAGAAUUUUUGGGUUAAGUUUGAGUGAUGAAGUGUUAGGUAGGUUUCUGUUUGGCGUAGUUAAGUGGUUAAUAUGAGCUAUCGAAGCAAAUACAGAGUAGGAUAUCUAGUUUUGGGUUUGGUCUUAGUUUGAAGAUGGUACUGAUUAUGCAGCUAGGUACGUAUUAGUGUUUGUGGAUUUCUAAAUGCUUUCUGUCAAAUGUGACUAGAUUAUUACUAGAAGUAUAUGGAUCUUACACUUAAUUGAUUACAUAUCCAUUUAUAAUGUUCAAAAUGAUAAUAUACUAUUACUUAAAAUUAUGCUUUCAAGACAUCAUUUUGAAAAUCCAUGGUUGUAAUGUGUCUCUAAAUUCAGUAAUACAAGUUCUGUCAAUUACUGUUGGAUGCAGUGACCUGAAUAGUUUAAUAUUCAUUUGCAGAAAAAAGUUGAGAAAGAAAACUAAAAAUUUCCGUGCGUUCUGCUGGAAAUUUAAUUAGCUUCAUUUGAGCAUUAAUUGCCGGCAUGAUCUCUUAGACUUCUCUUGCAUUGAAUGAAUGGAUGAGUGCUAAUCCAUGCAAAGACUUCCAUGCAUGCACAACGAAUGCUAAAUCUAAGGUAUGGUAAAAUGUCUAGCAAGCUUGGCCCAAAUUAUCAAGCUGGUUUGGUGGCUGCUAGAUUUGUUCACCCGGAUUUUGGACCAUUUUCCUUGACAAUGAGAAAAGCUCCAAGAUCUGUAAAUUGAAGACUCACUGAAAGAUCCAAGUUUCAGGUAACUCUUGUGUUGUGUGCUCGGAGUAUUCUCUAUUGUAUUUUUUUUGUUUGUUAUUUAUUUGACAUAUUACUAGCAGAGAUCUUGGGUGGGAACCAAAAAUUCCCAACAAUUGUCAAUUGUUUUAAACUCUAUUCUGAACAGAGCAUGAAGGGAUUCACUUAUCUAAUUAUUGCUUUUAUGCUUUAACUUCGCUUGAUUUCAUCUUUUCCGUCACCUUUAUUAAAGUUGUAUAUGUUGGAGUGUUAGGUUCAUCAUAAGGAUCAUAUUAUGGCUAAGGAAGGAGCACAGUUUAUCAGCUGCACUGAAGUGUAGCAGAGAAUUUGGAUUCAAGACUGAUGCAAGGCUGUUGCUGUGUAAUUGUAUGCCAUGCUUGCUAGUGCACUCUAAUAGAUUGCUGAGCUGGCACCGGAUGUUUUUAGCUAAUAUUAGUAAUUAGUCUAGAGUGUUCGAUUUAUUCUAUAAAUUGCUCAUUUGAGCUUAGAACCUUUAAAGUGUAUCACACGAUUCUGUUACUUCUAAUACAGAUUUUCUCUAUUCCUUUUUCUAUCACUUUCUCUUCCAUUUUCAUGAUCCCCAAACACCAUCAAUCCAUGAUUUCUAGAGUAUUAGCCGUCAAUCCAUGAUUUUCUUGUUAUUUUUUCUUUCACUUUCUCUUCCAUUUUCCCACUCCCCAAACACCACCAAUCCCUGAUUUUUUGAGUAUUAGCUGUCUAUUUCUACAAACAUAGAAGUGCUGUUUGUUUGUCCAAUUACUUUCGAGAAACAAAACUCUCUGUCCUGUGGUCUUUUCGUUUAUUGACUUGUGAGUAAAUAAGAUAUUGGGCCAAUGGACUCAACGUGACAAGUUCUUGAAUUGAAUGGCUCCUCUUUUCUCCAUAAAUCUUUGCUUAAUUUUUUUGCUCCCUCAACUUUUUGGGCCUUUUGCGUUAAAAUUCUUUUUUUGAUACAUUAUGCAAAAAUUAUGAUGAAAAUGAGUUACCUUAGAAGAUCAACAAAUUUUUAUUACAUGACAAGACAAUUAUACUUAGAUUACUCUUAUUUAGUUGAAUUAUAUGUAAUAAAAUUAGUUUAACAAAAUCUAAUCCGUAAAUAUUCCUUAUCACAUGAUUAACGUACUUAAAAAUCUUAACGGAUUGGUCGCUUGUUUUACAAUUCUUUUAUAUAUCUUUGAAACUUUCAGCUUCCUAACACAUCAUUUGUUAGAGUGCAAUUUAUGCACUAGUUUUGCAUUGUUUACUUCCCUUAAUAUCGAUGUUUUGCACUUAAUAAUAUUGAUUUACUUGUGUUUUACUUUUGUAUAAUGAUGGCAAUGGGGUGGGGUGGGGGUGGGGAGGCCUACCCCAUUCCCCACCCCGUUAGAAAUUUUUACCUCUAUUCCCCACCCCAUUCCCCAAUAAAUUUAGUGGGGUGGGGAUGGGGAAUCCCCAUGUGGGGAAUGCUUUCCCCAUUCCCACCCCAUUCCCCAUUUAUCUAUUUUAUAUUAUGUAUAAAUAUAUGAUUUCAGUAAGUUAAAAAUUAGAGACUUAAAAUAAAAUCAUCACCAUAUUAUAAAGUAUUUAAAUUCUUUUUAAAAAAAUAUCUAAAAGUUUGAACCAAUAUCUUAAAAUAAUAUUAAAAGUAAAAAAAUAUUUAAAGAGCGUAGCACUUUAAAAGAGAAAAGAAAAUAUAACAAUGUUUCAUAGUUGAAAAAUAUUAUAGGGUUUUUUUUCAUUCAUAUCCUGUUUAUAUUGCAUAAAAAUUAAAAAAAUAUUAAUUGACAUUAUAAUUCAUAAAAUAAAAAUUAUUAAAUAAGAAUUAAAAAUAUAUUUAUAUAUAAUGGGGAUUGGGGUGGGGGUGGGGGUGGGGUGGGGAGUGCAAAACCAAACCCCACCCCAUUAAGAAUUUGGGGAUUAUUUUUCCCCCACUCACCACCCCAUUCCCCAUAAAUUAUUCAAAAUUUUAUCCAUUUGGGGUGGGGCUCCAUGGGGCCCCAAACCCGUGGAGGAUUUUGCCAUCCCUACUUUUGUAGGUGCAAUUCUAUUGAUUGGUGAUAAAAUUGAGCUAUAAGAUUAUGUUUAAGGAUGAUUGUUCUCUUAGAGAAAUUAUGAGCGUCAGAAGAACUCUGUUGAUAAGGCGUGGGCGCGUACUGUCAACUGCGGACCUGCAGUUUUUAGUUUAACGUGUUUUGUAUUUUUGGUUAUUUUUGUAAUUACGAAUUUAAUAUUUCAGAUAUUAGGAUUUUAUUUUAAAUAGAAUUAUAAAAGAGAAGAGAGAGAGAGUAUUUAAGGGAGGAAUCUAUUGUGAAAAAGGGGGAUUUUUGGAUUGGAGAAAAAGAAAGAAACCCUAGAUCUAAUUUUUCUCUUCUCUCUAUGAGGAACUAAACCCAUUUUUCUGGUUGAAGGUUAAUGAAGCUUUGAUUCAUCACUACUGUGAGACCUUUCUUGUGCUUUAAUUGUUUUAUUGCUUUUUAGAUAUUUGUUUAUUCUCUGAAUUAUUUUCAUGAUUAUGUUUGUUAAUUAGGUAAUUGGCCACUAUUUAAUUAUCAACUUAAUCUAUUGUCAAUUAAAGGAUUCAUCGUAUGAAGAAUUUAAUGUUUGUGACAAAUAACAUAGCAGAGAGUUGUGUUGUGAGAAUAAAAAAUCUAAUUUAAAUGAAUCAUCAUAUGUGUUGAUUAGGAUUUGGGUCUCUCUGAUUUUUCAGGCUGUCAAUUGAUUAAAUCCUAUGAUCGUAUCUAGGGUUGUCUAUUGAUUAGGGAAAUAACCAACGGUCGUACCUUGGUUAUCGACUAGUUAAGGAGAGAUUGGCUAUUAGAGGGUCUCAGUAGCUAUAAUCGGUCUAUUCAUGAGUAAUAAUAAUCUAUAUUUGAAUCAAUGAUCAGUAGUCGAAUCAAGCUGAGUUAAUUCCUUCAACCAGAGCUUUCUCCAAUUUGAAUUACAACUUUAAUUUGCAUUCUUGUUAUUUUUAAUUUGAUUUUUAUUAUUGUCAACAAUUCCCCCAUUUUACGUUUUACGUUUCAAAAGGAUUUAAAUAAUUACCGAUCUCUGUGGACACGACCCUGCUCAAUCACUAUACACAAUUUAUUUAGAGUAGGAAUUUAUUUUUGUUGGCUUCGACACCCAUCAAAUUUUGGCGCCGUUGCCGGGGAUUGGUGUCAUUUAUUUAAUCAUUUUUACGUUUUACUUGGUGUAUGGUUCGUUCUUCUCGUACAGGUACACUUUCAUUUGAUCCUGAAAUUGAGAAGACAGCUCGCCAGCUGAGACAAUAGACUAAGCGAGCUAAGCAAGGAUCCUCGUCGCCUUUGCUUUUUGAAACAGAUACGGUGCCUAAUUUAGUUGAAUCAUCUAGCGAUUCGGAAGAACAAGUGAUGGAUAGACCUGCACCUGUAGAAAGAACUCUUAGAGAGUUAGUUGAACCAGACUUGAAUCAGCAACCACUCUGCAUUCAAUAUGUAGAUUUGGAGGUAAAUUUUGAAUUAAAGUCUGGUCUUAUUCAUUUAUUACCCAAGUUUCAUGGUUUUGCAGGUGAAGAUCCUCAUAAACAUCUUAAGGAGUUUCAUGUUGUGUGUUCAAGUAUGAGACCACAAGGCAUGACUGAAGAGCAGAUUAAGCUGCGUGCUUUUCCGUUCUCUGUAGAUGGGCUAGCUAAAGACUGGUUGUAUUACUUGCCUCCUGGAUCGAUUACAACAUGGAAUGAUUUGAAGAAGCAGUUCCUCGAGAAGUACUUUCCUGCUUCAAGAGCUGCUAACAUCAGAAAAGACAUUUGUGGGAUCAGACAACUUCCUGGGGAGACUUUGUAUGAGUAUUGGGAGCGAUUCAAAUAAUUGUGUGCCAACUGUCCUCAACAUCAGAUUUCUGAUCAACUUCUUAUUCAAUAUUUUUACGAAGGACUGUCAUUGAUGGAUAGGAGUAUGAUAGAUGCUGCUAGUGGAGGCGUGUUGGUGAACAAGACCCCUACUCAAGCAAGGGAGUUGAUAUCAAAUAUGGCUGCCAAUACACAACAAUUUGGCAACAAGCAAGAUUUCACUUCAAGAACGGUGAAUGAGGUAAAUAUUUCUUCUGUUGAACAACGUUUAGAUAAACUUACUUCUCUUGUGGAAAAGUUUGUUGUAGGUAAUGUGCAACAGGUGAAGACUUGUGGCAUUUGUUACAAUAUGGGUCAUUCAACCGAUAUGUGUCCUACACUUCAAGAAGAACCCGUUGAACAAGCCAAUGCAGUUGGAGGAUUUCCAGGUAUGCCUCAGAGGAGGUAUGAUCCUUAUGCACAAACAUACAAUCCGGGAUGGAAGGAUCAUCCUAACUUCAGCUAUGGAGUUAGGCCGUCAAGAUUCCCACAACAGUAUCCACCAAGACAACCAACACCUCCACAGUCAAACUCCAAGUCAGGUGUAUCUCUUGAAGAAAUUGUUAAAUCACUUGCGACUAACACUCAACAAUUUCAGCAGGCAACUACAGCAAGCAUUCAGAACUUGGAGAACCAAAUGAGUCAAUUGGCGACUACAGUGAGCCGUCUGGAGUCUCAAGUAUUAGAAAGAUUGCCUUCACAAUCUGAGGUGAAUCCAAAGCAAAACGUUAGUGCUGUCAUCCUUAGAAGUGGGAAGGAGUUGCAAGAGCCUAGUAAGAAAGUGACAAAGCAUGUAGAAGAUGAGCUUGAGAAGAAUGAAUUGAUGCCUAAAUCUCAAGAUGCGCAACCCACCAAAGCGAAACCCGUACCUAUUGUGAUACCUCCUCCUUUUCCAAGCCGGUUUACAAAAUCCAAGAAGGAGGAACAAGAGAAAGACAUCCUUGAGACAUUUCGCAAGGUUGAGGUAAAUAUUCCUUUAUUAGAUGCUAUAAAACAAAUACCUCGAUAUGCUAAAGUCCUUAAGGAACUGUGCACCUCCAAAAGAAAAUUAAGAGGAGAUGAAAAAGUUCAUAUGGGGGAGAAUGUUUCAGCAGUUCUCCAAAAGAAACUACCUCCUAAGUGCAAGGAUCCAGGUAUGUUUACUAUCCCUUGUAAAAUUGGUAGUGUUAGAGUUGAAAAGGCUAUGUUAGAUCCAGGAGCUUCUAUUAAUGUCAUGCCUCGUUCCAUUUAUUCAUCUUUGAAUUUUGGUCCAUUAAAAGAAACUGGCGUGAUAAUUCAACUAGCUGAUAGGUCUAAUGCAUAUCCUGAUGGGGUAUUAGAAGAUGUCUUAGUACAAGUUAAUGAGUUGGUUUUUCCUGCUGAUUUUUAUGUACUUGAUAUGGAAGAUGAUAACUCCUCUAAUUCUGUCCCAAUUUUGCUAGGAAGACCUUUUCUUAAGACUGUUAGGACUAAAAUGGAUGUACAUAAAGAGACUCUCACUAUGGAGUUUGAUGGAGAGGUUAUAGAAUUCAAUAUGAAUGAUACCAUGAAAUAUCCUAGUGAGGAACAUUCGGUAUUUUCUAUGGAUGUUAUUAACCCUAUAGCGCAGGAAAUUUUCUACAAGGAAAAGACGAAGACAUUUCAUGAUAGAAUGAUUUUGAGAAAGGAGUUCUCUGUUGGUCAAAAAGUUCUUCUUUUUCAUUCUAAGCUUAAACUUUUUCCGGGUAAAUUACGUUCUUGCUGGGUUGGACCUUUUAUUGUUACUAAUGUUUUUCCUCAUGGUGCAGUUGAGAUUCGGAGUCCGACCUCUGACAAAGUUUUUAAGGUUAAUGGUCAUCGCUUAAAACCUUUUUAUGAAGGUUUUUCGGUGAAUAUUGUGGAGGAUGUGGCUCUCGAGAGUCCCAAUUAUGGAGAUUGAUGCAUAAAUGUGUCUAGCCAAAGACAUAAAACAAAGGCGCUUUUUGGGAGGCAACCCAAUUGAUUUAUUUAUUUUGGUUUUUGUCAUAUCUUCUUUUAAUUUUGAUUCAGAUUUUUUUUUUUAAAUAAUGUGUUUGCUUAUUUUGGUCAGAAGAAAAUUUUUGAUAAGGCGUGCCCACAUCUUAACUAAUAAGUACUUCUAUGAUUUUUAAAAUAAAAUGGUUUUAAGGCAUGCCCACGUGCUUAUUAGAAAAGUACUUCUGAAAUUUUUAGUGCCUCAAGUGAUUCAUCACUAAAAAAAAGAAAAAAUUAAAUUAAAAAAAUUAUUUUAUUUUAUUUUUUUUUCUAUUUAUUUAUUUUAAAAAAACAAAAAAAGAGAUUUUCUUUUGUUCUUUCUUUUAUAUAUUUAUUUAUUAAAAAAAAUUUCAAAAAUCACUGUUCAAAAAAAAAAAAAAUUUUUUUUCACUGUUCACAAAAUCCCUAAUUUUCCAGAACUUGUUUUCUUCUCCAACCGCUUGCAGCACACCAGCAGCACCUGCGCGCGCAGCACCAGCAUCCCGUGUCUCGCAGCCCAGCAGCGCGCAACGCAGCGCAGCACCCGCAAAGCAAGCCUCAACAGCGUGCAGCGCGAACCAGCCCCAGCCCGAGCACGCAACGCAACAAGCGUCACCAGCGCGCGCACCAGCAAUCCCCCAGCGCGCAGCAACAGCCGCAGCACGCUGAUCCAGCGUCACCAGUUCGCAGCAUCAGUCCCAUCCACGCGCAACUGAACCAGCAGCUGUGUACUCGCAAGCUCCAGUCGAGCAGCAAUAGUCCGCAACCAGCCUACGACCUGCAUUCCAGCCACAUGAAUCGAAAUCCGUGACAAGAUGAAGCAGAAUUUGGCCGCAUACUUCAAGAGUGUGGGAUUUAUCCCACCAUUCCCGCCAAGCCCAUAGACGUUAUGUGGAUCAAAGCUCACAAUUCAGGGAAGUUUUUGCCUUUAAUCUUUUAUCCUUACGCUUUAAUUUUUAUGUGAGCUUUGAUUAUCUUACAUUGGGGACAAUGUAAGUUAUUGGUGUGGGGGAGGGAUUUUUGCAUUAUUGAUGUCUGGAAUUAUUAUUUUCACUCUACUUAUUUUUUUUUCACUCUACUCAUCCUUAAAUGAUUUUGGAGUUAGUAUGCUUCAUAUAUUAUUAAUUUUCUUUUCAUUUCUCUCUCACUACUCUUUUCCCAUCUAUCUCAAAUUAUUUACAUCUAUUUUUUUUUUCUUUCUAUCAUACUCUUUCAUCACUCACAUUUUUUUUUACCUUUCCUUUUAUAUCUCACUCAUACCUUCUUCUCAUUGUACACCACUAUUUAUGGUUAAUUCAUUUAAAGAGUGUACAUGAUUUGAUGGCAAAUUUACCAACUUUGUGAGGAUUUGAGCCUAUGAGCAACCACUUUGCUCUAAUUAUUUUUUGUUAUGUGAAUAUCAAUCCUAGUUUGUUUAUUCUAGAACUUGCUUUGAUAUGCAUGUUGAAGCCACAUUACGGGAUUUUAUGCAUUAAAAUGAUAAGGGCAAACCAUUUACCAUUUUUCUAUUCUCGCAUUUUCCUUUUUCUCUACUCGAAGACCUUUAUUUGCUACCUUUGUUUGAGCCUUAACAAUUACCCAUCCAUUUUUCUUCUUUUUUGAGCCUCAAUUUAAGGAUAUUUUUGGACUCAUUGUGUGGAUAUAUUUUGUUGCUUUUUCUACCUUGUAGUAAAGCUUCUCAAUUAGAUCAACAAGCAUUAUGCUUGAAUUAAAUUGUGCAAGGUUCGUUUCUUUUGUUUGAUUCAAAAACAAAAACAAAAACAAAAACAAAAACAAAAAAGAAAAAAAAAAGAAAAAUCACAAAAAAAAAGAGAAAAAAAAAGGAAAAAAAAUGUUUACAUUCUUGGUGACUUGAGUAGAAAUAAGCAUUUUGAUAUCAUAAGUUCAUUCAAUGAGUUCAUUCUUCUCGUUUUGAUCUCUUUUUCUUUCAUAAACCUUUCUUUUUCAUUUAACCCAUUUAACCCCAUUACAACCCUUUUAAGACCCUUAGAUUUUUGCAUUUUAUUCAUGUUUUGUGGAUUGAGAUGUGAUAUAUGAGCAAGCUUAUGGUAAUAGCAUUCUUUGAUUUGAUUUGAGUGGAUAAAUGACAUCCUAAACACUUUCAGUGCAUGGAGUGAAGUUAUUGAGAGGGCUAUUACAUCUUGUUGCACUUGAAUUUUGAAUGGAUCUUCUUGGUGGUUGAAUGUUCUUAUUCUAUCUUAUGAAAUUCUAUGCUUUAAAAUCCUUGUCUCUCGAACGUUGAACGACUUAAUUUCUUGAGGUAUGCUUGCUUAAAAUUGUUUUUGGAUGAGUUGAGAUGAGAAUUGAGUGGAGAUUUGGGAUUAAUCUUGAGUUAUAUGCUUGAGGACAAGCAUCAUCUUAACGUGACAAGUUCUUGAAUUGAAUGGCUCCUCUUUUCUCCAUAAAUCUUUGCUUAAUUUUUUUGCUCCCUCAACUUUUUGGGCCUUUUGCGUUAAAAUUCUUUUUUUGAUACAUUAUGCAAAAAUUAUGAUGAAAAUGAGUUACCUUAGAAGAUCAACAAAUUUUUAUUACAUGACAAGACAAUUAUACUUAGAUUACUCUUAUUUAGUUGAAUUAUAUGUAAUAAAAUUAGUUUAACAAAAUCUAAUCCGUAAAUAUUCCUUAUCACAUGAUUAACGUACUUAAAAAUCUUAACGGAUUGGUCGCUUGUUUUACAAUUCUUUUAUAUAUCUUUGAAACUUUCAGCUUCCUAACACAUCAUUUGUUAGAGUGCAAUUUAUGCACUAGUUUUGCAUUGUUUACUUCCCUUAAUAUCGAUGUUUUGCACUUAAUAAUAUUGAUUUACUUGUGUUUUACUUUUGUAUAAUGAUGGCAAUGGGGUGGGGUGGGGGUGGGGAGGCCUACCCCAUUCCCCACCCCGUUAGAAAUUUUUACCUCUAUUCCCCACCCCAUUCCCCAAUAAAUUUAGUGGGGUGGGGAUGGGGAAUCCCCAUGUGGGGAAUGCUUUCCCCAUUCCCACCCCAUUCCCCAUUUAUCUAUUUUAUAUUAUGUAUAAAUAUAUGAUUUCAGUAAGUUAAAAAUUAGAGACUUAAAAUAAAAUCAUCACCAUAUUAUAAAGUAUUUAAAUUCUUUUUAAAAAAAUAUCUAAAAGUUUGAACCAAUAUCUUAAAAUAAUAUUAAAAGUAAAAAAAUAUUUAAAGAGCGUAGCACUUUAAAAGAGAAAAGAAAAUAUAACAAUGUUUCAUAGUUGAAAAAUAUUAUAGGGUUUUUUUUCAUUCAUAUCCUGUUUAUAUUGCAUAAAAAUUAAAAAAAUAUUAAUUGACAUUAUAAUUCAUAAAAUAAAAAUUAUUAAAUAAGAAUUAAAAAUAUAUUUAUAUAUAAUGGGGAUUGGGGUGGGGGUGGGGGUGGGGUGGGGAGUGCAAAACCAAACCCCACCCCAUUAAGAAUUUGGGGAUUAUUUUUCCCCCACUCACCACCCCAUUCCCCAUAAAUUAUUCAAAAUUUUAUCCAUUUGGGGUGGGGCUCCAUGGGGCCCCAAACCCGUGGAGGAUUUUGCCAUCCCUACUUUUGUAGGUGCAAUUCUAUUGAUUGGUGAUAAAAUUGAGCUAUAAGAUUAUGUUUAAGGAUGAUUGUUCUCUUAGAGAAAUUAUGAGCGUCAGAAGAACUCUGUUGAUAAGGCGUGGGCGCGUACUGUCAACUGCGGACCUGCAGUUUUUAGUUUAACGUGUUUUGUAUUUUUGGUUAUUUUUGUAAUUACGAAUUUAAUAUUUCAGAUAUUAGGAUUUUAUUUUAAAUAGAAUUAUAAAAGAGAAGAGAGAGAGAGUAUUUAAGGGAGGAAUCUAUUGUGAAAAAGGGGGAUUUUUGGAUUGGAGAAAAAGAAAGAAACCCUAGAUCUAAUUUUUCUCUUCUCUCUAUGAGGAACUAAACCCAUUUUUCUGGUUGAAGGUUAAUGAAGCUUUGAUUCAUCACUACUGUGAGACCUUUCUUGUGCUUUAAUUGUUUUAUUGCUUUUUAGAUAUUUGUUUAUUCUCUGAAUUAUUUUCAUGAUUAUGUUUGUUAAUUAGGUAAUUGGCCACUAUUUAAUUAUCAACUUAAUCUAUUGUCAAUUAAAGGAUUCAUCGUAUGAAGAAUUUAAUGUUUGUGACAAAUAACAUAGCAGAGAGUUGUGUUGUGAGAAUAAAAAAUCUAAUUUAAAUGAAUCAUAGCAGAGAGUUGUGUUCAAGUAGUUCUUCUGCGAAAGCCAAAUUUUCCUGUUAUUUAUGUCUCGGUGAAUUUGCAUCCCUAAAAUCUUGUUUGCUGGUCCCAAGUCCUUCAUUUCAAACUCCCUAGCCAACUGUGCCUUUAAUUCUUGGAUUCGAUCUUUAUUGGGACCUGCUACCAACAUGUCAUCUGUUGAGUGUUAGAAAAUGCAUAUUUAUAAAGGAGAAAACCGUCAUUUUACAUUUCAAGUCUUAUUAACAACCCUUACUUUUAUGUAUUUAACCUUCUUGUGAUUUAAUUACAUGUGUUUUAUUUUAAUUAAGUAUUUUAUGUAUUUUAGGGGCAUUAUAGUCAUUUCACAAUAAAGGAGAGAUCAGACGGAAAAACGGACAUCACUUUUGAACUCAGGACGGUCGAAAAUCUUAGGAGGAGCAUAAAAGGAAAAAUGGCCCUAUUCAUAUGUACGGUACUAUUCACGUGUACGGUACUAACUACGUUACUGUUCACAACACUGUUCACAUAGACGAAUCGAUGACGUGGCAUUGACCGAUGAUGUGGCAUUGACUGAUGAGAUGUCACGAUCUUGUUGGGCUAAAAUUCUUAUGUACUGUUGAUGGUGACGUGGCAGCAUAUCAGUGGAUGAAAAAUCUCGCGUACGGUACAUGCAUCACACAGGAUUAUUUUCAACCAAACCGCGUUACUGUUCAUCCGAGUCAAACCGCGUUACUGUUCAUCCGAGUCAAACCGUGUUACUGUUCAUCCACGUGGUCAAACCGUGGACUGUUGACUGAUGACGUGGCGCAAUCCUGAGCGUCCAAACUGUUUUUAAUCCGAUGGCCAUGAUUUACUCCAUGUAUCUAUAAAAAGGGGGCCUCCCCCCCCUAAUUUGAUAGCUCUGAAUCUAUUUUUUGGAUCCAUUUUCUGUAAUUCCCUCUCCAUCUUGUAUUUUCUUUGUAUUUUAAUAAAUUUUCAUUUUGCCCCUAGUUCAAUUAUGAGGAGCUAAUUUCCUUUCAAGCUUGGGUUGAAGGUGAAGUCUCAACAUGUGUCAUGGGCUUUAUUUGGUAAAUUUAUUUCCUUUUCCCCUCUAGUUUUUGUGGAUGAUUUGACUUAUCGUCGACAAAUAAUACUGAUCUUGUCUAGAUACCGCCUUGGUUACACCGGCUCUCUAGUAUAAGGUUAUUAUUAUUUGGCACGAUAAGCCCUUAGCACCAUAUUGAUUAGAGCGUGGUUCAUGAGGUGUGGAUUCCCCCCUCAUGAUUUAAUUGGCAUUAAUAAGGAAUAUUUAGCCCAUGAUGCAUGUUGAUACGGAUCCAGAUACCCAAGUACGUCAUUUCAAUAGAAUUCUCUUCAAUUUAUUCUCGCUAUUUCAAUUCCAAUUUUAGAAUUUAUUCUCGCCAUUUUAAUUUAAGUUUUAGUAUAUUCCAAAUCAUUUCCACCACAAAUCCAAUCACCCAUUUACAGAAUUAAUUCUACACAUAAUUAAAAUCCACCUCCUCGUGGGAUCGACACUCGUCACCAUUGAUCUACACUACAAUAGAUUCGUGCGCUUGCGAGUACAUUAAAAUUUGCACAACAUCAUCCACAUACAACAGUAAAAUAAUGAAAUCAUUAUCUUCAAACCUCUUGUAAUAUGCACAAUGGUCUGAACUGAGUCUGUUGUAUCCAAGGCUCAUGAUGAAGGAAUCAAAUCUCUUAUACCAACACCUCGGCGCCUGUUUAAGACCAUAUAGAGAUUUGUUCAACCUGCAAACCAAGUUCUCCUUUCCUGUUUCUGCAAAACCUUCUGGUUGGAGCAUAUAUAUUUCUUCUUCAAGUUCUCCAUGAAGAAAUGCAGUUUUCACAUCUAACUGCUCUAGAUGUAAGUCAAAUGUAGCACACAUCGCCAAGACUACUCUGACUGUUGUGAGUCGAACCACCGGAGAAAAUAUCUCGUUGAAGUCAAUACCUUCUUUCUGAGUAUAUCCUUUCACCACCAAUCUCGCACGAUACCGCUUCACUUGGUCAUUGCCAUCACGCUUGAUCUUGUAGACCCAUUUGUUUCCAAUGGCUUUUCUUCCACGUGGUAGUGGUACAAGUUCCCAUGUCUUAUUCUUAUGUAGAGCUUCAAUUUCUUCCUGCAUUGUUGUUAUCCACAAAGCAAUAUUUGAGCUUUCUAAAGCUUUAUGGAAAGUUGAUGGCUCUCCAUCCUCCGUUAGAAGACAAUAUGCAACAUUAAUUUCUGUGACAUACUCCGAGUGCCACACCGGCGGUCGUCUCUCACGAGUUGACCGUCGAACUUCUGGAGCCUCAGACCCGACUGGUUCUUGUUCCUCGUGCUCUGGUGCUGCUUGAGAAGAAUCUGAAUCUUCUAGAUUAUUUUCCACAUAUACUGGCACGGUCUCUGACUUUUCUUUUGUAGUGCCAUCAUCCUCAUCUCUCAUUUGCAGUUGAUCUUCUACAAAGAUAACAUCUCUGCUGAUGACGAUCUUGUGGGCAGUGGGGUCCCACAGACGAUACCCCUUUACUCGAUCAGCAUACCCCAAGAAAAUACAUAUUCUAGAUUUUGGAUCCAGCUUUGUUCUUUCUUGGGCAUUGUACAUCACGUACACAGGACAUCCAAAUGCAUGUAGGUAGGAAUAAUCAGCUGGCUUUCCAGUCCAUAUCUCCAUCGCUGUCUUCAGCCCAAUAGCUGUAGAUGGCGAUCGAUUUACUAUAUAACAGGCAGUUUUGGCUGCUUCUGCCCAGAAUGAAUUGGGUAGACUAGCAGUCUUCAACAUAGCUCUUAUUCUUUCUAUAAGAGUUUUGUUCAUCCGCUCUGCUACUCCAUUUUGUUGAGGAGUGUAUGCUACCGUGAACUGCCUUUGAAUACCUUCUUGCUUACAGAAAGCAAGAAACUCACAGUCUGUAUACUCUCCACCAUUAUCCGUCCUCAAGCACUUGAUCUUUUUACCAGAUUCAAGUUCCACCUGCGCUUUGUAUUCUUUAAAUACUGGAAAUACAUCUGACUUUUUCUUAAUUGGAUACACCCAACAUCUUCUGGAAUAAUCAUCAAUGAAAGUCACCAUGUACUUUGCACCUCCCAUAGAUAUAUCCAGUGAUUCCCAAACAUCAGAAUGAAUCAAGUCUAAAAUGCAUUUACUUCUAGCAAUAGAUCUACUGAAUUUUAAUCUAUGCUGCUUACUUGUAACACAAUGCUCGCAAAAUGGUAAACUUACCGAUUUGAGCCCCGGAAGCAAUUUUCGCUCAGAGAGAAUCUUCAAACCUUGUUCUGACAUGUGGCCAAGUUUGAGAUGCCACAUCAUCGUUGAUUCUUCUCCAUUUGAUGCGACACAUGCAUCAGCCUCCUGUAGUGUUUCUCCUUUAAGCAUGAAUAAAUUAGCACCGAUCUUUUCUGCCUUCAUCAAUACAAGCGCACCUUUAACGAUCUUUAUAAUUCCAUUCUCCACAUGAGUUUUGUACCCAUGACUAUCCAUUUGUCCCAAAGACAAUAGAUUUUUCUUCAGGCCGUUGACAUGUCGUACUUCUCCAAUUGUGCGAAUUGUACCAUCAAACAUUUUUAUUUUGAUAGUACCAAUACCAGCGAUCUCUAAGGCAUGAUCAUUACCCAUAUAUACAGAUCCUCCUGAGAUAGGUUCAUAUGUGUGGAACCAUUCUCUCCGAGAGGUCAUGUGCCAGGUAGCUCCUGAGUCUAUAAGCCAGACAUCAGACAGUCAUUUUCUGCCUUCUGAAACAGUUGUUGCCUCGCUAUAGAGAAUUUCGCCAUCAUCUAAGGUACUUGCCACACACCCUUGAGCAUUUGAUGACUCAGGUUCUUUACCCUCUCUUCUCUUCUGGUUACUCCAACACUCUUUCUUGACGUGCCCUUUCUUGCCACAUUUGUAGUAUUUAACAUUCUUCUUACUUCUGGAUUUUGAUCUACCCUGAUUUUGACUCCCACUGGGGCCACGUUCCGUUAAUCUCCCUCUCGUCACCGAUAGCGCUUCUGCUUGCUGCGAACUUGCUUGUCUGUUUUCCUUAUUUUUUCGCCUGCUCUCCUCAUUUAAUACGGAGGCUGCAACAUCGUCGAAAACUAGACUCUCCACUGGAUUGUUGUUCGUCAGGUUGAUGAUGAGUUGAUCAUACGAAUCUGGUAGACUUUGAAGUAGAAGCUUUGCACGUUCAUUUUCCUCUAUAUUAUGACCCAACGUUGUGAGUUGUGAAAAUAGAGUCUUCAAUGUGUUGAUGUGGUCGGUCACCAUUGUAGAUUCCGCCAUUCGAAGAGUAUAGAGUUUUCUCUUCAAGAAGAUUUUGUUGUGUAGUGACUUGGCCUCAUACAAUUUUGUGAGAGUAUCCCAUAUUUCCUUUGCCGUAUUUUUCUCUGCCAUACUGGAUAAUACUCCAUCCGCAAGUGCCAAGUGUAGAUCAGAAAUGGCGUUGCCGUCUACCUCGUUCCACUUGUCAUCAGUUAUUUCCAUAGGCCUUUCUCCAAUUGCUGCCAAGCAAUUAUUUUUCCUCAAUACAGCUUUCAUCUUCAUUUUCCACAACGAAAAAUUAUUUCCGUUAAAUUUCUCAAUUUCAUACUUUGCCGCCAUUUUGUUGAUAAAUAUCGCACACAAGCUAGUGUACCACCUUGAAUAGUUGUGAGUAUGUGUGAGAAUGCACACCAGGAAAGUUCCCAGGAAAGACUGGAGGGGUCACAAUGGUCCUACUUAAAACCCAGACUCCUUAAGCUCUUAUCGCUUUUGUGACAGAACUUUCCUAGACAUGUACAAAACCACAAUUGUUUUACUCACACCACUAUUCCCUGCUUUGCAUCGCAAAAUUCUUGGAUCGCUCCCACCGCUUCUUGUGAAUAGUACCGUAUACGUGAACAGUACCGUAUACGUGAAUAGUACCCCUUACGUGAACAGUACCCGACUCCAAAAAAUACAACUAAUAGCUCUGAUACCACUGCUAGGAAAUUGGUGGGUGAAGCAGACACGUAGCUAAAAUAAAAUUGGAAGAAAAUAAAGAACAAGCACUCUAGAGGACACCAGAAAAUUACGUGGUUCGGCUUUUAGCCUACAUCCACGGGCGAAGACAGAAGAAAAUAUUUUACUAGUGAAAAGGAGUUACAAGUAUUGUAGUAUUUUAGCUCACUUCCCAAAACCCCAAUACACCUAAACUCUCUCAAUCACUGUAACAAGAGCUUAUAAAUGCAAGCUCUCUAAAUUCUCUCUAAAUACAAGAGAAAUCUUCUCAAAAUUGGAUGAUCAAAUGAGGGAAUGAGUCCCUCUAUUUAUAGCCAAAAUCUUGGCUACUAUUCACGUAUUUUUUUUAAUUAUUUAUUAUUGUUCAAAAUUCAAAAUUCAAAGUUUGAUAUUCAAACUUUGAAUAUCUAGAAUUUUGAAUUUGAUAUUCAAAGUUUGAAUAUCUAGAAGUUUGAUUUUGAUAUUCAAACUUUGAAUAUCAAGACACCCAAUCUUGACAUCGGAGGCUUCGUUUUAGAAGAGUGCAGAGCAGCUGCCUUGUCCAUUUGGCACGCCAACGACUUUCUAUUGACCAAUAAUUUUGAAAGCGAUAUUAGUAAUUUACCAUCUAAUAUUUUUUUUAUAUUAUCAUUUUACCAUAAAGUUUUUUAACAAUUAUUUUUUUCCUUAAUGUUUUAGUUUUUAUUAUAUUACUACCAAAAAUUGGCAAACGCACUCCUAGUGUAGGUUAUCCACAAAAUGGCUACCGAAUUGUCUUGUUUCUCAUUUUGUUUAAUUUUCAUAAAUUCGACUCACGAUUCAAAUGUGAGUGAAGAGUUUUUUUUUUGGGAAAAAAUCUGGUCUUCCAUUUACUAGAAUUAGGUAUGUGUGAUUUUAUUAUUUUUCUUUUGCUUUAUAUGUAUCUGGAAAAUUAUGAAUACUUUGCAGGAUUUAGAAGGAUUUGAAUGUUUGAACGCAUAUAGCUUUCUGUCCAUCAGCUAAUGCAUAUUCUGCAUUUUAUGAAUAUCAGAGCUGGUAGAUUGAAAAAUGGACCUUAUUACAUGUCAUAAGAUACUUUGCUCAAAGCUGCAAUUGGGCAACGUCGUGCUGUUCUUAUCCGCCAAUGCAAGCCAUUUACUAUUCUUUCUAAUGGAGCAAAAUAAGAUGAUUCUUACCUGCAUAGAGAAUUAGAAAAGAAAAGGAGGAUUACUGAUCCACAGAGCUGUCAUUUACUAGAAGCACAUAAAAUCUUACACUUAAUUCAUUAACCAUAUGUAUAUUCUAAUGAUACUUAAGUAUUACCUAAACUAGCCUUUCAAAAUUUCACUUCGAAAAAAUCCAAGGUUGUAAUGUGUCUAUUUGGUUGCUAAUACAAGUUCUCUCUAUUCCCAAUUUUUUAUGCUCUCACUUCGCUUGAUUCACCUUCUCCAUCUUUUAAAACAGUUGUAUAUGUCGGGGUAUCAAGUUCAUCACAAGGAUCAUAUUAUGGCCUAAGGAAGGAGCACAGUUUAUUGUCUGCACUCAAGCUUAGCAGAGUGUUUUGGGAUUCAAGAGUGUUAGUAGGCCGUUACAGAUGCCAUGCUGGCAAGCGUGCUAUGACUGAUUGCUAUUUGCACGCAAAAUUUGCCCAAAACAAAUAGAAUGAGAAUACUUGUACAAAAGGACAAGAUUAAUAAAGUGAAUAAAUUUUAUCUUUUAGUGAAUGCUUCUUGUCUUUUAGAAUUUUAGUGCAUUUUCGUGUGUAAUUUUAUGUGCAAAUAGCAUUACUCAUUAGUAAUUAGUCUCGAGUGUUCUAAUUUCUUCUAAUAAGUGGCUGAUUUGAGCUUAAGACUUGUAUUUUAAGUUUUUAUUACUUUCUAAUAAAGAUUUUCUCUGUUCUUUUUUACUUUCACUUUCUCUUCCAUUUUCCCGACUCCCAAACACCACCAAUCCUUGAUUUUCUAGAGUAUAGCUAUGCAGUUCUACAAACACGAAACUGCUGUUUGUCCAUUUACUUUCAAGAAACAACGUACUCUGUGGUUUAUUGACUUGUGACUUGUGACUUGUGACCGGGGCAAAUUAGUCACGGUCCGAUUGUCUCCUCUUCCACUGACUCUGUCAAUUCAUGACUUUGGCACACAGUAGACGCCAGCUGCCUGCUUCAUUUGACGUGCAAAAAACUUUCUUGAAUCGGGUUAAAAUCGAUUGAUUAUUUUGUUUGGUGAUGAUGAGUUAGUUGUCAAUUCAUGAGUUUGAUGCAGUGAAACGCUUAACGCUCUCUUGUGAUGCGCAGGAGAAAAGCCAGUGAUGAUGAAGAGGACGAAAAACAUUAUUUUGUUAUUUACAAUAAGGCUAUCAAUUAUAUAUUCCAAAAUAAUUGGGUUUGGAUGGUCAUUUUGUUUUCUAAAAUAUCCAAAUGGAAACAGAAUUUAUAAAGUGGGAAAAUCAAGAAAUUAAAUACUCUUCGUAUAGUGGAAGGAGAUUUGGUUGCCGUUAUGCUAAAUAAAAGAAAAAUAAAGUAAAAUUACAAUACUUUAAUAAUCUCAUUCCCAAUCAUACCGGAAAUAAAAAUUUUCUGUAUAGUUAUGAAAUAAUUAUUGAUUUUACUUUAGUGAUUUUUUUUUUAAAGUAAGGUAAGCAUCUUUAUUUUCUUUGCAAACGAGCCUUCUUUCUUUUGCUUUGGCCUUUACUCUAGACUGUAUUUCAUGGUCAUACUCAAUCUCAAUAUUUUGUAGGUUUGUGGCUGUUUUAUGAGUUACGAUUUUUUAUAGGGUUGCAUGUAGAUGAUACAUUUAUUUUUUUCUUUUUUCUUUUCUUCUUCGGUGAAGAUACUAAAAUUUAGUUUUUGUUAUCAUGUGAAAUGAAAAUAGUCCUCGUUUCAAGGAUUAAUGGGCCACUAAUUUCGUCUUCUUAGAAGAAAAUUUUUUGCAGCGAGGUAAUUCGAAGCUCGAAGAUUUCUAUAUUACAUAGCCAAACCUAAGUGAUAAGAAUUUCCAUAUGAGAUAUAAUUUGGAAAAAAAAAAAAAACCAAUUCAAGUUAAAGAUAAAAAAAUCUGUGUUCCUUAAAAAACAUAAUUCAAGCCACACAAUUUUUCUUGUUUCAUUUGAGAAAAAGAAAAUUGUGUUCCUCACAAAAACACUUUAACAUUUGUUGUCUCAUAGAGGGAAAUGUCCUUCAAAACAAUUGAAACGUUGUCCACAAACAUUGUCAUGUAGUUAAGAAAAACUUAAUUUUGAGAAGUGCAAGAGAUUGGUGGGACUCAUUUGAUUCAAGAAAAAUAAUCAGUCUCAUUUGAUACGCAAAGAGCUUUUCUACUCAUGCAGCCAAUAUUUUGAUGAAUGUGACAUUACUGGUUUGUAUAAUUUUUUGGAUAUUAUCUCAAUUUUACUUCUGUAGGUUUGUGGUUUGUAUAUUAUCUCAAUUUUUAAAAAAAUGUAAUGCAAUUAUCAAACACGACUAAUCCCAACAAUUUAUCCAAAAAUUUUUAUUUCAAGAAAUGUAGCAUUUAUGAUAGAAUGGCUAAUGUUUUCAAUCGACUUUCUGGAUAAAUGAUAAUUUUUUGAUAGAAAUGUUACUUAAGUAUUACAGGAAGAAAAUUAUAGAAUAAUUUUUUGAAUUAAUUGUAUUACUUUACGAUAACACUAUCACAAUCUAAUUUAAAAAAAAAAAGUUAUUCUUUAAAUUUCGCAUUACUAUUCCUACUUUUCUUGUUAUAGUACUUAAUGGCACUGGUGAAGCCUCAGAAUUAUCAAACAAAAGGCAAAAAUAGUUCAAUAUCUGCUGUCCCACUAAGCAUUGUUAAAUUCAUAUAAUAAAAUGAGUACUUAUAUUAAAAAAAAACAAUCGGUCUCAUUGCGUGCUCUUUCAUUGACAUAGGCAAUUUGCUGUCAACUUGUGGCACUUUUAUGAAUUUUCAAGAUUGGUGAAUUUUUCAAAUUUAAAAGAAAAAAAUACAGAAAUGUAAUUUCAAUUUAUCCAAAAAUUUGAGUUUCAAGGAAUACAGCAUUUAUUAUAUGUCAUGUUAAUAUAGAGAAGAAAAAUUAAAAAACUUCUUUUUGGAUGAAUAAAAGUAUUUUCUGAUAAAUAUUUCACAAUCAAAUUUAAAAAAAUUUCACUCCUCUUGGUACAUAAUUUAAGAAUUUAACAUUAUAAAUUAAUCUUUUUAAUCAAAGUAAUAAUCUCUCCUCGGUCUGCAAAUGCUAAAAUUUAAUAUUAUAUCCUUUGACAAUAUUUGCUCCAAAUUCACGAAAAUAAAAUUUCUAACAGAAUUAUGACAUUCGUUACUAGAAAUUUGUAUAAAAGUUGUGAGAAUAGAAGGUUUGAUCAUAGGAAAUUAAUAUAUCCCUAUCCGAUGCAAAAAUGAUUGUAAAGAAAAACAAAAGUCAUGGGCUUAUUUUGAAAAAAGAAAAAAUUACAUUCCUUUUUCCCGUUAUUAAAGUAAUUCUAAAAUCACUAGGCACACAAAGGAUAGGCUUUAGUUGACUGAGGUCAGCCUUAACGCAUGCCGGUCUUUUUCUCCUCUACAUUCUUAGAAAUUUUGGUUUCACUAUAAAUACUCGGUAUAUAGCAAACUUAUAAGUGUUCUUGCAUUACCAAUCCAACUAAGCACACGCUUACAAUAUAAAUACUCUCAUCUCAUGGAAAGACUUCAUUCUCUCAGGAUGAUGAGCAGAUUUCUCUUACUCCAUUGUUUGAUUCUUAUUUCCUUACUUAUCGCAGCUGCAACAGCCAACACAAGUACUAUUACCGCAGACCAAGAUGCUCUGCUUUCCCUGAAAGCUCACAUAACUCAUGAUCCAACCAAUUUCUUGGCCAAAAAUUGGAACACGAGUAUCUCUUUCUGUAAUUGGACAGGCGUCACUUGUGAUGUCCAUAGCCAUAGAGUCACAAUCUUGAAUAUUUCUGGCUUAAAUCUCACCGGCACCAUUCCUUCUCAGCUUGGGAAUCUUUCUUCUCUGCAAUCACUCAAAUCUCAGUUUUAACCAACUUUCUGGUUCCAUUCCCUCCGCUAUCUUCACCACGUAUACACUGACAUAUGUUAGUCUCUGUCAAAAUCAGCUCUCUGGGAAAAUUCCUGCAAAUAUUUGUAGCAAUCUUCCUUUCCUUGAAUUUCUUUCUUUGUCCAAAAACAUGUUGUAUGGCGGAAUACCGUCCACUCUAUCAAAUUGCACAUAUUUAAGAAUCUUAAGUUUGGCAUACAAUGAUUUCUCAGGAGCCGUACCUAGAGAAAUCGGGAACUUGACCAAACUUAAGGAAUUAUAUCUUGGCGUUAAUAGACUUCAAGGUGCGCAUGAUCACGAAGUUUAAUUAUAAGAAUUGUUCCCUGAGUUGUAGUAUGAAUAACGUUCCAUAAUACACUUUACACACGUUGAUUAAUUUGCAGGAGAAACUCCUCGAGAGUUUAGCAAUCUUGCCGACUUGGAGCAUAUGUCGUUGGCAGGCAACAAUCUCCAAGGCAUGAUUUUAAAGUUUUUGCAAUUUUAUUUUAGCGAUGCUUGCUUCUGUAUUCAUUCGCUUGUUCUUUGAUUAUGCGAUGAUUUAUUGUUUUUCUUUCAGAUAGAGAUAAAGCUCCAUGUCUCCCCUCACUCAUUUCAUUCUUUAAUUUAUGCAGAUAAAAAUUUAAAAAAAAUGUUUUGUAAUUUUCUUUUGUCAUAUUGCCACUUCCGUUUUGAAGCUCCCAAUCAAGUCGAUGAAAAUGAAUGAUGUUUCAUUCUUAUUCUUGUCAGCCUAAUUCUUAUAUAAUUGAAGAGUAAAUUGUUAUUAUGAUCAAAUUGUUUGCGCAUAUAUAAAUGUACUUUAUUUACAGGAGGUAUUCAACGGGAAUUGGGGAAUCUUACAAAAUUGGAGGGGUUACAGCUGUUCCAGAAUAACUUGAUCGGUAACUUUCUUUACAAUAUAUAUACGAGACAUCUUCCGCUUUUUAUUAGAAAUUAUAAAUUCAAGUUAAAUCUUAAUUAAAAGAUUUCAAGUCUCUCAUUAUAAAUUCUCAUAUGAUGAUGUGUCGUUACCACUAUCUAACAUUAUUCCCUUUUUUAUUAGAAAUUAGUUUGUGUUAAUUCAAAAUUCUGUAGCAUUUAAAAAAAUUAAAAACACGUGGAAUAAAUUGUUAAUCUUUCUUCUUUACUGAAUUUGGAUUUCUCAAAAAUAAUCAUGACAAGUAUGCUUCACUAAUGAUAAACAUGUGUGACAACUUCAUAAAAUAUUUUAUAUGGAAUCACUAAUUAUCUCUAAAGAUGCCAUCAGUGAUACAUAAUUUCUUAACAAGCACCGUACCAAAAGAAAUCAACAAUUUUAUUAAUCUUAAAGAGUUACAUCUUCACUGCAAUUAUGACAUAAAUUUUUAGUCAUCAAUCACAUAAUAUUUUAUCUUAACGGAUGAUGUUCAGUCUUGGAAUUUAUAAUAUCAUGAAGGUUAGUAGCAUUGAAAAUAAGAAAUUGUUCAUGUGCUAAAAAGUCAACUUAGUAUUUAAGUUUUUCACUUGAAAUUUUUGAAAAAAGUGUUGAGAACUAGCCCUCCUUAGUAUUUCAGCGGAUAAAUAUGAAAAAUGGGCUAGAAGAAAUUAUUUUAUUGUAAUAAGAGUUAGAAAGAGAGGAGAAGUACAGUACUCAUGACUUAGGCUUGCUGUGUGUGUGCUUAUUCUACUUGGGCUUUGGGCUUGAUUACACGGUCGAACGCUUACACCUGUUAAAAUAAUGGGCUUUUGCUUUCGCCGCACAUCUGAUAAUUUCCUAACCUUCCAAUUAGGUUAUAGCAAUUUAAAUAUAAAUAAUAAAGCAUGCUAAAGCUAGCAUUGGUGUAUGGCUGAGUGGUGUAAAAAGUGGAUCUGUUUUCAUGUAUUAUUUAUUCUCUAAAACAUAUUUGAAUACAAUUCUUUCAAAAUACCGAGGAAAUAGCACAUGAAAUCAGAAAUAUUUUAUUGUGAUGAGAAUUCAUAUACUCAUUGUAGUAGAACAUAUAAAAUAGACUAUAAAUUUAUUAUUCUUCGAAACAAACUUGAUUAUAAUUCCUUCAAAAUUAAGUUUGUCAUUAAAUGAUUUCUCAGGAGCCAUACCAAAAGAAAUCGGGAAUUUGACCAAACUCAAGGAAUUAUCUCUUGGCGGUAACAGGCUCCAAGGUGCGCAUGAUCACAAAGUUUAAUUAUGAAAAUUGUUGCAUAAGUUAUAUGGAUAUCCUUGAUAACCGCAGCAAGCAAACAAAAUCAAAUAAAAGCUAACUGAGACUCGAAUAUCCUAAACCCUGAAAAGGAAUGGUAAUGGUAUAAUAUGGAUUUUGAAGGCAUAUUUCACCGGACUCAACAUUUAUGGUUAAUUUACAACUCUUUGUUGGAAAGUCUGAGAAAUUGCUUUAUAUUAGGGGUGGGGAAAAUAAUGCUGGGCCACGAAUUUCAGGCAGAAUCCAGAUUGGGCCCAAUUAGACUUAUAGCUCAGCUCUGUGUAGAUAUCUGGGCCUUUACAAAUAAUUAAUGGGCCAAUUAAUAAUAAUAAAUAAAUUGAGAAGGGUGUGAGUGAAAUUAGAUAUGAAUGAAUCUGCCAAUGUAUGUACACAUUUUUAGCAAAAGAAAUCGGGAAUUUGACCAAACUCAAGGAAUUAUCUCUUGACCGUAACAGGCUCCAAGGUGCGCAUGAUCACGGAGUUUAAUUAUGAAAAUUGUUGCAUAAGUUGUAGUAUGAAUAAUGUUCCAUAAUACAGUUUAGACACGUUGAUUAAUUUGCAGGCGAAAUUCCUCGAGAGUUUGGCAAUCUUGCCGACUUGGAGCAGAUGUCGUUAUGGGAAAACAAUCUCCGAGGUAUGAUUCUAAACUUUUUGCGUUUUUUAUUAGAAAUUAAUUUGUAUUAACUAAAAAUUUUGUAGCAUCUGAAAAAAUUAAAAACACAUGGAAUAAAUCGUCAAUCUUCUAAUUUGGAUUUCUUAAAAAUUAUCUUGACAAGUAUGCUUCACUAAUGAUAUGCAUGUGUGACAACUUCAUAAAAUAUUUUACAUGGAAUCACCAAUUACCUUUAAAUAAUUGGAGAUGCCAUCAGUGAUACAUAAUUUCUUAACAAGCACCUUAUCAAAAGAAAUCAACAAUUUUAUUAAUCUUAAAAAGUUACAUCUUUACUGCAAUUAUGAAAUAAAUUUUUAGUCAUCAAUCGCAUAAUAUUUUAUCUUAACGGAUGAUGUUCAGUCUUGGAAUUUAUAAUACCUUGAAGGUUAGUAGCUUUGAAAAUAAGAAAUUGUUCAUUUGCUAAAAAGUUAACUUAGUAUUUAAGUUUUUCAAUUGAAAAUUUUGAAAAAAGUCUUGAGAACUAGCCCUCCUUAGUAUUUCAGCGGAUAAAUAAGAAAAACAGGCUUGAAGAAAUUAUUGUUGUGUGUGCUUAUUCUACUUGGGCUUUGGGCUUGAUUACACGGUUGAGCACUUACACCUGUUAUAAUAAUAGGCUUUUACUUUCACCACACGUUUGAUAAUUUCUUAACCUUCCCAAUUAGGUUAUAGCAAUUUAUAUAUAAAAAACGAAAGCAUACUAAAGCUAGCAAUUUUUUGACUGGUAUCAUUCCUUCAUCUAUUUCACGUCUUUCAUUAUAAAUUCUCAUAGGAUGAUAUCUCAUUUUUUAUUAGAAAUUAAUCUGUGUUUAUGCAAAAAAAUUUAGCAUCUAAAAAAAGUAUAAAAACACGUGGAAUAAAUCGAAAAUCUUUCUUCAUUACUGAAUUUGGAUUUCUCAAAAAUUAUCAUGACAGCUAUGUUAGUGUCUUACUAAUGAUAUGCAUGUGUGACAACUUCAUAAAAUAUUUUAUAUGGAAAAUAUUAAAAAUAGACUUGAAAAAAAUUAUUUUACUGAAAUAAUAGUUAAAAAGAGAGGAGAAGUAUUACCUAUUACACAUGGUCGAACACUUACACCUGUUAUAAUAAUAAUAGCAUCCGCCGGUCGACUAUGAGUGAUCAAAUUGUUUGCACAUGUGUAAUUUGCAGGAGCAAUUCCACGGGAGUUGGGAAAUCUUACAGGAUUGGGGUUCUUAGAGCUGGGUGAAAAUUUUUUAACCGGUAUCACUCCUUCAUCUCUCUCCAAAUUGCUUUUCUCUAUUAAAUUUGGAACUCUCAUUUAAUAACUUAACAGGUAACUUCCCUUACAACAUGUUUGUGUGACAUGUUUUGCUUCUCAAUUAAAAUAUUUCACUUCUCUCAUUAUAAAUUCUCAUAGGAGGAUGUGUUGUUAUUACUAUUUAACAUUAUCUCGUUUUUUAUUAGAAAUUAAUCUUUGUUUAUGCAAAAAAAUUUAGCAUCUAAAAAAAGUAUACAAACACGUGGAAUAAAUCGAAAAUCUUUCUUCGUUACUGAAUUUGAAUUUCUCAAAAAUUAUCAUGACAGCUAUGUUAGUGUCUUACUAAUGAUAUGCAUGUGUGACAGCUUCAUAAAUUAUUUUACAUGGAAAAUAUGAAAAAUAGACUUGAAAAAAAAUUAUUUUACUGAAAUAAUAGUUAAAAAGGGAGGAGAAGUACACUACUCAUGACUUAGGCUUGCUGUGUACUUAUUUUACUUGGGAUUCGAGCUUGAUUACACAUGGUCGAACACUUACAUCCCACGACAUAGGCUUUUAGGGACGAGUGGCGUCAAAUGUGUAUAUGCUUUUAUGUAUUAUUAUUCUUUGAAACAAAUCUGAUUAUAAUUCUUUUAAAAUACAGAUUAAAUGGCACGUGAAAUCGGAAAAUAUUUUACUGCAAUAAGAAUUCAUAUAUUCAUUGUACUAGCACAUAUAAAAUAAACUAUAAAUUUAGUUCCAAAAUACAUUCUUAUCUUCAUAUAAAUUUUACAUUAUUAAUUUAAAUUAAUAUUAAAAUAUGUUGUUUCUUUCACUAUGUUAUUUUAUUUACACAAUGAUGUGACUAUUGGAAUUAAUAAUACUUUUAAUUAUUUUGUAAAAAUAUAAAUUUAAUACUUUGUUAACAUUUUAACUACAUAUAAUAAUUAAACUGAAACUUGUAUUUAAAAAAUUCGAGUUACGCAUAUUCAUUUCAUGACAUAAAAGUGUAUAUUUAUGCUAAUUUACCAUUAUCAACAAAAAGAUUUGAGACAAAUAAUCUAAUUUAUAUUUUUAUAUUUAAAAUCUUGCAUUUAUUAUAUUUUGAAAAAAAUUUAUUUGCAAUUAUUUUAAACGGUUGGAUUCAAAUUUUCAUAGUUACUAAAGUCAAAGGGUAUAAAUGUAUAAUAGUCAAAAACAUAUUUGUAUGAUCAUUUUUCAAUGUAUAAAUUUUCUUAGUUAGUAGGAAAAUUAGAAAUUGUUGAUUUACUCAUAAAUAAAUUUAAUGUUUAGCAUUUCAAUUUUGGAAAACUUGAACUAAAUGUUGAUAACUUCGAAUCGGUCGAGCCGAGUUUCUCUUCCUUGACCCACGGACCCAUUGAAAGUUCUAUUCGAAUUGAGUUUCCUGGUGCUUAUAAAAAGCAUUUCUUUUCCUUGUUGCAGUAAUUUAUUCACAAAUGAGUUGAUUAGCAUCGAAGUUACCUGAGAGUCUGAGACCAUGCUAGUAGGAGAAAUUUGAUAAGAAAUUAUUUUACUGAAUUAAUUUAUUUUAUCUUGUUGCAACUGGAAUACUACUUUUUUUUUUGGGCCAUCACUUGGGCUUGAUUUACUUUAAUAGUAGCAUCCACCGACUUAGGCGUUUUUUACUUCUCACCACACAAUUUGAUCUUUUAAUUAGUUUUAACCACAUAAUCUAUCUAUUUCUCACCUAUUGCUUACUUAAAUCGCAUACAUAUUUUACCUACUAAUUUUUAUAAAUAUUAGUCAAAUAUAUUUUAUUACGUUUUUCUCGUAACUGCUCCAAAUGUGUACUAUUAAUACUUAACCCUCCCUUUUAAUUUACUGUGCAAUCUAUCUAUCACUUAAGUCAUAUAUAUUUGACCUAUAUUUUACCCCAAAAAAUAUAAAAAUAAAAGAAAAAGAAUGUGUAGCAAUUUGCAUAUAACUAACAAAGCAUUGAUGGUGUGUAGCCUUUCAAUACUUCACGACUGGCUUUUCUUGUGUGUUAGUACUUGUAAUAAUUGUGUAGUGUAUAAAUGGCAUUUUAUUAUUAAAGUGCGUCCAUUUUUAGAUAUUACUUAUUAUUUGAAAAAUAAUCUGAAUAUAAUUCUUUUAAAAAACAGGGGAGAUACCACUUGAAAUUGGUAAUCUCCAAAAUCUGGAGGAGUUGGACCUUCGUCAAAACAAAUUAGUUGGUAUUGUCCCCGCUGCAAUCUUUAAUGUGUCCACGCUCAAAUUACUUCAGCUUCAGAAUAAUUCUCUCUUGGGAUGUCUUUCGUCCAUCGCAGACGUCCGACUACCAAAUCUUGAAGAGCUUUCUUUAUGGGGUAAUAAUUUCAAUGGCACAAUUCCUCGUUUCAUCUUUAAUGCUUCUAAGCUCUCUAUACUAGAAUUGGUAGGCAACUCAUUCUCCGGUUUUAUUCCCAACACAUUUGGCAACUUAAGAAACCUUGAGCGGCUUAAUUUACAAGAUAAUUAUUUGACAUCUUCAACUCCAGAAUUGAGCUUUCUAUCCUCGUUGUCAAAUUGCAAGUCUUUAACACUUAUUGCCUUAUCAAAUAAUCCACUAGAUGGCAAUCUUCGUAAGACGUCUGUCGGUAAUCUUUCUCAUUCUUUGGAAAUCUUUCUCAUGUACAAUUGUAACAUUAGUGGCGGAAUCUCUGAAGAGAUUAGCAACUUGACCAACUUGACAACCAUUAAUUUAGGAGGCAAUAAAUUGAAUGGAUCAAUUCCGAUUGCCCUUGGCAAAUUACAAAAGCUACAAUAUUUGGGUCUUGAAGAUAACAAAUUAGAAGGAUCAAUCCCAGAUGAUAUUUGUCGUUUGGAUGAACUGUAUGAAUUGGAGUUGGGUGGCAAUAAGCUUUCAGGAUCAAUCCCUGCAUGCUUCGGUAAUCUGAUUGCUCUGAGGAUACUGUCGUUGGGUUCCAAUGAGUUAACUUCUAUUCCCUUAACUUUUUGGAACCUUAAGGAUAUCUUGCAACUCAACAUUUCAUCAAAUUAUUUUACUGGUCCACUCCCAUUAGAGAUUGGAAAUUUGAAGGUUUUAAUUGGAAUUGAUUUUUCGAUGAAUAAUUUUUCAGGCGUUAUCCCAACAGAAAUUGGAGGCCUAAAAAAUCUAGAAUAUCUCUUCUUAGGAUAUAAUAGAUUGCGAGGAUCGAUUCCUGAUUCAUUUGGGGAUUUGAUAAGUUUGAAAUUCUUGAAUUUGUCCAAUAAUAAUCUCUUUGGGGCUAUUCCUGCAUCUUUAGAGAAACUCUCAUAUCUUGAAGAUCUAAAUCUUUCUUUCAACAAGCUAGAAGGAGAAAUUCCUAGGGGAGGAUCUUUUGGAAACUUCUCAGCUGAAUCAUUUGAGGGAAAUGAAUUAUUAUGUGGUUCACCCAAUUUACAAGUCCCGCCAUGCAAAACUAGGAUCCACCACACAUCAUGGAAAAAAUCUCUUCUCCUGGGGAUUGUCUUGCCAUUGAGUACUACAUUAAUGAUAGUAGUCAUUUCGUUGAUCCUAAGAUAUCGACAGAGAGGAAAACAACCAUCGAAUGAUGCUAAUAUGCCACUAGUAGCAACGUGGAGAACAUUUUCAUACCUAGAACUUUGUCAAGCAACAGACGAAUUCAGUGAAAACAAUCUAAUCGGCAGAGGAGGUUUUGGCUCUGUUUAUAAGGCAAGACUUGGGGACGGGAUGGAGGUUGCAGUGAAAGUUUUCAAUUUGCAAUGUGGAAGAGCGUUCAAGAGUUUCGAUGUUGAAUGUGAAAUUAUGAAAAGUAUUCGCCAUCGAAACCUUAUCAAAGUUAUUAGCAGUUGUUCAAAUGAAGAGUUUAAAGCGUUGGUAUUAGAAUACAUGCCUCAUGGAAGUUUGGAGAAGUAUCUGUAUUCAAGUAAUUGCAUUUUGGAUAUUUUUCAAAGAUUGAACAUAAUGAUAGAUGUUGCAUCAGCUUUGGAAUAUCUGCACUUUGGUUGUUCAGCUCCAGUAAUUCAUUGUGACUUAAAGCCCGACAAUGUAUUGUUAGAUGAUAAUUUGGUUGCUUAUUUGAGUGAUUUUGGCAUCGCGAAGCUCUUAAUUGGAGAAGAUCAGUCUAUGACUCAAACGCAAACACUUGCCACAAUAGGUUAUAUGGCACCAGGUUUGUUCAAUAUAAACAUUUUCUAUUUCUUGUAAACUUCCUAAUAAGUUAUUUAUGUUUCAUGAUCUUCAUUAGAUCAGGAAAUUAUUGUUAAUGAUAUAUCUUACUAUGUAACUGUUGCAAUUCAUAGAGUAUGGAAGAGAAGGACGAGUAUCCACAAAUGGAGAUGUUUAUAGCUUUGGAAUUAUGUUAAUGGAAACUUUUACCGGGAAGAAACCCACAUAUGAAUUUUUUAAUGGAGAAAUGACAUUAAAGCAUUGGGUUAAUGAUUGGCUACCCAUUUCCACUAUGGAAGUUGUUGAUGCUAAUUUGCUAAGUCAGGAGGACAUACAUUUUGUUGCAAAGGAGCAAUGUGUGUCAUUUGUCUUCAAUUUGGCUAUGGCGUGCACUGUGGAAUCUCCUGAGCAGAGAAUCAAUGCAAAAGAAAUUGUAACAAAACUCUUAAAAAUUAGAGACUCAUUACUUAGAAAUGUUGGAGGCAGACGUAUAAGACAAUCAAAUUUAAAUUGAUUCUACCCCUCCACUACUUGCUAUCCUUUUCAGAGACUUGAACAAUUAUCCUUAAUACAAUUUUUGUUGAUGUGCUUUGUUAUUGCUCUUACUCAUGUUUAUUUCUCUAUUUCUUUAAUUUGCAUGCAUGUAUUUUUCGUUCUCUUUUAUGUUUUUGUUGGUUUGUAUGUAGUUUGUUUUUAGGUUGAUUAUGUCCUCCCCUAAUUAGACGCAUCCUUUUUAUGUUUAUUCAAUAAAGCUUCUCUAAUACUAUCGAGGUUCAUCAAAAGAAAAUUUUAAAUUAAUUUUCUUUUCUUUGACAGGUAAUGAAAUUCUAAUCUUCAUAGUGAAUAACUUCAAUAAUAGAGUGUAAGUGUAUUAGUAGUUAUGGUUGUUUUUUGAACCUGGAGUCAAAAGCAAUUUAAUAGCAACAAACAAGUCUCUUGUAUUAUAGGCAAAAUUAUUUUCAUUAAUCUUAUUUUUCUACAUGUUCUCCUAUUUUCUCCAUUUAUCUUCGCUCAAGGUUUCAUGCUUCCUCUUGGAUAAAGGAAAACUUACUUGCGAAUAUUUCAAUUUGACAUAAGAGACUGUUUUGCCAACCAUUUGAUAAAAUGGAUAUGAGCGGAGCUUUCAAUCAUCACCUCCACCAAAAUCCUUACUACGCCACUUUUAAAUUGUAUUUUUUAAAAUGCAUUCAGUUUAAUUUAUAAAAAAUAAAUUCAUUUGUUAAAAUUAAUCUUUUUCUCAUAAAUUUCAGCCUAAAAAAUAUAUUUCUUUUAAACUUUUAAUUAUAAAAUACAUACAAGUUCUAAACUGUUAUAUUAUUUUCUUCUUAUUAUAUAGUUCAUAUCUCCAUAACUCUAAACUCCUAUAAUUUUUUUUAAAAUAUUUUUAAUUUAAAAUAUAAAUAUAAAAUAUAAAAUGGAGUGGGUAUAAAAAAACUUGUUAAAAGAAUAAUUCAUUUAAGUAUUUAACUGAAUUUAAAUUAAAAUAAGAAAUAAAUAAAUUUAUUUUUAUUAGUUAAGUAAUUUUCAAUUGUAAAAGAGCUUUAUGAGUAAUAUUAUUGAAAUAUGAUUAAAAUUCUUAUGAAUUAAACAUUUUCGUAUAAAUACUAGUGAUAAUUAUAGAGAAAAUGUGAUGAACCAAAGAAAACUUGAGUAUAAAUACUCCAAUGUAAUUUUACACAUGCAAAUUAUGAACCAAUGAUCUUUAGAGCAUCAUAAAAUUAUUUUGACACAACUAUUUAUUUUGAAAAACUGGUAACAAUGUUUAAAGUGGGAUUGAAAAGAUUAUGCUACUUAUAUAAGACAUGAUAUCAUUUAAGACGGCUUACAGAUUAUGAGAAAUAUAUUCAUCUUACAAAUAUUUAAUAUGUUAAUUAGACGGGUCUAGCUGCCUUUCACCCGCUGGAAGGUACAGCUUAUUUUGUCCUCUAGUGUUGUGGCCGUUGGAUAUUUGAGAAGUUGAUCUAUCGGUUCUUGUUCGGCAGCGUGAAAUUGAAUUUCAAUCAGCAACCAUUUCAUGAACUUUCAGGAGACAAUUAUCUACAAAAAAAAUUUUUUAAAAAAUAAUUUUUCGCUUUCAUCAACCGCCGCUGCCACCCACAACCCCUUAAUAUCAUCACCACCAUCCCAAUCCUUAGCCGCCAUCCACAAACUCUAACAACCACCAUGACUGCCAUCACAACCGCCACUCCUCACAACCCUAGCCACCCCUACAAAUGACUGUAUUUUACGUUUGAGCAUUAAUUGCCGGCAUGAUCUCUUAGACUUCUCUUGCAUUGAAUGAAUGGAUGAGUGCUAAUCCAUGCAAAGACUUCCAUGCAUGCACAAUGAAUGCUAAAUCUAAGGUAUAGCAAAAUGUCAGCAACCUUGGCCCAAAUUAUCAAGAUGGUUUGGUGGCUGCUAGAUUUGUUCAUCCGGAUUUUGGACCAUUUUCCUUGACAAUGAGAAAAGCUCCAAGAUGUGUAAUGUUAGUGAAUCAGAUGAAGCUGGAGCAGAGCAUGAUGUUGCUGUGUAGCUGGAGCAGAGCAUGAUGUUGCUAUGUAGCUGGUUGUAUCAGAUCAAAUCAUUAAGCUGACUUGUCAAAGUUAGUUAACUGGUUGAGCUGAUGUGUCAAGUUAGUUAUACAGCAAAUGGUUAUGUGUUGCAACAAUCUCGUGUGUGUGUUAAGAGAUUGUAGCUCAAUAUAAAUAUCAAUUGGUAAUCAUUAAACUGUAAGCUUGGAAUAAUAAGAAGAUCUAACAGUUUUCUUUGCAAAGCUUUUCUUUUAUUUUCUUUCAUUUUCUAGCCUACCAAACAAUAUAGAACUAAGUUUCUUUCAUGGUAUCAGAGCCAUAAAUGGCAAAUAUAGUUCAAAACAACAACUCUUUUAGUUUUGUUACACCAGUAAAGCUAGAUCAAAACAACUUCAUUCUGUGGCGCACACAAAUUUUAACUUCAAUCAAAGGAAACGGUUUGGAAGGGUUUAUCAAUGGCGAUCGAGAAUGUCCUGAGCAAUUUCUUUCUUCUGGAAACAACAAUGGAGCUGAAGUUUUAACUGAGUCUGGAUCCAGAUCUGUUAAUCCAGAAUUCGAAGCUUGGAUGAAGACUGACCAACUCUUACUGAGUUGGAUGAUGUCAUCGAUACAGCAAAAUCUGCUUGCUACUGUGAUUGAUUCUACAACUUCAAAACAGCUUUGGGAGACUCUUGCUAGUAUGUUCAUCUCUCAAUCACAAGCUAGAAUUCAAACACUUAGAAUGCAGAUUCAAACUAUUAAGAAAGGUGCCAUGCAUAUUUCUGAUUAUUUUGUUAAAGUAAAACGCAUAGCUGAUACUUUAGCUCUAGCUGGAAAACCUAUUGAGUUAAAUGAUCUUGUGAUGCAUAUAUUAACUGGUCUUGAUUCAUCAGACUAUGAAUCUUUAGUCACAGCUAUGUUAGCUCGAGGUGAAAAGAUCACAUUAGAUGAACUAUAUUCUUUGUUGUUGAAUCAUGAAAAUAGAGUUGAGCAAAAGAAAGGGAAAAUUGCUAGUGAUGUGAUGCAUAACAUGACAGCAAAUAUUGCUCAGAAAAAUUCAUAUGCUGGAAAGAAUAAUGGAAAUUUUCAGAAAAAUUAUGGAAAUAACUAUCGAAGAGGUAAUAAUUCUGGAUAUGGAGGUUCUAAUGGAUAUGGAUAUGGUCAGUUUAAUACUAGCAGUAAUUCCUCUGAAGUUGUUUGUCAAAUUUGCUUUAUACCUGGUCAUGCAGCAAAUAGAUGUAGGAAUAGGUACAACUCAUCCUUUGUUCCACAGAGGAAUCAUGGUAGAGGAAAUAUGAAUGGUGGCAGAGGUUUUAAUCAAGGGCAAUAUGGCAGAGGAAGAGUCUAUAAUGGUAAUAGUGGAAGAGGAUUUGGAGGUUUUGGUUCAAAUGCUGGUUUUGGACAAAAUGCUAGUUUUGGUCAUGCACCCAGGGGUUUUGGCUAUUAAGGAAAUAUAGUGUAUCCAGAUAGCAAUCCUUCUGCCUAUUACUCUUUCACUCCUGGAUCAUCUAAUUUUGUUGCUGGUCAAGGAAACAACAAUCCUGGACAGUCAAGUGCUUCAUCUUCCUCAGCUAUGUCUUUUUCACUCCCAGAAUACAUUUAAGAUCCUUCCUGGUACAUUGACAGUGGAGCAACAAAUCACAUUACUAAUGAUCUAGGUAAACUUCUAGAUUCACAAGCUUAUACUGGUACUGAAAAGUUAUUUGUUGGGGAUGGAAAUGCAUUAGCUAUUACACAUAUAGGAUCAGUUGUGCUAAACACUUCCAAUUCUCAAUCUUUAUUUCUUAACCAUGUUCUUCAUGUCCCUUUUAUUACUAAGAAUUUGCUUAGUAUCUCAAAAUUAUUGGCUGACAAUCCAGUUACUGUUGAAUUUCUUGGUGAUUUCUGUUUUAUAAAGGCCAAGAACACAAGGAAAAUUUUACUUGAAGGUGUUGCUAAAGGUGGCUUGUAUAGAGUCUCUUCACAUGCUGCUGCUCACUCAGUCUUUCUCAGUUCAGUUGGUCAAAACAAAAUUUAGUCUCUCUUUGCUUGGUCUCCUGUUUUUACUUCUGAAAAACCUUCUGUUGUUAGUUCUUAUAAACUCAAUAAAAAGUCAUGUAUGUCAGUUGUUGCAAAGGGUUUAACUGAUGUAAAUCUUCUGCAUAGAAGAUUAGGACACCCAGCCCCUUAUACUCUCAAAAUUAUUCUCAAAGCUUGUAACAACUUUACUGCUCUUAAUAAAGUUGAAAGUUUGAAAUUUUGUUCAGCAUGUCAAUAUGGAAAAAUCAUAUGCUGCAUUUUAAUUCAGUUGAAACAAAAACUUCAGCACCUUUAGAAUUGAUAUAUGCAGAUUUGUGGGGUCCUUCUCAUGUUUGUUCUACCCAAGGAUAUAACUACUACCUAUCAAUCCUAGAUGAUUACAGUAGGUUUACCUGGAUAUUCCCUUUAUCAGCAAAAUCUGAUGCUCUUGAAGUGUUUAAAAAUUUCAAAACAUUCAUUGAAAAGCAUCUUCAACUUUCAAUCAAAACUGUCCAAACAGACUGGGGAGGGGAGUUCAAAUCUUUUUCCUCAUUACUCACUACUUCUGGUAUCCAUUUUAGACACCCUUGUCCACAUAUUCAUCACCAAAAUGGAAGAAUUGAGAGGAAGCAUAGACACAUAGUUGAUGUAGGUCUGACUUUAUUAGCUCAAGCACAUUUACCACUCAAAUUUUGGUGGAAUGCAUUCCACACAGCUGUCUAUUUGAUAAACAGACUUCUCACUCCAGUUCUAAAUAGCAUUUCUCCCUUUCAAAAGUUGUUUCAUUAUCAACCAGAUUAUUCAACACUUAAAACUUUCGACUGUGCUUGUUAUCUAACACUCAGACCAUACAAUAGAUAUAAGUUUGAUUUCAGAACUGCUAGAUGUAUAUUCAUUGGCUAUAGUUCACAACACAAGGGAUAUAUGUGUCUUCAUUCUUCUAGAAGGGUCUAUAUUUCUAAUCAUUUCACUUUUGAUGAAAAUUCCUUUCCUUAUGAGUCUGGGGUAGAUUUUUCUUUAACUUCUUUAAGUUGUCAGUCCACUUCACACUCUGAGUCCUCUUUUCAGUCUUCCCCUUCUUCUGUUACUCAGUUACAAGCACCUUUAGCAGCAUCAUCAGCACUUCAACCAACUCACCCUGCUGAUCAUCAAUCUAAUGCUUCUACUCCUGUUUAUUUUUCUGAUAACUCCAACUCAGCUUCUCAUUUCUCAUCUUCUCAUUCUUCACCUCCACAUACAUUACCCCAACCUGUACCAUCUGGUCAUCCAAUGGUAACCAGAUCAAAAGUAGGUAUUUUCAAGCCAAAAGUUUAUUUGUCAGCCUUGUUAGCCCAGCAAUCAGAACCAACUUCUGUUUCCAAAGCACUCUCUGAUCCUAUGUGGUAUAAGGCUAUACAAGAAGAGUAUCUAGCACUUAAAGCUAAUCACACCUGGGAUUUGGUUUUACAUACUACUCCAGUGAAGAUAGUUGGUAACAAGUGGGUGUUUCGAAUUAAGUAUAACUCAGAUGGCUCGGUUUCAAGGCACAAAGCCAGACUUGUUGCUAAGGGGUUUCACCAGACACAUGGGGUUGAUUACACAGAAACCUUCAGUCCAGUGGUUAAGUCUUCAACUAUCAGAGUUAUUCUUAGCUUAGCAAUAUUGAAUCACUGGGUUAUUCGGCAAGUGGAUGUUAAUAAUGCCUUCCUCAAUGGCAUUUUAAUUGAAGAUGUGUACAUGGCUCAGCCUCAAGGUUUUGUUGAUUCAACUAAACCUAAUCAUGUUUGCAAGCUGAAUAAGGCUUUAUAUGGUUUAAAACAGGCUCCUAGAGCCUGGUUUGAUAGAUUUAAGGAUGCAAUGCUCUCCUAGUGGCAUUUUCAGCAUUCAAGGUCUGAUAACUCUCUCUUUUAUACCUGGAACAAUGGUCAUGUAACUAUUGUUUUAGUCUAUGUUGAUGAUAUUAUCAUCACUGGCUCAAGUCCAUCACUAAUUCAGCAAGCUAUUCAGAAUAUGCAUCAAACUUUUGCUUUAAAAGAUCUGGGGGAACUUAACUAUUUUUUGGGGAUUGAAGUCAGCAAGUCCUCCACAGGGGUUUCUUUGACACAAGCAAAGUAUAUUGCUGAUGUUCUGGAAAAACAUGGCAUGAUUGAUUGCAGUCCCGUGCCAACUCCCAUGUCUACAGGUUAUUACUCACCAAAGACUCAGGGGAGCCAAUUGACAAUGUCUCUCAAUACAGGAGUGUUAUAAGAGCUCUUCAGUAUGUUACUCUUACCAGACCUGACAUUGUUUUUUCUGUCAAUAAGUUAAGUCAGUUCCUUUCCGAUCCUAGAACUCAACAUUGGGAAGCAUGCAAAAGGUUAUUGAGGUACUUAAAAGGUACUAUCCAUCUUGGGCUACAAUUCUACAACCAAGGAGCUCUGCAAAUCCAUUGUUUUUCAGACUCUGAUUGGGCUUGUGAUCAUGAUGAUAGGAAGUUAGUAGCUGGCUUUGCUGUUUAUCUAGGUCCUAAUCUUGUUUCUUGGUAGUCCAAGAAGCAAGCUAUUGUUUCUAGAUCCAGCACAGAGGCUGAGUACAGAUCUCUUGCUCAUGCUGCUUUAGAGGUUACCUGGAUUAAGUCUUUACUUGGUGAACUUAGCGUCAACUUGAGCUCUACUCCUAUGAUGUGGUGUGAUAAUCAAGGAGCUAUUGCUUUAGCUUAUAAUCCAGUCUAUCAUGCUAAAACUAAGCAUGUUGAAUUGGAUAUCCAUUUCAUCCGAGAUAAAGUUACUGCUAAAGAAGUUGCAGUCUGCUAUGUGCCUAGUCAAGAUCAAACAGCAGAUGUGUUGACUAAAGCUCUCUCUUUCAAACAGUUUAGUUACUUCCAAAGUAAGCUGAAUGUUCAUCCUAAACAUUUCAGCUUGAGGGGGGGUGUUAGUGAAUCAGAUGAAGCUGGAGCAGAGCAUGAUGUUGCUGUGUAGCUGGAGCAGAGCAUGAUGUUGCUAUGUAGCUGGUUGUAUCAGAUCAAAUCAUUAAGCUGACUUGUCAAAGUUAGUUAGCUGGUUGAGCUGAUGUGUCAAGUUAGUUAUACAGCAAAUGGUUAUGUGUUGCAACAAUCUCGUGUGUGUGUUAAGAGAUUGUAGCUCAAUAUAAAUAUUAAUUGGUAGUCAUUAAACUGUAAGCUUGGAAUAAUAAAAAGAUCUAACGGUUUUCUUUGCAAAGCUUUUCUUUUAUUUUCUUUCAUUUUCUAGCCUACCAAACAAUAUAGAACUAAGUUUCUUUCAUGUAAAUUGAAGACUCACUGAACGCUCCAAGUUUCAGGUAACUCUUGUGUUGUGUGCUCGGAGUAUUCUCUAUUGUAUUUUUUUUGUUUGUUAUUUAUUUGACGUAUUGCUAGCAGAGAUCUUGGGUGGGAACCAGAAAUUCCCAACAAUUGUCAAUUGUUUUAAACUCUAUUCUGAACAGAGCAUAAAGGGACUCACUUAUCUAAUUUUGUCUUUUAUGCUUUAACUUCACUUGAUUUCAUCUUUUCCGUCACCUUUGUUAAAGUUGUAUAUGUUGGAGUAUUAGGUUCAUCAUAAGGAUCAUUUUAUGGCUAAGGAAGGAGCACACUUUAUCAGCUACACUCAAGUGUAGCAGAGAAUUUGGAUUCAAGACUGUUAGAAGGUUGUUACAGAUGCAAGGCUAUUGCUGUGUAAUUGUAAUGCUGCGUAGCACCGUAAGUAAGAAGAAAAGUGUCUAAGGUUGCCACGUGUUGUCUCAACGUCUGUGUGAAAACCGAUUUGUUUAAUCAAAAUCAUAAACACCAUUUUGAAAAUCCAUGGCCAUGGUCGUGAUGUGUCUUUAUCAAUCACGGAUACCAAAUUUAAUCAAAAUUAUCGAUUGUUUUAAAUUCUGUUUUUAACAGAGCAUGAAGAUGUCGCUUAUCUAGAUUUACUUUUUAUGCUUUGACUUCACUUAAUACAGCUUCUUCCUCCUUUAUCUGUAUGCCAUGCCGGCAAGUGUAUUGUACAGAUUUCUAGAGUAUUACCUGUCUAUUUUUUUCACCGAUGACGAAGCUAAUUAUUAGUAAUCAAUCUAAAGUCUACCUAUAAAUACAAUAGGUUGCUUAGGUGGCACCAAUAUCCUAACUUUAUGCCAUGUUUCUGGUGUGUCUUCACAAAUUCACCGAUACAAAUUAAUUUCUACCAAUAUUACCAAAUGAUUGUAUUUUACGUUUCUAUUUACUUGUAAUAAAGAUCUUCAAUUUUAUUGGUUACAAAAUUCUCUAGGAUUGCAUGUACAUUAUACUUUUAUAUACAUAUUUUCUUCUUUCUCAUUCGUUUUCUGGGUGAACAUAUUAUUUUCGUCAUCAUCUCUAUAACAAUGAAGUGAAAAUAGUCCUCAUUUAAAGUAUUGACAGCAAUGUUAUACUCAAUAUAACGCAUAAAGCACGCAUAAUUUAAUUAAUGGGGUAGCUGCUAGUACCUUCUUUAGAAGAGAAUUAUUGCAGCAAGGUAAUUGGAAGCUCAAAGAGUUUCCGUAUUAGCCGAAUCUAAGCGAUAAGUGUUUCCAUGUGAGCCAUAAUUUGGGAAAAAGACCAAUUCGAGUUAAAGAUCAGAAAACAGACACUGUCAACAAGCAUUAAUAUCAUUUGAUGCAUGAAAGACAGUUAGUCCCAUUUUUUUGUCCUGUUUACUUGAGUUGGGCAAUUUGCCGUCAACUUUUCUCAUCCACGUCAGGUAAUGUGGCUUUUAUUUGGUAUGAAAAAGCCAAUGCUUUACGAUAAAACUGUCACACACAUAUUAUCCAUCUGUAAUGUUCAAAUGACACUGAAGUAUUACCUAAAUUAGGCUUUCAAAAAUUCAUUUUCAAAAACCCAUGGUUGUGAUGUGUCUCUAUAAAUUAAGAUCUAUCUGUUACCAACUGUUUUAACUCUGUUCUGAACAGAGCUUGAAAGGGUACAUUCACUUAUCUAGUUAUGUUUUUUAGGCUCUCACUUUACUUGAUUCACCUUAUCCCUCUUUUGAAACAAUUGUUCACUGGCUGCACUCAGUUGACAAAAUAUUUUGGGAUUCAAGACUGUAGGUUGUUACGGAUGCAACUUGCAAGGCUGUUGCCAUGCUGGCAAGUGUGCUGCUAUAACAGAUUGUUGAGAUGGCACCAAAGAUUGUAAACUAAUUAGUACUGGAAAAUCAUGAGUUUGGUGAUGAAGAGGACCAAAAACAUUAUUUUAUUAUUUAAAAUAAGACUAUCAAUUAUUUCCAUGGUCAUCUUUUUUUUUAUUUAUUAAUUGGCCUAAAUAUUGUAUUUUUUGUCAGGAGUCUUGCAAUGUUGCUUAACACCGUAAGUAAGAAGAAACGUGUCUAAGGUUGCCACGUGUUGUCUCAACAUAUGUGUGAAAACUGAAUUAACCAGUUUGCGUUCGACAACAAAGGAAAAUACUUCUUGUUGCUGACCGGUUGAUAAGUAUUUCAAUACCUCCACCAAAAUCUUUAUAACACCCUUUUUAAUUUUAUUUUCUGAAAUACACUUAGUUUUUUAAAAAAGAGCUUUAUGAGAAAUUUUCAGUGUGUCAAAAGGCCUACUUAAUGGACUGGAUCCCGACUCAUUAAUUUUAUAACCCGACUUACAAUCCGACUCAUUAUUCACAGAGAUUAAUUUUCUAUUGCUUAAGGCACAAUAUUUACUAAGCAAUUUAUCGGCAAUAAAACAUGUAUAUUAUUGUGGUUUGUAAUAAAAUUGGAAGAAGACAUCACGUACGAAUUGGAUUUAUCCAAUGAAAUUUGAUUAACGAAACUGUAUGAAAAUAUAUCAAGAAAAUAGUAAAAAAAAAUGUUGUGUAAAUGCUGUAUAGGUGAUAUAUUACUUUUAUAAUCCAUCAAGGUACAUUUGAUUUUAAUGAUGAAACAAAUACAAAUAAAUCUAUGUGCGUCAAUGCUAGAUGGCUCCAUAUUAAACUUGUGAAGUAUAGAAAAUAAGCAGGAUUCGUAACAAAUAUUUUAGAUAAUACCACUGAAAAGUUAUAAAAAUAUUUUUUAAAAAAAGAAAUACAUGCUCGAGACACCACGACCGACGCGCACAAACUCACAUAUUUAUAUAUUAAUUGAGGUAAAAAAUGAUAUUCUGAGUAAUAUUGUUGACAUAUGAUUAAAAUUCUUUUUGAUGAAACAUUUUCGUAUAAAUACUAGUGAUAUUUGUAGAGAAAGUAGAAUGAAGUGAAAAAAACUUGAAUAUAAAUGCUCCAAUAUAAUUUUUCCCAUACAAAUUAUGAACUAGUGAACUUUAAAGCAUCAUAAAAUUGUUUCAACAUAAGUAAUUAGUUUGAAAAAUUGCCAAUAAUGUUUAAAGUGGGAACGAAAAGAUUAUACUAUAUGAGACACGAUAUUAUUUAAGACAGCUUACAAAUUGUGGGAAAUAUAUCGAUCUUACAAAUAAUAUUUAAUAAGUACAAAUUUCAAAUUAAAUAAUAAACCCUUAAUUUCCUUUUAAUCAUAAUUAUGAUCUUAAUAAUUAAAGUCAUUCAAUCUUAAUCACUUUUUUAUUUUUUUAAACUAUCUAAAUGACAUCGAAAACUCUACUCAAUAUUAAUUUAUUCGAAUGUUUUGUUUCAAAAAAAUUGAAAACUGUAAAUGAAACAAAUGCUUGCAAUCACAAAUGGCCUAAAAUAGGAUUUUUAUUUUUUAAUAUUGCAAUGUCUUUGAUCUUGAUAUUGGAAAUUUAUUUGUAACUUAUACCAAGUCUUCAAUUUUAUCAUAAUUAGUUUCUAAAGAUGCAUUUGCCAUACUGUGUAGUUGUAUUGUAUGAUGAUAUAUUACAUUAGGGUGCAUUGUAUUGAGCUGUAAUGCAAUACUAUUUUAUAUUAAUGUUAAAACUAAAUCAACAUUAUUUAAAUUUAUUAAUAUUUUAGGAUUUUAUUAGUAAUUUCUUAAAUUAAGUAUUAAAUAAUUAUUUUUAUAAUAUACAAACUAUUUAAUAAUAUUUUACUAUUAAAUAAUAAAAUAUUACAAUAUUAUGUUAUAUUAUUAAUAAUUAUUCUGUUAUAAUAUAAUUUAUUUUUAUAUAUUAGUUAUUAUAAUUUAGUAGAAUCAUAUUAUAAUAAUAUUAUAUUUUAAAAAUAUAAUACUAUAUAACUGUAUAAUAUAAUAUGAAUUAAUUUAUAAUUUAACAUUAAAUUAUAAAUUUAUUUUAUUUAUUAAUGUCAAAUAUAAUUGUCUAAUUUAAAUUUAGUUUUAAAUUUAGUAUUUUUUUAAAAAUAAACUAUUUAGUAAAAUUUAAAAAUAUAUUUUUAUUUAUUAAAUAAAACUAAAAUAUACUUUUAUGCAUUUAAAGUAAAAUUACUAAAAUGAUUUUAUAUAAUAAAGUAAAAUAAUGUAUUAUUAUUUAUUAAUUAAAUAUUUAGGUUUAUUAAUAUAAUAUAUUAUUAAUUAAAUUAAUGAAUAUUAAUUAAUAAUUUAAAUUUAUUAAAUAAUAAAAGUUAAAUGAUUAUAUUUAAAAUAUAAAUAGUAUUUUAAUGCAAUAAAACCUAAAUCCCACAUGUAUGCCACAUUUGUUAUACAGUGUAAUGCAACUAUAAAUUAUAAUUAUAUAAAAAUAAUAUUUUAAUACAAUAUAAUACAAGUAUAAUGCCACUUGAGAAAUUGAUAUUUUAAUCAUAAAAACCAAUAUAAUACAAUGAUUCUGUCCUCUUUAUUAUUUUUCUAAAUGCUUCCAUGGCAUAAUCUCAUUGGUCCAUUUUGUUUCACAGCUUAGAUUCAACUGCAAGAUUUUCAAUUUGAAGCAAGCUGUGGUCCACUGGCCGUGGCCAAACAAACAUGCCUCAUGAAGUCAUGGUGACUGAAUCAUCUCUUAUGUCAGAAUUUGAACUUAAACAAUUUGAACAUAGACUGUUUUUUGAUUGUCGAAGAUUCGCUUCAAAAAUUAGUAUUUUUUAGUGGAGUUUGGUUGUCUCGUAUCCUUCAAUUGUUGUUUGGUUAUGAAAAUAAUUUUUGAUUUUAGGGAAUUUCGAUUAUCUGGUUUAGUUUGAGUGCAAUUUCCUCUAUUUACGGUUUCAGUGUGACGGAUAAAUUGCAAUUUCGAAUUUUUGAUAAAAUUAAAAUUAAAAUUGGGCGGUUAUUAAUUAAUUGAUGGCUAGUGAUACUGCAACGGCGGCCGAAGCUCCGGAAGAAGCGGAGGCGGUGGAGGAGUAUGAUAGCGAUCCAGAUGAAGUGAAACACUCUCUCGUGAUGCGCAGAAUGGAAGCAAGCGAUGAUGAGUGUUAAGGAAGCUCAUGUUGCAGUCAAAGGAGCAGCUCAGUUAGCACGUGUGAAUCAAAGCACUCAUUUAAUGGAAAUUUUUCUAGAUGCUUCAAUGGCAGAAUCUCGUUGGUCUAUAACUCUCACGCCUUUGACUCAAGAUUCAAUUUCAAACCAACGCCGAACAAACAGUAUAAACCUUAAUAAGUCUGUGGCUCACCGAAUAAUAUCUCUUACGUCAGAAUUUAAACUUAAACAAAGCUACAUCCCACGUGUCCCCAACUUUCUUCAUAUUCCCAGAAAACCCCUACCAGAUCCAGAUAAUUACCUUCACUCUUCUCGUAUAAAUAGAGAAGAUGAUGAUUCCUACAAAGCCACGUAAGUCAAGUGAACGUUACGGCCAUGGGACGUUGGAAUUGGAUCAAACCACCGGAAUGUAAAGCAAAAUUAACCGAAUAGACUAAAUUAGAUCCAACCAUUUGAAUCGGUUGAGUGUCACUCAAAAAACAAAUAAAUAUAUAAAACAACACAAUUAUCAUAUUAAUGGGGUUCAGUGGAUGCUUCUUUUUUUUCAUUUUCAAUGAAUGCUUAAUAUGCAUUCAAUAUGAAAAACAAUCUGUCCCAUUGAGCACUGUUGAAGUCAUUGAAUGAAAAUGAAUACUUCUAUAAGAAACAAUCAUUCCCCUAUUUAUUUGACACGCAAAGAACUUUCUUACUCAGCUCGGCGGCCAAACCUUUAACAUUUGUUGAAAUUCAGUUAAUUGGUGAAUGUGACAUAACUCGAUAAAUCGUUUAAUUUGUAUAAUUGAUAAAAAUUUGAACUUCAAAUAAUAUAUGUUUUCAAUUUUAGAUAAUGGAUAUAUGUCAUGAUACUAUGAGCAAAUGAAGCGUCUGAUAGAAAACAUAAUGUUUGUAUUAGAAAUUUUAAGUGUGAAUCUAUUUACUGUUGGUUUUAUAUAUAAAAAAUUAGUUACCAACUUGUCUUGUUUCUCAUUUUGUUCAAUUUUCAUAAAUUUGACUAACGAUUAAUUGUGAGCGAAGAGUUUGUUGUAAAAAUAUGGUCUUCCAUUUACUAUAAAAAGAUUAGUGUGAUUUAAUUAUUUUUUCCUUUUGCUUCAUUUCUAGAAAAUUAUGAAUACUUUGGCAAAUAAGAUAAUUAAUUAUAAACAUCGUUUUCAAAAUCCAUGACCAUGGUUGUGAUGCGUCUUUGUAAAUAGCUAAUACAAAAUUAAUUUCUAUCAAAAUUACGGUAAUUACCAUUUGUUUUAAACUCUGUUCUGAACAGAGCAUGAAAAUACCACUUAUCUAGAUUUGCUUUUCAUGCUUUCACUUCACUUAAUCCAGCUUGUCCCUCCUUUGACUGUAUGCCGUGCUGGCAAGUGUGCUAUGCAGAUUACUGAGCUGACUAAUCAAUUUGAAGUGUACCAAUAAUAGAUUGGUGCCAGCUACUAACCUUAUGCCAUGUUAGUGCACAAUAACAGAUUGCUUAAGUUGGCUGGCACCAAUCUACUAACCCUAUGCCAUGUUUCUAAUGUGUCUAUAAAUUCACUAACACGUAUUAAUUUCUGCCAACAUUACCGAAUGAUUGUAUCGAUUUUUAAGCACGUAAACAUACCAGCUUUCUUUCUUUUACUCUCUAUUUCAUGUUUAUUCAAUUUCAAUCUUCUGCAAGUUUCUUUUACAUGCAUUUUUUCUUCUCUCUUUUGUUUUUUUGGUAAACAUAUUAUUUUAUCAUCUAUUACUAUAAGAAUGAAAUGAAAAUAGUCCUCAUUUAAAGUUUUGACAGCAAUGUUAUACUCAAUAUAACGUAUAAAGCACGCAUAAUUUAAUUAAUGGGGCUGCUAAUAUCUUCUUUAAAAGAGAAUUAUCGCAGCCACGUAGUUGGAAGCUCAAAGAGUUUCCAUAUUAGCCGAACCUAAGUGAUAAGCGUUUCCUUAUGAGCCAUGAUUUGGGGAAAAAAACCAAUUCAAGUUAAAGAUCAGAAAAGUGUGUCCCUCACGAAUACAAUAAUUCAAGCCACACAUUUAUCAAACGCAUGGCAGGGACGCUUCAACAUGUUGUCUCAUGGAAAGAAAUCCUUGUCUUUGACUUAAUACAAUGUUACAGAAAAAAUAUUGGGUGCUCCCACUGGCUGCUUUUAUUGAGUGGCAGAAUCAGAAUUUUAUUUCGGGUAAAAUCUCGUUUAGUCCCUAUAUUUUGAGGUUAGUGUCCGUUCAGUCCCUAUAUUUUUAAAAAUAUCUCAAAACAUCCCUGACAUUAAAUUAUUAGCACAUUUCCUCUUAUUUUUUGUUGCUUUUGGCUUAAUUUUUACAAUAUUACCCUCUUAUAAUAUUUUUUUUGGACAUUAGUAAAAAGAAAAAAAUUAAUUAUCAAUUUAAUCUCAAAAAAUAAAAUAGUAACAAAAUUAAUAUAUCAUACUUUUUUGUAACACACUACUGAGGAAUUAAUAUAAUAAUUUUUUUAUUACUAAUGUCCAAAAAAAAGGUAAUUUAAUUAUUUUAUUUUUGGGGUUAAAUUGAUAAUUUAAAUUUUUUUCUUUUUAUUAAUUUUAUAACAAGAAACAUUAUUGUAAGAGGGUAAUAUUAUAAAAGGAAGUCAAAAGAAACAAAAAGUAACAGCAUGGAUGUCAAUAAUUUAAGGGUAAGGAUGUUUUGAGGUAUUUAUAAAAAUAUAGGGACUAAAUGGGCACUAAUCUUAAAUUAUAUGGAUGAAACGAGCCUUUACCCUUUUAUUUCCAUGGUGGCAAUAAUGAUUAAACUGUAAACUUAAUUUGGUUGUGACAUGAAAAUAACGUUGUAAAUACUGGCUCUGCAUUUUAUAAAAUGCAGAUAUCUGUACUAGAAAAGAACUAUGACACACACACACACACACACACACACACACACACAUAUAAUCAUUCUCAGGUGCAGACGUCCGGAUUUUUUUUAAUGCAAACAAAUUUUUAAACCGUGCAAUUUUAAAGAAUUAGUUGUUGAAUAAACUAUAAAAUCAUGCUGUUUAGAAGAGUUAAAAGCUAACUCUCUUAUACCAUGCAGUUUUAAAGUGUGUCCGCAUAAAAAAAAAUGAGGACGCUCACACUAGAGAAGACUAUAUAUAUAUAUAUAUAUAUAUAUAUAUAUAUAGGUAUUCUCAUUUUAUUUUCAUGCGGAUACACUGUAAAACCGUAGGGUUUAAAAGAGUUGGUUAAUUUUUAACUCUUUUAAACUGCAUGGAUUAAAAGUGUGUCCACAUUAAGAAAAAUAUGGACAUCCGCACCCGAUAAUGAUUAUAUAUAUAUAAUAGUUUUUUGGUCCGGAAUUUUAAAGUGCGGGAAAGGUUAGGGAAAUCUUUAAAACCACAGAAUUUUAAAGGCUUAAAACUUGAAGCACUUAAACUGCACAUUUUAUGCAUUUUCCCGGACGUCCCCGUAAUUUAAAAUUCUAGAUUAUAUAUAUAUAUAUAUAUAAAGUUUUUUUUUCAAUUAACUAUUAUACCAUAUGAUUAAUAGCUGAUCCACACGAAAUUUACAUUUAGGCAAUUACUAUCAAAUAUCGAUACGUGUUUGAAUAAACUCUUAAAAAUCGAUUUCCACCUUCAUUAUUACAGCCCUUGUAUAAACUAACGCGGCAACAUAUAAUCAGUUGGUAAAAGAAUAAAUAUAUGUCAAGUGGGUUCUACCAUGUUUUUAAUUCAACGAAUGACAAUAUGCCACCUCGAUUUAUACAAUAAUAUUUAUGACUAUAUCAUUACUCAUUAAUUAAUAGGAACACUAAUUUAUUUUCUUAAAAGAGAAUUCAUCAAUUUGUACAAUAGUAUUUUUACAAAAGUAUUUGUGACUGUAUCAAUACUUGUUAGCUAUUAAUAGACCACUAAUUUAUUCUUCUUAAAAGAGAAUUACUGCAGCAAGUUUGGAGGCACAAAGAUUUCCCAUAUUAGCCAAACAUAAGAGAUAAAGAGUUCAUAUGAGAGGUAAUUUGGAAAAUCAAUUCCAUGCAAUAGGUCUUAGUGGGUUCGACUCAGUAUACGAUUAUUUUCAAAUUUUUAACGUAUUAAAGAUUCCUAUAUCACAUUAUAAUUUUCAAACAAUCAAAAUGAGUCAAAUCAAAUUUAGAACUUUGAGGUCUACUAUAGACUUGGACGUAUUAAAUUUAAGACAAUUAAGCAAAUCCUAGACAAAAUCUAACUUGUAAAUAUACCUUACCACACGAUGAACGUACUGAUAAAUCUUAACUGAUUGCUCACCAAUUAAUUGUUAUUUUGCAAUUUUUAUGUAUCCUUUUUUUCCCUAAAACUUCUAGUUUCCUAACAUACGGUUCUCAAUUGGUCUAAUUAUACUGUAAAUUGUAUUUUAAAUAUAAAUAAAAUGAAUUUAUUUAAUGGAAAUUUGAAAAAGGGACACUUAUCUACGAAAGCAAAGUUGCAUUCUCUUUGUGGGGACCCUAAAAAAAAAAAACGAGCCAGAAUGAUACUCCGAUGACGAUAAUCCUUAAGCUUAAGCAUUAAUUUUCUUUGCUUACAAUUUGGUUUGAAGGGUUAAGUUCAAGUUCGAAUUGAUAGAAAGAAUGGGCUGGUCAGUAUGAUGAUGAUGAUGAAGAAGAAGAAGAGGGGGAUGUCUUUGAGGAUGAAGAGAAAGAAAGUUCUAAAAAAAAAAAUACAGAUUUGUGGAAAUUAAAUUAAAAGCAACUAAUUAAGCAUUAUAAAUUACUUAACAGAGUAAUGCUGAGCUAAUCAAGUUUGUUUUUGAAGAAGGUAUCUUUAAAUCUCUUGGAGUUAAAGAUAAUUAUCAUAUCGCCAUAUCAAACGGACCGAUUAAAAAAUAAACUUAAAUAUUAUUUAAAAUCAUUUAAAUUUAACUUAAUAUAAUCCAAUAUAGACAAUACUAUAUAUAAUCUAGUCUAAUCCAAUUCAAUUGUAAUAAAUAAUACAAUCCAAUCUUGCGAGACAAAAUUGGCCUAAGGGUACCAAUUGCGCAAUAAUCUUUAUAGCCCGUUUCCCAGCCACGCACCCUUUUGUAUUAGUAUUCUCACAGCCGUUGGAAAUAUGGUUCGUAAUCCAAUAAAUGACAUUUUAUGGCUGUUGCUUGCUAGUUUUUGUAAGGUGGCCAAGGCCUUUUAUCAAACACUAUAGGAUCAACUAGUACAAAAUGAAUUCAUUUGGGAUGCGUUUAACGUACUGUGUUAGCUAUAUGCCUAUUAUGAUGUAUUGCAUUAACAUGCAUUAUAUUAAGUUAUAAUGUUAUACUUUGAUAUAGUAUAAACUGUAUUAUAUAAGGUAAUGUUUUAUAUUAAUGUUAAAACUAAAUUAAUAUUAUUUAAAUUUAUUAAUAUUUUAGGAUUUUAUUAUUAAUUUUUUUAAUUAAGUAUUAAAAAUUAUUUUAUAGUAUAUAAAUGAGUUAAUAAUAUAUUAUUAUUAAAUGAUAAAAUACUAAAGUACUAUGUUAUAUUAUUAAAAAUUAUUAUAUUAUAAUAUAAUUUAUUUCUAGAUAUUAAUUAUUAUAAUAUAGUAUAAUCAUAUAAUAAUAUAAUAUAAGUUAAUAUUAUAUUGUAAAAAUAUAAUACUGUACAAUUAUUUAAUAUAAUGUAAAUUAAUUUAUAAUAUAAUAUUAAAUUAUAAAUUGAUUAAAUUAAAUUAAAAUACUUUUUACGUAUUUAAAGUAAAAUAAUUAAAAUAAUUUAUGUAAUAGAAGUAUGAUAAUGUAUUAUCAUUUUCUCAUUAAAUAUUUUAGGUUUGUUAAUUUGUUAAAUUAUUAUUGAAAUUAAAAUUAAUUGUUUAAAUGUAAAUAUAAAUAUAAAUGAAUGCUUAAUAAAAUCUACUCCUAUGGAUCUAUUUUAUACACUUUUUAUUCUAUGAACCACGCUUAUAAUGUAGUUGUAUAAUAGAAACUGGAUAUUUAAUGGAAGCAAAAUUGCGCACGGUUUGUGGGUCUGUCAAAAAAUGAUAAAAAGACCAAUAUGAUACACUGACUCUGUCCUCUUUAAUAUUUUUCUAGAUGCUUCCGUGGCAUAAUCUCAUUGGUCCAUUUUUCUUCACGGCUUAGAUUCAACUUCAAAAAUCAAUUUGAAGCAAACACAACAAUUCAACAAAUAUAAUUAGUGUAGAGUGUUCUGAUUUAUUCUAUAAGUAGCUCAUUUGUGCUUAAAACCUACAUGUAUUGCACGUUUCUAUCGGUAAUUUGAUUACCUUUCCGUACUUUAUCAAUUAUUGAAUGAUUUUACCGGUUUAAUCGCUUGAUUGUUUGAGUAUAAUCGGUAAUUUGAUCGUCUGUCAGCAAGUGAUUUACAAUUCACUCUCCAAUUUUCAUUAAUUUAGUGUAGCCAAGCUUUAACUAGAUAGGUAGAUAACGUGGUCAUGAAAACUUGAUUAAGAGUUUAAUGCAAUCAAAUCUACUUUAAUGAUUAUUUAAUGCACGGAGAUUUAACAUCAAUUAUCAUCACGUUAUUCUAACAACGAAAUUGUAGAGCUUGGAUCUUUACUCGAACAGUUUCACUGGCACUAUUUCUGACACAUUGGGCAAGCUGAAGGAAUUGCAAUUCCUGUAUGAUCAUUUCCCCAACUAUUAUUUGAAUAAUUAUUUAAUGCCGUUCAUUCCAGCUCUGUUUGGCUGUUAACUUUAUUUUGUUAUUUAUGAGGAGAUUCAUUUCUCACCUGAAGCUAGAAAAUUUAUUGUAAUACAUGGAAGUAUAUAUUGCAUUGAAUAAAAUGAAAUUGUUCAAAAAUUAACAAAUUCAGCUUUAUUAUAAUCUAAAACAAAGUAAAUAGAAUAAUACCCAUCAUGUGUAAAAAUAAAAAAUAAAAUUUUUUAUACCACUUGGAAUUUAUUUUAAAUGUUUUGGUCAAAUCUAAGAAGCACAAACUUUGAACAAUGAUAAUAGGUAAAAACUAAUAAUCUUAUAAUAAAAAGUAAGAAAAAAAAUCAAGUUGAUUUAGCAGCUAAGAAUAAAAAAAGAAAAAUAGAAAGAGAGAGAAAUUAGUUUAGUCUUUAACCAUUGUUAUACUAGAGAAAAAAAAUUAAUUAAGAGUAAUUUUAUGAAUUUUUAGAAAUGAGUGAAUUUAAAAUAAUAAAUUAUAAUUUAAUAAUUAUCUUAAUUAAAAAAAUGGGUGUUGAAAUAAAAUUAGUGAAUGACUCUUUAUUUUACGGAUCAAUGACUCUUUAUUUUUUCUUUUAUAUGAUAGCUUGCAAUCCCUGGUGUGUGUUGAUAGUGCCAUACAUAAAUACAAAAAUGAACAAUUUUUUUUUUUUUUUGGGGGGCCAAUUGCAGUUUUGAUAACUAAAAUCUGUGUGGUCCGGUUACCACAAAGGCUUGCCGCAGAUCCCUGCCAUUUUCUCCUCCACCUCCAUUUGGGGAAAUUACUACUUACUUUUUGCAAGUUUUUCUUGAAAUAUUUAUUCUGAUAAGAAAACCAAUAAUACAUUUUAAGAUUUGGGCUGUUUCAAAGAUCUUCCCUUGAUGUCUCUGCUACUGAUGAUAUAUUGGGAUCGACUUUUUUUAUGAAAUAGGAGUUAGACCGAACAACGUUAUAUUUUUUACGGACUCUCAUACCAUGGAAAAACUCAGCCUUAAAGAAUGGUAUGAUGCUUUGAUAUAUGAAGUAAUUGGUAUAUAUUUUGUACCUUCCAUACACGGUGUCUAGAAUUUUGAGAUUAAGAAGAGUAUAAAUGCUAUACAAAUACACUCCUUUCAUUUUAUACAACUUUGAUUGAUCAAGUUGUAUCUCUUUGAUAAUAUGUUCUAUCUUCUUUCAUUUUAAACUUCAAUUGAGUUGCUAUCUAUUUAACUUUGGCAAGUCAGAGAGAGGGAUGGGACUGUCCAAUUAAAAUUAAGUUCCAAUUGCCAAUCCCACCAUUGUUGUCUCAUGUUUGCCAAAUUCAAAUUUGAAAAUCUCACCAAGUCAGUAUGGUGAUGUUGUGGGAUUGUCUCGCCUAGGUUUUUAGCCUCAUGACCUCCUUUAUUAGAAAAAGUCUUAAGUGUUCUUACUCAAUGGUAGAAUCAUGAUUUUACUUCAAUGGAAGCCAUAAUGAUUAAAAUAUACUCUUUUGAUUAAUUACUUAUUUGAUGUUGCUCUCUCUACCAUCAUCUCCAUCUUUAUGAAAAAAUUUAUUGUAAUACAUGGAAGUAUAUAUUGCAUUGAAUAAAAUGAAAUUGUUCAAAAAUUAACAAAUUCAGCUUUAUUAUAAUCUAAAACAAAGUAAAUAGAAUAAUACCCAUCAUGUAAAAAUAAAAAAAAAUAAAAAUUUAUACCACUUUGAAUUUAUUUUAAAUGUUUGGUCAAAUCUCAGAAGCACAAACUUUCAACAAUGAUAAUAGGUAAAAACUGAUAAUCUUAUAAUAAAAAGCGAGAAAAAAAAUAAAGUUGAUUUAGCAGGUAAGAAUAAAAAAAGAAAAAUAGAAAGAGAGAGAAAUUAGUUUAGGCUCUAACCAUUGUUAUAGUAGAGAAAAAAAAAUUAAUCAAGAGUACUUUUAUGACUUUUUAGAAAAGAGUGAAUUAAAAUAAUAAGUUAUAAUUUGAUAAUUAUCUUAAUUAAAAAAAUAGGGGUUGAAAUAAAAUUAGUGAAUUUAAAUAGCCUGCCCAAAAUCCAAACUUGCAUAUCAAUUAUUUUCUAAUUUACAUAAAGUUUUUCUAUAUGUUUGAUAACAUUUGAUUCUCAAUUGGUCUAAUGGAGAAACAACCAGCAAAAAAAUAAAAUGAAUGAAAUUAAAUGGAAUUUUGAAAAGAGCAGUAGAUGACAUUUAUGUGCAAGCAAAAUGCAAAAUUGCAUUCUGUUUGUGGGAUCCUGGAAAAAAUAAAAGAAAGAAAACAGAGUAAGACGCUGGUACUGUGGGCUUUAAUAUUUUUCUAGAUGCUUCAAUGGCAGAUUCUCGUUGGUUCAUUUUUCUUUACGCCUUAGAUUCUAUGAUUCAAUUUCAAUCAAAUAAGACAAACAAAAGAAGCUUUUAAGCCUGCAGCUCAAAAAGAUGGCACUUUAAUUUUCGGCUGAACAUACAUAUGGCAAGAUUAUUAUUAUUGAGCUUGAUAAGUGGGGAUAGCAAAAUCCGAAUUCGGAUGUAGGUGCAUUCGGAUUUGGAUUCGGGAAAAAUUAUGUGGAUGUGGAUUUGGAUGCGGGUAAUAUCUGCACGAAUUGCGGGUGAAUAUUCUAAAUAUUUAGAUCCGCAUAAUAAUAAAUUUAAUUUUAAUUUUAAUAAUUUACAUAAUAAUAUUAAAUAUAAUAUAAUUAUACUUUAACAAUCAUUAAUUUAACAUCAAUUCAACAUAAAUACCAUACAACAACACCAUAAAUUCACAAACAAUAAUUUCACAAUAUAAAUCAAACAUAAAAAAUAAAAAUAAAAAUCUAUGGUAAACCGAUUUAUUACAAUAUUCUCUAAUUAUUAUUAUUAUUAUUAUUAUUUGUUUUUUAAUAUAUUCAUAGUUAAUGAAGAUUAUAGAGUUAAUUAUGCUUAUACAUUUAUAUAAAUAAUUUAAUUUAUAUAUUUUCAAUUGAAAUUUAAUUAAAUAAAUAAUUUAAUUAUAAAAUAAUGCAGAUCCGGAUAUCUAAUUUUUCGGAUGUAAAUGCAUCCGGAUCCGUACGGAUCUUAAUUUUUAAGAUUCGGAUUCUUUUUUUUUAACAUACAGAUUUAAAUUUUUUUGAAUUCGGAUCUUCUGAAUCUUUGCAGAUCCAGAGUUUAUUGCCAACCCUAAAUUGAUAAGGCUAUAGAAAAUUCAAUAUCCAGAUCGGAUAAGGAUCCAAUAAAUUAUAAAAUAUUGCGGCUCAAAGCCCAUAUGAUCAUGGGCCACCGCUUGCUCAUGCUUUGAAUCAAAAUUUUCUAAUGAAGUGAGGUUGGAAGCUAAAAGGGGCAAAUGAUGAAAUGGGGUUCAUCAUAUAUUGAGCCCAACGGGACAAGAUCAUCAUUUAAUUCCCUCCUCUUGUCGAUAGAUAUUUGCCGAAUUUUUUCAUUUAAAAAAUAUUAUAUUGGUUAAUAGAAUUUGAAGUUUUACAAAAUAUAAGUUUAAUUUAAAAAAAAAUUAUGUUUGUUAAUUUAAAAUUUUCAUUUGGUGGUUGUGUUUGAGAAAAAAUUUAGGUAUACUCGGAUAUACUCUCUUAUUAUUCAUUGAAUUUGGGUAUUUAAACAUACUAGUAUGUAGUAUUUUUAGGUAAUUAGCAGAGAAGUAUACGUGACAAAAAUAUAACACGUGAAACAAUACACAAUGAAAUUAUCUACAAUUUUCCAUUGACUUAGUCAACUCUUCAUUAAUUUCAUUGACUUGAUCAACUCAUGAUCUAACUUGACAACUUAAAAAUUAAAUUAUGCUAGUAAUUCCGUAAAAUUAAAAUUUAUCUCCCAAAAUUGAUAAAUACCAUGUCACUUUGUCAAAUUACUUAGGGUAAAAACUCUGUGGCUAAAAACUUUUAACAUUAGUUGUAUGCUAAUUGAGAAGGACAAGACACAAAAGAAUUAAAUUAAUGCCACAUCAUGCAACACUAACACUACUUACUCUUAACAAAUUCUUACAAACGUGAUUCAUGAAAUUAACUUGACUUUUUGUCUAAAAAAGGCCUAAAGAAUCAUGCCAAGCAACAAAUAAAGUAGUCCAAACGUGAUUCAUGAAACUUGAUAGGCACUAUCUAAAUAGUAUUAAUAUGGCCACCAAAAACAUGCGCGCAAAAUAGACUUUCUUGGACGAUCCAUGCCAAUCAGCAAAUAAAGUAGUCCGAACGUGAUUCGUGAAACUUGACUUCUUGUCUAAAAAUGCCUAAAGAAACAAGACCACAAUUUCCAUGCAAUAUCAAUAUGGUGGCCACAAUGCACUUUUUAAGCCAUUUUUCAAAACUAAGUUUCUUCGUUUCACAUGCACUAUUCAAGCAAUUUUUCAACAUUUUCUCCUUCCCCUAAAAGCUACAUGCAUGAAUCAUGUCCCAAUCAAUUUCUUGGCAAAAAUUGGAACGCAAGAACCGAUUGGAGCAUAAGGACAAUGUCACGAUUCAAGAUUCUCAGCAAGACCACGUCACAAUGCAUCACUUUUGGAAAGUAAUCUAGCAAUUUCCAAUGCCUUAGCUGAUUAAUGGCUUGACCAUGUCACGAUUGGUCCACAUUAUGCACAUGGCAAGAUCAAACAAAAUAUCACAGCUAGCUCGACGACUACUAGCCAAAAUAACAAGACAAUGACGGCCAGUUACAAACUCUUUACGAAGGAAAUACCGAAAUAUGAAUUUCCCUCCUAAUCACUUUCUUAUAUUAUCAUUAUUUUGUACAUAUAACAGAACACGUUCUCUCUUGUAAAGAAGUCAACAAAACGGUUUUAGUUUUCAUAUCAAUAAUAGAAUCCAAAAUCUUUCACAGCUUGCUUCUCCUUUGGACGCUUGAAAGACUUUCUUACCUGGCUAAAACUGUGAAAAUUGUUCAAACUAAUUUGAUUGAUAACUUUCUGACACUAUAAUGUAUUAUUUAUAUGAAGGCUACAUUUAAAUGUGAAAUAAAAAUGAGUGUUUAUAUUAAAAAACAAUCAGUCUCAUUGCGUCCUCUUUCAUUGACAUAGGCAGUUUGCGGUCAACCCUUUAUUAGGUCAUGACUGUCCGAUUGUCUUCGCUUUCAUUGACUUCGCAACUGUGAAUUCUAAGCCGGGUUAACGAUUGACAAAAUGUUAUAACCCAUAAAGCACGGAUAAUUAAUUAAUGGGCCACUGAUUUCUUCUUUAAAGGCUAAUUCUUGGUAAAGAUCAGAAAGUUCUCAAAUAAAAAUUCGGCUUUGUGGAAAUUAAAUUAAAAGCAAUUAAGCAUUAUAAAUUACUUAACAGCUUAAUCGAGUUUGGUUUUGAAAAAUAUAUCCUUAAAUCUCUUGUAAUUAAAGAUAAUUAUCAUAUUACCGUCUCAAAUGGACCGAUUUCAAUCAAAUGAAAUCUAGAAAAUUGAGCAGCUCAUUGAUGUAUUUGGUCGAAUUGUGACUUGUGUCAGAGUCUUCGUUUUAGAAGAGUGCACAGCAGCUGCCAGGUCCACUCGGCAGUUGGCAGCAAAUUAUCUAACACCACUUUACUAUCAAAAUUUUUUGACAAUAAUUUUUUGUCACUUAAUAUUUCAAUUUUUAUCAUUUUAUCAUCAAAAAAUAGUAAAUGCAUGUUUAGUGUAAGUUAUCCACAAACAUGGUUGUUGAAUUGUCUUGUUUCUCAUUUGGUUUAAUUUUCAUAAAUUCGACUCACACAAUUCAAUUAUGAGUGGAGUUUUUUUGGAAAAAAUCUGGUCUUCCAUUUACUAGAACCAGGUCUGAAUGAUUUUAUUAUUUUUCUUUUGUUUGAAAUAUACGUGGAAAAUGUUGAACACUUUGUAGGAUUUAGAAGAAUUUGAAAGUUUGAAUGCAUAUAGUUUACUAUCCAUCAGCUAGUGCAUAUUCUGUAUUUUAUGAAAUCAAAGCUGGUUGAUUGAGAAAUGGACCUUAUUACAUGUCAUAAGAUUUUACAGUGCUUUCUAAUGGGGCAAAAUAAAAUGAUUCUUAUCUGCACAGAAAAUUAGAAACGAAAAGGAGGGUUACUGAUCCACAGAGUUGUUAUUUACGAGAAGCACAUGGAUAUUACACUUAAUUUAUUAUCCAUCUGUAUUGUUUAGAUGACACUGAAGUAUUACCUAAAUUUAUUAUCCACAAAACUUCUUUUUCAAAAAUCUAUGGUUGUGAUGCGUCUCUAUAAACUCACUCGUACAAAUUCUAUCUAAUGCCAAUUGUUUUAAACCCUGCUCUGAAGAGAGCAUGAAAGGAUAUGUUCACUUAUCUAGUUAUGUUUUUUAUGCUUUCACUUCACUUGAUUAUAUCCAUCACAAGGAUCAUAUUAUAUCCUACGGAAGGAGCACAGUUCAUUGGCUGCACUCAGUUUACAGAGUAUUUCGGGAUUCAAGACUGUAGGUUGUUGCGGUUGCAACUUGCAAGGCUGUAGCUGUGUGACUGUAUGCCACGCUGGCAAGUGUGCUCUGACGGAUUGUGGAGAUGGCGCCAAAGAUUGUAAACUAAUUAGUACUGAAAAAUCCUAUUUGCACAUAAAAUUGCACAAAAUAAAUAGAAUGAGAAUAAUUGUACAAAGAAAUAAGAUUAAUAAAGUAAAUAAAUUUAUCUUUUAACAAAAUAUUUCUAGUCUUUUAGUGUUUUUGUGUACGUACAAGUAGCAUUACUCAUUCUAAUAAGUAGCUCACUUGAGCCUAGGACUUGUAACUAUGUUUUACCUUUCUGUAACUUUCUUAUAAAGAUUUUUUUUUUUUUUACAUUUUCAAUUUCUCUUCCAUUUUCCCGACUCCCAACACCACCAAUCCUCGGUUUUCUAGAGUAUCAGCUAUCUCUUUCUACAAACACAAAACUGCUAUUUACUUUCAAGAAACAACGUAUUCUGUGGUUUAUUGGCUUGAGCCUUGUGAACCGGGCUAAUGUUGGUCUAACUACUUUCACGAAACAACGUACUCCGUGGUUUAUUGACGCGCACGGUAGCUGCUAAGUGCUAACUGCCUUCUCCAUUUGACGUGCAAAACACUUUCUUGAGUCGGGUUAAAAUUAAUUGAUCAUUUUAUUUGGUGAUAAUGACUUAGUUGUCAAGUCAUGAGUUUGAUGAUGAAGAGGAUGAAAAAUAUUAUUUUAUUAUUUAAAAUAAGACUAUCAAUUAUUUCCAUGGUCAUCUUAUUUUCUAAAAUAACUAAAUGGAAUCUCACAGAAUUAAAGUGCUUGACUUCUUCAUACAGUGGUUGACUUCUUUUUACAGAAUUAUAAAGUGAAAAAGGAAAUUAAGAAAUUAAAUACUUUUCAUGCGAGUGGAGAAGAUUGGGUAGCGAUUACAUGAAAUAAAAGAAAAAUAAUUUAAAAGUACAACACUUUAAUAAUCUCAUUCCCAAUCAUAUCGGUAUAAAAAUUCUGUAGAUUUAUUGAAUAACUAUUGAUUUUACUUUGGUAAUUUCUUUCUAAAAGUGAGGUAAACAUUUUUAUUUUCUUUGCAUUCGAGCUUUCUUUCUUUUGCGCUGGCCUUCACACUCUUGACCGUAUUUCAUGGGGCACAUUCAAUCUCAAUCUACUGCAAGUUUGUGGCAGUUUUGUUAAUAACGAACAUUUGUAGGAUUUUAUGUAGAUGAUACUUUUACAUACAUUUUUCUUUUCUUUUUUUCUUCGGUGAACAAAUUAAAAAUUUAGUUUUUGUCAUCAUGACUAGUGAAAUGAAAAUUGUCCUCAUUUCAAGGAUUGACAAAAACGUUGUGCUCAUACCGAUUAAUGGGGAACUGAUUUCGUCUUCUUAAAAGAGAAUUAUUUGCAGCGCCGUAAUUCGGAGAUUUCUGUAUUAUAUAGCCAAACCUAAGUGAUAAGAAUUUCCAUAUGAGAUAUAAUUUGGAGGGAAACAAAAAACUAAUUCAAGUUAAAGACCAGGAAUUUGUGUUCCUCACAAAAACACUUCAACGUCUAUUCUCUCAUAGAGGGGAAUAUCCUUCACUCUUUGACGUAUCCCUGGGGCAAUGUAAGUUGACUUUACAUUAAAACAAAAAAUAAUUACAAUCACAUAAUUACAAUUAUCAUCACUGAUUUGUAUAAUUUUCAGGACUAGUAAAUUAUCUCAAUUUUUAAAAAACAUAAUUACAAUUAUCGAUCGAACACCACUAAUUCCAACAAUUCAUCCAAGUUUUUCAACUUUUUAGAUAUUUGAUAUAUGUCAUGUUUUAACUUAGUACGAGAAAAAAAAUAUAGAAUAAUUUUUUUUCAAAUUAGUGGAAUUAUUUUACGAUAAAACUAUCACAAUCACAUUGAAAAAUAUUCUUUAAAUUUUCACUAUUUCUACUGUUAUUCUUUAACCUUUUUUCUGAACAGAGCAUGGAGGGUUGCUUAUCUAAAUAUGUUUUCUGUGCUUUCACUUCACUUGAUUCAUCUUGUCCCUCUUUCAUAGCUUCUAUCUCGUGUGAGCUUAGAACCUGCAACUCGUAUUUUACGUUUCUGUUACUUUCUCUUUCAUUUUCCCGACUCCCAAACACCAUCAGUCCUUGAUGUUAUAGAGUAUUAGCUGUCUAUUUGUACAGACAUAGAGCUACUGUUCCCACUGUAGAUCUUCAGAUGGUUAGCUCACUAUUGUUUGAAUAUUAAAAUUAAUUUGUUAAAUAAAUAAAGAAAACAAGAGACAAUUGCCAUAUAUAUUCCAUAUUAAUUAGUCACCGUCCGAUUGUCUCCACUUCCAUUGACUCUGUUGAUUCAUGCUUUCAUGAAGUGAAACGUUUAACACUCUGUUCUGAUCCGCAGGAGAGGAGGAAAAACAUAAUUUUAUUAUUUCAUUCCUGACACGCGCAAAGAGCUUUCUUAAUUGAUGAAUGUGACAUGAAGCUCUAUAAAUAGUUUAAUUUGUAAAAUUGUUAAAAUUUGUUAAAUUUCAUUUAAUUGAUGAAUGUGACAUGAAGCUCUAUAAAUAGUUUAAUUUGAAAAAUUGUUAAAAAUUUAAAUUUCAAGUAAGGUAGAUAAAAUGAUUAAAUUUUUUCAAUAUUUAGAAAAUUAACAUGUGUCAUGUAACUAUGAGUGAAUGAAUGAAAUUUUUGAAGUGCGAAUCCAUUUACAAGUUACGACUUGUCUUGUUUCUCAUUUUACUUAAUUUUCAUAAAUUUGACUCACGAUCAAUUAUGAGUGAAGAGUUUGUUGGAAAAAUAUGGUCUUCCAUUUAUUGUAAUCAGAUGAGUGUGAUUUAAUUAUUUUUUCCUUUUGCUUGAUGUCCCGAAAAUUAUGAAUGCUUUUGUAGGAUGCAGAAGAUUAAAAAUUUUAAUGCAUAUCUAUAGUCAAAACUGAGGAAACAGAACAUUACUGCUUCUAUAAAUAGGUCAUUUCAACCUAAAACUUGUUACUUGUAUUUUACAUUUUUUUUUUUUAACUUUUUCUUCCAUUUUCCCAAACACCACCAAUCCUUGAUUCUUUUCCUAGAGUAUUAGCUGUCGAUUGUUACAAACAUAGACAUAUUGUUUGUCUAAUUACUAUCAAGAAACAACAUACUCUAUCCUGGGGUCUCUUCGUUUAUUUAAUAUUUAGGUUUAUUAAUAUACUAUAUUAUUAAUUAAUAAUUUAAAUUAAUUAAAUAAUAAAAGUUAAAUGAUUAUAUUGAAAAUCCAAGUAGUAUUUUAAUGUAAUGAAACCUAAAUCCCACCUCUAUACCACAUUUGUUAUACAAUGUAAUGCAACUAUAAAUUAUAAUUAUAUAAAAAUAAUAUUUUAAUACAAUAUAAUACAAAUUACAAGUGUAAGGCUGUAAUAUUAAUUAGCCUGUGUAAUAGUAUGCCAUGCUGGCAAGUGUGCUAUAACAGAUUGUCGAGCUGGCACCAAUUAUUUUAAACUAAUAUUAGUAAUUAGUCUAGAGUGUUCUGAUUUAUUCUAUUAAUAGCCCAUUUAAGCUUUGAACAUGUGAACUUGUAACGUGUACUGUACUUUUCUAUUACUUCUAAUAAAGAUUUUCUCUAUUCCUUUUUCUUCACUUUCUCUUCCGUUUUCCCGACCCUCAAACACCGUCAAUCCUUGAUUUGAACUGCUGUUUGUUUGUCUAAUUACUUUCAAGAACAAUACCCUCCAUCCCACGGUCUCUUCGUUUAUUGACUUGUUACUUGUGAACAGGGCUAAAUAAAGGGAAAAUACAACAAUUCAAGCCAGCCAUUUAUCAAACGCAUGACAGAGACGCUUCAACAGGUUGUCUCAUGGAAAGAAAUCCUUCAGUCUCUGACGUAAUACUUGGGGCAACGUAAAUUGACUUUACAUUGAACGAAACACUGGCCACAAACAUUAUCAAAAUUAAAUUGAUCGGUUUAACGUAAGUUUUUCUUCAAGAACGAAUGCCAAGAGCUCAAGAAAGUCCUAUCCUUUAGACACGUUAAGAAUUACUUUUCUUUUCAUAAUAAAUUAGAUUGAGUUAAUAAUAUUUGCCUGUGUGAAAUGAAUAAUCAGUUUAGUGUCACCCCAUUAUUAAUUUGUGACUGUCCGAUUGUCUCCUUUUUCAUUGACUUUGCAACUGUGACUUCUGAACCGGGUUAAGAGUUGACAAAAAUGUUAAUGUUAAUAUGUUAUAACUCAUAAAACACGCAUAAUUAAUUAAUGGCCCGCCAAUUUCUUCUUCUCAAAAGAGAAUUUUUGUAGGAGAUUGAAAAAAGGCUAAUUCAUGUUAAAUAUCUUAGAUGAGUGUCUAUCAGGGAUACAAGUCAAGCCACACGAUUUUUCUUGUUAUACUAUUUAUUGGCACUUGUGAAUCCUUGAAUUAUCAAAUGAAUAGCAACAACACUUCAAUAUCUAUUGUUACACGGAGAGAAAUCCGUUCUCUCUUUGAUGUACUACUUGGCAAUAUACAUUGAUCUUUCAUUAAAACAAGCAUUCUCAUAUUGUUGAGAAAAGCUCACGUUAAACUAUUCAAUUUAAUCAUUUAUUAAACAGAUAUUUGGUUUGAUUCAUUUAAUUCAUUUAGUAGAAUUAAUAAACGAAUCGGAUCGAAUCCAGAUUCAUUUAUUCUAUUACGAAUCCACAACGAAUUGAAUAGAAUCGAAUCAGAAUUCAUUUACAAUUCGUUUAGAAAAAUAUAAUUGAUUAACAAAAUUAAGCAAAAUAAAAUAUAAAAAAGCCGCAAAUUUAAUAUCCUACAACAAAAUACAAAUAACACAAACCAUAUUCUAGGAUUAAAUAUACAGUCAUCCAAAUUACAACAUUAACCUUCAAAUUUUAAAAUAAAUAAAUAAAUUUAAGGACAAAAAAAUAAUUUUAUUAAAUGAAUAAUAAACGAAUUUUAAACGAAUCGACAUGUAUUCGAUUUGUUUAUCACUUGUUUAUUAAACGAAUCCUAGACAAAUAUAACGAAUCAAUAUCUUCAAAGCUGGAUUUGAUUUGUUUAAUUAGCGAAUCGAAUCAAAUUAGCCCAUUUAUUAAACGAAUCAAUUUUUUCGAACCCAAACCCAUUUAAUUGGCAUCGAAUCAAAUAAACAAAUCCUGACCUAUAUUGUCACCCCUAGGCUUUUGGUGUUUCUUUGCGUAUUUUUGUGUACAAGUUUGUGUGCAAAUAGCAUUACUUAUCAAUAAUUAGUCUGGAGUGCUCUAAUUUCUUCUAAUAAGUAGCUCAUUUGGGCUUAGGACCUAUAACUAGUAUUUUACGUUUUUGUUAAUCUCUGAUAAAGAUUUUCUCUAUUCUUUUUUUUUUUCCUUUCACCUUCUCUUUCAUUUUCCGAGUCUCAAACACCACCAUUCCUUGAUUUUCUAGAGUAAUAGCUCUCUAUUUCGACAAUCGCAGAACUGUUGUUGAUCUAACUACUUUCAAGAAAUAACGUAUUCUGUGGCAUAUUGACUUGUGAACGGGCCUAAUUAGUCACGGUCCGAUUGUCUCCUCUUCCAUUGACUCGGUCAAUUCAUGACUUUGACCUGCACAGUUGAUACGAACUGACUUCUCCAUUUGACGUGCACAAAACUUUCUUUAGUCGGGUUCAAAUUAAUUGAUCACUUUGUUUGGUGAUGAUGAAUUGGAUGUCCAAUUCAUGAGUUUCAUGAUGAAGAGGACGAAAAACAUUAUUUUUUGAUUUAAAAAAGACAAACAAUUAUUUCGAUGGUCAUUUUAUUAUUAUUUUUUUAAAUAUCCAAAUGGUAGAAUCUUACAGAAUUAAGGUGCUUGACUUCUUUAUACAGAAUUACAAAGCGAAAAAAUAAAGAAAUAAAAUACUCAUCGUGCAAGUGAGAAGAGAUUGGGUUGUUGAUACAUUAAAUAAAAGAACAAUGAAUUAAAAGCAUAACAUUUCAAUAAUUUCAUUCUCAAUCAUAUCAAAAAUAAAAUUUACUGUACAUUGUUGUUCGGUUCUGCAAAAAAAAAAAAAAAAGGAUUUGCGGUUUUGCUUGAGUGUAAUUUUCGUUAAUUACAGUUUGAUUUGAAGGGUUAAGCGCACGUUCGGGUUUCUUUUAUGUAAUUUAAAUCAACAUUGAUAUAACAAAUGAGCUGAGUACGAUGAUGAAGAAGAGGAAGAGGGGUAUCAUCAAUUUAUUAUCAAAUCUUUUCUCAUACAUCACUUUAUCAUUAUAAGCUUUUGACAAUUAUUUUUAUCAAUCGGGGUUCUUGACUUUUUGUUUGAAGUCUAAAGCUUAAUAAUUUUAAAGCAUUUACCAUUUUUAUUUUGUUUUUUUAAUCACUUAUGUCUGAUUAUAAGAUGUUUAGGUAUGAAUAGAAAAAGUUAAAUAUUUUAACUUUUAUCUGAAUGACAAAAUAUAUAAAUGGAUUUUAAUAUUCUCUCUUGUUAAUACCCCUAUUCGAUAAAUUUAUUUCUUGUUAUAUAAAUUAUUGUUUUAUUUUUUUAUUUUUUUAUUUUUUUAUUUACCCCUCUCUUUUGUUAUAUACAUGCAUUCAACUAUCAUUUUUUUUUCUAUGAAUGAGAAUUUUAGACAUAAUAGAAAUUUAGGUGAGUAUGUUUUAUAAUAGAUCUAUCUCUUUGUAUUUACAUUUACUAUUUUAUAAUAAAAUUUUGAAUUUUAUUUACUACAUUAAUUUUAAUUCAAAUGAUAAAGCAAUUCUUGAUUGACUUAUAUAAUUAACAAGAAAAAAAUAUCAAUAUAAAAUACAAAAAAUAGCAUUAUAUUCAAUACUUUAAUAAUCUCAUUCCCAAUCAUACCGGAAAUAAAUUUUUCUGUAUAUUUAUGAAAUAACUAUUGAUUUUUUUUUUUAAAGGUAAACAUCUUUAUUUUCCUUGCACACGAGCCUUCUUUCUUUUGCUUUGGCCUUUACUGUUGAUUUCAAGGUCAUAUUCAAUCUCAAUCUUCUGUAGGUUUGUGGCUGUUUUAUGAGUUACGAUUUUUAUAGGAUUGCAUGUAAAUGACAUAUUUAUAUACAUUUUUUCUUUUCGGUGAAGAUAUUAAAAAUUUAGUAUUUGUUACCAUGUGAAAUGAAAAUAGUCCUCAUUUCAAGGAUUAAUGGGCCACUAAUUUCGUCUUCUUAAAAGAUAAUUAUUUGCAGCGAGAUAAUUGGAAGCUCGAAGAUUUCUAUAUUACAUAGCCAAACCUAAGUGAUAAGAAUUCCCAUAUGAGAUAUAAUUUUGGGAAAAAAAAAACCAAUUCUAGUUAAAGAUAAAAAAUUUGUGCUCCUCACAAAAACAAUAAUUCAAGCCACACAAUUUUUCUUGUUUUAUUUCAAAAACAAAAUUGUGUUCCUCACAAAAACACUUCAACAUCUGGAGAAAUUUUAGAAUAUAUCUGUUGUAACAUGUCAACCAUACAACAAACAAAUAAUUUCAUGACAUGUAUGUAUUUAUUUUAUAAGCUAUCAUUCAAGUGGUGGUUGUAUUAAACUCAAUUACACAUGUCAUGCAUGUAUUAAUUGGUUGUAAUACAACAGAUGUAUUAUAGAAUUAUUCCAACAUCUGUGGUCUAGUAAAGGGAAAAAUCCUUCACUCUUUGACGUGUCCCCAGGGCAAUGUAAGUUGACUUUACAUUAAAAAAAAAAAAAGAAACAUUGUCAUAUAGUUAAGAAAAACGUAAUUUUGACAAGUGCAAGAGAUGGGUAGGACUCAUUUGAUGCAAGAAAAACAAUGAGUAUACGCAAAGAGCUUUAUUACUCUGCAGCCAAUACUUUGAUGAAUGUGACAUUAUUGGUUUGUAUAAUUUUUUGGACUAAUAUUUUAUCUCAAUUUUUUUAAAAAAAUAUAAUUGCAAUUUUCAAACACGAUUAAUCCCAACAAUUUAUCCAAAAAUUUGAGUUUCAAUAAAUGUAGCAUUUAUGAUAGCAUGGCUAAUUUUUUUCAACCAACACUUUAGAUAAAUGAUAAAUCAAUAUUUGACAUGUUACUAACUUACUACAAGAAGGAAAUUAUAGAAUAAUUUUUUGAAUUAGCAGAAUUAUUUUACGAUAAACCUAACACAAUCUAAUUUAAAAAUAAAGUUAUUCUUUAAAUUUCCCGUUCCUAUUCCUACUUUUCUUGUUAUACUACUUUGGCACCGGUGAAGCCUUGAAUUAUCAAACAAAAAGCAAAAAACACUUCAACAACUGUUGUCCCACUAGGCAUUGUUAAAUUCAUACGAUAAAAUGAGUACUUGUAUUAAAAAACAAUGAGUCUCAUUGUGUCCUCUUUCAUUGAUAUAGGCAAUUUCCAGUCAAUUUGUGGCACCCUUACUGACACGUAAAAAACUUACUUACCCCUCACCCAAUACUUUUAUGAAUUUUCAGGACUAGCAAAAUUUUCAAAUUUAAAAGAAAAAAAAUGCAGAAAUAUAAUUUCAAUUUAUCCAGAUAUUUGGGUUUCAAGGAACAUAGCAUUUAUUAUAUGUCAUGUUAAUAUAGAGACUAAUUUUUUUUAAAAAAAAAUUGAAUGAAUAAAAGUAUUUUUUUGAUAAAAAUUUCACAAUCAUAUUUUUUUAAAAAAGUUUUUUUAAAAAAGAAAAUUCACUCCUCUUCUUACAUAAUUUAAUAAUUUAACAUUAUAAAUUAAUCUUUUUAAUCAAAGUAAUAAUCUCUCCUUCGGUGUGCGAAUGCUAAAAUUUAAUAUUAUAGUCGUUGAUGAUAUUUGCGUCAAAUUCACGUGAAUAAAAUUUCUAACAGAAUUAUGAAAUUCGUUACUAGAAAUUUGUAUAAAAGUAGUGAGAAUAGAAGGUUUGAUCAAAGGAAAUUAAUAUAUCCCUAUCCGAUGCAAAAAUUACAUUCUAUUUUCCAAUUACUAAGGUCAGCCUUAACGCAUGCCGGUCUUUUUCUCCUCUACUUUCUAGAAAUUUUGGUUUCACUAUAAAAACUCGGUAUAUAACAAACUUAUGAGUGUUCUUGCAUUACCAAUCCAAUUAAGCACACGCUUACAAUCUAAAAUACUCUCAUCUCAUGGAAAGAGUUCAUUCUCUCAGGAUGAUGAGCAUAUUUCUCCUACUCCAUUGUUUGAUUAUUAUUUCCUUAUUUAUCGCAGCAACAACAGCCACCACAAGUUCUACUAUCACAGACCGAGAUGCUCUGUUAGCCCUGAAAGCUCACAUAACUCAUGAUCCGACCAAUUUCUUGGCCAAGAAUUGGAACACAAGUACUCCUGUCUGUAAUUGGACAGGUGUCGCUUGUGACGUCCAUAGCCAUAGAGUCACAGUCUUGAAUAUUUCAAGCUUAAAUCUCAGAGGCACCAUCCCAUCUCAACUUGGGAAUCUUUCUUCUCUGCAAUCACUCAAUCUCAGUUGUAACCGACUUUCUGGUUCCAUUCCCUCCACCAUCUUCACCAUAUACACACUAAAAAAUGUUAGUCUCGGUAAAAAUAAGCUCUCUGGGCAAAUUCCUACAAAUAUUUGUAGUAAUCUUCCUUUUCUUGAAUUUCUUUCUUUGUCCCUAAACAUGUUCCAUGGCGGAAUACCGUCCACUCUAUCAAAUUGCACAUAUUUAAGAACCUUAAGUUUGGCAUACAAUGAUUUCUCGGGAGCCGUACCUAGAGAAAUCGGUAACUUGACCAAACUUAAGGUAUUAUAUAUUGGCGCGAAUAGACUCCAAGGUGCGUAUGAUGAUGGAGUUUAAUUAUAAAAAUUGUUCCAUGAGUUGUAAUAUGAAUAAUGUUCCAUAAUACACUUCUGAGCCCGAAGUCCUUUCUUUUCCUCCUUGACUCUUCUAUCGUCGAGCUAAGUGACUCUGUCAUGCCGCUUCAAGUAAUACACACGUUGAUUAAUUUGCAGGAGAAAUUCCUCGAGAGUUUGGCAAUCUUACCGAAUUGGAGCAGUUUUCGUUACCAACAAACAAUCUCCAAGUUAUGAUUUUAAACUUUUUGCAAUUUUAUUCUAGCUCUGCUUGAUUCUGUAUUCAUUCGUUUGUUCAUUAUUUAUGCUAUGAUUUAUUGUUUUUCUUUCAGAUAGAGAUAAAGCUCCAUGUCUCCCCUCACUCAUUUCGUUCUUUGAUUUAUGCACAUAAAAAUAAAAUAAAAAUGUUUUGUAAUUUUCUUUUGUCAUAUUGCCACUUCCCUUUUGAAGCUCCCAAUUAAGUCGAUGAAAAUGAAUGAUGUUUCAUUCGUAUUCUUGUCAGCCUAAUUCUUAUAUAAUUGAAGAGUAAAUUGUUAUUAUGAUAUUCGUCAGCCAAUAAAUUCUUUUUUUUUUUCAAAAUAUGAGUGAUCAAAUUGUUUGCGCAUAUAUAAUUUUACUUAAUUUGCAGGAGGUAUUCCACAGGAAUUGGGGAAUCUUGCAAAAUUGGAGAUUUUACAGCUGUUCCAGAAUAACUUGACCGGUAACCAUCUUUACUAUAUAUAUAUGAGACAUCUUCUGCUUCUUAAUUAAAAGAUUUCAAGUCUCUCAUUAUAAAUUCUCAUAUGAGGAUAUGUCAUUACUACAAUCUAACAUUAUUCCCUUUUUUUAUUAGAAAUUAGUUUGUGUUAAUUCAAAAUUUUGUAACAUGUAAAAAAAAUUAAAAACACGUGGAAUAAAUCAUCAAUCUUUCUUCUUUAUUGAAUUUGGAUUUCUAAAAAAUUAUCUUGACAAGUAUGCUUCACUAAUGAUAUGCAUGUGUGACAACUUCAUAAAAUAUUUUACAUGGAGUCAUCAAUUAUCUUUAAAUAAUUGGAGAUGCCAUCAGUGAUACAUAAUUUCUUAACAAGCACCAUAUCAAAAGAAAUCAACAAUUUUAUUAAUCUUAAAGAGUUACAUCUUCACCGCAAUUAUGAUAUAAAAUUUUAGUCAUCAAUCGCAUAAUAUUUUACCUUAACGGAUGAUGUUCAGUCUUGGAAUUUAUAAUACCUUGAAGGUUAGUAGCUUUGAAAAUAAGAACUGUUCAUUUGCUAAAAAGUUAACUUAGUAUUUAAGUUUUUCAAUUGAAAAUUUUGAAAAAAGUCUUGAGAACUGCCCUCCUUAGUAUUUCAGCUGAUAAAUAUGAAAAAUAGGCUAGAAGAAAUAUUGUUGUGUGUGCUUAUUUUACUUGGGCUUUGGGCUUGAUUACAAGGUCGAGCACUAACACCUGUCAUAAUAAUAGGCUUUUACUUUCACCACACGUUCAAUAAUUUCUUAACCUUCCGAAUUAAGUUAUAGCAAUUUAUAUAUAAAUAACUAAAGCAUACUAAAGCGAGCACAAAGUACUCAUGACUUAGGCUUACUGUGUUACCUAUUACACACGGUCGAACACUUACAUCUGUUAGAAUAACAAUAGCAUCCACGGAUCGACUAUCAGUGAUCAAAUUGAUUGCACAUAUGUAAUUUGCAGGAGCAAUUCCACGGGAGUAGGGAAAUAUUACAGGAUUGGGGAUCUUAGAGCUGCCUGAUAAUUUUUUAACCGGUAUCAUUCCUUCAUCUAUCUACGAAUUGCUUUUCUCUAUUAAAUUCGGAACUGUCAUUUAAUAACUUAACAGGUAACUUCCCUUACAACAUGUCUGUGUGACAUGUUUUGCUUUGAAAUUAAAAUAUUUCACGUCUCUCAUUAUAAAUUCUCAUAGGCGGAUGUAUUGUUACUACUAUUUAACAUUAUCUCAUUUUUUUAUUAGAAAUUAAUCUGUGUUUAUGCAAAAAAAUUUAGCAUCUAAAAAAAGUACAAAAACACAUGGAAUAAAUCGAAAAUCUUUCUUCAUUACUGAAUUCGGAUUUCUAAAAAAUUAUCAUGAGAACUUCAUAAAAUAUCUUACAUGGAAUCAAUAAUUAUCUUUAAAUAGUUGGGGAUGCCAUCACUAAUAAAUAGUUUCUUAAAAAGCAUCAUACUAAAAGAAUUCAAUAAUUUUAAUAAUCUUCAAGGGGUACAUCUUCGCUGCAAUUAUGACAUAAUUUUUUAUCUAAAUAUAUUUUUAGUCAUCAAUCGCAUAAUUUUUUAUCUUGACGGAUGAUGUUCAAUCUUGGAAUUUAAAAUAUCUUGAAGGUUAGUAGCUAUGAAAAUUAGAAAUUUUUUAUUUGCUAAAAAAUUAACUUAGUAUUUAAGCUUUUCAAUUGGAAAAUUUGAAAUAAAUGUUGAGAACUGGCCCUCCUUAGUAUUUCAGCGGAUAAAUAUGGAAAAUAGGCUAGAAAAAAUUAUUUUAUUGAAAUAAUAGUUAAAAAUAGAGACGUACAGUACUCAUGACUUAGGCUUGCUGUGUACUUUUUUUACUUGGGGUUCGGGCUUGAUUACACACGGUAGAAUACUUACACAACUCCCCCCAUAUAGGGUUUUACUUUCAUCCCACAUUUGAUAAUUUCUUAACCUUCCCAAUUAGAUUAUAGCAAUUUAUAAAUAAAUAAAUAACUAAAGCACACUAAAGCUAGCAUUGAUGGACAGAUGAGUGGUGUCAAAAGUGUAUCUGUUUUUAUUAGGGUUGGCAAUUUAAGGGCCUGGGCCGGGCUUUGCCAAGCCCAGGACCAGGCCCAUAUAAUGUUAAAUAAGUUCAGGGCCUCUCAAAGCCCAUCCAAGUUGGGCGGGCCGGGCCUUGACCGGCCUCGGGCCGGGCCCGGGCUUUUAUGAAUUUUCAAAUUUUUUUAAAAAAUAAAACUAUAAAUUUUCAAAACAUAAUUAUCCAAUACAUAAUACUACAAUAGGCUAAAAACUUAAAUAUAUUUCUCUAAUACAUGAUUAGCCAACACAAAAUAUAAAAAUACUAACAAUACAAGUACCGUACAUAACAUACAAAUCAACCACUAAUAUAAAAAAAAAAACUAAUAGAGAUUUACCAAUUUAGGAAUUUUGACAUUUUGUGACAAAACCUUUGCCCUUUCCCUUUGCCCCAUUUUUUUAUUGUUUUGUUUAAUUUUUUUUUUCAAUUUUAUAAUAUAUUAUACAUUUUUUUUAAAAUAUAUAUAUAUAUAUAUAAAGCCCUUAUCCAUAAUAUAUAAUAUAUAUAUUAUUUAUUAUAAAGCCCGGGCUUUUCAUUUAGGCCCUUGACUGAGCCCAUAUGUUAUGGGCUUUAUUAAUUAUGAGCCCUUACCCAUACUUUCAAGCCACGGGCCAGGCUUAAAGCCCGCGGGCCUGGGCCGGCCCGGGCUUUUCUGCCAACCCUAGUUUUUAUGUAUUAUUGUUCCCUGAUACAAAUUUGAAUAAUGGAAAAUAUAAAUUUAAUAUUUUAUUUAAUACUUUGUUAACAUUUUAUCUAUAUAUAAUAAAUAAACUGAAACUUGUACUUAAAAAAUUUUUUGGUUACGCAUAUUCAUUUCAUGAUAAAAAAAAUGUCUAUUUACACUAAUUUACCAUUAUCAAUAAAAUGCUUUGAGACAAAUAAUCUAAUUUAUAUUAGUAUAUUUAAAAUACUUGCAUUUAUUAUAUUUUGAAAAAACAUUAUUUGCAAUUAUUUUAAACCUUUGAAUUCAAAUUUUCUUAGUUAUUAAAGUCAAAGGGUAUAAAUGUAUAAUAGUCAAAAACAGAUUUGUAUGAUCAUUUUUCAAUGUAUAAAUUUUCUUAGUUAGUAGGCAAUUAAAAUUUGUUGAUUUACUCAUAAAUAAAUUUAGUGUUUAGCAUUUCAAUUUUGGAAAACUUGAACUAAAUGUUGAUAACUUCGAAUCCAUCGAGCCAAGUUUCGCUUCCUUGACACACAGACCCAUUCGAAGUUCUAUUCGAAUUGAGUUUCCAAGUGCUUAGAAAAAGCAGUUCUUUUCCAUGUCGCUAUAAUUUAUUCACAAAAGAGUUGAUUAGCGUCGAUGUUGCUUCAGAGUCUGAGACCAUGUUAAUUUAUUUUACUGAAUUAAUUUAUUUUAUCUUGCUGUAACUGAAAUACUACCUUUUUUUUUUUUUUGCUAUAACUGGGGCUUGAUUAACUUUAAUAAUAGCAGCCAUAGACUUAGGCUUUUUUACUUUUCACCACACAAUUUGAUCUUUUAAUUCGUUUUAACCACAUAAUCUAUCUAUCUCACACCUAUUGCUUACUUAAAUCGCAUACAUAUUUUACCUACUAAUUUUUACAAACAUUAGUGAAAUAUAUUUUAUUACAUUUUGCUCGUAACUGCUCUAGUUGUGCACUAUUAAUACUUAACUCUCCCUUUUAAUUUAUCGUGCAAUCUAUCAACCACUAAAAUUACAUAUAUAUUUUACCUAUAUUUUGCCCCAAAAAAUAUAAAAGUAAUAGAAAAAGAAUAUGUGUAGCAAUUUGUAUGUAACUAACAAAGCAUUGACGGUGUGUAGCCUUUCAAUACUUCAUGAGUGGCUGUUCUUGUGUGUUAGUACUGGUAAUAAUUGUGUAGUGUAUAAAUGACCUUUUAUUAUUAAAGCGCGUCUGUUGUUAGAUAUUAUUUAUUAUUUGAAAAAUAAUAUGAAUAUAAUUCUUUCAAAAUACAGGGGAGAUACCAACUGAAAUCAUAAUCUCCGUAAUCUGGAGGAGUUGGACCUUGCUCGAAACAAAUUAGUUGGUAUUGUCCCAGCUGCAAUCUUCAAUGUGUCAACACUCAAGCAUCUUGGUCUUCAAGAUAAUUCUCUCUUGGGAUGUCUUUCGUCCAUCGGAGACGUCCGACUUCCAAAUCUUGAAGGGCUUUAUUUGUCGGGUAAUAAUUUCAGUGGCACAAUUCCUAGUUUCAUCUUUAAUGCUUCUAAGCUCUUUAAGCUAUCGUUGCAAAGGAACUCAUUCUUUGGUUUUACUCCCAACACAUUUGGCAACUUAAGAAACCUUAAGUGGCUAUCUUUAUAUGAUUCUUAAGUGGCUAUCUUUAUAUGAUAAUUAUUUGACAUCUUCAACUCCAGAAUUGAGCUUUCUGUCCUCGUUGUCAAAUUGCAAGUGUUUAACAUUUAUUGACUUAUCAAAUAAUCCACUAGAUAGCGUUCUUCCAAAGACAUUUGUCGGUAAUGUUUCUCAUUCUUUGGAAUUCUUUGUCAUGUCCUAUUGUAACAUUAGUGGCGGCAUCCUUGAAGAGAUCACCAACUUGACCAAAUUGACAACCAUUAUUUUAGGAGGCAAUAAAUUGAAUGGAUCAAUUUCGAUUACUCUCGGCAGGUUACAAAAGCUUCAAUAUUUGGGUCUUGACGAUAACAAAUUAGAAGGAUCAAUCCCAGACAGUAUUUGUCGUUUAGCUUAACUGUAUGAUUUGGAGUUGGGUGGUAAUAAGCUUUCUGGAUCAAUCCCUGCAUGCUUCAGUAAUCUGGCUUCUCUGAGGAAACUGUCGUUGGAUUCCAAUGAGUUAACUUCUAUUCCCUUAACUUUUUGGAACCUUAAGGAUAUCUUGUACCUCAACUUUUCGUAAAAUUUUUUGAUUGGUCCACUCCCAUUAAAGGUUGGAAAUUUGAAGGUUUUAGUUGGAAUUGAUUUUUCGAUGAAUAAUUUUUCAAGCGUUAUCCCAAUAGAAAUUGGAGGCCUACCAAAUCUAGAAUAUCUCUUCUUAGGAUAUAACAGAUUGCAAGGAUCGAUUCCUGAUUCAUUCGGUGAUUUGAUAAGCUUGAAAUCCUUGAAUUUGUCUAAAAAUAAUCUCUCAGGGGCUAUUCCUGCAUCUUUAGAGAAACUCUUAUAUCUUAAAGAUCUAAAUCUUUCUUUCAACAAACUAGAAGGAGAAAUUCCUAGGGGAGGGUCUUUUGGAAACUUCUCAGCUGAAUCAUUUGAGGGAAAUGAAUUAUUAUGUGGUUCACCCAAUUUACAAGUCCAGCCAUGCAAAACUGGCAUCCACCACACAUCAUCAAAAAAUUCUCUUCUCUUGGGGAUUGUCUUGCCAUUGAGUACUACAUUUAUGAUAGUAGUCAUUUUGUUGAUCCUAAGAUAUCGACAGAGAGGGAAACGACUAUCGAAUGAUGCUAAUAUGCCAAUAGUAGCAACAUGGAGAAUGUUUUCAUACCUAGAACUCUGUCGAGCAACAUACAAAUUCAGUGAAAACAAUCUAAUCAGCAAAGGUGGUUUUGGCUCUGUUUACAAAGCAAGACUUGGGGACGGGAUGGAGGUUGCUGUGAAGGUUUUCAAUUUGCAAUGUAGAAGAGCAUUUAAGAGUUUCGAUAUUGAAUGUGAAAUGAUGAAAAGUAUUCGCCAUCAAAACCUUAUCAAAGUUAUUAGCAGUUGUUCAAAUGAAGAGUUUAAAGCGUUGGUAUUAGAAUACAUGCCUCAUGGAAGUUUGGAGAAGUAUCUGUAUUCAAGUAACUGCAUUUUGGAUAUUUUUCAAAGAUUGAACAUAAUGAUAGAUGUUGCAUCAGCUUUGGAAUAUUUGGACCUUGGUUAUUCAGCUCCAAUAAUUCAUUGUGACUUAAAGCCCAACAAUGUAUUGUUAGACGAUAAUAUGGUUGCUCAUUUGAGUGAUUUUAGCAUUGUAAAAUUGCUAACAGGAGAAGAUCAAUCUAUGACUCAUACACAAACACUUGCAACAAUAGGCUAUAUGGCACCAGGUUUGUUCAAUAUAAAUAUUUUCUAUUUCUCAUAAACUUCUGAUGGGUGUCGAAGCCAACAAAAAUAAAUUCCUACUCUAAAUAAAUUGUGUAUAGUGAUUGAGCAGGGUCGUGUCGACAGAGAUCGGUAAUUAUUUAAAUCCUUUUGAAACGUAAAACGUAAAAUGGGGGAAUUGUUGACAAUAAUAAAAAUCAAAUUAAAAUAACAAGAAUGCAAAUUAAAGUUGUAAUUCAAAUUAGAGAAAGCUCUGGUUGAAGGAAUUAACUCAGCUUGAUUCGACUACUGAUCAUUGAUUCAAAUAUAGAUUAUUAUUACUUAUGAAUAGACCGGUUAUAGCUACUGAGACCCUCUAAUAGCCAAUCUCUCCUUAACUAGUCGAUAACCAAGGUACGACCGUUGGUUAUUUCCCUAAUCAAUAGACAACCCUAGAUACGAUCAUAGGAUUUAAUCAAUUGACAGCCUAAAAGACCAGAGAGACCCAAAUCCUAAUCAACACAUACGAUGAUUCAUUUAAAUUAGAUUGUUUAUUCUCAUAACACAACUCACUGCUAUGUUAUUUGUCACAAACAUUAAAAUCUUCAUACGAUGAAUCCUUUAAUUAACAAUAGAUUAAGUUGAUAAUUAAAUAGUGGCCAAUUACCUAAUUAACAAACAUAAUCAUAAAAAUAAUUCAGAGAAUAAACAAAUACCCAAAAAGCAAUAAAACAAUUAAAGCAUAAGAAAGAUCUCACAGUAGUGAUGAAUCAAAGCUUCAUUAUCCUUCAACAAGAAAAAUAGAUUUAGUUCUUCACAGAGAGAAGAGAAAAGUUUAGAUCUAGGGUUUCUUUCCUUUUCUCCAAUCCCUUUUUUCACAAUAGAUUCCUCCUUAAAUACUUUCUCUCUCUUCUCAUUUAGAGUUCUAUUUAAAAUAAAAUACUAAUAUCUGAAAUAUUAAAUUCGUAAUUUCAAAAAUAACCAAAAAUACAAAACACGUUAAACUAAAAACUGCAGGUCCGCAGUUGACAGCACGCGCCCACACCUUAUCAAUAAAGUUCUUCUGACUCUCUAAAUUUCUCGAAGAGAACAAUCAUCUUUAAACAUCAUCUUAUAGCUCAAUUUUAUCACAAAUCAAUAGAAUUGCACCUACAAAAGUAAAACACAAGUAAAUCAUUAUUAUUAAGUGCAAAACAUCGAUAUUAAGGGAAGUAAACAAUGCAAAACUAGUGCAUAAAUUGCACUCUAACAAAUUCCCCUACACCAAGAUGAUGCUUGUCCUCAAGCAUAUAACUUAAGACUAAUCACAAAUCUCCACUCAAUUUUCAUCUCAACUCAUCCAAAAACAAUUUUAAGCAAGCAUACCUCAAGAAUUUAAGUCGAUCAACAUUCGAGAGCCAAGGAUUUUAAAGCAUAGAAUCUCAUAAGCUAGAAUAAAAACAUUCAACCAUCAAGAAGAUCCAUUCAAAAUUCAAGUGCAACAAGAUUUAAUAGCCCUCUCAUUGACUUCACUCGAUGCACUCAAAGUGUUUAGGGUGUCAUUUAUGCACUCAAAUCAAAUCAAAGAAUGCUAUUACCAUAAGCUUGCUUAUAUAUCAUAUCUCAAUCCACAAAACAUGAAUUAAAUGCAAAAAUCUAAGGGUCUUAAAAAGGUUGUAACGGGGUUAAAUGGGUUAAAUGAAAAAGAAAGGUCUAUGAAAGAAAAAAAGAUUAAAAUGAGAAGAAUGAACUCAUUGAAUGAACUUCUGAUAUCAAAAUGCUUAUUUCUACUCAAGUCACCAAGAAUGUAAACUUUUUUUUUCGAUUUUUCUUUUUCUUUUUUUUUUUUUAAUCAAACAAAAGAAACGAACCUUGCACAAUUUAAUUCAAGCAUAAUGCUUGUUGAUCUAAUUGAGAAACUUUAAUACAAGGUAGAAAAAGCAACAAAAUAUAUCCAUACAAUGAGUCCAAAAAUCUCCUUAAAUUGAGGCUCAAAAAGGAGAAAAAUGGUUAAGUAGACGGAGAGAAUUAGAUGGGUAAUGGUUAAGGCUCAAACAAAGAUAGCAAAUAAAGGUCUUCGAGUAGAGAAAAAAAAAUACGAGAAUAGAAAAUUGGAAAAUGGUUUGCCCUUAUCAUUUUAAUGCAUAAAAUCCCGUAAUGCGGCUUCAACAUGCAUAACAAAGCAAGUUCUAGAAUAAACAAACUAAGAUUGAUAUUCACAUAACAAAAAUAAUUAGAGCAAAGUGGCUGCUCAUAGGCUCAAAUCCUCACAAAGUUGGUAAAUUUUCCAUCAAAUCAUGUACACUCUUCAAAUGAAUCAACCAUCAAUAGUGGUGUAGAAUGAGAAGAAGGUAUGAGUGAGAUAUAAAAGGAAAGGUAAAAAGGAUAAUAAGCGAGAAAGAUGUAUGUAGUAAAAAAAAUGAAAGAUAAAAUGUGAGUGAUGAAAGAGUAUGAUAGAGAAAAAAAAUAGAUGUAAAUAAUUUGAGAUAGAUGGGAAAAGAGUAGUGAGAGAGAAGGGAAAAGAAAAUUAAUAAUAUAUGAAGCAUACUAACUCCAAAAUCAUUUAAGGAUGAGUAGAGUGAAAAUAGUACUUCUAGACAUCAAUAAUGUAAAAAUCCCUCCCCAACACCAAGAACUUACAUUGUCUCCAAUGUAAGAUAAUCAAAGCUCACAUAAAAAUUAAAGCGUAAGGAUAAAAGAUUAAAGGCAAAAAAAAUUCCCUGAAUUGUGAGCUUUGAUCCACAUAAUGUCUAUGGGCUUGGCAGAAAGGGUGGGGUAAAUCCCAUACUCUCGAAGUAUGCGGCCAAAUUCUGCUCCAUCUUGUUCAGCUUGUGCUCCAUCUUCUCUAACUGAAUGCUGGUAGUGCGGAUGUAGAAGGAAUAGUUGGCGGGCCAGCAGUGUCGUCUUCAAACUCGUCAUUAGAGGUAACACCACUCCUAGCAUAAAGCUUCUUUGGAGGUUGAGUGGGUCUUGGUUUAGUAAACUAAAAUCUCCCCUCCUUGAAUUCGACGACACCUGUUCUUUGAAACACAGACAUAUCCAAAAAUUCCUUUUUGCAAGCAGGAUGCAAAUCAUUAUUGUCAGGAUCAAGCACACAUAGGUUUAUAGCUAACAGAGUAAUGUAUGGACCAAGAAAGAAAGUCCGAUACCGUUUAAGCACACUUUGAAAUUUAUCCGCUAACCAAAAACCUAAAUUAGGCCUCACAUCAUUUAACAUGCACCAGAUAAAAUAAAAUUCAGUUUUAGAGAAAACUCCUGAGUGAUCUUUCUUUCCUAAAAAAUUAUAUGCUAAGAAUCGAUGCACACAUUUCAAAACAGGAUCACGUAAGAAAUAACUCUUUGAUUUACUCAGGUCAUAGGCAUUGUGAUCAACACAUAAAUUACGCCAAAGACCAUAAGGCUCAAAAUUGUCACUAAAGUCACAAGUUGUUCCUAAAUAUGCAUCACUAGAAGAAUAAUCAUCAUCAAGGAAUCCUAAAGCUAGGUUAAAAUCCGUGAUAGAGGUGAAAAAUUUUGUCCCAUUAACCUAAACUUUAUGACAUCUGGGGUAUGCAAAGUAAAAUCAUUCGGUAUAUUAAAUUGAAAAGUCGCAUAAGACUCCUUAAUCAACUCAACAUAACCCAAACAAUCAACAUCAACAAACUUACGCAACCCAAUCUUAUCUAUCAAAUAAUCAAAAUUAUCCUUAACAUUCAAUUUUUCAAGAGUCGGGUAAUUAAUAUACUUAGCUGGAAGUAUUUUGCACGUGGAAAUAUCUUUGUAUCUCUCUUUCUCUUGUUGAGUCGCGAAUGCAAGGCAUCCUCCGAGAUUGGAUUCCGCAAGUGGCAAAACACUCAUGCCUUUUUCAUGUUUCGAUCUUUGUCUCAUGGCUUGGCGUGAAUCUGAACUUGUGUUCCAUGGAACCGGAAUGCGAGCGACAAUCUUAGAUUUCUUUGUGACGGGUAUCUUUUUAGAUGACUUGGAAGUAGAUGCUUUCCUCUUCGGCAUUGUUACAAUAAUUGCACUCACGGAUUUCGAUUUACCCGGCUGGAAUACAGGGCGUAGGCUGGUUGCGUUGCACUUGCUGCUCGACUGGAGCUUGCUGCGCGGGUUGGGGUUGGUUGCGCGCGCAGCUGGUUUUGCAUGCUGGUGAUGCUAGUUGCGUUGCGUGCGCGAGCUGGAGACUCUGGAUCUGCGUUACGAGGCGUGCUCGUCUGCUGUUCGUUGGGACUGUGUUGCGCGCGCGGGAUUGAUGCGCUGCGUGAUGGUGAUGGCCAAAGCUUGCUGCGCGCGGGCUGGUUGUGUUGCAGGUGGGACUGAUACGACUGCUGCUGGUGAAAACAAUAAUCAACAGUGAAUUUUUUUUUUAAUUAGGGAAUUGUAAAUAGUGAUUUGUGGUUUUUGCUUUUUUUGUUUUUUUUCUUUUUUUUUUAAAUAAAUAAAUAAAAUAUAUAUAUAUAUAUAUAAAAGAAAGAAAAAAAGGAAAAAAAAAAUAAAUAAUUUUUUUUUAAGUGAUGAAUCACUUUGAGUCACUAAAAAUUUCAGACGUACUUUUCUAAUAAGCACGUGGGCACACCUUAAAACUAUUUUACUUUAAAAAUUAUAGAAGUACUUAUUAGUUAAGACGUGGGCACGCCUUAUCAAAAAUUUUCUUCUGACCAAAAUAAGCAAACACAUUAAUUUUUUUUUUAAAAAUCUGAAUCAAAACUAAAAGAAGACAUAACAAAAACCAAAAUAAAUAAAUCAUUUGGGUUGCCUCCCAAAAAGCGUCUUUGUUUUAUGUCUUUGGCUAAACACAUUUAUGCAACAAUCUCCAUAAUUGGGACUCUCGAGAGCCACAUCCUCCACAAUAUUCACCGAAAAACCUUCAUAAAAAGGUUUUAAGCGAUGACCAUUAACAUUCAAAACUUUGUCAGAGGUCGGACUCCGAAUCUCAACUACACCAUGAGGAAAAAUAUUAGUAACAAUAAAAGGUCCAACCCAGCAAGAACGUAAUUUACCCGGAAAAAGUUUAAGCUUAGAAUGAAAAAGAAGAACUUUUUGACCAAUAGAGAACUCCUUUCUCAAACUCAUUCUAUCAUGAAAUGUCUUCGUCUUUUCCUUGUAAAAAACUUCAUGCACUAUAGGGUUAAUAAUAUCCACAGAAAAUACUGAAUGUUCCUCACUAGGAUAUUUCAUGGCAUCAUUCAUAUUGAAUUUUAUAACCUCUCCAUCAAACUCCAUAGUGAGAGUCCCUUUAUGUACAUCUAUUUUAGUCCUAGCAGUCUUAAGAAAAGGUCAUCCUAACAAAAUUGGGACAUAAUUAGAGGAGUUAUCAUCUUCCAUAUCAAGUACAUAAAAAUCAGCAGGAAAAACCAACUCAUUAACUUGUACUAAGACAUCUUCUAAUACCCCAUCAGGAUAUGCAUUAGACCUAUCAGCUAGUUGAAUUAUCACGCUAGUUUCUUUUAAUGGACCAACAUUCAAAGAUGAAUAAGUGGAACGAGGCAUGACAUUAAUAUAAGCUCCUAGAUCUAACAUAGCCUUUUCAACUCUAACACUACCAAUUUUACAAGGAAUGGUAAACAUACCUGAAUCCUUGCACUUAGGAGGUAGUUUCUUUUGGAGAACUGCUGAAACAUUCUACCCCAUGUGAACUUUUUCAUCUCCUCUUAAUUUUCUCUUGGAGGUGCAUAGUUCCUUAAGGACUUUAGCAUAUCAAGGUAUUUGUUUUAUAGCAUCUAAUAAAUGAAUAUUUACCUCAACCUUGCAAAAUGUCUUAAAGAUGUCUUUCUCUUGUUCCUCCUUCUUGGAUUUUACAAACUAGCUUGGAAAAGGAGGAGGUAUCACAAUAGGUAGGGGUUUCGUUCUGGUGGGUUGCGCAUCUUGAGAUUUAGGCAUCAAUUCAUUCUUCCCAAGCUCAUCUUCUACAUGCUUUGUCACUUUCUUACUAGGCUCUUGUAACUCCUUCCCGCUUCUAAGGAUGACAGCACUAACGUUUUGCUUUGGAUUCACCUCAGAUUGUGAAGGCAAUCUCCUUAAUACUUGAGACUCCAGACGGCUCACUGUAGUCGCCAAUUGACUCAUUUGGUUCUCUAAAUUCUGAAUGCUUUCUGUAGUUGCCUGCUGAAAUUGUUGAGUGUUAGUCGCAAGUGAUUUAACAAUUUCUUCAAGAGAUAUACUUGACUUGGAGUUUGACUGUGGAGGUGCUGGUUGUCUUGGUGGAUACUGUUGUGGGAAUCCUGACGGUCUAACUCCAUAGCUGAAGUUGGGAUGAUCCUUCCAUCUCAGAUUGUAUGUUGUGCAUAAGGAUCAUACCUCCUCUGAGGCAUGCCUGGAAAUCCUCCAACUGCAUUGGCUUGUUCAACGGGUUCUUCUUGAAGUGUAGGACACAUAUCAGUUGAAUGACCCAUAUUGGAACAAAUGCCACAAGUCUUUACCUGUUGCAUAUUAUCUACAAUAAACUUUUCUACAAGAGAAGUAAGUUUAUCUAAACGUUGUUCAACAGAAGAAAUAUUUACCUCAUUCACCGUUCUUGAAGUGGCAUCUUGCCUGCUGCCAAAUUGUUGUGCAUUGGCAGCCAUAUUUGAGUUCAACUCCCUUGCUUGAGUAAGGGUCUUAUUCACCAACACACCUCCACUGGCAACAUCUAUCAUACUCCUAUCCAAUAAUGAUAGUCCUUCGUAAAAAUAUUGAAUAAGAAGUUGAUCAGAAAUCUGAUGCUGAGGACAGCUGGCACACAAUUGUUUGAAUCGCUCCCAAUACUCAUACAAAGUCUCCCCAGGAAGUUGUCUAAUCCUACAAAUAUCUUUUCUGAUGUUGGCAGCUCUUGAAGCAGGAAAGUACUUCUCGAGGAACUGCUUCUUUAAACCAUUCCACGUUGUAAUCGAUCCAGGAGGCAAGUAGUACAACCAAUCUUUAGCUAGCCCAUCUACAGAGAACGGAAAAGCACGCAACUUAAUCUGCUCUUCAGUCACGCCUUGUGGCCUCAUACUUGAACACACAACAUGAAACUCCUUAAGAUGUUUAUGAGGAUCUUCACCUGCAAAACCAUGAAACUUGGGUAAUAAAUGAAUAAGACCAGACUUUAAUUCAAAAUUUACCUCCAAGUCUACAUAUUGAAUGCAGAGUGGUUGUUGAUUCAAGUCUGGUUCAGCUAACUCUCUAAGAGUUCUUUCUACAGGUGCAGGUCUAUCCAUCACUUGUUCUUCUGAAUCGCUAGAUGAUUCAACUAAAUCAAGUAUUGUAUCAAUUUCAGAAAGCAAAGGCAACGAGGAUCGUUGCUUAGCUCGCUUUGUCUGCUGUCUCAACUGGCGAGCUGUCUUCUCAAUUUCAGGAUCAAACGAAAGUGUACCUGUACGAGAAGAACGAACCAUACACCAAGUAAAACGUAAAAAUGAUUAAAUAAACGACACCAAUCCCUGGCAACGGCGCCAAAAUUUGAUGGGUGUCGAAGCCAACAAAAAUAAAUUCCUACUCUAAAUAAAUUGUGUAUAGUGAUUGAGCAGGGUCGUGUCCACAGAGAUCGGUAAUUAUUUAAAUCCUUUUGAAACGUAAAACGUAAAAUGAGGGAAUUGUUGACAAUAAUAAAAAUCAAAUUAAAAUAACAAGAAUGCAAAUUAAAGUUGUAAUUCAAAUUAGAGAAAGCUCUGGUUGAAGGAAUUAACUCAGCUUGAUUCGACUACUGAUCAUUGAUUCAAAUGUAGAUUAUUAUUACUUAUGAAUAGACCGGUUAUAGCUACUGAGACCCUCUAAUAGUCAAUCUCUCCUUAACUAGUCGAUAACCAAGGUACGACCGUUGGUUAUUUCCCUAAUCAAUAGACAACCCUAGAUACGAUCAUAGGAUUUAAUCAAUUGACAUCCUGAAAGACCAGAGAGACCUAAAUCCUAAUCAACACAUACGAUGAUUCAUUUAAAUUAUAUUGUUUAUUCUCAUAACACAACUCACUGCUAUGUUAUUUGUCACAAACAUUAAAAUAUUCAUAUGAUGAAUCCUUUAAUUAACAAUAGAUUAAGUUGAUAAUUAAAUAGUGGCCAAUUACCUAAUUAACAAACAUAAUCAUAAAAAUAAUUUAGAGAAUAAACAAAUACCCAAAAAGCAAUAAAACAAUUAAAGCAUAAGAAAGAUCUCACAGUAGUGAUGAAUCAAAGUUUCAUUAUCCUUCAACCAGAAAAAUAGGUUUAGUUCUUUAUAGAGAGAAGAAAAAAGUUUAGAUCUAGGGUUUCUUUCCUUUUCUCUAAUCCCCUUUUUCACAAUAGAUUCCUCCCUUAAAUACUUUCUCUCUCUUCUCAUUUAGAGUUCUAUUUAAAAUAAAAUACUAAUAUCUGAAAUAUUAAAUUCGUAAUUUCAAAAAUAACCAAAAAUACAAAACACGUUAAACUAAAAACUGCAAGUCUGCAGUUGACAGCACGCGCCCACGCCUUAUCAACAAAGUUCUUCUGACUCUCUAAAUUUCUCGAAGAGAACAAUCAUCUUUAAACAUCAUCUUAUAGCUCAAUUUUAUCACAAAUCAAUAGAAUUGCACCUACAAAAGUAAAACACAAGUAAAUCAUUAUUAUUAAGUGCAAAACAUCGAUAUUAAGGGAAGUAAACAAUGCAAAACUAGUACAUAAAUUGCACUCUAACAACUUCCUAAUAAGUUAUUUAUAUUUCAUGAUCUUGAUUAGAUGAGGAAAUUAUUAUUAAUGAUAUAUCUUACUAUGUAAUUGUUGCAAUUCAUAAAGUAUGGAAGAGAAGGACGAGUAUCCGCAAAUGGAGAUGUUUAUAGUUUUGGGAUUAUGUUAAUGGAAACAUUUACUGGGAAGAAACCCACAGAUGAAAUGUUUAAUGGAGAAAUGACAUUAAAGCAUUGGGUUAAUGAUUGGCUACCCAUUUUCACUAUGGAAGUUGUUGAUGCUAAUUUGCUAAGUCAGGAGGACAUACAUUUUGUUGCAAAAGAGCAAUGUGUGUCAUUUGUCUUCAAUUUAGCUAUGGAGUGCAUUGUGGAAUCCCCUGAGCCAAGAAUCAAUCCAAAAGAAAUUGCAGCAAAACUCUUAAAAAUUAGAGACUCAUUACUUAGAAAUGUUGGAGGCAGAUGUAUAAGACAAUCAAAUUUAAAUUGAUUCUACCCCUCAUUCAUUGCUUGCUAUCCUUUUCAGAGACUUGAACAAUUAUCCUCCAUAGAAGUUUUGCUGAUAUGUUUUGUUAUUGCUCUUGCUCAUGUUUAUUUCUCUCUUUCUUUAAUUUGCAUGCGUGCAUUUUAGUUCUCUUCCAUGUUCGUGUUGGUUUAUAUGUAGUUUGUUUUUUGGGAUAUGGUUUAUUAUGGCCUCACCCUAAUUAGAUGUAUCCUUUUGAUUUUUAUCAAUAAAGCUUCGCUAGUACUAUCGAGGUUAAUCGAAAGAAAAUUUUCAAUUGAUUUUCUUUUCUUUGACUAGUACUGGAAAUUCUAAUCUUUAUAGUGAAUAACUUCAAUAAUAGAGUGUAAGAGUAUUAGUAGUUGUGGUUGUUUCUGAACCUAGAGUUAGAGUAGUUUAACAGCAACAAAUAGGUCUCUUGUAUUAUAGCCAAAAUUCUUUUCAUUAAUCUUAUUUGUCUACAUUUUCUCCUAUUUUCUUCUUUAAUCUUCGCUCAAGGUUUCAUGCUUCCAUUUUGAAAUGUGAGAUUGUUUGUCAUCCAUUUGAUAAAAUGGAUAUGAGAGGAGCUUUCAAUCAUUACCUCCACCAAAAUCCUUACAAUGCAACUUUUAAAUUUAUUUUUUAAAAUACGUUCAGUUUAAUUUAUAAAAAAUAAAUCCAUUUGUUAAAAUUAAUUUUUUUCUCAUAAAUUUCAACCUAAAAAAUAUAUUUCUUUUAAGUUUUUAUUAUAAAAUACAUACAAGUUCUAAACUAUUAAAUUAUUUUCUUCUUAUUAUAUAGUUUAUAUUUCCAUAACUCUAAACUCCUAUAAUUUUUAAAAAAUAUAUUUUUUAAUUUAAAAUAUGAAUAUAAAAUAUAGAAUGGAGUGGGUAUAAAAAGUUUUGUUAAAAGAAUAAUUCAUUCAAGUAUUUAGCUGAAUUUUAAUUUAAAAUAAGAAAUAAAUUAAUUUAUUUUUUAUUAGUUAAGUAAUUUCAAUUGAAAAAGAGCUUAUAUUAUGGACAUAUGAUUAAAAUUGUCAUGAAUUAAACAUUUUCAUAUAAAUACUAGUGAUAAUUACGGAGAAAGUACGAUGAACCAAAGAAAACUUGAAUAGAAAUACUCCAAUGUAAUUUUACACAUGCAAAUUAUGAACCAGUGAUCUUUAGAGCAUCAUAAAAUUAUUUUAACACAAUUAGUUAGUUUGGAAAAUUGCCAAUAAUGUUUAAAGUGGGAUUGAAAAGAUUAUACUACAAAUAUAAGACAUGAUAUCAUUUAAGAGCUUACAGAUUAUGAGAAAUAUAUUGAUCUUACAAAUAAUAUAAAAUAUGUCAAUUAGAUUGAGUCUAUGCAAUAAAAGUUUCAAAUUAAAAAAUAAACCUUUAUUUUCUUUUAAUCAUAAGUGUGAUCUUAAUUAUUAAAGUCAUUCAAUGUCCAUUACUUAUUCAUUUUUUUAAUUAUCUAAAUGACAUUGAAAACUCUACUCAAUAUUAAUUCAUUCUAGUGUUUUGUUUUAAAGUAAUCGAAAAUUGCAAAUGAAACAAAUGCUUGAAAUCACAAACUGCCUAAAAUUAGAUUUUUAUUUCUUAAUGUUUUAGUGACUUUGAUCUUGAUAUUGAAAAUUUAUUUGUAACUUAUAUAAAGGCCUCGAUUUUAUCAUAAUUGAUUAGUAAGGCUAUGUACGGGAGCAUGGAUAAAUUUUGAGAUUGGAUUAUAUUUUUGGAACUAAAAAAUUAAUUUCAUCCAAUGUUAUGUAUAGCUGUCGGGACUAGCAAAUUAGUCUAAAAUUAUUGAAAUUAUUAGUCUUUUACAUUAUAAUUUUUUCGUUCCCACUUUAAACGUUAUUGGUAACUUAAAUCAUUUUUUAAAUUAAAUAUAAAGUUAAUUUAAUUAAAUAUAAUUUAAUUAAAUAUAAAAAUUAAUUUUAUAAUUUUUUCACCUAGAAUUUUAUAGUAUAUUAAAUACUAAAAUUAUAUUCGAUAAUGUAUUAUCAUUUAUUUAAUAAAUAUUUAGGUUUAUUAGUGUAUCAUAUUAUUAUUUAAAUUAAUUUUUUAUUUUCAUAUAGACAUAAAUUAAUAUUUACUAAUUUAAAUUUAUUAUAAUUUAUUAAAUAAUAAAAGCUAAAUGAUUGUAUUUAAAAUAUAAAUUGUAUUUUAAUGUAUUAUAGCCUAAAUCUUACCCCUAUGAAUUUAUUUUAUCCAUCUUUUAUUGUAUUAACCACAUUUAUAAGGCAGUGCGAUGCAACCGAAAAUUAUAACCAAACAUGAGUUAGUAUGAAAAUAAUAUUUUAGUACAAUACAAUACAAUGUAAUAUAAGCAAACAAAUAGAUAUUUAAUUGAAGCAAAAAUUGCAUAUGGUUUGUCGUCUCUCAAAAGACAGCAAAGAAACCAAUAUGACACAUUGAUUUUGAAUUUGUUGUUUUUCGUGUUAUGAAAAGGAAAAUGCAGAAAACUUAUUUGGUGAGCUUAUUUUGGUGGAAAACUGUACAGUGAUUAAAAACAAAAAAAUUAUCAUUUUCCAAUGUUUACAAAGAAAACAAGAGACAUUUUAUUUCACUUUUACUCUCUGCCAAGGGUCUCACUAUCUUAACUUUUAUAAGAUAGUGUAAUAAAUUACGUGGGCCCAUUUAAUAAAGAAAUAAUCUAAUAAAUAAACUAAUAUAACAAAUAUUUAAAAAUAAUAGCAAUAGUUUAUUCCAUACCUUGCAGCUUAACUACUUAAUAGAUUACCCAAAUUGUUUUAAAUAAAAAGUAAUAUCAUAUAAUUAUUAUACUAAAUUAUUACAUUGUUCGACCCAAUAUGCAGUUAUUUAAAAAUUAUUACAAAUUUUCAUACACUAAUGAAAAUAUUUCAAUAAUAAAGUUACUUCUUGACAGCUAAUAUAAAUAAAUAUAUGAUAAUUAUGAAAUAAUUUAAAAUUUUCUCAAUUACUAUUAUCUUAUAAGUACAAUUUAUUUACAUAAUUAAAAGUUUUUAAGAAAUCAUUAAAAUAUCAUCGUACCUAUAUGCAUUUAUAAUAAUAUAUAAUACAUCAUAAUAUAAUAGCUAAAUAGAUAAAUUAUUUAAUGACAUAAAAUAUAUAUUUAUAUUCAUUGUAUUAUAUUAUUCUUUCAUAAUAAUUUCAUUAAAUAAUUCCCUAUUCUCUCUCUCUCUUUUUGUCUUCAUUUUUUCAGAUAAGCAACCAAACAUCUUUUCACCUUUUUUUAUUUUCAAGUACUGUUUUUAAACUAAGGUACCAAACAUGUUUUUAUUUUUAACAAAAACUAAUCAUUCUUAUUUCAUAAAAUAAAUUUAAAAACACUAUUUAAAAAAUAAUACCAAAUGCACCCUUAAAAACUAUGAGAAAUAUACUGAUUUUACAAAUAAUAUUUAAUAUGUCGAUUAGACUGAAUCUUUGGAAUAAAAAUUUCAAAUUAAAUACUAAACCCUUAGUUCCCUUUUAAUCGUAAUUAUAAUCUUAAUUAUUAAAGACAUUUUAUUUUGUGCUUGUCUUUUUUUAUUCACUUUUUUUUUAAUCAAAAAUAUUGCUCUGCAUGCAAGUCUUUGGUCGCGGGCCUAGGUGUCCCAAACAUCCAGCUGACAGCGACGUUUCCACUUUGAUUAUCCGCACUUCCCAGAAGUCGCAAGGAAAGACCGAUUGAGUAGUUUGAUUGGUUUGAAGAUUCAUGAGACUGCUUUUCACUAGAAUUCCACGGCCUCAUUCAUUUUUUUUUUUAAUAAUCUAAAUGACAUCGAACACUCUACUCAAUAUAAGUUUAUUCGAAUGUCCUGUUUCAACCUAAUCGAAAAUUGCAAAUGAAACAAAUGCUUGCUAUCACAAACAGCCAAAAUGGAAUUUUUGUUUUUCAUUGUUGUAAUGACUUUGAUCUUGAUGUUGAAAAUUUAUUUGUAACUUAUAUAAAGGCUCAAUUUUAUCAUAAUUGGUUACAUCCAUAUGCAGCUUAUAUAAUGUUUAUUACAUCCAUAUAAUCUUUCUUAUAUAAUGUUUUUGUUACAUCCAAGAGAAAGACAGUUACGCUUAGAUCAGUCUUAUUUAAUAGAAUUAUAGGAUAAUAAAAUUGGUUUAAAGAAAUGUGAUUCUUAACUCUUGUAAUUAAAGUUAGUGUUCUUUGAUUUUAGUGGUGUAGGGCUUAUAAGUCUAUGCAACAAUUCUUGGUGAGUUUGAUUCAAUAUACGAUCAUUUUCAGUUCUUUAAAGUCUCAUAAUUAAAAAUUCCGAAAUCAUAAUUAGAAUUUACAAACAAGUCAAAGUGAGUCAAAGCAAACCUAGAAAUUUAAGGUCUAUCAUAAACUUUUGACAAAUUAAAGUUAAGGUGAUUAAUUAAAUGCUAGACAAAACAAAACCUAUAAAUUUACCUUACCACAUGAUGAAGCUAUUUCAAAGAUCUCAAAUUACACACUAAUUAAUAAUUAAUCUACAUUUUUUUCCGUUGUAUAUCGUUGAAACUUCUAUCUUCACAACAUAUUGUUCUUAAUUGGCCAAAUGUAUUUUUGUCUAGAAAUUUGCUAUGAACAAAUUUCAGAAUUCAUCAGAGAUAAUACAAACAACUAAUGUAUUUAUAAUAUACAUAAUUAAACUUAAUAUAACCAUCACUUACAUGAUAGUUUUUCAAAAUAAAUAAACACAUAUUAUAACAUAUUUAUUUAUUAUAUAAUUAAUAUAGUACCUUUAAUAUAUUGUAGAAUUUCUUCUUCCUAUGUUACAGAAAAUGUAAGUAACGGACACUAAUUUAACAAGAAACGUAUAUAUAAGUUUGCCACGUGUAGUCUCAACAUGUGUGUAAAAACCGAAUUAACCGGUUUGCAUUCGACAACAAAGGAAAAUAUUACUUGUUGCUGAUCGAUUGCAUAAUAUUUUAAUUCGACAUGUCUGACUGCUUUGCCAGCUCGUGUGAUAAAAUGGAUAUGAGUGGAUCUUCAAUGCCUCCCGCAAAAUCCUUGUAACACCACUUCAAAAUUUUAUUUUCUAAAAUACACCGAGUUUAAAUUAUAAAAUAUAAAUCUGUUUAUAAAAAUUAAUCAUCUUUCCAUAAAAUUUCAACCUAAAAAUUAUUUUUCUUUUAAUUUUUAUUAUAAAAGGUAUACAAACUCUAUUAUUAAAUUGUUUUCUUCUUAUGAUAUAGUUUAUAUCUCUAUAACUCUAAACUUGUGUAAUUUUUUUUUAAAAAUAUUUUUCAAUUUAAAAUAUAAAAUGGCGUGGGUAUUAAAAAAUUUGUUAAAAGAAUAAUUUAUUUAAGUAUUUAACUGAAUUUAAAAUAAGAAAUAAAUUAAUUUAUUUUUGAUUAUUUAUGUAAGUUUCAAUUAAAAAAGAGUUUUAUGAGAAAUUGAGAGGGGAAAAUGAUAUUCUUAGUAAUAUUAUUAACAUAUGAUUAAAAUUCUUAUUAAUUAAACAUUUUCAUAUAAAAACUACUGAUAUUUAUAGAGAAAGCACAAUGAAGUGAAGAAAACUUGAAUAUACAUACUCCAAUAUAAUUUUACACAUGCAAAUUAUGAACCGAUGAUCUUUAAAUUAUCAUAAAAUUAUUUCAACAUAAGUAAUUAGUUUGAAAAUUUUCCAAUAAUGUUUAAAAUGGGAAUGAAAGGAUUAUACUAUAUAAGACACAAUAUCAUUUAAGGCGGCUUAGAAAUUAUGAGAAAUUUAUCGAUCUUACAAAUAAUAUUUAAUACGUCGAUUAGACUGAAUCUUUGGAAUAAAAAUUUCAAAUUAAAUAAUAAACCCUUAGUUUCCUUUUAAUCAUAAUUAUAAUCUUAAUUAUUAAGACAUCUUGUUUUUUGCUUGCCUAUUUUAUUAACUUUUUUUUAAUGAAAAAUAUUGCGCUGCAUGCAAGUCUUUGGUCGCCGGCCUACGCGUCCCAAGCAUCCAGUUGACAGCGAGGUUUCCACUUUGAUUAUCGGCACUCCCCAGAAGUCGCAAGGAAAGACUUGUUCGAGUAGUUUGAAGAUUCAUGAGACUGCUUUUCACUAGAAUUCCACGCCCUCAUUCCUUUUUUUCUUUUUUUUUUUUAAUUAUCUAAAUGACAUCGAACACUCUACUCAAUAUAAAUUUAUUCGAAUGUUCUGUUUCAACCUAAUCAGAAAUUGCAAACGAAACAAAUGCUUGCGAUCACAAACGGCCUAAAUGGGAUUUUUGUUUUUAAAUGUUGCAAUGACUUUGAUCCUGAUGUUGAAAAUUUAUUUGUAACUUAUAUAAUGGCUUCAAUUUUAUCAUAAUUGGUUUCUAAUGCUAUGUUAGAGGGCAUGGAUAAACUGUGGGAUUAGAUUAGAUUUUAGGACUAAAAAAUUAAUUUCAUCCAAUGUCAUAUUUAGCUGUCGUGACUAAUAAAUUAGUCCAAAAUUAGGAUAAGAUUUAUAAUAUUAAAUGAAAUAUUUUUGUUCUCUUUAUCACUCUUUUCUUUUUCAUUUAAAUUGAAUAUAAACAGUAAUUUCAUAAUUUUUUAUGUAGAAUUUUAUAUUAUACUAAAUAUCAAAAUUCUAUUCAAAAUUUAUUUUAAGUUGUAUUUACUUAAGAUUAAUUAUCUAAAUUUAAUCCAAUAAUUUAGUUGAUCUAGUAUUGAAUAUUAAACAUUAAAAAUUAUUCGAUUAUUUGUUUAAAAUAAAAUUGAAUAUUAAAUAUUGAAAUAAUUAUUUAAUAGCAUAUUAUAUUAUUAAUAUAAUUAUUAAUAAGAAACAUAUCAUUUAUUUGAUUACUAUUUAAAGAUAAACUUAAAUACUAUUUAAAAUCAUUUAAAUUUAACUUAAUAUAAUCCAAUCUAAAAUUGUACCAGACAUGCAUAAUACUAUAUAUAAUUCAGUCUAAUCCAAUUCAAUCUUAAUAAAUAAUACAAUCUAAUCUUGUGAGUCAAAAUUGGCCUAAGGUUACCAAUUGUGCAAUAAUCUUUAUAGCCCGUUUCCCAGCCACACACCCUUUUGUAUUAGUAUUCUCACAGCCGUUGGAAAUAUGGCUCGUAAUCUAACAAAUGACAUUAUACGGCUGUUACUUGCUAGUUUUUGUAAGGUGGCCAAGGCCUUUUAUCAAACACUAUAGGCCUUUUAGUGCUGAGCUAACAGAUUAGUGCUGUCUAUUUCUACAAACACAGAACUGCUAUUUGUUUGUCUAUCCCGUGGUCUCUUCGUUUAUUGACUUGAACUGUGAUAACUAAGGGGGCAUUCCUUUCUUCAAGAGAGUACUACCCAAUGGAGACGUUAAGUAUUAUUUUGUUUUUUUUUCGAAAUAAUAAUGAGUCAUAGUCAAUUGGAUUGAAUUAAUAAUGUUUGUGUCUGUGUGGUGUAAAUUGUAUAAGAAUGGAAUUUUUAUACAUAAAUAUAUUUCUCAUUCAAACUAACGCGACCAUAUUUUAACAAAUAAUUGUCUUGUAUUUCAUAUUAUUUAUUUUAUUAUAUUAUUUUCAUUUUAAUAUAUCAUCACGCUACUCUUCCCCAGUUUUCAUAUACACCAUAUCUGUUUGUGUGAGAUUAAUUUGUACACACUACAAAAAAGGCGGCCUGAUGCGAGGCCGGAUUUGACGAAUAUCUGAGCCGACGUAAAUGAUGAUCGUCUGUCGGUAAUUUGAUUACCUUUCCGUACUUUAUCAAUCAUUGAAUGAUUUUACUGGUUUAAUCGCUUGAUUGUUUGAGUAUGAUCGGUAAUUUGAUCGUCUGUCAGCAAGUGAUUCACCAUUCACUCUCCAAUUUUCAUUAAUUUAGUGUAGCAAAGCUUUAACUAGACAGGUAGAUAACGUGGUCAUGAAAACAUGAUUAAGAGUUUAAUGCAAUCAAAUCUACUUUAAUGAUUAUUUAAUGCACGGAGAUUUAACAUCAAUUAUCAUCACGUUAUUCUAACAACGAAAUUGCAGAGCUUGGAUCUUUACUCGAACAGUUUCACUGGCACUAUUUCUGACACAUUGGGCAAGCUGAAGGAAUUGCAAUUCCUGUAUGAUCAUUUCCCCAACUAUUAUUUGAAUAAUUAUUUAAUGCCGUUCAUUCCAGCUCUGUUUGGCUGUUAACUUUAUUUAGUUAUUUAUUUAUGAGGAGAUUCAUUUCUCACUUGAAUCUAGAAAUUUACGGAUCAAUGACAUUUUAUUUUUUCUUUUAUAUGACAGCUUGCAAUCCCUGGUGUGUACUCAUAGUGCCUUACAUGAAUAAAAAAAUGAUUUUUUUUUUUUUGGGGGGACAAUUGCAGUUCUGAUAACAACUAAAAUCUGUGUGGUCCGGUUACCAGAAAGCCUUGCCCCAGGUCUCUGCCAUUUUCUCCUCCACCUCCAUUUGGGGAAACUAAACUAUUUACUUUUUGCAAGUUUUUCUUGAAAUAUAUAUUUUUGAGAAGAAAACCAACAAUACAUUUUAUGAUUUGGGCUGUUUCAAAGAUCUUUGCUUGAUAUCUCUGCUACUGGUUUUCAGCAGAGCGCCCAAAAUAAUCAGUGCACGCACCAUAUGCUUUAUUAUUAUCAGCAAAAAUCACUGCUGAUAUGUUGGGAUCGACUUUUUUAUUUGGGAGAGGAAGCAUGCUUGAAAGAGUAGAGCGGUGCAUCUUGUUCAAACAUGCACCGUAGAGCCAAUUCCAUUUUAUGAAAUAGGAGUUAGACUGAACAACGUUAUGUCUUCAUUAUCAUUUCAGGAGGAAAUAGAUCAAAUACAGCAAUUGCUGUAGGAGUUGAUGUUUGUGCUGCUAUAUUUUCUUCAGACUCUCAUACCAAGGAAAAAUUUAGCUUCAAAGAAUGGUAUGAUGCUUUGAUUUAUGAAGUAAUUGUUAUACAUUUUGUACCUUCCAUACAUUUUGCUCUGUUAAUAUUAUUAUUUGAUAACAUGCUUGUCGAGUUGCACAGCGUUUAGAAUUUUGAGAUUAAAUAGAGUAUAAAUGCUAUCCAAAUGCACUCCUUUCAUUUUAUACAACUUUGAUUGAUCAUUGUUUCUAAUUUACCUCAGGCAUCAAUGGAGUCUGUCCGAGUCUCCUUUGCUGGGAAAUCAGUCAAAUGACAGCACAGGUGCAUAUAUUCCAAGAGCCAGUAAUGUAAUAGCUCACAAUUUAGCAAGACUAGCUUUGGAGCAAUCUGAAGUUGUACUUUGGAUGGAUAAUAUUCCAGCCCAACAUUUGUAUUUAUUCACUAGUUUUUUUUUUUUUUUUGAAGAGAAAGUAAAGCUUUCUAACUAAACAAACUUAGACAGUAACAAUAUGAUUUGAACUGGAAAGUCCUCCAGCCAAACUACAGGGCUUUCAAAAUCUAAGGCUACUUUGGCCAAUGAGUGAGCUGCUACAUUACAGUUUCUAGGAACGAAUUGAAUUGAUGCUCUGCUCUGGUUCUUUAGACAUGCUUGAAUCUCUUCCACUGCCCAGCAAAUUUCUGCCAUGCUGCUCUUCCUUUGCAGUGAUAGCUCCACCACUUCUAAAGAAUCUGACUCUAUAAUGAUUGGAUUACAUUUUGCUUGGCAGGCAACUUGAAUUCCAAACAACACGGCUUCCGCUUCCAUACAAGCCACAUCACCUCUGAAUCCAGUGCUCUGAACUGCUGCAGCCAAAAUUUUCCCGCUUGAAUCUCUAACCACUACACCUAGCCCAGCCUUCGAAUCUGCCAUUUGAAUUGCUGCAUCCACAUUCACUUUAUACCAACCAAUUGGAGGGGGAUUCCACACCUGUUGAUUAUUAUUGUGCUGACUUGGAACAACUUGGACAUUUGGACACUUAAUUCUCAAGUACGACUCUACAGUUGCUGCAGCCCCGGCUGCUGUCAUUUGGGGAUCUUCUUGCUUACCUUCAUUUACCACUCUAUUUCUUGCAUACCAGAUAGCCCAACAAGUUGCAAUUAUCAGCCCCAAAUCAUCUUUUUUCCUCUUCCCGGCUAAAUCUUGAAGAAUACUCAGCAUAUCCUGGUGAGCCAUUAGCUUUAUAUCCUCAUAAAAUUCUGUCAACUUCCACACCUUCCUAGUAGCUCUGCAUCCCACCAAUGCAUGAAAGACAUCACUAGUUGAAUGCUUAAAAGGGAGACAUUUUUAUCAAAAAAAGAAAAAAAACUUCAAUUGAGUUGCUAUCUAUUUAACUUUGGCAAGUGAGAGAGAGGGAUGGGACUGUCCAAUUAAAAUUAAGUUUCAAAUGGUAAUCCCAUCAUUGUCGUCUCAUGUUUGUCAAAUUCAAAUUUGAAAAUAUCACCAUGUUUGUAUGGUGAUGUUGUGGGAUUGUCUCGCCUAGGCUUUUAGCCUUACGACCUCCUUUAUUAGAAAAAAUCUUUGGUGUUCUUACUCAAUGGUAGAAUCAAAAUUUUACUUCAAUGGAAGCCAUAAUGAUUAAAAUAUAUUCUUAUUAAAUUUGAUCAAUUACUUAUUUGAUGUUGCUCUCUCUAUCUACAUCUCCUUCUUUAUGAAAAAAAUUAUUGUAAUACAUGAAAGUAAAUAUUGCAUUGAAUAAAAUGAAAUUGUUCAAAAAUUAACAAAUUCAGCUUUAUUAUAAUCUAAAACAAAGUAAAUAGAAUAAUAUCCAUCAUGUAAAAAUAAAAAAAAAUUGUACCACUUUGAAUCUAUUUUAAUUUUUUUGGUCAAAUCUCAAAAGCACAAACCUUGAACGAUAAUAAUAUGUAAAAGCUAAUAAUCUUAUAAUAAAAAGUAAGAAAAAAAUAAAAUUGAUUUAGCAUGUAAGAAUAAAAAAAGAAAAAUAGAAAGAGAGAGAAAUUAGUUUAGGCUUUAAGCAUUGUUAAGUUCGGAGAAAAAUAAUAAUUAACUAAGAGUAAUUUUAUGACUUUUUAGAAAUGAGUGAAUUAAAAUAAUAAGUUAAAAUUUAAUAAUUAUCUUAAUUAAAAAAAUAGGUAUUGAAAUAAAAUUAGUGGAUUCAAAUAGCCCACCCAAAAUCUAAACUUGCAUACCAAUUAUUUUCUAAUUUACAUAAAGUUUUUCUUUAUGUUUGAUAACACUUGUUUCUCAAUUGGUCUAACGGAGAAACAACCAGCUAAAAAAUAAAAUGAAUGCAAUUAAAUGGAAAUUUGAAAAAGAGCAGUAUGUCACGGGAUGAGUGUUUUGCGCAGCUAACCCGUGCGGCACUUAGACAACUUUGCCGAAUGUUGCUAAGUAAGCCUAGAGCUUCUCGAACUAGAGAAGAGAGCAAUUGAGCCAAAGAAGAAAACUUGUAUUGCACAAAGAGAGAAUACAAUGCUUGAGUUGCUUACAAAGCUUGUUGGAUACAAAUGCCUAAUGCCAUCCCAUAUUUAUAGGGGAGGCUUGCCAAGCUCUAGAGAUUCUAGAGAAUUCUACCACUUCCUAGCUAUUUACAUGUGCUGGAAUUCUAUGGAGAAUUCUAGAGUUGCUUAGAACUUUCCGGAAUUGAGCCAAGCUAACACUCUUGGCCUUGUGUUGGCUCUCUAGCCCAAAAUUGUGAGCAAUUGGGCUAGCGAUUUGGGCGGUCCGCAACAAGUAGGUGACAUUUUUGUGCAAGCAAAAUUGCAUUCUGUUUGUGGGAUCCUGGAAAAAGUAAAAGAGAAAACACAGAAUGACACUGAUAUUGUGUUCUUUAAUAUUUUUCUAGUUGCUUCCAUGGCAGAUUCUCAUUGGUCCAUUUUUCUUUACGCCUUAGAUUCUAUGAUUCAAUUUCAAUCAAAUACCACAACCAAAAGAAGCUUUUAAGCCUGCAGCUGAAAUAGAUGGCACUUUAAUUUUCAGCUGAACAUAUAUAUGGUAAGAUUAUUAUUAGUAUCGAGCUUGAUGAGGCUAUAGAAAAUUCAAUAUCGAGAUCGGAUAAGGGUCCAAUAAAUUAUAAAAAUAUUGCAGCUCAAAGCCCAUAUGAUCAUGGGCCACUACUUGCUCAUGCUUUGAAUUAAAAUUUUCUAACGAAGUGACGUUGGAAGCCGAAAUGGGCACAUGAUGAAAUGGUGUUCAUCAUAUAUUGAGCCCAACGGGACAAGAUCAUCAUUUAAUUGCCUCCUCCACUUGUCGAUAGAUAUUUGCCGAAUUUUUCUAUUUAAAAAAAUAUUAUACUGGUCAAUAUAAUUAGAAGUUUUACAAAAUAUAAAUAUAAUUUUAAAAAAAUUUAUAUUUGUUAAUUUAAAAUUUUCAUUUGGUGGUUAUGUUUGAGAAAAAUCUUAGAGAUACUAAGAUAUACUCUCUUAUUAUUUAUUAAAUUUAGGUAUUUUGACAUAUUAGUAUUCAGUAUUUUUUGGUAAUUAGCUGAGAAGUAUAUGUGACAAAAAUUUAACACAUGAAAGAAUACACAUCGAGAUUAUCUAAAAUUUUCCAUUGACUUAGUCAACUCUCCAUUAAUUUCAUUGACUUGGUCAACUUAUGAUCUAACUUGACAACUUGAAAAUUAAAUUAUGCUAGUACUUUUGUAAAAUUAAAAUUUAUCUUCCAAAAUUGAUAAAUACCGUGUCACUUUGUCAAAUUACUUAGGGUAAAAGUUCUAUAGCUAAAACAUUUAAGAUGAGUUAUAUGCUAAUUGAGAAGGACAAGACACAAAAGAAUUCAAUGGGGCAAAACUAUGUUACAACUGUGGUAUGGUACCACAGUUGCUUUCAGUCGGUAGAUCCACAGUUGUACAGUUACAUUAGUUAGAUCUAAUGGUUGAAAGUAACUGUGAUACCAUACCAUAGUUGCAACAUAGCUGGACCCAAUUCAAUGAAUGCCACGUUAAGUAACGUUGCUUACUCUUAACAAAUUAUUACAAACGUGAUUCAUGAAACUUGACUUUGUGUAUAAAGACGACCUAAAGAAACAUGCCAGGGCAACAAAUAAAGUAGUCCAAACGUGAUUCAUGAAAACUUGAUAGGCACUAUUUAAAUAGUAUUAAUAUGGCAACCAAAAACAUGCGAGCAAAGUAGACUUUCUUGGACGAUCCAUGCCAAUCAACAAAUAAAGUAGCCCAAACGUGAUUCGUGAAACUUGACUUUCUGUCUAAAAAGGCCUAAAGAAACAAGAUCAAAAUUCCAUGCAGAAGCAAUAUGGUGGGCACAAUGCACUAUUUAAGCCAUUUUUCAAAACUAAGUUUCUUCUUUUUCACAUGCACUAUUCAAGCAAUUUUUCAACAUUUUCUCAUUCCCCUAAAAGCUAACACGCAUGCGUGAAUCAUGUGCCAAUCAAUUUCUUGGCAAAAAUUGGAACGCAAGAACCGGUUCGAGCAUAGGGACAUUUUCACGAUUCAAGAUUCUCAGCAAGACGGCGAGACCAACGUGCAUCACUUUUGGAAAGUAAUUUAGCAAGUUCCAAUGCCUUAGCUGAUUAAUGGCUUGACCAUGUCACGAUUGGUCCCCUAAAAGCUAACACGCAUGCGUGAAUCAUGUGCCAAUCAAUUUCUUGGCAAAAAUUGGAACGCAAGAACCGGUUCGAGCAUAGGGACAUUUUCACGAUUCAAGAUUCUCAGCAAGACGGCGAGACCAACGUGCAUCACUUUUGGAAAGUAAUUUAGCAAGUUCCAAUGCCUUAGCUGAUUAAUGGCUUGACCAUGUCACGAUUGGUCCACAUUAUGCACAUGGCAAGAUCAAACAAAAUAUCACAGCUGGCUCGACGACUACCAGCCAAAAUAAGAAGACAAUUACGGCCAGUUACAUCAUUAUUGCUAGUAAACUCUUUACGAAGGAAAUGUGAAUAUCCCUCCUAAUCACUUUCUUAUAUUAUCAUUAUUUUGUACAUAUGACAGAACAUGUUCUCCCAUGUAAAGAAGUCAAGAAAAUGGUUUUAGUUUUCACAUCAAUAAUGGAAUCCAAAAUCUUUCACAGCUUGCUUCUCCUUUGGACGCUUGAAAAACUUUCUUACCUGGCUAAAACUGUGAGAAUUGUUCAAACUAAUUUGAUUGAUAACUUUCAGACACAAAAAUGUAUAUGAAUGCUACAUUUAAAUGUGAAACAAAAAGGAGUACUUAUAUUAAAAAACAAUCAGUCUCAUUGCGUCCUCUUCCAUUGACAUAGGCAAUUUGCGGUCAACUUGUGGCACCCUUAUUGACACGUAAAUAACUUACUUACCCUGCAGCCAAUACUUUUAUGAAUUUUUAGGGUUGGUAAAUUUUUCAAAUUUAAAAGAAAAAGUACAGAAAUAUAAUUUCCAUUUAUCCAGAAAUUUGAGUUUCAAGGAACAUAGCAUUUAUGUUAAUAUAGAGAAGAAAUUUUUUAAAAAAAAAUUGAAUGAAUAAAAGUAUUUUUUGAUAAAUAUUUGACAAUCAUAUUUAAAAAAAAAAGUUUUUUUAAAAAAAAAAAUUCACUCUUCCUACAUAAUUUAAUAAUUUAACAUUAUAAAUUAAUCUUUUUAUUCAAAGUAAUAAUCUCUCCUUCGGUCUGCAAAUGCUAAAAUUUAAUAUUAUACCAUAUGAUGUAAUAGCAAAUCUGCAUGAAAUCUGCAUUUAGUCAAUAACUAUGAAAUAUCGAUACGUGUUUGAAAAAACUCUUAAAAAUCGGUUUCCACCUUCAUUAUUAUAGCUCUUGUAUAAACCAACUUGGCAACAUAUGAUUGAUUAAUAUAAGAAUAAAUAUUUAUUAAGUGGGUUCUACCAUGUUUUUAAUUCACCUAAUGAUAAUAUGUCACAUCAAUUUGUACAACAAUAUUUGUGACUAUAUCAUUACUCGUUAAUUAAUAUGAACACUAAUUUAUUCUUCUUGAAAGAGAAUUACUGCAGCGAGGUUUGAGGCUCAAAGAGUUCUCAUUUAGCCAAACAUAAGAGAUGAGAGUUCACAGGAGACGUAAUUUGGAAAAUCAAUUCCAUCCAAUAGGCAAUAGGUCUCAGUGGGUUUGACUCAGUAUACGAUUAUUUUCAAUUUUUUAACGUCUUGUAAUUACAAAUUCCGAUAUCACAUUAUAAUUUUCGAACAAAUCAAAGUGAGUCAAAUCAAAUUUAGAAAAUUGAGAAAUUUAAGAUGAUUAAGUAAAUGCUAGACAAAAUCUAACUUGUAAAUAUACCUUACCACAUGAUGAACGUACUUAAAGAUCUUAACUGAUUGCUAACCAAUUAAUUGUUGUUUUACAAUUUUUAUAUAUCCUUUCUUUUCCCUAAAACUUCUAGUUUCCUAACAUAUUGUUCUCAAUUGGUCUAAUUAUAAUAUAAUUUUUUUAAAUAUAAAUAAAAUGAAUUUAUUUACUGGAAAUUUGAAAAAGAGGCACUUAUCUAUGCAAGCAAAGUUGCAUUCUGUUUGUGGGGACCUUAAAAAAAAGAAAAAAGAAAAAAGCAUAAUGACACACUGAUGACGACAAUCCUGAAGUAUUUGUUUUCUUUAGUUACAGUUUGGUUUGAAUGGUUAAGUUCAAGUUCGAAUUUUCUUUACGUAAUUUAAAUUAAAAUUGAUAGAACAAAUGGGCUGAUCAGUAAGAUGAUGAAGAAGAAGAAGAAGAAGAGGGGAUGUCUUUGAGGAUGAAGAGAAAGAAAGUUCUCGAAUAAAAAUCCGGCUUUAUGGAAAUUAAAUUAAAAGCUAUUAAGCAUUGUAAAUUACUUAACAGAUUAAUGCUGAGCUAAUCAAGUUUGUUUCUGAAGAUGAUACCUUUAAAUCUCUUGUAGUUAAAGAUAAUUAUCAUAUCACCAUAUCAAAUGGACCGAAUUCAAUCAAGUGAAAUCUAGAAAAUAGAGCAGCUCAUAGAUGUACGUGGCUAAGUCGGGGUUCAUUUGGAAGUACUUGGUCGAAUUGCGACUUGCAUCGGAGGCUUCGUUUUAGAAGAGUGCAGAGCAGCCGCCUUGUCCAUUUGGCACGCCAACGACUUUCUAUUGACCAAUAAUUUUGAAAGCGAUAUUAUUAAUUUACCAUCUAAUAUAUUUAUGAUAUUAUCAUUUUACUAUAAUAUUUUUUUGAUAUUAUCAUUUUACUAUCAAAGUUUUUUGACAAUUAUUUUGUUCACUUAAUGUUUUAGUUUUUGUUAUUUUACUAUCAAAAAAUGGUAAACGCACCCCUAGUAUCGGUUAUACACAAAAAUGGUUACCGAACUGUCUUGUUUCUCAUUUUGUUUAAUUUUCAUAAUUCGACUCACGAUUCAAACGUAGGUGAAGAGGUCUUUUGGGAAAAAUCUGGUCUUCCAUUUACUAGAAUAAGCUAUGUGUGAUUGUUUGACCGCAUAUGGCUUUCUGUCCAUCAGCUAAUGCAUAUUCUGCAUUUUAUGAAUAUCAGAGCUGGUAGAUUGAAAAAUGGACCUUAUUACAUGUCAUAAGAUACUUUGCUCAAAGCUGCAAUUGGGCAACGCCGUGCUGUUCGUAUCGGCCAAGGCAAGCCAUUUACUAUUCUUUCUAAUGGAGCAAAAUACGAUGAUUCUUACCUGCGUAGAGAAUUAGAAAAGAAAAGGAGGAUUACUGAUCCACAGAGCUGUCAUUUACUAGAAGCACAUAAAAUCUUACACUUAAUUCAUUAACCAUAUGUAAUGUUCUAAUGAUACUUAAGUAUUACAUAAAUUAGCCUUUCAAAAUUUCACUUCGAAAAAAUCCAAGGUUGUGAUGUGUCUGUAUAAAUUCGCUAAUACAAGUUCUCUCUAUUCCCAAUUGUUUUAAACUCUGUUCUGAACAGAGCAUGAAAGGAUAUAUUCGUUUAUCUAGUUAUAUUUUUUAUGCUCUCACUUCACUUGAUUCACCUUCUCCAUCUUUUAAAACAGUUGUAUAUGUCGGAGUAUCAAGUUCAUCACAAGGAUCAUAUUAUGGCCUAAGGAAGGAGCACAGUUUAUUGUCUGCACUCAAGCUUAGCAGAGUAUUUUGGGAUUCAAGAGUGUUAGUAGGCCGUUACAGAUGCCAUGCUGGCAAGCGUGCUAUGACUGAUUGCUAUUUGCACGUAAAAUUUGCCCAAAACAAAUAGAAUGAGAAUACUUGUACAAAAGGAUAAGAUUAAUAAAGUGAAUAAAUUUUAUCUUUUAGUGAAUGCUUCUUGUCUUUUAGAAUUUCAGUGCAUUUUCGUGUGUAAUUUUAUGUGCAAAUAGCAUUACUCAUUAGUAAUUAGUCUAGAGUGUUCUAAUUUCUUCUAAUAAGUAGCUGAUUUGAGCUUAAGACUUGUAUUUUAAGUUUUUAUUACUUUCUAAUAAAGAUUUUCUCCGUUCUUUUUUACUUUCACUUUCUCUUCCAUUUUCCCGACUCCCAAACACCACCAAUCCUUGAUUUUCUAGAGUAUAGCUAUGCAGUUCUACAAACACGAAACUGCUGUUGGUCCAAUUACUUUCAAGAAACAACGUACUCUGUGGUUUAUUGACUUGUGACAUGGGCAAAUUAGUCACGGUCCGAUUGUCUCCUCUUCCACUUACUGUCAAUUCAUGACUUUGGCACACAGUAGACGCCAGCUGCCUGCUCCAUUUGACGUGCAAAAAACUUUCUUGAGUCAUGUAGUUAAGAGAGACUUAAUUUUGAGAAGUGCAAGAGAUUGGUGGGACUCAUUUGAUUCAAGAAAAACAAUCAGUCUCAUUUGAUACGCAAAGAGCUUUUCAACUCUGCAGCCAAUAUUUUGAUGAAUGAGACAUUACUGGUUUGUAUAAUUUUUUGGAUAUUAUCUCAAUUUUACUUCUGUAGGUUUGUGGUUUGUAUAUUACCUCAAUUUUUAAAAAAAUGUAAUUGCAAUUAUCAAACACGACUAAUCCCAACAAUUUAUCCAAAAAAUUUUGUUUCAAGAAAUGUAGCAUUUAUGAUAGAAUGGCUAAUUUUUUCAAUCGACUUUCUGGAUAAAUGAUAAUUUUUUGAUAGAAAUGUUAAUUACUUAUUACAGGAAGAAAAUUAUAGAAUAAUUUUUUGAAUUAAUAGUAUUACUUUACGAUAACACUAUCACAAUCUAAUUUUUUUAAAAAUAAAGUUAUUCUUUAAAUUUCGCAUUACUAUUCCUACUUUUCUUGUUAUACUACUUAAUGGCAAAAAUAGUUCAUACGAUAAAAUGAGUACUUAUAUUAAAAAAAACAAUCGGUCUCAUUGCGUGCUCUUUCAUUGACAUAGGUAAUUGGCGGUCAACUUGUGGCACUUUUAUGAAUUUUCAAGACUGGUGAAUUUUUCAAAUUUAAAAGAAAAAAAUACAGAAAUGUAAUUUCAAUUUAUCCAAAAAUUUGAGUUUCAAGGAAUACAGCAUUUAUUAUAUGUCAUGUUAAUAUAGAGAAGAAAAAUUUAAAAACUUCUUUUUGGAUGAAUAAAAGUAUUUUCUGAUAAAUAUUUCACAAUCAAAUUUAAAAAAUUUCACUCCUCUUGGUACAUAAUUUAAGAAUUUAACAUUAUAAAUUAAUCUUUUUAAUCAAAGUAAUAAUCUCUCCUCGGUCUGCAAAUGCUAAAAUUUAAUAUUAUAUCCAUUGACAAUAUUUGCUCCCAAUUCACGAAAAUAAAAUUUCUAACAGAAUUAUGAAAUUCGUUACUAGAAAAUUGUAUAAAAGUUGUGAGAAUAGAAGGUUUGAUCAUAGGAAAUUAAUAUAUCCCUAUCCGAUGCAAAAAUGAUUGUAAAGAAAAAAUUACAUUCCAUUUUCCAGUUAUUAAAAUAAUUCUAAAAUUGCUAGGAUCACAAAGGAUAGGCUUUGGUUGACUGAGGUCAGCCUUAACGCAUGCCGGUCUUUUUCUCCUCUACAUUCUUAGAAAUUUUGGUUUCACUAUAAAUACACGGUAUAUAGCAAACUUAUAAGUGUUCUUGCAUUACCAAUCCAAUUAAGCACACACUUACAAUCUAAAAUACUCUCAUCUCAUGGAAAGGCUUCAUUCUCUAAGCAUUAUGAGCAGAUUUCUCUUACUCCAUUGUUUGAUUCUUAUUUCCUUAUUUAUCGCUGCAGCAACAGCCAACACAAGUUCUACUAUCACAGACCGAGAUGCUCUGUUAGCCCUGAAAGCUCGCAUAACUCAUGAUCCGACCAAUUUCUUGGCCCAGAAUUGGAACACAAGUACUCCUGUCUGUAAUUGGACAGGCGUCGCUUGUGAUGUCCAUAGCCAUAGAGUCACAGUCUUGAAUAUUUCAAGCUUAAAUCUCACAGGCACCAUCCCUUCUCAACUUGGGAAUCUUUCUUCUCUGCAAUCACUCAAUCUCAGUUUUAACCGACUUUCUAGUUCCAUUCCCUCCGCCAUCUUCACCAUAUACACACUUCAAAAUGUUAGUCUCCGUAAAAAUCAGCUCACCGGCACUUUCCCUUCUUUCAUCUUCAACAAGUCUUCUUUACAACAUCUUGAUUUUAGUUUCAAUACAUUGUCUGGUGAAAUUCCUGCCAAUAUUUGCAGUAAUUUUCCUUUUCUGGAAUAUCUUGCUUUGUCCAACAACAUGUUUCAUGGAGGAAUACUGUCCGCUCUAUCAAAUUGCACAUAUUUGCAAAAAUUAGAUUUGGUAUACAAUGAUUUCUCGGGAGCCGUACCUAGAGAAAUCGGUAAUUUGACCAAACUUAAGGAAUUACAUCUUGGCCGCAACAGAUUCCAAGGUGCGUAUGAUCACGGAGUUUAUGAAAAUUGUUCCACAAGUUGUAAUAUGUAUAAUGUUCCAUAAUACAAUUUACACACGUUGAUUAAUUUGCAGGAGAAAUUCCUCGAGAGUUUGGCAAUCUUGCCGAAUUGGAGCAGAUGUCGUUGGCAGAAAACAAUCUCCAAGGCAUGAUUUUAAACUUUUUGCAAUUUUAUUCUGUAUUCAUUCGUUUGUUCAUUAAUUAUGCUAUGAUUUAUUGUUUUUCUUUCAGAUAGAGAUAAAGCUCCAUGUCUCCCCUCACUCAUUUCAUUCUUUGAUUUAUGCAGAUAAAAAUAAAAAAAUGUUUUGCAAUUUUCUUUUGUCAUAUUGCCACUUCCAUUUUGAAGCUCCCAAUUAAGUCGAUGAAAAUGAAUGAUGUUUCAUUCUUAUUCUUGUCAGCCUAAUUCUUAUAUAAUUGAAGAGUAAAUUGUUAUUAUGAUAUUCGUCAGAAAAUAAAUUCUUUUUUUUUUCCACCCAAAUAUGAGUGAUCAAAUUGUUUGCGCAUAUAUAAAUGUACUUAAUUUGCAGGAGGUAUUCCACAGGAAUUGGGGAAUCUUGCAAAAUUGAAGACGUUACAGCUGUUCCAGAAUAACUUGACCGGUAACCAUCUUUACAAUAUAUAUAUGAGACAUCUUCCGCUUCUUAAUAAAUAGAUGUCAAGUCUCUCAUUAUAAAUUCUCACUAUCUAACAUCAUUCCGUUUUUUAUUAGAAAUUAGUUUAUGUUAAUUCAAAAUUCUGCAGCAUCUAAAAAUUAAAAACACGUGGAAUAAAUAAUCAAUCUUUCUUCUUUACUGAAUUUGGAUUUCUCAAAAAUUAUCUUGACAAGUAUGCUUCACUAAUGAUAUGCAUGUGUGACAACUUCAUAAAAUAUUUUACAUGAAAUCACUAAUUAUCUUUAAAUGUGUAUAUGCUUUUAUGUAUUAUUAUUCUUUGAAACAAAUCUGAUUAUAAUUCUUUUAAAAUACAGAUGAAAUAGCAAAUCGGAAAAUAUUUUACUGCGAUAAGAAUUCAUAUAUUCAUUGUAGUAGCACAUAUAAAAUAGACUAAAUUUUGUUCCAAAAUACAUUUUUAUCUUCAUAUAAAUUUUACAUUAUUAAUUUAAAUUAAUAUUAAACUAUGUUAUUUCUUUCACUAUAUUAUUUUAUUUACACAAUGAUGUGACUAUUGGAAUUAAUAAUACUUAUAAUUACUUUGUAAAAAUAUAAAUUUAAUACUUUGUUAACAUUUUAUCUACAUAUAACAAUUAAAUUGAAAAUUGUAUUUAAAAAUUUUUAGCUACGCAUAUUCAUUUCAUGAUAUAAAAGUGUAUAUUUAUACUAAUUUACCAUUAUCCAUAAAAUGUUUUGAGACAAAUAAUCUAAUUUAUAUUUGUAUAUUUAAAAUACUUGCAUUUAUUAUAUUUUUAAAAAAAAAAUAUUUGUAAUGAUUUUAAACCAUUGGAUUCAAAUUUUUGUAGUUAUUAAAGUCGAAGGGUAUAAAUGUAUAAUAGUUAAAAACAGAUUUGUAUGAUCAUUUUUCAAUGUAUAAAUUUUCUUUGUUAGUAGGAAAAUUACAAAUUGUUGAUUUACUCAUAAAUAAAUUUAAUGUUUAGCAUUUCAAUUUUGGAAAACUUGAACUAAAUGUUGAUAACUUCGAAUCGGUCGAGCCGAGUUUCACUUCCUUGACCCACGGACCCAUUGAAAGUUCUAUUCGAAUUGAGUUUCCCAGUGCUUAUAAAAAGCAUUUCUUUUCCUUGUCGCAGUAAUUUAUUCACAAAUGAGUUGAUUAGCAUCGAAGUUACCUAAGAGUCUGAGACCAUGCUAGUAGGAGAAAUUUGAAAAGAAAUUAUUUUACUGAAUUAAUUUAUUUUAUCUUGUUGUUGUAACUGAAAUACUACUUUUUUUUUUGGGCUAUCACUGGUACUUGAUUUACUUUAAUAGUAGCAGCCACCGACUUAGGCGUUUUUUACUUCUCACCACACAAUUUGAUCUUUUAAUUCGUUUUAACCACAUAAUCUAUCUAUUUCUCACCUAUUGCUUACUUAAAUUGCAUACAUAUUUUACCUAGUAAUUUUUAUAAAUAUUAGUCAAAUAUAUUUUAUUACGUUUCUCUCGUAACUGCUCCAAAUGUGUACUAUUAAUACUUAACCCUCCCUUUUAAUUUACCGUGCAAUCUAUCUACACUUAAAUCACAUAUAUAUUUUACCUAUAUUUUACCCAAAAAAAUAUAAAAAUUAAAGAAAAAGAAUAUGUGUAGCAAUUUGUAUAUAACUAACAAAGCAUUGACGGUGUGUAGCCUUCCAAUACUUCAUGAGUGGCUUUUCUUUUGUGUUAGUAUUUGUAAUAAUUGUGUAGCGUAUAAAGACUCUUUAUUGUAUAUGCGUGUCCGUUUAUAUAUAUCAUUUAUUAUUUGAAAAAUAAUCUGAAUAUAAUUCUUUCAAAAUACAGGGGAGAUACCACCUGAAAUCGGUAAUCUCCGAAAUUUAGAGGAGUUGGACCUUGGUCAUAACAAAUUAGUCGGUACUGUCCCAGCUGCAAUCUUCAAUUUGUCAACGCUCAAAGAAUUCUCCAUUCCAAAUAAUUCUCUCUCGGGAUGUCUUUCGUCCAUCGCAGACGUCCGACUACCAAAUCUUGAAGUGCUUAAUUUUUGGGGUAAUAAUUUCAGUGGCACAAUUCCUCGUUUCAUCUUUAAUGCUUCUAAGCUCUCUGCACUAGAUUUGGACGGCAACUCAUUCUCCGGUUUUAUUCCCAACACAUUUGGCAACUUAAGAAAUCUUAAGUGGCUCAUUUUAUCUGAUAAUUAUUUGACAUCUUCAACUCCAGAAUUGAGCUUUCUAUCCUCAUUGUCAAAUUGCAAGUCUUUAACAUAUAUUGACUUAUCAUAUAAUCCACUGGAUAGCAUUCUUCCAAGGACGUCUGUCGGUAAUCUUUCUCAUUCUUUGGAAGAUUUUGAAAUGAACAAUUGUAACGUUAGUGGUGGCAUUCCUGAAGAGAUCAGCAACUUGACCAACUUGACAACCAUUGAUUUAGGAGGCAAUAAAUUGAAUGGAUUGAUUCCAAUUACUCUCAGCAAAUUACAAAAGCUUCAAGGUUUGGUUCUUUAUGAUAACAAAUUAGAAGGAUCAAUCCCAGACGAUAUUUGUCGUUUGGCUGAACUGUAUGAAUUGGAGUUGGAUGGCAAUAAGCUUUCAGGAUCAAUCCCUGCAUGCUUAAGUAAUCUGAUUUCUCUGAGGAUACUAUCGUUGGGUUCCAAUGAGUUAACUUCUAUUCCCUUAAUUUUUUGGAACCUUGAGGAUAUCUUGUACCUUAACUUUUCUUCAAAUUUUUUGACUGGCCCACUCCCAUUAGAGAUUGGAAAAUUGAAGGUUUUGGUUGGAAUUGAUUUUUCGAUGAAUAAUUUUUCAGGCGUUAUCCCAACAAAAAUUGGAGGCCUAAAAAAUCUAGAAUAUCUCUUCUUAGGAUAUAACAGAUUGCAAGGAUCAAUUCCUGAUUCAUUUGGUGAUUUGACAAGUUUGAAAUCCUUGAAUUUGUCUAAUAAUAACCUCUCUGGGACUAUUCCUGCAUCUUUAGAGAAACUCUCAUAUCUUGAAAAUCUAAAUCUUUCUUUCAACAAGUUAGAAGGAGAAAUUCCUAGGGGAGGAUCUUUUGGAAAGUUCUCAGCUGAAUCAUUUAAGGGAAAUGAAUUAUUAUGUGGUUCACCUAAUUUACAAGUCCCACCAUGCAAAACUAGCAUCCACCACACAUCAUGGAAAAAUUCUCUUCUCCUAGGGAUUGUCUUGCCAUUGAGUACUACAUUUAUGAUAGUAGUUAUUUUGUUGAUCCUAAGAUAUCGACAGAGAGGAAAACAACCAUCGAAUGAUGCUAAUAUGCCACUAGUAGCAACGUGGAGAAUGUUUCCAUACCUAGAACUUUGUCGAGCAACAGAUGGAUUCAGUGAAAACAAUCUAAUUGGCAAAGGAGGUUUUGGCUCUGUUUACAAAGCAAGACUUGGGGACGGGAUGGAGGUUGCAGUGAAGGUUUUCAAUUUGGAAUGUGGAAGAGCAUUUAAGAGUUUCGAUGUUGAAUGUGACAUGAUGAAAAGUAUUCGCCAUCGAAACCUUAUCAAAGUUAUUAGCAGUUGUUCAAAUGAAGAGUUUAAAGCGUUGGUAUUAGAAUACAUGCCUCAUGGAAGUUUGGAGAAGUAUCUAUAUUCAAGCAACUGCAUUUUGGAUAUUUUUCAAAGAUUGAAUAUAAUGAUAGAUGUUGCAUCGGCUUUGGAAUAUCUGCACUUUGGUUAUUCAGCUCCAGUAAUUCACUGUGACUUAAAGCCCAGCAAUGUAUUGUUAGACGAUAAUAUGGUUGCUCAUUUGAGUGAUUUUAGCAUCGCAAAAUUGUUAACUGGAGAAGAUCAAUCUAUGACUCAAACACAAACACUUGCCACAAUCGGCUAUAUGGCACCAGGUUUGUUCAAUAUAAAUAUUUUCUAUUAUUUCUUGUAAACUUCCUAGUAAGUUCUUUAUGUUUCAUUAUCUUCAUUAGAUGAGGAAAUUAUUAUUAAUGAUAUAUCUUACUAUGUAAUCGUUGCAAUUCAUAGAGUAUGGAAGAGAAGGACGAGUAUCCGCAAAUGGAGAUGUUUAUAGCUUUGGGAUUAUGUUAAUGGAAACUUUUACUGGGAAGAAACCCACAGAUGAAAUUUUUAACGAAGAAAUGACAUUAAAGCAUUGGGUUAAUGAUUGGCUACCCAUUUCUACUAUGGAAGUUGUUGAUGUUAAUUUGCUAAGUCAGGAGGACAUACAUUUUGUUGCAAAAGAGCAAUGUGUGUCAUUUGUCUUCAAUUUGGCUAUGGCGUGCACUGUGGAAUCUCCGGAGCAGAGAAUCAAUGCAAAAGAAAUUGUAACAAAACUCUUAAAAAUUAGAGACUCGUUACUUAGGAAUGUUGGAGGCAGAUGUAUAAGACAAUCAAACUUAAAUUGAUUCUACCCCUCCUUCAUUGCUUGCUAUCAUUUUCAGAGACUUGAAUAGUUAUCCUUCAUACAAGUUUUGUUGAUAUGUUUUGUUAUUUCUCUUGCUCAUGUUUAUUUCUCUCUUUCUUUAAUUUGCAUGCAUGCAUUUUCGUUCUCUUCCAUGUUUGCAUUGGUUUGUAUUUAGCUUGUUUUUUGGGGUAAGGUUCUUUAUGCCCUCCCCUAAUUAGAUGUAUCCUUUUAAUUUUUAUUCAAAAAGUUUCGCUAGUACUAUCGAGGUUCAUCGAGGUUAAUCGAAAGAAAAUUUUCAAUUGAUUUUCUUUUCUUUGGCUACUAAUGGAAAUUCUAGUCUUUAUAGUUAAUAACUUUAGUAGUUAUGGCUGUUUUCUGAACUUGGAGUCAGAGUAGUUGAACAGCAACAAACAAGUCUCUUGUAUUAUAGGCAAAAUUCUUUUCAUUAAUCUUAUUUGUCUACAUUUUCUCCUAUUUUCUCCAUUAAUCUUCGCUCAAGGUUUCAAGCUUCCUCUUUGGCAAAGGAAAAUGUUAUUUGCUACUGACCGAUUGCGAGUAUUUCAAUUUGACAUGUGAGACUGUUUUGUCGGCCAUUUGAUAAAAUGGAUAUGAGUGGAGCUUUUAAUCAAUACCUCCACCAAAAUCCUUAUAACGCCACUUUGAAAUUUUAGUUUUUAAAAUACAUUCAGUUUAAUUUAAAAAAAAUAAAUUCAUUUGUUAAAAUUAAUCUUUUUCUCAUAAAUUUCAACCUAAAAAAUAUUUUUCUUUUAAGUUUUUAUUAUAAAAUACAUACAAGUUCUAAACUAUUAAAUUAUUUUCUUCUUAUUAUAUAGUUUAUAUCUUCAUAACUCUAAACUCCUAUAAUUUUUUUUAAAAAAUAUUUUUCAAUUUAAAAUAUGAAUAUAAAAUAUAGAAUGGACUGGGUAUAAAAAGUAUGUUAAACGAAUAAUUCAUUUAAGUAUUCAACUGAAUUUUAAUUUAAAAUAAGAAAUAAAUUAAUUUAUUUUUAUUAGUUAAGUAAUUUUCAAUUGAAAAAGAGCUUAUAUUAUGGACAUAUGAUUAAAAUUCCUAUGAAUUAAACAUUUUCGUAUAAAUACCAGUGAUAAUUAUAGAGAAAGUACGAUGAACCGAAGAAAACUUGAAUAUAAAUACUCCAAUGUAAUUUUACACGUACAAAUUAUGAACCAGUGAUCUUUAGAGCAUCAUAAGACAUGAUAUCAUUUAAGACGGCUUACAAAUUAUGAAAAAUACAUUGAUCUUAUAAAUAAUAUUUAAUAUGUCAAUUAGACUGAGGUGGCGUUUGUUUUUUAACUUAAUAACUUAAAGUGACUUAACUUAAUUAAUUAAGUUAAUUAGAGGUGUUUGUUUUAUAACUUAAUGAGACUUUUUAGAUAAUUUUGACUUAAUAAAAUAAGCCAAUUUUUUUGACUUUUUACUUAAUGGAGAAAUCUGAAUUAAGUCAAUUACUUGCUAAUGUCAAAAAUAUCCUUAUUUUAUAAUUUAUUUUUCAUGUCUAUCCCAAACUCACCCAUAGACAUUUACCUCAUAUAAAAAUAUCUCUAUUUUUUCUUUCUUAUAUUAUAUACAAUAAAAUUUAAAAUUUAUGGUAUUUUAUAUAUUAAAAUUCUAAAAUAAUUAUGUAUUCACUUGAAUAUAAUUUUACUUAUAAAUGUUAAAAUAUUGUGUUAUUUAAUAUAUUAUUUAUUUGACAUUCAAAUUUAAUAAGGAUACAAAUGUAAAAGUACAUAUUUUUAGUUUUUUAAGUCGAAAAAACAAACAACUUAAUAUUUAUUUUCCGAGAUUCAGACGAAAAAACAAACAUAUUAUUCAGAUUCAGACAUUCAGAUAUAUUCAGAAUUCAGACUAAUUCAGGUCUAUUCAGAUUUCAGAUAAAAAAAAAACGCCACCUGAGUCUCUGCAAUAAAAUUUUCAAAUUAAACAAUAAACCCUUUAUUUUCCUUUAAUUAUAAGUGUGAUCUUAAUUAUUAAAGUCAUUCAGAUGAAAAAUGAGAAGCUUGAAGCUUCUCUCGGUUAUUUACUAUAUUCUUAUCUCUUUUCUUUUGUUGCAUUUUUCUUCUGUCGUUAUAAAUUAUUUUUUUACAGAUAUACAAAUAGAAACUAUAUAAAUUUAUAACACCUUAUCAGGGGGUUUUUAAUUAAAUACCCUUUAAUAGUUUCAAAAUUAUUGAAAUACCCCCUCCCUUUUUGGUUUUCAUGGAUACCCUAACAAAUGUGAGUAAAGUCGGAAAUACCCUUAAUGAAUGCAUCAAAUUCACUCAAUGAAUUGUCUUCAUAUUCCUUUCCUCAUUUCUUUCACCCAACUCCAUUUUUGCUGCCGAUUCUUUCAAAAUCUCUUAGAAUCUCUCAAAAUCUCUCAUAAUUUCUUACACAAAUACAAUUAUGUAGUCAUUUCUUUAACACCCACUCUUUCUUUAAAGGUGCAUUGCUUAUUAAACAACCCAAUAAGGUAUGUUAAUGUUGUUGGGUUUUAAAUUUUUUAAUUUUUAGGAAAAUUUAGAAAUUUUCCUCACAUUACAAUGUUUUAUUUUCACCAUUUUUUCUUAUAUGUAGAAAUAUAUGCAAUGUAGGUUGUUUAAUUAUUUUUUUCAGCAAUAAAACUUAUUUAUGGCGAAAAUGUUUCGCGUCGUGCAUUCUUUUGAUACCGUGUACGUCAUAUAGUUAGUCAUGUAGGUCAUGUACUUACUUGUAUAUGAAAUUUGAUAUUAUUAUUUUUAUUGUAUCAUCAGAUAUGGUUUUGGUACGUGUGCCUAUUCUCUUCAAUGGUGAAUGAAUUGAGCAAAAUGACGAGUAUAAGUUCAAAGGUUUCAAGGCUAAAGGGAUAAUGAUACCACGAUCGACAAUAUAUGCCGAAUUGAUGGAGAAGAUAGUUGAAGUUAUUGAUAUAGAUACUUCGGAAUUCGAAAUCACAAUGAAGUUCAAACUUAAGACAUCUGAUCCUAUGCCACCAGUUACAAUUCAAACCAAUGAUGAUGUGGAAUUUUUCUUAGAGGAAGUAGCUAGUGGAAUGAAGUUUAGAAACCCGCUUUGCAUUACUUUUGAACGUAGAUCAAAUCGUGUGUUCAUAAAUUACAGCAAAAAAAAAAAAAAUUGCAUAUUCGACAAUUUGAGAAAUGAUGAGAUUAAUUAUUAUAAAUAAACAAAGUUAUCAGUUUACAAUGUCAAUAUUUGGAUAUGAUACACUAAUGGAUAUCGUAAUUAAACAUAUUACAACCAUUUAAAAAGUUUUUUUUUUUUUUUUAUCUUCAAACUGCUUUCUUCCUCUGCCGAAGCAUACAUGCAUACAUGAGGAAUGCCUGCAUAUAAUAAAUCCAUGAAAUCAAUUAGAAACAACUCUUAAAUCAAAGGCUAGUUGAAAACACAGUCGCAAGUGUGGCAAUACUCGGGUUAUCAUCAAAUGUUGUCAGAAUCUGCACAGCAGCAAAUAUUAAUAACUUUACACAAUUUGUACGUAGUUAAAAAUAAUAACAUACUUAGUUAAAAAUAAUAACAAAAUGAACCUUCACAUUAUUCUUAUUGGUUCUAACGAUGACAAAUUAGUAAUUUUCAGCUUUCGGUUUGCCACAUUUCAUUUUUUCCUGAAUACUUUUCGUUGACAUUUUCUGCAUAGCAACAAAUAUAAAUUCUUAGCAAAAAUUAAGUCUUUAAACAACUAAGUUAUUAUAAUGAAUUAACAACAGUGAAAAAAGUCGUGUAAUUUUGAGGUCGUGUAAUACAUGAAGGUCGUGCAAGUGCAAUACAUGAAGGUCGUGUAAUACACAACCUUGAAUCCUAAUAACCUGACACGACCAAAUCGUGUGUUACAUAAAAAAAUUAUAAUCGGCACAAUCCAUCAAUUUUUCACAAUUUGCAUGCAGCAAAACAACUAGAAAUUUGUUUUUGAACAUGUAAUGAGAGACCCGCAACUAAUUAAUCUAUUUUUUCUAUAUAAACCCUAACUUUUUUUUUCCCUGAAUAUCAACAAGAAAACUAUUUAUAGAGAAUUACUUACCUCAACUAGUUAAAUUAUGACCAUUUUGCAGUAAAGAAUCAGCUCUCGCCGCCGAUUAUGUGGCGACGAACUAGGCUUCUCUUUCUCAGUUGUGGUAGCUUCCCCUUCUCAAGGUUAGUUUGCUCGUGUUGAAGUUCGAUUUACCAUGUAUGGAGAAUGAAUAUUUGUUUCGGUAGAUGUGAUGCCGGUGAGUAGGGAUGGCAAUGGGGCGGGGUGGGGGUGGGGAUGCCUACCCCAUUCCCCACCCCAUUAAAAAUUUUUGCCUCCACUCCCCACUCCAUUCCCCAAUAAAUUUAGUGGGUUGGGGAUGGGGAAUCCCCACGUGGGGAAUGAUUCCCCCAUCCCCACCCCAUUCCCCAUUUACUUAUUUUAUAGUAGAUAUAAAAAUAUGAUUUCAGUAAAUUAAAAAUUAGAGACUUAAAAUAAAAUCAUUAUCAUAUUAUAAAGUAUUUAAUUUUUUUUUUAAAUCUCUAAAAGUUUGAAACAAUAUCUUAAACUGAUAUUAAAAGUGAAAAAUAUUUAAAGAGAGCAGCACCUUAAAAGAGAAAAGAAAAUAUAAUAAUAUUUUAAAAUUAAAAAAUAUUGUAGGGUUUUCUUUUACUAUCAUGUUUAUAUUACAUAAAAAUUAAAAAAUUAUUAAUUGACAUUAUAGUUGAUAAAAUAAAAAUUAUUAACAUAAUUAUAUAUAAUGGGGAUUGGGGUGGGAAUGGGGUGGGGAGUGCAAUACCAAACCCCACCCCGUUAACAAUUUGGGGAUUAUUUUUCUCCCACUCCCCACCCCAUUCUCUAAAAAUUAUUAAAAAUUUUUCCCAUUUGGGGUGGGGCUCCAUGGGGCCCCAAACCCGUGGAGGAUUUUGCCAUUCCUACCGGUGAGGGAAUUGCAGAGGUGAUGCCGAUGAGGGAAUUGCAGUGUUUAUUUGUUUGAGUUUGAUAAUGGAGGGAAUUGCAGCAGAUGAGUGUUUGUUUGCUUCAGUAGAGAAGGGAGAGGUGCUGUCCGUUGAGUUGAAAUGUUUUAAAAUGAGGAUACCUUAGUAAUUUCCUAUCAGUUUUUAAAGGGUAUCGAUGAAAAUUUUGGCAAAAACAGAUUUUUGGGUAUUAAGAUAAUUUUUGAAGUAUGGAGGUGUACCGGGCGCAAUUGGCUCCCUUAUCAGUGCGGUUAAGCCGAAUAAUAUAUCAAAACGAAGCUCUCCAUAAGCUGAGCUUUCUGCCACAAAAUUAUUGUUAUCGGAGUCCCUAGGCGUCGACAAUUGCCACCGAAAAACUUUGGUUUUAAGGGAUAGAAAUGCAUCACGAUCGGGUCGGGUCAAUCCGAAUUCCUACCCGAUUGUUGAGCCUGAUUCAGGCCACAUUACUGGCCGUGGAGGGUACCAAUCAAACCGCCAAAAGUCACCUGUCAUUCUCCAAGUCAUCAUGGUUGCCGGAAAUGACUGGAAAACCGCCGAACGAAGCUCGAAUAUCCGCAACAAAUCGACCCAAAUCGGCAUGAUAUCGCCGAUUUCAGGCCACGCCACCACCUGGGCUUUACUCCUCAUGUCGUCCUCUUUAAUAUUUGACUGAAAACCGGUGCCAAAAGCCACUGGUUUGCCACAAAUCAAGCCACCAAGUUUCACGAUCGUUGGGGCCCGAUCCACUGCCGUAGCAGCGCGUCGGAGCUCACUGUCGGUAUCUUUGGAUUCAGCACGACCUGAAGUCUCUAUCUCGAGCUUCUAAGCCACCGGGGCUUGAUUUCCGGGCACCGUUGAAUGGUUAGGGUAGUUUGGUAAUUUCGAAUUUUAAGGGCAUUCUGGUAAUUUCAAAUUUUCGAGGUUAAUAUCUUUUAGAUCCCUAAAAGUUAUUUAAAUUAUGAUAAAAUCCACAUAUAUUUUUAAUGGUGUUAAAAAAAAUUAGGGAAAUUAUCAGACAUAUACCUUUAAAUGACACUAGUAUCAAACGUGUUACAACACUUUUCAAGUGUAUAACUCGUAUAUCGUAAGUUGACAAAACACUUCUGCCGUCCACCAAUCCGUUAACUACCAUUUACAAGCGCUGACAUCAUAAGGGUAAUCUAUUUUUUUUAAAAAAUGACAUGACAUCUCAUUUACCUAGUAAAAAAUGACAUGUUAUAUGAUAUAUAUUGAUAAAAAUGACAUGUCAUAUGAUAUAUAUUGAUAAAAAUGACAUGUCAUAUGAUAUAUAUUGAUAAAAAUGACAUGUCAUCCCAUUUAUCGAAUAGUUGUUCAUAAUUGCUAAAAAAAAAAAAGCUACUUUACAACCGAAUCUACUCCUCCAAACUUAACCUAAAUUUUUGAAGAUUUACUCCUCCAAGCUCCAACUAAAAUUUUUUAUGGUAUAGUAUAUAUAAUUAUAAAUAAUAUGUUGUUAAUAUUUUUUUAUGGUAUAAUAUAGAUAUUUUUUACAAAUAAUUGUUAAUAAUAUGUACCAUUAAUAAUUCAUAUAUUUUUUAAUAAAAAAAUGUAUUGUUAUUAAAAAAAUUUAAAAAAAUUGUGUAUUGAAAAUUUAUAUUAAUUUUUUAGGUAAAUUUAUCUUUUUACCUCAUUUUGAGUUUUAAGGGCGAAAUAGUCAAUUUGCCAUAAUUCUGUUAACUUUCUAACGGAAGUUAACGGAUUGGUGGAUGGCAGAAGUGUUUUGUCAACUUAGGGUAUAUGAGUGAUACACUUGAAAAAUAUUGUAACACGUUUGAUACGAAUAUCAUUUAAGGAUAUAUGACUGAUAAUUUUCCUAAAAAUUAUUAAAGUCAUUCAAUGUACAUUACUUAUUCAUUUUUUUAAUUAUCAAAUGACAUUGAAAACUCUACUCAAUAUUAUUUCAUUCAAAUGUUUUGUUUUAAAGUAAUCGGAAACUGCAAAUGAAACAAAAUAACAAAUGCUUGAAAUCACAAACGGCCUAAAAUUAGAUUUUUUUUUUAAUGUUACAGUGACUUUGAUCCUGAUAUUAAAAUAAUCUGAAAAUAAUUUGGAAUUUUGGGGAUUUUGAAAUUUUUUGGUUUUGUUUGAGUGCAAUUUCCUCUAGUUACAGUUUCAGUAAGAAGGGUUAAGUGCAAUUUCGAAUUUUUUAUAAAAUUUAAAUUAAAAUUCAUAAAAAGAUUGGGCAUCUAAUCCUAAAUUGAUGGCUAGCGAUACUACAACGGCGGCUGCAGCUCCAGAAAAAGCAGAGGCGGUGGAGGAGUAUGAUAGGGAUCCAGAUGAAAUGAAACGCUCUCUUGUGAUGCGCAGAAGGGAAGCCACUGAUGAGGAGGAGGCGGAGGAUGAGAGAGAUUCAGAGCUUCCAAUCGCUCAAAGUGUGCAUAUUCCUGCGGGAGAGGCGGAGGCUGUGGAUAAGUAUGAGAACGAUCCAGAUGAAGUGAUACACUCUCUCGUUCUGCACAGAAGGGAAACAAGCGAUGAGGAGGAGGAGGAGACAGAAUUUGAGCGUCGAAUGAAUUGAAGGCUCCAGAUUCACUCUUACGAUGAAUCUGAUGGCCAAGGUGGUGCUUCAGCUGAGUAUGAUGAUGAUGAUGAUGAAGACGAAGAGGAACAUGACAGAAUUAGAAGAAGAUGAUGAAGAAGGGGAUGUUUAUGAGGAUGAAGAGGAAGAAGAAGUUUAUGAAGAAGAGGAGAGGAAUGACGGGGCGGUUAAAGUCAAAGGAAUAGAGGGUAAUGAUGCAAGAGGAGUACGAAGGGGGCAGUGGAAGUGAGUAAAAGGAAUAAUGAUAAUGGCAAUGGUGCUAAAAGAAUGAUGUAGUGGAGGGAAUGGAGGAAGAGAAGGAGAGUAAUGAGCCUUUUGUCUCACGUUAACCCUCACCUCUGUUUAUUUCUCUUUCUUUUCUUUUAACCCAAUUUUUACUUCAAUCUUCGUUUUUCUUCUUCCCCCAAAAUUAAACAGCGAUUACAUUCCUCAACAGCUACAAAGAAAAAAAGCCACGGCACUUUCAAGAUACCGAAACAUACCCACAUUUACUAAACAAAAGAGAUUUAAUUUAAAAAAAAUUGCAGAGCGGAUUAAGCACUGACCAAGUGAAAAGCUGACCAAGCGAAGUAAGAGCAAUAGAAUGAACUCCACCAAGAGCAAUACAACGAACAUGAUCAUCCAAAUAAGGAUUCAAAGUAGGCACAAACGCAGCAUCCUCAUGCCCAAAUCCAAGCCGCCCGCCAUCUCCUUUGCCCCAAAUCCACAACUUCCCGUUCACCACCAACCCAGAAUGAAACAACCCACAUGAUGAAGAAUUUGAAAAGCGCUCUGAAGAAGACGAAUCACGAGUUCUCAGAGGUAAAAUUCCUGAUCUUUCUAUGUGGUUAACUCCUGAAUCAGUCGAUUCUUGGUUUCAAUUGGUUCACUGAGUUAGGUGAUUUUGUCUUACGUCUGAUGCAGGGAAGGAGCUUGGCUGAAGGUCACAACUCACGAGUUCGAUUUUUGCUUUUGGCUGAAGGUCACGACGAGCAGCGGCCAGCGGGAACAGAAGAAGUUAUGACGAGCAGCGGCCAGCGGGAAGUCGGGAACCGAAGAAGACAGAAGUCAGAAGUUUAGAUUUAGAUUUUAGGCUUUUAGGUUUUAACUUUAGCUUUCAAAUCGGUUUAUUUGUGAUUUCGGUUCGGUUUUGCGGUUUUUUUUAAAUCAAAAACUGAACCGAUUGGUUUUACUGGACCCUUUUUUAUAUUACUAUUUCGGUUUUUUAGAGGUAAAAAAAUCGCACAAAAACCGAACCGAACCGAUCGAUUCGAUUUUUAAUUAAUCAAUUUUUUUUGCCCAUCUCUACAGCUAGGUACGUAUUGGUGUUUGUGGAUUUCUAAAUGCUUUCUGUCAAAUGUGACUAGAUUAUUAUUAGAAGUCUAUGGAUCUUACACUUAAUUAAUUAUAUAUCCAUUUAUAAUAUUCAAAAUGAUAAUGUACUAUUGCUUAAAAUUAUGCUUUCAAGACAUCAUUAUGAAAAUCCAUGGUUGUAAUGUGUUUCUAAAUUCAGUAAUACAAGUUCUGUCAAUUACUGUUGGAUGCAGUGACCUGAAUAGUUUAAUAUUCAUUUGCAGAAAAAAGUUGAGAAAGAAAACUAAAAAUUUCCAUGCGUUCUGCUAGAAAUUUAAUUAGCUUCAUUUGAGCAUUAAUUGCCGGCAUGAUCUCUUAGACUUCUCUUGCAUUGAAUGAAUGAAUGAGUGCUAAUCCAUGCAAAGACUUCCAUGCAUGCACAAUGAAUGCUAAAUCUAAGGUAUGGUAAAAUGUCAGCAAGCUUGGCCCAAAUUAUCAAGCUGGUUUGGUGGCUGCUAGAUUUGUUCAUCCGGAUUUUGGACCAUUUUCCUUGACAAUGAGAAAAGCUCCAAGAUCUGUAAAUUGAAGACUCACUGAAAGCUCCAAGUUUCAGGUAACUCUUGAGUUGUGUGCUGGAGUAUUCUCUAUUGUAUUUUGUUUGUUUGUUAUUUAUUUGAUGUAUUGCUAGCAGGGAUCUUAGGUGGGAACCAAAAAUUCUCAAUAAUUAUCAAUUGUUUUAAACUCUAUUCUGAACCGAGCGUGAAGGGAUUCACUUAUCUAAUUAUGUCUUUUAUGCUUUAAAUUCAGUUGAUUUCAUCUUUUCCGUCACCUUUAUUAAAGUUGUAUAUGUUGGAGUAUUAGGUUAAUCAUAAGGAUCAUAUUAUGGCUAAGGAAGGAGCACAGUUUAUCAGCUGCACUCAAGUGUAGCAGAGUAUUUGGGGCUGAUGCUACAAUACCUGCAUGUAUGUGAUACAUGCAUAAAAGAUGACCGUUGGAUUGAAUAUAAUGAAUCCAACGGUUGAGAUGAGUUUAAUUAACAAAUAAUUAAAAAUUUUCACAAAACCUGAAACCUAUAGAAACGGUAACAGGCACACAUCCCAACUGGCUAUAUAUAUUUGUGGGAAAAAAAAAAGAAAAAGAAAAAGAAAAAAGCUCUCACCUCACGCAAAGCUAGUUCUUCUCUUCUCUUCUUCUUCGACAAUGGUGAACGGCACGAUGAACGGCGGCAUAGCUAAUUAGUAAUUCCUCUCCUCUUCUGCUUCCACAACAGUCAACGGCGGCAUAGCUUCCACAACAGUCAGCGACGGAUUUGAUUUUCAGGUAUUUUGGUUAACUCUAAACUGAUUUCAUAGCCUUUCAAUUCUUUUUUUUGCUAAUUUUUUUCUUUUUUUGCCCACGCUGCAGAAUCCUUGUCAGUAAACAAACCCUCACAGCCACCAGCCACCACUGACAUGCAUGAACGUCCAAUCUCUUAGCCGCAAUCGCUAUUCUUUGUCGACGUCGCGAAGAAAUUGGGUAUGAUGUUGUUAAUCAAUUACACAUGCUACCAAAAAAUUGUAAGAACCAAUUUUUUAAAUUUUGUUAAUAUGAUUAUGAAAUUGGGCUUGCUUUUGUGUGAAAUUUUAGGGUUUGUUUGCUUUUGGAUGAAAAUUAAAAAUCAGAUUUUGAAAUUGUUUGUUCCUCAUUUUGUUGAGAUAUAUCUUGUCUUCGUUUAUUGAUUUGUGCAUGUCUGGAUAGAUAUGCCAACCUAAUCGAAUGCUUAUUAAAUUCAAUGAAAUGUGAUGCAUGGCCUUAAGCUUGCGGUGAAUAGCUUUAUUCGACAUAUAUAUUUUGGAAAUUAGUUUUCUUUUGUUUGAUUUAUUUUGCUUUAAAAAAAAGAGCCUAGUCAAAAUAAGUUUAUUUAAAAGUGGAUGGCAUUUGAUUAAAAGAAGAGGUAAGAUUUAAAGCCCUCCAAGUGUUUGAUAAAAUAUCUAAAUGAAACUUCAUGUUCUUAUUUUCCUUUCGCAACUGACUUAGGUUCUUCGUAAUCAAGGUGAAGGUGCUAUAGUGUUAGUAUUGGCACCUACUAGAGACUUAGCCGAUCAAAUUCAGGAAGAGGCUUUUAAAUUUUGGUCGUGCGCAAGUGUUAUAAAUACUUGUGUUUAUGGUACUGCUCCUAAAUGAUCUCAAAUAUUCGAAGAGGUGUUUUGAAUUCUUUUUUGGAGAAUUUAAUUGUUUUUAGAUUAAAAUUACAAGUCAAGUAUUUUUAUUUGGUGUAUCUUCCUCUUUAACUACAAUAUGAAAUUGGAGAAUUUGAUAGAACUUUAAUCAUUUGUCUAUACUUUACUAUUGCUUAAUUGUAUCAUAAGAGUGUGUUAAUUUGCUCUGUAAUUCUUUCAAGAUUCUUGAGCUAUAGUCUUUAUAUUUAUAAUUUGUUUUGAUAAAUUUCUCUUGGUUCUUUAAUUUUGAUCUAUUCCCCACUUUAAAGAUAUUUUAUUUUAAACAUAAGAUGUCAUUAAUUAUAUUGAUUUAAUCUUACAGGGUGAUGAGCUAAAUUAAUUAAUUAUAUUAUAUGUAGAUUUUAGUUUGCUCAAUAAUGGUAUACUAGGAAUGCAGUUUUAUUUUAAGCAUAAUAUGCAAUUUGUUUUGCUAUUGUUUAUGCAUAAAAACAGCACCUGAAAGUUUCCAGGUGCUGCUUAGCUGCUGUUAUGUAAUAAACAUAAACACAACACAUGGAAACUUUGGGGUGUUGUUUAUGCACAAAAAUAGCAUGUAGAAGCUUGAGGCGCUGCUUAGCUGCUGUUAUGUAGCAAAAACAAAACAUGGAAGUUUCUAGGUGCUGCUUAGCUGCUGUUAUGCAGCAAAAACAACAGCCGGAAGUUUCUAGGUGUUGUUUUGUUGCUGUUUGUGCAGAAAAACUACACUUGGAGAUUUCCAGGUGCUGGUUAGCUGUUGUUAUGCUGCAAAAACAACACCAGGAAAUUUACCGGUACUGUUUUACUAAUGUUUGUGUAGAAAGACUUUAACUGUUGCUUUAUAUACCUAUAAUUUGUAUUUCAAUAUGAUCUCCAUUUUGCUUUUAUUGUUUAAUUUUUAAAAUGGGAAGAUUCCCUUGUAUUUUAUCUCAAAUGCAAUUUUGUCUAGUAAUCGUUCUUGGGAUUAUAUCUUCUUUUACUUGUUUUUAGGGUGCGGCUCUCAGUUUCAAGUACUACCAACAUUGUUUCCCUUCCAUGAAAGAAUCUGUAGUUUUACCCAGUUAUGAACUGAGUUAGCCAUUGGUUAUUAGCAGUUUCUGGACAAGGAGCAAGAAGAUACCAAUGAGGACCUGGAUUUCAGAAGCAAUUCUCUUAUUUUUCUUUUAUUUUAAAUCAUUAGCAUUUUCUUUUUCUCGUUUGGUUUCAGAUAUUGGUGGUAUUGGGUAGUGGGUUUGUUUCUCGAAUCAUCAUGAUACCAAAUGUAAUUGCAAACAGCAGGGUCUAAAAUUUAUACGACCUGAUGAUUUGUCCUAUAUUUUUUUACUGAUGUUUGCUUAAUUUUCUUUUCCUUUUUGUUUUUUUAAGUGAUCUCCAUAAUUAAUCAAGAACCAAAAUAUCAAGUUUGUUAAUCUUUUAAUUUAAUAGUAUUUUGAGAAUUAUUGGCUUCCAUCUUACAUUAAAAUAAUCCCUCAAUGAAAAAUCAUUGUUUUAGCAUUAAAUUUAAUUUUGCAAUAUGUAAAUUACCAGAAUAAAAUUUUCAAAAUUAAAAAUUUUUUGUUAGAAGAAUUAUAAUGUUAUAUUUUAUAUAUCUAAAAAUUAACCAAAAAAAGUUUGUGUAUUUUAAAGUUAUAAUAAAUGUACCAUUAAAAAAAUCUAUAUCUAUCGUAAAAUACGAUUUUAUGAAAUGAGUUAUUAUGAAAGCUUAUGGACAAAAUAGAAAAUAUUUUAGAAAUUAACAAGUAUUAUUUGAAAUUUUGGAAAAUAGGUUUGAUUGAGUUUCAUAAUGUUUUUAAUAAAAUUGUAAUUUUUGGGGCACAAACGGCGAACUGCUAACACUUAAAUUGGCUAAUUGAUUCCAAUUUGGAGAGUUUUCAGAAUUAAAAAGGCGAACCACUAACUUUAAAUGGCAAAACGACUACGGUUGGGUGAGUUUAUUGUAUGGUGUGCGUUGAUCAUCCCCGAUCCUCCGAGUAAGAAAAUGUGCUAGUUCUUCCAUGUAAUAAGAAACUUAGUGGUAUUUGGGUUGGGUUUUUAAAGCAUUUAAUGUCACCAUUAAUGAAAGGAUUUGGUUGGUUUCUGAGUUGGUGUACAAAUAAAUUAACUGCGCUCAUAUGUUACGUAGAGCUAAAUCGACUAGUCUGUAGUGAAAAGGCGGUUAGCCAUUUGGAGUUGCAUGCUCUCUGGAAUGAAAGAGGCUAGCCUCUUUGUAGGAAACAAGUAGCCCUUUUCACGCCAGAGAGCAUGUUUCUCGAAAAGGGCUAGCCGUUUCCCACGAAGAGGCUAGUCCUUUCACUUCGCAUGCUCUCUGGAAUGAAAAAGGCUAGCCUCUUCGUGGGAAACAGCUAACCCUUUUCACUCCAGAGAGUAUGUUUCCCGAAAAUGGUUAGCCAUUUCAAUAAAGAGGAUGGGCGUUUGGAGUUGUAUGCUUUCUGGAUUGAAAAAGGUUAGACGCGAUAAAGCAAACGGCUAGCCCUUUUUACUCCAAAAAGCAUUUUGAUCGAAAACGGCUAGCCGCUUAUUUUAAAGAGGCUAGCCGUUUUCGAUCCAGAAUCUGUUACAUUUGUAAUGGCUAGCCUCUUUAACAAAAUGGCUACCUGUCUCCCUCACUAUUCAACUUCAACCCACGACCACCUCUCUCACCGUCGCAUGAAAUUCACGGCUUCUUCAGCCAUUAACGAGAAAAUAUACAACUCCUCAUCAUUUUCCUUCAUUUACGCAUCUAAAUUUCAUUAGCUAAAUACUCUUUAACCCUAUUUCACCGAAAAACCCAAUUAAAAACCCUAGGUUCGGCCGAGGUUGUUUCUCUAAAAUUGAGUCCUUGUUCACUUCUUAUUGCUGAAAUUACUCACCCACAUUGAUUUUAAACCCAUUUGCGUGCUAUUUAAUUGGUUCAUCUUGACCCAAAACACAAUAUUUGUUAUUCAAAGAAAGAUUUUGGUUUCCAUGGCAGGUGGUGAAACUUCUCGGGGGAAGCAAGGGAAACUAAAGGAACAUUACAUCAUUAACUUGAAACAAGAGAUAAUUUUCAUGGCAGGACCAUUAACUUGAUACCUGGACCACUAAACUUGAAACCUAGGGCAAUAAACAUGAAACAUGAGAUCAUUAACUUGCAACCUGAAAAUCAUUUACUUAAUGGACUAAUAAAUAUGAAAUCAUGACCAUUAACUUGAUACAUCGGCUAUUAAACAUGAAACCAAAAGAACUUGAAACUUAGGGCAAUAGACAUGAAACAUGUUAUCAUUAACUUGCAACCGUGAAAAUCAUUUAAUUAACGAACUUGAAACUUAGGGCAAUAAACAUGAAACAUGAGAUCAUUAACUUGGAACCUUGAAAAUUAUUUAAUUAAUGGACCAAUAAAUAUGAAAUCAUGACCAUUAACUUGAUAUCUAGACCAUUAAAGGUGAAACCAAUGGAACUUGAAAAUAAUGGCAAUAGACAUGAAACAUGUUAUCAUUAACUUGCAACCAUGAAAAUCAUUUAAUUAAUGAACUUGAAACUUAGAGUAAUAGACAUGAAACAUGAGAUCAUUAACUUGCAACCAUGAAAAUCAUUUAAUUGAUGGACCAAUAAACAUCAAACUGUGACCAUUAACUUGAUACCUCGACCGUUAAACUUGAAAUCAAAGGAACUUGAAACUGAGGGCAAUCAACAUGAAACAUGAGAUCAUUAACUUGCAACCAUGAAAAUCAUUUAAUUAAUGGACCAAUAAACAUGAAACCUUGACCAUUAACUUGACACCUGAACCAUUAAACUUGAAACCAAAAGAACUUGAAACUUAGGACAAUAGAUAUGAAACAUAUUAUCAUUAACUUGCAACCAUGAAAAUUAUUUAAUUAAUGAACUUGAAACUUAAGGCAAUAAAUAUGAAACAUGAGAUCAUUAACUUGCAACCAUGAAAAUUAUUUAAUUAAUGGACCAAUAAAUAUGAAAACAUGCCCAAUAACUUGAUAUCGGGAACAUUAAACUUGAAACCAAUGAAACUUGAAACUAAGGGCAAUAAGCAUGAAACAUAAGAUCAUUAACUUGCAACCAUAAAAAUCAUUUAAUUAAUGGACCAAUAAACAUGAAACUAUGACUAUUAACUUGAUACCUCGGCCAUUAAACGUGAAAUUAAAGGAACUUGAAACUUAGGACGAUAAAUAUGAAACAUGUUAUCAUUGACUUACAAUCAUGAAAAUCAUUUAAUUAAUGAACUUGAAACUUAGCGCAAUAAACAUGAAAAAUGAGAUCAUUAACUUGCAACCAUGAAAAUUAUUUAAUUAAUGGGCCAAUAAACAUGAAACCAUGACCACUAACUUGAUACCUAAACCAUUAAACUUGAAACCAGUGAACUUAAAACUUAAGGUAAUAAACAUGAAACAUGAGAUCAUUAACUUGCAACCAUGAAAAUUAUUUAAUUAAUGGACCAAUAAAUAUGAAACCAUAACCAUUAACUUGAUACCUGAACCAUUAAACGUGAAACCAAAGGAACUUAAAACUUACGGCAAUAAACAUGAAACAUGUUAUCAUUAAUUUGCAACCAUGAAAAUCAUUUAAUUAAUGAACUUGAAACUGAGGGCAAUAAACAUGAAACAUGAGAUCAUUAACUCGCAACCAUGAAAAUCAUUUAAUUAAUGGACCAAUAAACAUGAAACCAUGGCCAUUAACUUGAUACCUGAACCAUUAAACUGGAAACCAAAGGAACUUGAAAUUUAUGGCAAUGAAUAUGAAACUUGAGAUCAUUAAUUUGCAACCAUGAAAAUAAUGAAAUUAAUGGACCAAUAAACAUGAAAUCAAAACCAUUAACUUGAUACCUAUACCAUUAAACUUGAAAUUCUUUUUUUAUUAUUAUAAAAAUAAUUUUUUAUUUUUAUGUGUCCUUUAAUAUUAAAAUAAUAAUUAUUUUAUUAUUAUUUUAUUUAUUAUAAUUGAAUAUUAUUAUAUUUAUUAUUAUUUAAUUCAUUUAAGGGGCAAAAACCGGUUGCUCCCAGUUUUUUUUUUUUUUUCCAUUGCUCUAUUUUCUUUCUUUUUUUAUUGCUUGCAUGUAUCACAUACAUGCAUGUACUGUAGCCGUGCCCAGUAUUUGGUUGUUACAGAUGCAAGGUUGUUGCUGUGUAAUUGUCAUUUGAGCUUAGAACCUUUGAGCUUAGAACCUUUAAAGUGUAUCAUACGUUUCUGUUACUUCUAAUACAAAUUUUCUCUAUUCCUUUUUCUUUCACUUUCUCUUCCAUUUUCAUGAUCGCCAAACACCAUCAAUCCAUGAUUUUCUAGAGUAUUAGCCGUCUAUUUCUACAUACAUAGAAUCAUUGUUUUAAGAAAUAAAGUACUCUGUCCUGUCCCCGUGGUCUCCUCGUUUAUUGACUUCUGAACUAGGCUAAAUAAAGGGCAAAUAAGAUAUUAGACCAGUGGGCCUAACGUGACAAGUUCUGGAAUUGUUUGCCUCUUUCUUUUCUCCACAAAUCUUUGGUUAAUUUUUAUGUUCCCUCAACUUUUUUCCCCUUUAGCACUAGAAUUCAUUUUUGAUACUUUAUGCAAAAAUUAUGAGGAAAAUGAGUCACUUUAGAACAUCAAUAAAUUUUUUUUACAUCCAAGAUAAAGACAAUUACACUUAGAUCACUCUUAUUUAGUUGAAUUAUAUGUAAUAAAAUUAGUUCAACAAAAUCUAACCCGUCAAUAUUCCAUAUCAUAUGAUUAACGUAUUUAAAAAAUCUUUAUUGUUCGGUCGCUUGUUUUAUAAUUCUUUUAUAUAAUAUCUUUGAAACUCAUCAUAUUGUUCUCAAUUCGUCUAAAUUAUUUUUUUCUUCAAACACUGCGGCAACAACCGGUAUAAAAUAGAAUGAACUCAAUUAAUGGAACUUUUUCUAGAUGCUUUCAUGGCAGAAUCUCAUUGGUCUAUUUCUCUUCGCACCCUAGGUUCCUCUAACAAACCUGCCUCUUAACUCUCAUGUCCGAAUUUAAACUUAAAAGAUGUUCCCCAUCCCACGUGUCCCCGAAUCUUCGUAUUUCCAAACAAACCCCUGCCAAAUUGAGAAGAGGAUGAUUCCUACAAAGCCACGUAAGUCAAGUGAUAGGAUGGCUUUUAUUACAAACUGUAUGAACGUUAUGGCCAUGGGACAUUGGAUAAAGCCAAUGGAAUGAAAAGCAAAAUUACCGACUAGACUAAAAUGAAAAUCCAACCAAUUGAAUCGGUUCAGUGUCACUGUAUAUAUAUAUAUAUAUAUAUAUAUAUAACACAACACAACUAUCAUAUUAACGAGGCACUGUUAAAUUCAUUCCGUGAAUAUUUUUCUUUCUUUUCAAUGAAUGUUUAAUAUGACAAACAAUUUGUCCCAUUGAGCACUGUUUUAGUCAUCAAUGAAAAUGAAUACUUCUAUAACAAAACAAUAAUUCCCUUGUUUAUUUGACACGCAAAGAAUUUUCUUGCUCAGCUCGGCGGCCAAUCCUUUAAAAUUUGUUGAAAUUCAGUUAAUUGAUGAACGAGACAUAACCGGUAAAUCGUUUAAUUUGUAUAAUUGAUAAAAAUUUGAACUUCAAAUGAUAUAGAUAGAAUGAUUAAUUUUUUUAAUAUUUAGAUAAUUGAUAUAUGUCAUGUUACUAUGAGUAAAAGAAUCAAGUGUCUGAUAGAAAACACAAUGUUUAUAUUUGUAUUAAAAAUUUUAAGUGCGAAUCUAUUUAGUGUAAGUUAGACAUAAAAAUAGUUACCAACUUGUCUUGUUUCUCAUUUUGUUUAAUUUUCCUAAUUUGAAUAACGAUUAAUUACGAGUCAAGGGUUUAUUAGAAAAAUAUGGUCUUCCAUUUACUAUAAAAUUAUGAAUACUUUGGCAAAUAAGAUAAUUAUAAACACCAUUUUUGAAAAUUCAUGGCCAUGGUUGUGAUGUGUCUUUAUCAAUCACACAUACAAAAGUUAAUCAAAAUUAUCGAUUGUUUUAAAUUCUGUUUUUAACAGAGCAUGAAGAUGUCAAUUAUCUAGAUUUACUUUUUAUGCUUUGACUUCACUUAAUACAGGUUCUUCCUCCUUUAUCUGUAUGCCAUGCCGGCAAGUGUAUUGUACAGAUUUCUAGAGUAUUACCUGUCUAUUUUUUUCACCGAUGACGAAGCUAAUUAUUAGUAAUCAAUCUAAAGUCUACCUAUAAAUACAAUAGGUUGCUUAGGUGGCACCAAUAUCCUAACUUUAUGCCAUGUUUCUGGUGUGUCUUCACAAAUUCACCGAUACAAAUUAAUUUCCACCAAUAUUACCAAAUGAUUGUAUUUUACGUUUCUAUUUACUUGUAAUAAAGAUCUUCAAUUUUAUUGGUUACAAAAUUCUCUAGGAUUGCAUGUACAUUAUACUUUUAUAUACAUAUUUUCUUCUUUCUCAUUCGUUUUCUGGGUGAACAUAUUAUUUUCGUCAUCAUCUCUAUAACAAUGAAGUGAAAAUAGUCCUCAUUUAAAGUAUUGACAGCAAUGUUAUACUCAAUAUAACGCAUAAAGCACGCAUAAUUUAAUUAAUGGGGUAGCUGCUAGUACCUUCUUUAGAAGAGAAUUAUUGCAGCAAGGUAAUUGGAAGCUCAAAGAGUUUCCGUAUUAGCCGAAUCUAAGCGAUAAGUGUUUCCAUGUGAGCCAUAAUUUGGGAAAAAGACCAAUUCGAGUUAAAGAUCAGAAAACAGACACUGUCAACAAGCAUUAAUAUCAUUUGAUGCAUGAAAGACAGUUAGUCCCAUUUUUUUGUCCGGUUUACUUGAGUUGGGCAAUUUGCCGUCAACUUUUCUCAUCCACGUCAGGUAAUGUGGCUUUUAUUUGGUAUGAAAAAGCCAAUGCUUUACGAUAAAACUGUCACACACAUAUUAUCCAUCUGUAAUGUUCAAAUGACACUGAAGUAUUACCUAAAUUAGGCUUUCAAAAAUUCAUUUUCAAAAACCCAUGGUUGUGAUGUGUCUCUAUAAAUUAAGAUCUAUCUGUUACCUACUGUUUUAACUCUGUUCUGAACAGAGCUUGAAAGGGUACAUUCACUCUUUUAAAACAAUUGUACUAUAUGUUCUGAACAGAGCUUGAAAGGAUUAGCAAUAACUACUGUUUUAUCCCUCUUUUUAAAACAAUUGUUCACUAGCUGCACUCAGUUGACAGAAUAUUUUGGGAUUCAAGACUGUUGGUUGUUACGGAUGCAACUUGCAAGGCUGUUGCCAUGCUGGCAAGUGUGCUGGAAAAUCAUGAGUUUGAUGAUGAAGAGGACGAAAAAUAUUAUUUUAUUAUUUAAAAUAAGACUAUCAAUUAUUUCCAUGGUCAUCUUUUUUUUUUUUAAUUAAUUGGCCUAAAUAUUGUAUUUUUUGUCAGGAGUCUUGCAAUGUUGCGUAGCACCGUAAGUAAGAAGAACUAGUGAACUUUAAAGCAUCAUAAAAUUGUUUCAACAUAAGUAAUUAGUUUGAAAAAUUGCCAAUAAUGUUUAAAGUAGGAACGAAAAGGUUAUACUAUAUGAGACACGAUAUUAUUUAAGACAGCUUACAAAUUAUGGGAAAUGUAUUGAUCUUACAAAUAAUAUUUAAUAAGUACAAAUUUCAAAUUAAAUAAUAAACCUUAAUUUCCUUUUAAUCAUAAUUAUGAUCUUAAUAAUUAAAGUCAUUCAAUCUUAAUCACUUUUUCAUUUUUUUAAACUACCUAAAUGACGUUGAAACUUCUAAUCAACAUUAAUUUUUUUGAAUGUUCUGUUUCAAAAUAAUUGAAAACUAUAAAUGAAACAAAUGCUUGCAAUCACAAAAGGCCUAAAAUGGGAUUUUUAUUUUUUAAUAUUGCAAUGACUUUGAUCUUGAUAUUGGAAUUUAUUUGUAACUUAUACUAAGUCUUCAAUUUUAUCAAAAUUAGUUUCUAAAGAUGCAUUUGCCAUACUGUGUAGUUGUAUUGUAUGAUGAUAUAUUACAUUAGGGUGCAUUGUAUUGAGCUGUAAUGCAAUACUAUUUUAUAUUAAUGUUAAAACUAAAUCAACCUUAUUUAAAUUUAUUAAUAUUUUAGGUUUUUAUUAGUAAUAUCUGAAAUUAAGUAUUAAAUAAUUAUUUUUAUAAUAUACAAAUUAUUUAAUAAUAUUCUACUAUUAAAUAAUAAAAUAUUACAAUAUUAUGUUAUAUUAUUAACAAUUAUUCUGUUAUAAUAUAAUUUAUUUUUAUAUAUUAGUUAUUAUAAUUUAUUAUAAUCAUAUUAUAAUAAUAUUAUAUUGUAAAAAUAUAAUACUAUAUAAUUGUAUAACAGAAUAUGAAUUAAUUUAUAAUUUAACAAUAAAUUAUAAAUUUAUUUUAUUUAUUAAUGUCAAAUAUAAUUGUACAGGUGUAGAAUUAUGAGGAGGAGGUGGAGAAAGAAUUUGAGCGUCGAAUAGGAUCUACAUGUACUCUUAAGAUGAAUCUGAUGGCGAUGGUGCUCCUUCAGCUGAGUAUGCUGAUGAUGAAUUAGAACAUGACAUAUAAUUAGAAGAAGAAGAUGAAGAGGAAGAAGUUUAUGAACAAGAGGAGAGAAACGAUAGGACAGUUAAAGUCGUUGGCUGCAGACUAUUAGAAGGUUGUUACAGAUGUAACGCUGUUGCUGUGUAACAGUAUGCCAUGCUGGCAAGUUUGCUAUAACAGAUUGCCAAGCUGGCACUAAUUAUUUUAAACUAAUAUUAGUAAUUAGUCUAGAGUGCUCUAAUUUAUUUUAUUCUAUAAAUAGCUCAUUUGAGCUUUGAACCUGUAACGUGUACUGUACUUUUCUAUUACUUCUAAUAAAGAUUUUCUCUAUUCUUUUUUCUUUCACUUUCUCUUCCAUUUUCCCGACCCUCAAACAGCGUCAAUCCUUGAUUUUCUACAGUAUUAGCUGCCUGUUUCUAUAAACAUAGAACUGGUCGUUUUAAAGGGCAAAUAAGAUGUUGGGCCAAUGGGCCCAACGUCACAGAUCUUGAAUUGAUUGUCUCUUCUUUUCUCCAUAAAUCUUCACUUAAUUUUUAUGCUCCCUCAACUUUUUUCCCCUUUUUGUGCUAAAUUUAUUUUUUUGAUACUUUAUGCAAAAAUUAUGAUGAAAAUUAAUUAGUUUAGAACAUCAAUAAAUUUUUGUUACAUUCAAGAUAAGGACAAUUACACUUAGAUCACUCUUAUUUAGUUGAAUUAUAGGUAAUAAAAUUGGUUUUAACAAAAUAUGAUUCUUAACCCUCGUAAUUAAAGGCUCGUGUUAUUUAGUUUAGUUAUAACACCAUGCAACAGGUCGUCUUGGUGGGUUCAAAUUAAUAUACGAUCAUUCUCAAUUUUUAAUAGUUCGUAAUUACAAAGUCCUAUAUCACAAUUAAAAUUUGCAAACAUGUCAAAGUAAGUUAAAUCAAAAUCUAUAAAUUUGAGGUCUACUACAAACUUCUGACAAAUUAAAAUUUAAAAUGAUUAAUUAAAUGCUAGACAAAAUUUAGCUUAUAAAUGUUCCCGACCACAUGAUGAAUGUACUUAAAACAUCCUAAUUCGUCACUAAUUGAUUGGUUGUUAUUUUUUCAAUUUCUUUUUAUAUAUCUUUGAAACUUCUAGUUUCGUUACAUGUUAUUCUCAAUUCGUGUAAAUUAUUAUUUUUAAAUAUUAGAGCAACAACCAGUAUAAAAAUAAAAUGCACUCAUCUAAUGGAAAUUUUUCUAGAUGCUUCAAUGGCAGAAUCUCAUUGGUCUAUAACUCUCACACCUUAGAUUCAAGAUUCAAUUUCAAACCAACGCCGAACAAACAGUUUAAACCUUAAUAAGUCUGUGGCUGUAGCCCAACAAACCUACUUCCGGCUCACCGAAUAAUCAUCUCUUACGUCGGAAUUUAAACUUAAACAAAGCUGCGUCCCACAUGUCCCCAACUUUCUUCAUAUUUCCAUAAAACCCCUACCAGAUCCAGAUAAUUACCUUCACUCUUCUCGUAUAAAUAGAGAAGACAACGAUUCCCGCAAAGCCAGGUGAGUCACGUGAACGUUACGGCCAUGGGACAUACGGUUCUCAAUUGGUCUAAUUAUACUGUAAAUUGUUUUUUAAAUAUAAAUAAAAUGAAUUUAUUUAAUGGAAAUUUGAAAAAGGGACACUUAUCUACGAAAGCAAAGUUGCAUUCUCUUUGUGGGGACCCUAAAAAAAAAAAAAAAGAGAGCCAGAAUGAUACACCGAUGACGAUAAUCCUUAAGCUUAAGCAUUAAUUUUCUUUGCUUACAAUUUGGUUUGAAGGGUUAAGUUCAAGUUCGAAUUGGUACACUGAUGAUGAUGAUGAUGAAGAGGGGGAUGUCUUUGAGGAUGAAGAGAAAGAAAGUUCUAAAAAAAAAAUACAGCUUUGUGGAAAUUAAAUUAAAAGCAACUAAUUAAGCAUUAUAAAUUACUUAACAGAGUAAUGCUGAGCUAAUUAAAUUUGUUUUUGAAGAAGGUAUCUUUAAAUCUCUUGGAGUUAAAGAUAAAUAUCAUAUCACCAUAUCAAGCGGACCAAUUAAAAAAUAAAUUUAAAUAUUAUUUAAAAUCAUUUAAAUUUAACUUAAUAUAAUUCAAUCUAAUAUUGUACCAAACAUGCACAAUACUAUAUAUAAUCCAGUCUAAUCAAAUUCAAUCUUAAUAAAUAAUACAAUCCAAUCUUGCGAGACAAAAUUGGCCUAAGGGUACCAAUUGCGCAAUAAUCUUUGUAGCCCGUUUCCCAGCCACGCACCCUUUUGUAUUAGUAUUCUCACAGCCAUUGGAAUUAUGGCUCGUAAUCCAAUAAAUGACAUUAUAUGGCUGUUGCUUGCUAGUUUUUGUAAGGUGGCCAAGGCCUUUUAUCAAACACUAUAGGAUCAACAAGUACAAAAUGAAUUCAUUUGGGAUGAAUUAUGAUGUAUUGCAUUAACAUGCAUUAUAUUAAGUUAUAAUGUUAUAUUUUGAUAUAGUAUAAAUUGUAUUAUAUAAGGUAAUGUUUUAUAUUAAUGUUAAAACUAAAUUAAUAUUAUUUAAAUUUAUUAAUAUUUUAGGAUUUUAUUAUUAAUUUUUUAAUUAAGUAUUAAAAAUUAUUUUAUAGUAUAGAAAAAUUAUUUUAUAGUAUAUAGACUAUUAUUAAAUGAUAAAAUAUUAAAGUACUAUGUUAUAGACUAUUAUUAAAUAAUAAAAUAUUAAAGUACUAUGUUAUAUUAUUAAAAAUUAUUAUAUUAUAAUAUAAUUUAUUUCUAGAUAUUAAUUAUUAUAAUAUAGUAUAAUCAUAUAAUAAUAUAAUAUAAGUUAAUAUUAUAUUGUAAAAAUAUAAUACUGUACAAUUAUUUAAUAUAACGUAAAUUAAUUUAUAAUAUAAUAUUAAAUUAUAAAUUUAUUAAAUUAAAUUAAAAUACUUUUUAUGUAUUUAAAGUAAAAUAAUUAAAAUAAUUUAUGUAAUAGAAGUAUGAUAAUGUAUUAUCAUUUUCUCAUUAAAUAUUUUAGGUUUAUUAAUUUGUUAAAUUAUUAUUGAAAUUAAAAUUAAUUUUUUAAAUGUAAAUAUAAAUAUAAAUGAAUGUUUAAUAAAAUCUACUCCUAGGGAUCUAUUUUAUACACUUUUUAUUCUCUAAAUCACGCAUAAUGUAGUUGUAUAAUAGAAACUGGAUAUUUAAUGGAAGCAAAAUUGCGCACGGUUUGUGGGUCUGUCAAAAUAUGAUAAAAAGACCAACAUGAUACACUGACUCUGUCCUCUUUAAUAUUUUUCUAGAUGCUUCCGUGGCAUAAUCUCAUUGGUCCAUUUUACUUCACGGCUUAGAUUCAACUUCAAAAAUCAAUUUGAAGCACACACAACAAUUCAACAAAUAUAAUAAGCGUCGAUAAACUUGUAGCUGACUGGCUGUGGCCAAGCAAAAAUGUACCUCAUGGUUACCGAAGGGUAAUUAUUAGAAAUCUCCCCUAAGGUUUGGCGUAUUUUCAGUUUGAUAGAUUGUAUUCGUGUAUUUUCAAAAACCUCCCCUGACAUUGAUAUACUGUUAAUUUGACCGUUUGUUGCAUGAUAAAAUGACAAAUAUAACCCUAAUUCAAAAAAGGGUAAUUAUCAUAAAAUUCUGUUGUAGCCUUAUAGGAAUAGAAUUUAAAAUUCUGUUGCAUCUCCUGUACCAAAUACUAAUUUGCUGGCUAUAUAUAUGGGAAAUGGCAGCUUCAUCAUCUCAUUUCUUUGACGUGAGUAGUGUAACAUUAUCUAAAUUCAAAAGUAUUUCUAUCACUUGUGUAAAAAACAACCUACUAAAAAAAAAACAAAAUCUUCACCAAGAUUGAAAGAAGUUUGAUGAAGAAAGCUAAGCAAUGAGGCAAAGUGCAAAAAGCUUCCUUCUAAUUCUGCGAUAUUUGACUCAAAUCUUUUCUUUGUUUCAUUCAUCAAAGUCAUUUUGGAAAGUAACAGGGAUGAUUUGGUAUUUUCAUUCCUUGGUGCCAGAACAAACAUGCUAGUACGAACCAACAAUUUUUUAUUUUCAGUAUACAAACUAUGUUUUUUGAAUUAGGGGAGGCAUCUGAAUUAUCCUCACCAACCAAAUUAUACGAAACGGUAUACUAAUGUUAGGGGAGGCAUCUGAAAAUAGGUGAAUACAAUCUAUCAAACUGAGAAUAUGCUAAACUUCAGGGGAGGUUUAUGAUAAUUACCCGGUUACCGAAUCAUAUCUUACGUCAGAAUUUUGAACUUAAACAAUGUUCUCAUUCCACGUGUCACUCUCUAACCAGUCCCCAAACUUUUAUCAUAUUUCCAAAGAAACCCCUACCAAAUCAAGGUAAUUACCGUCACUCGGCUCAAAUGAAUAGUCUCCUCGAUUCAACUGAUGACGACAUAUCCUCAUAGCCUUUAUUUAGAAGGGGAAAUUAUAAAAAAAUCCCCUCGUUCUCUAAAAAUAUGGGGUUUCUCAAGAAUAGCUAAACCUACAUCCCAAUCCUGAAAAAUCUCAAUUUAACCUCUCUAGGGUUUCGAUUGUUGAUGAUUCGCUUCAAAAUUUUGUAUUCUUUUAGUGGAUUUUGCUUGUCUCGUAUCCUUCAAUUGUUAGUUCAGUUCUGAUAAUAAUUUCGAAAUUUUUUAUACAAUAUAAAUUAAUUUAAAUUAAAAUUGAUAGAACAAUUGGGCGGUUAAUAAUUAAUUGAUGGCUAGUGAUACUACAACGGCGCCCGCGCCCGCAGCUCCGGAAAAAGCGGAGGCGGUGGAGGAGUAUGAUAGCAAUCCAGAUGAAGUGAAACGCUGUCUUGCGACGCGCAGAAGGGAAGCCAGCGAUGACGAGGACGUGGAGGACGUGGUGGAGGAGUACGAGAGCGAUCCAGAUGAAGUGAAACACUCUCUCGUGAUGCGCAGAAUGGAAGCAAGCGAUGAUAAGGAGGAGGAGGAUAAAGAAUUCGAGCGUCGAAUGAACCGUAGGGUCCACAUUCAUUAUUACGAUGAAUCUGAUGGCCAAGGUGGUGUCCUGCUGAGAAUGAUGAUGAUCAUCUCUCUCGACCAGUUCAGGUUCAAGGGAAGGGUGCUCGAGGGGUACUUGUCUUGUUUAUCAUUUUUGUUUAAUUUUCAUAAAUUCAACGACCCACAAUUCAAUUAUGAGUGAAGAAUUUGUUAAAAAAAUGUGGUCUUCCAUUUACUAUAACUAAGUCCGUGUGAUGUAAUUAUUUUUCUGUCACUUAAUGUCUUGAAAAUUAUGAAUACAUUGUAGGAUUUAGAAGGAUUUUAAGUUUUAAUGCAUAUGGGUUUUUUAUGUCCGUCCACUUAUGCGUAUACUGCAUUUUAUGAUUAUCGUAGUUGGUAGAUUGACAAAUGGACCUUAAUUACAAGUCAAAUAACCUAAAUACUUAUCGGCCAAAGGAAACCAUUUAUAGUACUUUCUAGUGAAGCAAAGUAAAAUGAUUCAUACUGGCAAAGAAAAUUAGAAAGAAAAGGAGGAUUACUGAUCCACACAGUGUCGUUUACUAAAAGUACGUUGAUCUUACACUUAAUUUAUUAUAUAUCCAUUUAUAAUGUUCAAAAUGAUAAUGUACUAUUUCUUAAAUUAGGCUUUCAAAACAUCAUUUUGAUAAUGCAUAGUUGUAAUGUGUCUCUAAAUUCAGUAAUACAAGUUAUUUCUGUUACUAAUGGAUGAAGUGACUUGAAACUUGCGUGGUCAUUAAAUGCUGGCAUAAUCUCUUUGACUUCUCUUGCAUUUGAAUGAAUGGAUGAGCGUUGCAUUUGAAUGAAUGGAUCAGUGUUAAUGCAGGCAAAGAUUUUCUGGACUUUCAUGGAUGCACAAUAAAUGCUACGUCAAAGGCCUGGUAAGAUGUCAGCAAGCUGGUCGAAGAUAUCAACCUGAUUUGGUGGCUGCAAGAUUUGUUCAUCCAGGACCGUUUUCUUUGACAAUGAGAAAGCCCCAAUGUCUAUAAAUUGAGAACUCACUGAAUUGUAGAGAGAGAGAGGAAAGUGAAUAACGGGAGAGGCAGUGAAAAGAGAGUGUGGGAAGAUUUGGGCGUAAUUGGGGUUUGGGUGUGAGAUAAAAUAAUCAGAGAGUGGUUGUAAUAAUUUUUUAUACGGUGAAAUUUUUUUGUCUCGUUGUUUUUUGCAGUGGUGGUUUUUUACUCUAAUAAAAUAGUCUUCCAAGUAAAUUUUGUGUGUUAUGAUUGGGAUAUUCACCAUUUUAGUUUUCUAUUUAUUAUUUGUUUUACAUAUUGCUAGCAAAAAUCUGGGGCGGGAACCGAAAAUUCCCAACAAUUAUUAAUUAUUUUAAACUCUGUUCUGAACAGAGCAUGAAGGGUUUCACUUACCUAGUUACGUUUUUCAUUCUUUCACUUCACUUGAUUUCAUCACAAGGAUCAUAUUCUGGCUAACGAAGGAGCAAAGUUCAUUGGCUGCACUCAUGUGUAGCAGAGUAUUUGGAUUCAAGACUGUUAGAAGGUCGUUACAGAGUAUUUGGAUUCACUCUCCAAUUUUCAUUAAUUUAGUGUAGAUAACGUGGUCAUGAAAACUUGAUUAAGAGUUUAAUGCAAUCAAAUCUACUUUAAUGAUUAUUUAAUGCACGGAGAUUUAACAUCAAUUAUCAUCACGUUAGUCUAACAACGAAAUUGCAGAGCUUGGAUCUUUACUCGAACAGUUUCACUGGCUCUAUUUCUGACACAUUGGGCAAGCUGAUGGAAUUGCAAUUCCUGUAUGAUCAUUUCCCCAACUAUUAUUUGAAUAAUUAUUUAAUGCCGUUCAUUCCAGCUCUGUUUGGCUGUUAACUUUAUUUAGUUAUAUAUGAGGAGAUUCAUUUCUCACCUGAAGCUAGAAAUUUACGGAUCAAUGACUUUUUAUUUUUUCUUUUAUAUGAUAGCUUGCAAUCCCUGGUGUGUGUUGAUAGAGCCUUACAUGAUUACAAAAAUGAAUUUUUUUUUGGGGGCCAAUUGCAGUUUUGAUAACAACUAAAAUCUGUGUGGCCCAGUUACCACAAAGCCUUGCUCCAGAUCCCUGCCAUUUUCUCCUCCACCUCCAUUUGGGGAAAUUACCACUUACUUUUUGCAAGUUUUUCGUGAAAUAUUUAUUUUGAGAAGAAAACCAACAAUACAUUUUAUGAUUUGGGCUGUUUCAAAGAUCUUCGCUUGAUGUCUCUGCUACUGGUUUUCAGCAGAGUGCCCAAAAAUAAUCAGUGCACGCACUAUAGGCUCUAUUAUUAUCAGUAAAAAGCAUUAAUGAUAUAUUGGGAUCGACUUUUUUAUUUGGGAGUGGAAGGAUGCUUGAAAGAGUAGAGUGGUGCAUCUUGUUCAAACAUGCACCGUAGAGAAAUUAGUUUAGGCUCUAACCAUUGUUAUAGUAGAGAAAAAGAAAAUUAAUCAAGAGUAAUUUUAUGACUUUUUAGAAAAUAGUGAAUUAAAAUAAUAAGUUAUAAUUUCAUAAUUAUCUUAAUUAAAAAAAUGGGGGUUUGAAAUAAAAUUAGUGAAUUUAAAUAGCCUGCCCAAAAUCCAAACUUGCAUAUCAAUUAUUUUCUAAUUUACAUAAAGUUUUUCUAUAUGUUUGAUAACAUUUGAUUCUCAAUUGGUCUAAUGGAGAAACAACCAGCAAAAAAAUAAAAUGAAUGCAAUUAAAUGGAAAUUUGAAAAGAGCAGUAGAUGACAUUUAUGUGCAAGCAAAAUGCAAAAUUGCAUUCUGUUUGUGGGAUCCUGGAAAAAAUAAAAGAAAGGAAACAGAGUAAGACGCUGGUACUGUGGGCUUUAAUAUUUUUCUAGAUGCUUCAAUGGCAGAUUCUCGUUGGUUCAUUUUUCUUUACGCCUUAGAUUCUAUGAUUCAAUUUCAAUCAAAUACGACAAACAAAAGAAGCUUUUAAGCCUGCAGCUCAAAAAGAUGGCACUUUAAUUUUCGGCUGAACAUACAAAUGGCAAGAUUAUUAUUAUUGAGCUUGAUAAGUGGGAUAGCAAAAUCCGAAUUCGGAUGUGGGUGUAUUUGGAUUUGGAUCCGGAAAAAAAUAUGUAGAUGUGGAUUCGGAUGCGGGUAAUAUCUGCACGGAUUGCGGGUGAAUAUUCCGGAUAUUCAGAUCCGCAUAAUAAUAAAUUUGAUUUUAAUUUUAAAUUUAAUAAUUUACAUAAUAAUAUUAAAUAAAAUUCAAUUAUAAUUUAACAAUCAAUAAUUUAACAUCAAUUCAACAUAAAUAACAUACAACAACACCAUAAAUUCACAAACAAUAAUUUCACAAUAUAAAUCAAACAUAAAAAAUAAAAAAUAAUCUAUGGUAAACCGAUUUAUUAUAAUAUUCUCUAAUUAUUAUUAUUAUUUGUUUUUUAAUAUAUUCAUAGUUAAUGAAGAUUAUAGAGUUAAUUAUGCUUAUAAAUUUAAAUAAAUAAUUUAAUUUAUAUAUUUUCAAUUAAAAUUUAAUUACAUAAAUAAUUUAAUUAUAAAAUAAUUGAUAAGUGCAUAUUUUCCACAUAUUUUGCUUUUAAUUUCUCCAUCUUUUUCUUAUUUUGAUCUUAAAUAUUCUAGUUAUUUUAGUUAAUUUUUAAUUUAAUAGGGAAUUAAUUAAUAUACAUAUUUUAUUUUUUUAUAUAUUUGCUAGUUAUUUUUAUUUCUUAUUUUUAAUUCAUUGUAUUAUUUUAUUGAAUAGGAAAUUAAUUGGAGAUUGUGGAUAAUAAAAAGGCAUGAAGAAAUUCAAAUUGAGAAGGAAUGAAGAUUAAAUUGGAAGACAAAAAUCAAAGCAAUUAAUCCAAUUGAGAAAUGUUGAAUAAUUAAAAGAUUUAAUUUUUUCCAAUUGGCAAAUUGGAGUACACGUUCAUGGCAUUGCAAAAGUGGAAAGCAUUUAAACGGGCCCACAAUUGACUUUCAAAAGUUGGAAUUAAUGGCUUUGGGUGGCGUUAAAUUGGAAAAGGAUUUCAAUUAGAAUUGAAAAAGGAUUUCUUUGGAUUUGUUGGAGAAGAAUUCGGUCAACUAGCAUUAUAAAAAGAGAGCAGCUGCUGGACGGAAGAAAAAAAAAAGACAGGAGAGAGAGCAGGGGCUGAUCCAAUUCGGCAAGAAGAAGAAAAAAAUCAGCAGCCGGAAUUCAAUUGAAGAAAAACGCUGCCGCUUGAAUUAAUCUCCAUGAUUGGUUUUGUCAAUUCUCUUAUUCUCAAUUCAAUUAUGUUAGGCUAAAUUUUUAUUUGGUUGAGGGUGAAUUCAAAACCCUAAACAUGCUAUGCAAUUAAAUUUAAAUUCUAUCAUUCAAUUUAUUUAAUUGAGAUUGUCUAUAAUUAAUUUUCAUGGUUUAUUCUUGUUUUAUUUAAGUGGCCAAUUAGAUAGGACUUGAAUAAAUUUUAUUGCUAGAUUAAAAUUCUUGAUCCGUAAUUGUCUUGAUAUUUUAAUCAUUAGUAGCAGGUUGGAAUCAGUGAUUUCAAUUGAAGAACAUAACCUAGGUUAAAUAAUCCGAGCUUGUGUGUUUAUUGCCUAGAUCAACCUAAUAUCUUUCUCUGUUUAAUGCUUCCAUUAUCUUAAAUUUAAAGAGCUUGUUUUAAAUUAUUUAAUGGUUAGAGAUUAUGUGAAGAGCUUAUUUUGCCUAACGACACACUAAGGAAAGAUUGAGACUAACAGAGCUUAUUGUUGUCUACGGUUGAUAGUUUUAAUAUAAAUUGAUGGUAGAAUUGAUAUAUUAUGUGCAUGUUUGGUGGUGGCGAAUGAUCCUUUAACCAAAGUUUUCAUCAUUAUUAUUUCCUUCUCAUUUAAUUAGAGUUUUUAUUAAAUUCUUGUUCGUAGUUUUAAUUUCUUUAUUUCUUACUAUUUAGUUAAAAAUUCAUAAACCCCCAUUUUAUUUAUAAUUGGCAUUUUCUUUAGUUAGAUUAAUUUAUAUUAUUAUUACUAUUAUUAUUAUUACUAUUAUUUUAUUUUAAAUCUUGCUUUGGAGUUAAUAAUAAAUAUAACUAGCAUAGUCUCUGUGCGAUCGAUCCUUACUCGCUCUGUACUAAUUAUUUAUAUUAGUGGUAAGGUUUUAAAUUUGGUGCACCUUAACGACACUACCAAAUUUUUGGCGCCGUUGCCGGGGACUAGCGUCUAGUUUGUUUAUUAUCACUCGUUUUAUUUUUAUUUUUUUUUAUUUCUUUUCUCAUUUUAUUUAUUUAUUUUAUUUUAAUUAGUUAAUUUUUGUUCUAUAUUUAGAUUUUCAUGAGCAUAGAGGACAUUCGAUUGAAACUCGAACAACUUAGAGCAACCUCAUCAUAUUCAGAACUCGAUUUUGCCAUCCACAUUCCACUCCCGAAGACAGAACCAAGCAGCCCAGAACCCGAACCAAUGGCUCAGAAUAACAACCGAACACUUAAAGAGUUGGCAGCUCCUAACUUGGACCAGCAACCCUUAUGCAUUGAGAAUCCAAACCCUCAGGUAAACUUUGAACUCAAAUCUGGGAUGAUUCAUCUUCUUCCUACUUUUCAUGGUCUUGCAGGAGAGGAUCCAAAUAAGCACUUGAAGGAGUUCCAUGUGGUCUGCUCCACAAUGAAACCAGCCGGAGUUUCUGAAGAGCAAGUUAAGCUAAUGGCCUUCCCAUUCUCUUUGGCGGAUUCAGCCAAGGAAUGGUUGUACUAUCUUCCCUCCGGUACUAUCACUACAUGGAAUGAGAUGCGUCAGCUAUUUUUGGAGAAAUAUUUCCCAACAUCAAAAGCUGGCAGCAUUCGAAAAGAAAUUUGUGGAAUCCGACAGUAUAAUGGAGAGUCGCUCUACGACUAUUGGGAACGAUUCAAAAAGCUAUGUGCUAGUUGCCCUCACCAUCAGAUAAGUGAUCAACUUCUUAUUCAAUACUUUUAUGAGGGUCUACUACCUAUGGAUAGGAGUAUGAUUGAUGCCGCUAGUGGAGGAGCACUCGUGGAUAAGACACCAGAAGCAGCCCGAAAUCUCAUUGCUAACAUGGCUGCUAAUUCCCAACAGUUCAACACUAGGAACGAUCUACUGCCGCCACCUAAGCGAGUCAAUGAGGUAAGUACUACUUCUCUAGAAAAACAAGUUUCAAAUCUUACUUCUUUGGUGCAACAAUUAGCUCUAGGGCAACAAAUGAGACCGUGUGGCGUAUGUUCUAUGGUCGGGCAUGCAACUGAUAUGUGCCCUACUCUCCAAGAGGGUUCACAUGAGCAGACCAACGCAGUUGAGGGGUUCCUAGGCCAAUCAAGACAAAGGUAUAAUCCAUAUUCUAAUUUUUACAAUGAAGGGUGGAAGGAUCACCCUAAUUUUAGGUAUGGGAACCAACAACAAGGCAUUCCUAAUGUGGCACCAUCUCGACCACCGGGCUACCCCCAACAGCGGGUGCAACAACCUUAUCAAGAUCGGUCACCUCCACCUUCUCAAAAUCAAGGUACGUCUUUGGAAGAUCUUGUAAAAGCUCUCGCUACUAACUCUAUGCAAUUCCAACAGACUACCCAGACACAGCUCCAACAUUUAGAGAAUCAAAUUGGCCAAUUGGCCACAUCUAUGAGUAGGAUAGAGGCUAGAACUUCAGGAAAGCUACCUUCUCAACCAUAAAUUAAUCCAAAGGAGAAUGCUAGUGCUAUGUCUCUUAGGAGCGGAAAGCAAUUGGAACCAUUAUUAGCUAAGCCAUCAAAAGUGUCCACAACAUCAUCGCCCUCUGUGACAAUUCCUCCCCUGAGGCUCUUCCUUUAACAAGGAAAGACGAUUCCCACUCGGCAUUGCCAGUCGAUCCAUCUAGCCAGGUAAGUACCCCCUCACCUCGAAUUAAGACUCUUUCCAUUCCUCCACCAUUUCCUAGCAGAUUUAAACAAUCCAAGAAAGAGGAGCAAGAAAAAGAGAUCCUUGAGACCUUUCGUAAAGUAGAGGUAAAUAUUCCUCUACUUGAUGCUAUUAAACAAGUGCCACGUUAUGCAAAGUUUUUGAAGGAAUUAAGCAGCAACAAGCGAAAGUUGAGCGGUAACGAAAAAGUAAGUGUAGGAGAGAACAUUUCUGCUGUACUUCAAAGAAAACUUCCUCCUAAGUGCAAGGAUCCAGGUACUUUUACUAUCCCCUGCACUAUUGGCAAUACCAGAUUCGAAAGAUGUAUGCUAGAUUUAGGGGCCUCAAUUAAUGUUAUGCCAUAUUCGAUUUAUAACUCCUUGAAUUUAGGUCCAAUGGAAGAAACUGGUAUAAUUAUUCAAUUGGCUGAUAGAUCUAACGCUUACCCGAAGGGGGUUGUGGAAGAUGUUCUUGUGCAGGUCAAUGAAUUGGUCUUUCCAGCUGAUUUUUAUAUCCUUGAAAUGGACGAUGAAUCAUCGCCCAAUCCCACUCCUAUUCUGUUGGGGCGACCAUUCCUUAAGAUAGCCCGAACCAAGAUUGAUGUUCAUGAUGGAACCCUUACAAUGGAAUUUGAUGGUGAAGUGAUCCGCUUCAAUAUCUUUGAGGCAAUGAGGUAUCCUAGUGAUGUUCAUUCUGUUUUUGCCAUGGAUGAUAUUAAUACUUUGGUGCAAGAUUUCUUUGAAUUAUCCGGUAAUGACAGUUUUGAAAUUGCCAUAAGCAAAAAUCUUACGAAAGAUGAUUCUAAGGAACAUGCAAAUUUGAUAAAGUUGGAUGAUGAGGCACCUACCUUAGAACUUAAACCACUCCCAGAACACCUGCAAUAUAUUUACUUGGGUGAGAAUGAAACACUUCCAGUCAUAAUUGCUAAAACCCUCACCCCAGUUCAACAAGAAAAGUUAAUUAGGGUGCUUCGGGAUCACAAAACGGCGAUUGGCUGGACCAUUGCCGACAUUAAGGGAAUUAGUCCUUCCAUGUGCAUGCAUCGCAUUUUGCUAGAGGAAGGGUCUAAACCAACGAGAGAUGCACUUUGGGCAUGUAGGACCGCAUACAAAACUCCUAUUGGUAUGUCACCCUACAGGUUGGUAUAUGGUAAGCCUUGUCAUCUUCCAGUGGAACUUGAACAUAAAGCAUGGUGGGCUGUGAAACAAUGUAACAUGGAACUGGACGCCGCCGGCCAACACAGAAAGCUCCAAUUGCAAGAAUUAGAGGAAAUUCGAAAUGAUGCCUAUGAGAGUUCACGAAUCUAUAAGGAAAAGACUAAGGCUUUUCAUGAUAAGCAGAUCUUGAGAAAGAAUUUUGAAGUUGGACAGAAAGUUCUGCUAUUCCAUUCUCGCCUUAAGUUGUUUCCAGGUAAGUUAGGUUCUCGAUGGGUUGGGCCUUUUGUUGUUAUUAAUGUUUUUCAUCAUGGUGCAGUUGAGAUCAGGAGCUUAAAGACAGGUAAAGAGUUCAAAGUUAAUGGUCAUAGGUUGAAGCCUUACUAUGAAAAUUUUCAAACACUCAAUGUAGAGGAGGCUCCACUUUAUGAACCUGCGUACGUUGAUGAGUGAAACUUGAGAACCAGGUCAGGCUGAGGACAAUAAACCAAGCGCUUAUUGGGAGGCAACCCAAUGGUUGGAGAAAAGAAUUUGAGAGCACGCCAUAACAGAUUUGAUCUUUCUCCCUUUCAUUCUCAUUUACUUUAUCCACUAUGUUGAAUUUUGUUUGUUUCUGUUUGUGUGUCUCAUCUCCUUUCCCCAUGUUUAAUUCUUUUGUUAGUUUAGGCUUACAUUGAGGACAAUGUAAGAAUUAAGUGUGGGGGGGUGGAUUUCGAACUUAGUUUUUGUUGCUUUGUCUUUUUCUUUUUUAAAAAAAAAAAUUUGAAUAUUAGCCAGUGAUAAGAAUUUGAUUGACAAUAAAUAUGGUUCUUAGAAAGGGUUGAAUAUUACCUUAGUUUAUACUUGAUUCUUGUGUUGAUUUCCUCUUAAUUGAGAUUCUUUAAACCAUGAGCACUAAUAUCAAUUCUUUCAUAAUUUUGACUUAGAAUUUGAGAUUGACGCAGCCUGAGUUGAGAAUUUUAGAUUGAGUAAAUGACUGUUUGUCUUGAUUCUUAUCUCCACAAUACAGUGUAGUAUACACAGGCACCAUAGUCAGAAAUAGCUACCUAUAACCCUUAAGAGUGAAGCUAUCCUUGAGUAAUUUGGGCCUAUGUACCACCAGUAUGUAGAGGAUAAUCUACCAUGAGAAGAAGGCUACCUUAAGGGGUAGAGUGAAAGCUCCUGACUAAAAAAAAAAAAAAAAACCAAAAAAAAACCAAAAAAAAAAACAAAAAAAAAGAGAACUUCAAAAGAAAAUGCACACAAAUGCCUGUGAAAGAAAGAAAAUUUUUUUUUUGGAGAUCAAGAUGAUAAGAUUAGUUUGACCUACUCUUUUCUUUGUUCGAGGCAAAGGCUGUUGAUAUUGAAGAUUUUGGGAAUGGAUUUUAAUUGAAUUGAUUCACACACACACACAAUGAGAAUCAAAAGAGAGAUGUGAUUGAGUAUUGAAUUAAAGUUAGAACUUCGAUAAUAUUUGAAAUUUUCUUUGAGCUAUAUGAUUUAUGCAAUCUUUGAGGCUAGUUUUAUUUUAAAAUAAAAAAAAAAACAAAAAAAAAAAAAUUGCAAUGAUGUUUGUGGGUAUCAUCGUUGAAGCCCUCACGAGACUAUAACUCGUCCACUAGGGCCGCCUAGGGGUUUAAAGGCUUGUUGCAUACGCUAAAUGCAAUCGUGAUUUCCUACGAAAGUGGACUAGUUUAGGUUUUCUUUUUAUUUUUGUUCUAGGUUUACUCGAGGACGAGCAAAGGGUAAGUGUGGGGGAAUUUGAUAAGUGCAUAUUUUCCACAUAUUUUGCUUUUAAUUUCUCCAUCUUUUUCUUAUUUUGAUCUUAAAUAUUCUAGUUAUUUUAGUUAAUUUUUAAUUUAAUAGGGAAUUAAUUAAUAUACAUAUUUUAUUUUUUUAUAUAUUUGCUAGUUAUUUUUAUUUCUUAUUUUUAAUUCAUUGUAUUAUUUUAUUGAAUAGGAAAUUAAUUGGAGAUUGUGGAUAAUAAAAAGGCAUGAAGAAAUUCAAAUUGAGAAGGAAUGAAGAUUAAAUUGGAAGACAAAAAUCAAAGCAAUUAAUCCAAUUGAGAAAUGUUGAAUAAUUAAAAGAUUUAAUUUUUUCCAAUUGGCAAAUUGGAGUACACGUGCAUGGCAUUGCAAAAGUGGAAAGCAUUUAAACGGGCCCACAAUUGACUUUCAAAAGUUGGAAUUAAUGGCUUUGGGUGGCGUUAAAUUGGAAAAGGAUUUCAAUUAAAAUUGAAAAAGGAUUUCUUUGGAUUUGUUGGAGAAGAAUUCGGUCAACUAGCAUUAUAAAAAGAGAGCAGCUGCUGGACGGAAGAAAAAAAAAAAGACAGGAGAGAGAGCAGGGGCUGAUCCAAUUCGGCAAGAAGAAGAAAAAAAUCAGCAGCCGGAAUUCAAUUGAAGAAAAAGGCAGCCGCUUGAAUUAAUCUCCAUGAUUAGUUUUGUCAAUUCUCUUAUUCUCAAUUCAAUUAUGUUAGGCUAGAUUUUUAUUUGGUUGAGGGUGAAUUCAAAACCCUAAACAUGCUAUGCAAUUAAAUUUAAAUUCUAUCAUUCAAUUUAUUUAAUUGAGAUUGUUUAUGUUCUUCUAUAAUUAAUGUUCAUGGUUUAUUCUUGUUUUAUUUAAGUGGCCAAUUAGAUAGGACUUGAAUAAAUUUUAUUGCUAGAUUAAAAUUCUUAAUCCGUAAUUGUCUUGAUAUUUUAAUCAUUAGUAGCAGGUUGGAAUCAGUGAUUUCAAUUGAAGAACAUAACCUAGGUUAAAUAAUCCGAGCUUGUGUGUUUAUUGCCUAGAUCAACCUAAUAUCUUUCUCUGUUUAAUGCUUCCAUUAUCUUAAAUUUAAAGAGCUUGUUUUAAAUUAUUUAAUGGUUAGAGAUUAUGUGAAGAGCUUAUUUUGCCUAACGACACACUAAGGAAAGAUUGAGACUAACAGAGCUUAUUGUUGUCUACGGUUGAUAGUUUUAAUAUAAAUUGAUGGUAGAAUUGAUAUAUUAUGUGCAUGUUUGGUGGUGGCGAAUGAUCCUUUAACCAAAGUUUUCAUCAUUAUUAUUUCCUUCUCAUUUAAUUAGAGUUUUUAUUAAAUUCUUGUUCGUAGUUUUAAUUUCUUUAUUUCUUACUAUUUAGUUAAAAAUUCAUAAACCCCCAUUUUAUUUAUAAUUGGCAUUUUCUUUAGUUAGAUUAAUUUAUAUUAUUAUUACUAUUAUUAUUAUUACUAUUAUUUUAUUUUAAAUCUUGCUUUGGAGUUAAUAAUAAAUAUAACUAGCAUAGUCUCUGUGGGAUCGAUCCUUACUCGCUCUGUACUAAUUAUUUAUAUUAGUGGUAAGGUUUUAAAUUUGGUGCACCUUAACGACACUACCAAUAAUACAGAUCCGGAUAUCCGGUUUUCCGAAUGUAAGUGCAUCCGGAUCCGCAUGGAUCUUAAUUUUUAAGAUCCGGAUUCGCAUUUUUUAACGUACAGAUCUGAAUUUUUUGAAUUCGAAUCUUCUGAAUAUUUGCUGAUCCAGAGUUUAUUGCCAACCCUAAAUUGAUAAGGCUAUAGAAAAUUCAAUAUCCAGAUCGGAUAAGGAUCCAAUAAAUUAUAAAAUAUUGCGGCUCAAAGCCCAUAUGAUCAUGGGCCACCGCUUGCUCAUGCUUUGAAUCAAAAUUUUCUAAUGAAGUGAGGUUGGAAGCUAAAAGGGGCAAAUGAUGAAAUGGGGUUCAUCAUUUAUUGAGCCCAACGGGACAAGAUCAUCAUUUAAUUCCCUCCUCUUGUCGAUAGAUAUUUGCCGAAUUUUUUCAUUUAAAAAAUAUUAUAUUGGUUAAUAGAAUUUGAAGUUUUACAAAAUAUAAGUUUAAUUUUAGAAAAAAUUAUAUUUGUUAAUUUAAAAUUUUCAUUUGGUGGUUGUGUUUGAGAAAAAUUUUAGGUAUACUCGGAUAUACUCUCUUAUUAUUCAUUGAAUUUGGGCAUUUAAACAUACUAGUAUAGUAUGCAGUAUUUUUAGGUAAUUAGCGGAGAAGUAUACGUGACAAAAAUAUAACACGUGAAACAAUACACAAUGAAAUUAUCUACAAUUUUCCAUUGACUUAGUCAACUCUUCAUUAAUUUCAUUGACUUGAUCAACUCAUGAAUCAUGAUCUAACUUGACAACUUGAAAAUUAAAAUAUGCUAGUAAUUCCGUAAAAUUAAAAUUUAUCUCCCAAAAUUGAUAAAUACUGUGUCACUUUGUCAAAUUACUUAGGGUAAAAACUCUGUGGCUAAAAACUUUUAACAUUAGUUGUAUGCUAAUUGAGAAGGACAAGACACAAAAGAAUUCAAUGAAUGCGACAUCAUGUAACACUAACACUAUUUACUCUUAACAAAUUCUUACAAACGUGAUUCAUGAAAUUAACUUGACUUUUUGUCUAAAAAAGGCCUAAAGAAACAUGCCAAGCAACAAAUAAAGUAGUCCAAACGUGAUUCAUGAAACUUGAUAGGCACUAUCUAAAUAGUAUUAAUAUGGCAACCAAAAACAUCCGCGCAAAAUAGACUUUCUUGGACGAUCCAUGCCAAUCAACAAAUAAAGUAGUCCAAACGUGAUUCGUGAAACUUGACUUCUUGUCUAAAAAGGCCUAAAGAAACAAGACCAAAAUUUCCAUGCAAUAGCAAUAUGGUGGCCACAAUGCACUUUUUAAGCCAUUUUUCAAAACUAAGUUUCUUCGUAUCACAUGCACUAUUCAAGCAAUUUUUCAACAUUUUCUCCUUCCCCUAAAAGCUACAUGCAUGAAUCAUGUCCCAAUCAAUUUCUUGGCAAAAAUUGGAACGCAAGAACCGAUUGGAGCAUAAGGACAAUGUCACGAUUCAAGAUUCUCAGCAAGACCACGUCACAAUGCAUCACUUUUGGAAAGUAAUUUAGCAAUUUCCAAUGCCUUAGCUGAUUAAUGGCUUGAACAUGUCACGAUUGGUCCACAUUAUGCACAUGGCAAGAUCAAACAAAAUAUCACAGCUAGCUCGACGACUACUAGCCAAAAUAACAAGACAAUGACGGCCAGUUACAAACUCUUUACGAAGGAAAUACCGAAAUAUGAAUAUCCCUCCUAAUCACUUUCUUAUAUUAUAAUUAUUUUGUACAUAUAACAGAACACGUUCUCUCUUGUAAACAAGUCAAGAAAACGGUUUUAGUUUUCAUAUCAAUAAUGGAAUCCAAAAUCUUUCACAGCUUGCUUCUCCUUUGGACGCUUGAAAGACUUUCUUACCUGGCUAAGACUGAAAAUUGUUUGCGGUCAACUCGUGGCACCCUUAUUGACACGCAAAGAACUUACAUCGAGGAGUUGUUUGAUUUUAUGUUUCAAAUUAAGUACCAUAGCAUUACUACUUCUAUAAAUAACUCAUUUGAGCUUCCAGCCUGUUAUUUGUAUUUUACGUUUCUGUUUCUCUUCAUAAAUAUUUUUUUUUCCAUUCUCUUUUUCUUCCACUUUCCCGACUCCCAAACACCACCAGUCUUUGAUUUUCCUAGAGUAUUAACUGUCUGUUUACACGAACAUAGACCGACUGUUUGUCUAAUUACUGUCAAGAAACAGCAUACUCUGUCUCGGGGUCUCUUCGUUUAUUGACUUGUCACUUGUGAACGGGAUAAUUAAAGGGCAUUCCUUUCUUCAAGAAAGAUUGCCAAGAAAGUACCAUCCAUUAGACACGUUAAGAGUUAUUUUACAUUAAAAAUGAUAAUAAUCAUAAUAAUCGGUUUAGUGUUACCCCUUUAUUAGGUAAUGACUGUCCGAUUGUCUUCGCUUUCAUUGACUUCGCAACUGUGAAUUCUAAGCCGGGUUAAGGAUUGACAAAAUGUUAUAACCCAUAAAGCACGGAUAAUUAAUUAAUGGGCCACUGAUUUCUUCUUUAAAGGCUAAUUCUUGGUAAAGAUCAGAAAGUUCUCAAAUAAAAAUUCGGCUUUGUGGAAAUUAAAUUAAAAGCAAUUAAGCAUUAUAAAUUACUUAACAGCUUAAUCGAGUUUGGUUUUGAAAAAUAUAUCUUUAAAUCUCUUGUAAUUAAAGAUAAUUAUCAUAUUACCGUCUCAAAUGGACCGAUUUCAAUCAAAUGAAAUCUAGAAAAUUGAGCAGCUCAUUGAUGUAUUUGAUCGAACUUGUGUCAGAGUCUUCGUUUUAGAAGAGUGCACAGCAGCUGCCAGGUCCACUUGGCAGUUGGCACGCUAAAAAUUUUCUGUUGACCAAUAAUUUUGAAAGGGAUAUUAUUAAUUUACUAUCAAAUAUUUUCUAACACAUCACUUUACUAUCAAAAUUUUUUGACAAUAAUUUUUUGUCACUUAAUAUUUCAAUUUUUAUCAUUUUAUCAUCAAAAAAUAGUAAAUGCAUGCGUAGUGUCAGUUAUUCAUAAAAAUGGUUGUUGAAUUGUCCUGUUUCUCAUUUGGUUUAAUUUUCAUAAAUUCGACUCACACAAUUCAAUUAUGAGUGAAGAGUUUUUUUUUGGGAAAAAAUCUGGUCUUCCAUUUACUAGAAUCACGUCUGAAUGAUUUUGUUAUUUUUCUUUUGUUUGAAAUAUACGUGGAAAAUGUUGAACACUUUGUAGGAUUUAGAAGAAUUUGAAAGUUUGAAUGCAUAUAGUUUACUAUCCAUCAACUAGUGCAUAUUCUGUAUUUUAUGAAAUCAAAGCUGGUUGAUUGAGAAAUGGACCUUAUUACAUGUCAUAAGAUUUUACAGUGCUUUCUAAUGGAGCAAAAUAAAAUGAUUCUUACCUGCACAGAAAAUUAGAUGUUACACUUAAAUUUAUUAUCCAUCUCUAUUGUUUAUAUGACACUGAAGUAUUACCUAAAUUAGCCUUUCAAAACUUCAUUUUCAAAAAUCUAUGGUUGUGAUGCGUCUCUAUAAACUCACUCGUACAAAUUCUAUCUAAUGCCAAUCAUUUUAAACUCUGUUCUGAACAGAGCAUGAAAGGAUAUGUUCACUUAUCUAGUUAUGUUUUUUAUGCUUUCACUUCACUUGAUUCACCUUGUCCCUCUUUUAAAACAGCUGCAUAUGCUGGAGUGCCAAAUCCAUCACAAGGAUCAUAUUACAGAGUAUUUCGGGAUUCAAGACUGUAUGCCACGCUGGCAAGUGCGCUCUCACAGAUUGUGGAGAUGGCACCAAAGAUUGUAAACUAACUAGUACUGAAAAAUCCUAUUUGCACAUAAAAUUGCAUAAAAUAAAUAGACUGAGAAAUAAGAUUAAUAAAGUAAAUAAAUUUAUCUUUCUAGUGUUUUUGUGUACGUACAAGUAGCAUUACUCAUUAGCAAUUAGUCUAGAGUGUUCUGAUUUUUUCUAAUAAGUAGCUCACUUGAGCCUAGGACUUGUAACUAUGUUUUACGUUUCUGUAACUUUCUAAUAAAGAUUUUUUUUUUUUAAUUUUCAAUUUCUCUUCCAUUUUCCUGACUCCCAAACACCACCAAUCCUUGAUUUUCUAGAGUAUCAGCUAUCUAUUUCUACAAACACAAAACUACUAUUUACUUUCAAGAAACAACGUAUUCUGUGGUUUAUUGGCUUGUGCCUUGUGAACGGGGCUAAUGUUGGUCUAACUACUUUCACGAAACAACGUACUCCGUGGUUCAUUGACGCGCACGGGGCUAAUUGUCUCCUCUUCCAUUGACUCUGUCAAUUCAUGACUUUGACGCGCACGGUAGCUGCUAACUGCCUUCUCCAUUUGACGUGCAAAAAACUUUCUUGAGUCGGGUUAAAAUUAAUUGAUCAUUUUAUUUGGUGAUAAUGACUUAGUUGUCAAGUCAUGAGUUUGAUGAUGAAGAGGACGAAAAACAUUACUUUAUUAUUUAAAAUAAGACUAUCAAUUAAAUGGAAUCUUACGGAAUUAGAGUGCUUGACUUCUUUUUACAGAAUUAUGAAGUGAAAAAGGAAAUUAAGAAAUUAAAUACUUUUCAUGCGAGUGGAGAAGAUUGGGUAGCGAUUACAUGAAAUAAAAGAAAAAUAAUUUAAAAGUACAACACUUUAAUAAUCUCAUUCCCAAUCAUAUCGGUAUAAAAAUUAUGUAGAUUUAUUGAAUAACUAUUGAUUUUACUUUGGUAAUUUCUUUCUAAAAGUGAGGUAAACAUUUUUAUUUUCUUUGCAUUCGAGCUUUCUUUCUUUUGCGCUGGCCUUCACACUCUUGACCGUAUUUCAUGUAUUUAGUUUUUGUCAUCAUGACUGGUGAAAUAAAAAUAGUCCUCAUUUCAAGGAUUGACAAAAACGUUGUGCUCAUACCGAUUAAUGGGGAACUGAUUUCGUCUUCUUAAAAGAGAAUUAUUUGCAGCGCGGUAAUUAGAAGAUUUCUGUAUUAUAUAGCCAAACCUAAGUGAUAAGAAUUUCCAAAUGAGAUAUAAUUUGGAGGGAAACAAAAAACUAAUUCAAGUUAAAGACCAGCAAUUUCCAUAUGUGAUAUAUCCUUCACUCUUUGACGUAUCCCUGGGGCAAUGUAAGUUGACUUUAUAUUAAAACAAAACAUAAUUACAAUUAUCAUCACUGAUUUGUAUAAUUUUCAGGACUAGUAAAUUAUCUCAAUUUUUAAAAAACAUAAUUACAAUUAUCGAUCGAACACCACUAAUUCCAACAAUUCAUCCAAGUUUUUCAACUUUUUAGAUAUUUGAUAUAUGUCAUGUUUUAACUUAGUACGAGAAAAAAAUUAUAGAAUUUUUUUUUUUUCAAAUUAGUGGAAUUAUUUUACGAUAAAACUAUCACAAUCACAUUUAAAAAUAUUCUUUAAACUUUCACUAUUUCUACUGUUAUUCUUUAAACUUUUUUCUGAACAGAGCAUGGAGGGUCGCUUAUCUAAAUAUGUUUUCUGUGCUUUCACUUCACUUGAUUCAUCUUGUCCCUCUUUUAUAGCUUCUAUCUCGUGUGAGCUUAGAACCUGCAACUUGUAUUUUACGUUUCUGUUACUUUCUCUUUCAUUUUCCCGAUUCCCAAACACCAUCAGUCCUUGAUGUUAUAGAGUAUUAGCUGUCUAUUUGUUCAGACAUAGAGCUACUGUUCCCAGUCCCACUGUAGAUCUUCAGUGGUUAGCUCACUAUUGUUUGAAUAUUAAAAUUAAUUUGUUAAAUAAAUAAAGAAAACAAGAGACAAUUGCCAUAUAUAUUCCAUAUUAAUUAGUCACCGUCCGAUUGUCUCCACUUCCAUUGACUCUGUUGAUUCAUGCUUUCAUGAAGUGAAACGUUUAACACUCUGUUCUGAUCCGCAGGAGAGGAGGAAAAACAUAAUUUUAUUAUUUCAUUCCUGACACGCGCAAUGAGCUUUCUUAAUUGAUGAAUGUGACAUGAAGCUCUAUAAAUAGUUUAAUUUGUAAAAUUGUUAAAAUUUGUUAAAUUUCAUUUAAUUGAUGAAUGUGACAUGAAACUCUAUAAAUAGUUUAAUUUAUAAAAUUGUUAAAAAUUUAAAUUUCAAGUAAGGUAGAUAAAAUGAUUAACUUUUUUCAAUAUUUAGAUAAUUAACAUGUGUCAUGUAACUAUGAGUGAAUGAAUGAAAUUUUUGAAGUACGAAUCCAUUUACAAGUUACGACUUGUCUUGUUUCUCAUUUUACUUAAUUUUCAUAAAAUUGACUCAUGAUCAAUUAUGAGCGAAGAGUUUGUUGGUCUUCCAUUUAUUGUAAUCAGAUGAGUGUGAUUUAAUUAUUUUUUCCUUUUGCUUGAUGUCCCGAAAAUUAUGAAUGCUUUUGUAGGAUGCAGAAGAUUAAAAAUUUUAAUGCAUAUCUAUAGUCAAAACUGAGGAAACAGAACAUUAUUGCUUCUAUAAAUAGGUCAUUUCAGCUUAAAACUUGUUACUUGUAUUUUACAUUUUUGUUUUUUUAACUUUUUCUUCCAUUUUCCCAAACACCACCAAUCCUUGAUUCUUUUCCUAGAGUAUUAGCUGUCGAUUGUUACAAACAUAGACAUACUGUUUGUCUAAUUACUAUCAAGAAACAACAUACUCUAUCCUGGAGUCUCUUCGUUUAUUUAAUAUUUAGGUUUAUUAAUAUACUACAUUAUUAAUUAAAUUAAUUAAUAAUUUAAAUUAAUUAAAUAAUAAAAGUUAAAUGAUUAUAUUUAAAAUCCAAGUAGUAUUUUAAUGUAAUGAAACCUAAAUCCCACCUCUAUACCACAUUUGUUAUACAAUGUAAUGCAACUAUAAAUUAUAAUUAUAUGAAAAUAAUAUUUUAAUACAAUAUAAUACAAGUAUAAUAGUAUUACAAGUGUAAAGGCUGUAAUAUUAAUUAGCCUGUAUAAUAUUAUGCCGUGCUGGCAAGUGUGCUAUAACAGAUUGUCGAGCUGGCACCAGUUAUUUUAAACUAAUAUUAGUAAUUAGUCUAGAGUGUUCUGAUUUAUUCUAUAAAUAGCCCAUUUAAGCUUUUUUCUCUAUUCCUUUUUCUUUCACUUUCUCUUCCGUUUUCCCGACCCUCAAACACCGUCAAUCCUUGAUUUGAACUGCUGUUUGUUUGUCUAAUUACUUUCAAGAACAAUACCCUCCAUCCCGCGGUCUCUUCGUUUAUUGACUUGUGAAUAUCAAUAAAUUUUUAUUACAUUCAAGAUAAGGACUGACCAAAUUAUUAAAAUGUGAUGCCACGUGUGUGAGUAAUUGGAUUGGACUGACCAAUACUUUGACGUUCAUAUUGGUUUAGGACCAUUCAUAAUUAUGACUUAAAUAGUUUCCAUUAAUAUCGAUUUUUCUAGAUUCUAAUUUCUAAAUGGUUAGAAGUUUCAGCCACUUAAAGCAAAGGAAUAAUCGCCCUUCUUGCACGGAAGCACGGAUAUUCCAGGAUUAAAAUCCUAGCCUAACUCCAACGCCAGGGAUUGGCAUCUAUUCCUAAGACAAAUUAACUAAUUACAACCGCUUAAUAAUAAUAAUAAUAUAUUAUUGUUGAGAUGAUGCGCUGGCAAAUCAUACAGGUGUACGUCCUAACCAAUAUGCUACGUUUCCCCACAUUAUAUAUUGUUUGAGGGAAAUGCUUCGAUGAGACCAGAAGUGAUGAGCAGAUAUUUGGUGGCAGAGUUCUGCGAACAGGUGCGUCCUGUAAGAGCCUGGUAGCAGGGGAACAGGAGCAGGAAUAUUCUGCUCGUCCAAGAACAUGCCAUUCACGAGGACGAACUCCUGUUAGAGGCAUGAGGCCAUUCCUGCUAGGGGUCGAGGCAAGGAGGCCCGGUCAACGACAGUUGGUAAGGCGUGCAUUCCUCCCCGAGAAUCAAGGCGCGAAGUCCAUCUCCAUUUGCCCACAAUGGCGAUAAUGGGGCAUCCACAUCCGAGAGUGGGGAGAAUAACGGGCGUGGACUACAGAAGACUGGGAUUCAGAGGAAGCCUAUAAAAAGGUAGCCAACGAAGGUAAAAGGGUUGGACUUUUUGCUAUUAGAACUAAGAAAAGAAAACUCUAAGAACUGAGAUUGAAAAGACACCAUAGGAUUCGUGGCAAACAUUCCCAGAACCUUCAUAUCUGACUUGAGCGUCAGAUGGUUUACGCCGGGAAAACAACCGGCGUACUCUGACCUGCUUCUGUGUACGCAGGAACUUUUGGAGAAGAAACCUUACGAGGAGAGAUCCUGGUCGUGGUAGAGUUGAUCGAGCCGAGUUCCUGGUCUUGGUAGAGAAGGCAACCAGAAUCUCGCAUCAACAUUUUGGCGCCGUCUGUGGGGAGCUGAGAAAAAAGCUUCUGCUGAUAGCAAGAAGAGGAGUGAAGCAAGUGAAAAGCAAUGGAGACAGGAGGAAGUAGUGCACAAGGGGGUGAUAUAAGGCUUAAUGAUUCCGUGACGUUGAGGGAGAUAGCCAGUGAAGCGCGGGAAAAAGCCAUGUUCGACCGGAUGGAACGGAUGGAAAAGCAAAUGGAGACCCUGACAACCAUCCUGCAUGAGUUGCGGAGUGAACGAAGAGUAACCCAGGAGGAAAGGGUGAGAAGUGGUGGAGUGGCACCAGGUCCCGAUAGUACGAGGAGAAGUCGAACCACCGUGAGAUUUGGUGGUGAGAGAGGUAACAUACCUCUGCGGGGAGAAUUUCAUAGAGAGGAAGAGCAAUCCCCGGCGAGACAGAUUUUUGAGGAGGACGACGGGGUGGCGAAUGCAGAGGAAACAGAGUUGAGGCAACACUUGCAUGAUUUAGAGCAAGAGCGGGAUCAAGUUGCAGCACGUGACCCUGGUCGUGCAGUGCAGCUGGAGGAGGAAGUGCGCAGGCUAGCGCAGAUAAUUGACGACAUGCAAGGAAGGAGUAGAGCUCCUGGUUGGAGGAUAAUGCUGGACGGAGAAUCACCGCUCGCAGCAGAGAUCAUGAGGGCAGUUAUUCCGAGAGAUUUCCGCCUCCCAGAUCUUAGAUAUUCGGGACGAACUGAUCCGCUGGUGCACAUAGAGCGCUUCAAUGACAUAACUGGGGUACAAGGAUUAUCUCAAUCCCAAAGGUGCAGGGUGUUCCCACUAUCCCUUGAGGGACGUGCACGAGAGUGGUACAUGAAACUUCCUCGGGGGAGCAUUAAAACCUUCGAGCAGAUGUGCCAGGAAUUUGCAGAGCAGUUUCGUGGGGCAAUGGCACCAGAAGAUGACAUGAUGGAGUUGAAAAGCAUGAAGCAGAGGGAACAAGAAACACUUCGGGAAUUCAUCAAGAGGUUUCACCGUGCUGUCCUUGAUUUGGGAGCCUUCAACCAUCCUCAAGCAUUAAGGGGACUGAAAGAAGGGGUGAAGAUAGGAAGACUAUGGUACAAUUUGAGAAGCCCAGUUAUUCAGACGUAUACAGCCGCAUACGAGCAGGCUAAGAAGGACAUUGAGAUUGAAGAGGAAAAGACAGCACGAAUCAAGACAGACCAGUUAGAAGGGUUGGGGAAGAAAGAAAAGAAAGCAUUGCCAGGGAAUGGGCCGAUCAGGAGGAGGGACCACUAGGCCUCAGGUAGUGGAGCAGGAGGUCGGGUAACUACUUACCAGCCUCAUCAGAGGCCACCAUAAUAUCAGCGCAGCAGGGUGCAACCUCCUCGUUCCCCAGCUAGGGAACUUUGGAGAAGGCAUGACUCGGCAUAUGGUGGUCUUCAUCAACACUCCCACGGUAGUAGAGUGGGCAGACCAGAAGUGCUGCCACCGCCUCCAACUCAGAACGGAGCAAACAGAGAAAGGGCAGUGCACCUGAUCGACCAGAACCAAGACUAUGGGCGGUAUACUUCCUUGAAGAUGUCCCUGGACGAGGUGUACGAGGCCAUAAAGGAUCGAGGGUUGCUAUACCUCCUUGCCCCAAUAACAAAGCUACCCAGCAGGAGGGAUAAGGGACGCUAUUGUAAGUUCCAUGGCACUCAUGGCCACACCACAGUAGAUUGCAGGGAUCUCAAGACCCAGGUUGAAGAUUUGGUGAGAAAUCGGUACCUGCACGAGUUUAUAGAUGGGACCUUCCCAAUGGUAGCCUCGACAAGCGAAAGGGAGCAGAGUGACAGAAACUUGAGGCGCGAGCCGCCUGCAGUAAGGGUGAUAGCUGGGGGCCCAACAUUGGCUGGAGAUUCCAACAGGUCGAGGAAGAAUUAUGCUAGAUACGCCAUGACUAGCAAAGAUGUGUUCUUCAACACCCCAGCAGCCAAACGUGCAAGAGUCAGGCAAGUGCCAAUCAUGUGGACAGAUGAGGAUGAAGAAGGGAUUCUAUACCCCCACGAGGAUGCUUUGGUCAUCAAGGCCACUGUUGCCAGCAAGAAGUUUGACAGGAUACUGGUUGACAUAGGGAGCUCAGUUGAUGUGUUGUUUAAGUCAACCCUUGAGGAGAUGGGAAUAGCAGACCUGAAGUUGGAUUACACCAAUACCUCAUUGAAGGGGUUUGGAGGAGGAAAGUUGGUCCCUCUAGGCGUAGUCGAGCUGCCUAUCACGAUUGGGAGCUCCCCGACAGAAAGGACAAUGAUACUGGACUUUGUGGUAGUGGAUGAGGAAGGUCCUUACCAGAUGAUCCUAGGCCGGCCAUUUCUGAGGAUGAGCAAAGCGGUGCUGUCCAACCAUUAUCUAGCUCUCAAGUACCGGGUGAAUGGGGUAGUUGGACUGGUACGAGGAGACCAGAGGAUCGCAAGAAGCUGCUACUCCUCGGCAACAAGGGAAGCAAUGCAGAUAACAUCGCUUGAUACCCGAGUGGAAAACAAGAAUGGCAGACAAGAACCUGUGGAGGAUCUAGAGACAGUAAGCCUGGGACUAGAGAAUCCGGGAAAGACGAUCAGAAUCGGGUCGAAGCUUAAGGAAGAGCAAAAGCAGGAGUUGGUGAAAUGCUUACAGGCUCAUGCAGAUGUGUUUGCUUGGACACAUGAAGACAUGCCAGGGAUUAAUCCUGAGGUAGCAUGUCAUAAGCUGGCAAUAAAGAAAGGUGCUCGGGCAGUAAGGCAGAAGAGGAGGUGCUUUAACCAGGAGAGGUAUGAGGCUAUAAAUGGCGAGGUGGAAAAGCUCUUGAGAGCAGGAUUCAUUCGAGAAGUCAAUUAUCCCGAGUGGAUUUCGAAUGUGGUGUUGGUAAAGAAGGCAAAUGGCAAGUGGAGGAUGUGUGUGGAUUUUACAGAUCUCAAUAAAGCAUGCCCGAAAGACAGCUUCCCUUUGCCAAAAAUCGACCAGCUAGUAGAUUCAACAGCUGGGCACGGCCUGCUUAGCUUCAUGGACGCGUUCUCGGGAUAUAACCAAAUCCCCAUGUACGAGCAGGAUGAGGAGAGCACUGCUUUUAUCACUAACCAGGGUUUAUUCUGUUACAGGGUAAUGCCAUUUGGUCUCAAAAAUGCUGGGGCCACCUAUCAGAGGCUGGUGAAUAAAGUCUUUAAGCCGUUGAUCGGGAAAACCAUGGAGGUGUACGUGGAUGACAUGAUCACCAAGUCCAAAAUCCCGAAGGAACAUGUCGGACACCUCGAGGAGACAUUCGGGCUUUUGAGGAAGUAUAAAAUGAAGCUUAACCCGGAGAAGUGUGCUUUUGGGGUCAAGUCAGGGAAAUUCCUUGGAUUCAUUGUGAGCCAUAGGGGAAUUGAGGCAAAUCCCGAGAAGAUCCAGGCGAUCGUGCAGAUGAGGUCUCCUCAUAGCCUAAAGGAGAUGCAGAGCCUCACGGGGAGGUUGGCGACAUUGAGCAGAUUCAUAUCUAAGGCUACAGGUAAGUGUCAGCCGUUCUUUCAAGUGAUAAGGAGGGGAAAGAAAAUAGAAUGGACUCCAGAAUGCGAGGAAGCCUUCUAGAACUUGAAGCAAUACUUGCAGCAAGCACUUCUGCUGUCCACACCGAGGGUUGGGGACAAGUUAUUUCUGUAUUUGGCGGUAUCAGAUCGGGCCACAAGUUCUGUUCUGGUGAGAGAGGAAGAAAGGGUUCAAUAUCCGAUAUAUUACACUAGCAAGGCCCUGCUCGACGCUGAGACCAGAUACCCACCGUUGGAAAAAUGGGCACUUGCCCUUGUGGUUGCUGCUCGGAAGCUGAGACCAUACUUCCAAGCAUUCCCAGUCUCGGUAAUAACAAACCAGCCAUUGCGUCAAACUCUGCACAAGCCAGACGCCUCUGGUCGGCUCGUCAAGUGGGCUGUAGAGCUGAGCGAGUUCGACAUAGACUACAAACCCCGAGCAGCGAUAAAGGCUCAGGCAAUGGCCGAUUUCGUAGCAGAAUUCACAGAGCCCGAAGUAUGUUUGGACCAACGAGAGGUAGCUACAGACAGUGGCGAAGCCCAAGUAUGGCAAAUGUUUGUAGAUGGGUCAUCAGGGGAGCAGGGAUUGUCUUGGAAGGACCGGAGGGGGAGCAGAUCUCUUAUGCUGUAAAGUUAGAAUUCGCAGCCACAAAUAACCAGGCAGAGUAUGAAGCCUUGAUAGCAGGUUUGGAAUUGGCUAAGGCCGUGAAAGCAGACAGAGUGAAGAUCAGAACUGAUUCCCAGCUGGUUGCAAAUCAUGUCAGUGAAAGAUUUCAACCAAGAGAGGAGAAGAUGGAGCAGUACCUGAAGAUAGUCAGGCAGAUGAUGGGGAAAUUUGAAGCAGUGGAGGUGGUACAAAUCCCCAAGGAGCAGAAUAGUCAAGCAGAUAUUUGGCCAGGAUGGCAGCGGUAGCAGACCCAAAAAUGCCAAAGUCGAUCCCUCUGGAGGUGAAGUCCAGCCCGAGCAUCGAACAGAAUUUGGGGGUGCUACGGAUAGAACAAAAAUGCUCGUGGAUGGACCCAAUAAUUUCGUACCUUAGAGACGGGGUAUUACCACCAGAUAAACUGCGAGCUCGGAAGGUUAGAGCCCAGGCCUCGAGAUACACGAUGAUUGAUGGGGUACUGUAUCGGCGAGGAUAUACACUACCUUUCCUUCGAUGUUUGGAUGAGGACGACGCGGAUUACGUACUAAGAGAAGUACAUGAAGGGAUUUGCGGAAAUCAUUCUGGUGGGAGGUCCCUGGCCCACAAGGUUCUAAGACAGGGAUAUUUCUGGCCAACAAUGCACCAGGAUGCGCAAGGGAAGACCAGGAGCUGUGUAAGCUGCCAGAGUUUUGCAAGUUUCUCCAACCAACCACCAGAGAAGCUCACCUCUAUGGCCUCCCCAUGGCCAUUUGCUCAAUGGGGAAUUGAUCUGAUCGGCCCGUUGCCAAAGGGACGAGGAGCAGCAACGCAUGCAAUAGUUGCUAUAGACUACUUCACGAAGUGGAUAGAGGUAGAAGCCCUUAGCAGGAUCACAGAGAAGAAAACAACAGACUUUGUGUGGAGAAACCUGGUUUGUCGAUACGGGAUCCCUUAUGCCUUGAUAACGGAUAAUGGUAGGCAGUUCGAUAAUCACAGCUUCAGGGAUUUCUGCUAGAACCUCGGGAUAGAGUUGAAGUAUUGCUCGCCGGCUCACCCUCAAUCUAACGAACAAGUAGAAGCAACCAACAAGACAAUCAAGAGGCUUUUGAAAACCAGGCUUGGAGCAAAGAAGGGUGCUUGGGUUGAUGAGCUAUCAGGCGUACUAUGGGCAUACAGGACAACCCAUAAGACAGCAACGGGGGAGACACCGUUCGCCUUGGCUUUCGGACAUGAAGCGGUCAUACCAGCUGAGAUAGGAACCACCACAUACCGAACAGAUCAUUUCAACGAGCAGGACAACGACGAGCAGAUGUGUUUGAAUUUGGACUUGCUAACGGAAAAAAUGGAGCAAGCAACCGAGCGAUAAGUCAUUUACCAGCAGAGGGUUGCCCGAUAUUAUAACCAGAAGGUGAAUGUACGGCAGUUCAAGGUCAGAGAUUGGGUGUUAAAGAGAGUGAAUCAGAACACCAAAGACUCAACUCAAGGAGUGCUCGGACCGAAUUGGGAGGGGCCAUACAGGGUCAAGCAGCUAGUUGGACCAGGAGCUUACAAGUUGGUUCGCAUAGAUGGCCACGAGGUGAAGCGCCCAUGGAACGCAGCACAUCUCAAGAAAUAUUUCCAGUAAGAGUCGUUCAUAUUUUCAAGUUCUUUCUGUUCGUGUUCGUUGUUAUUUAUUUUAUGUCAAAACGAUCUCAUGUAAGCCGAAUUCAACAAUAAAGGGAUCAAUGAGGAAUUUCAGUCAGCUAUACUGUCAUCGAAGAAUUUUCUAAGGCAUGCAAAGGCUCAUCAAGUCUCAAAGCCUGUUUUAUGGCGAGACAGAAGCCAAGCGUGCCAGGGUUUGCUCGACCGCGCGAAGGUGAGCAGAACCCCCAAACAUCGAAAUAUUUUCUAAGGCAUGCAAAGGCUCACAAAGUCUCAAAGCCUGUUUAUGGCGAGACCAGAAGCAAGCGUGCCAGGAUCUGCUCGACCGCGCGAAGGCGAGCAGAAUCCCAAGCAUUGAAGAAUUUUCUAAGGCAUGCAAAGGCUCAUCAAGUCUCAAAGCCUGUCUAUGGCGAGACAGAAGCCAAGCGUGCCAGGGUCUGCUCGACCGCGCGAAGGUGAGCAGAACCCCCAAACAUCGAAAUAUUUUCUAAGGCAUGCAAAGGCUCACCAAGUCUCAAAGCCUGUUUAUGGCGAGACCAGAAGCAAGCGUGCCAGGAUCUGCUCGACCGCGCGAAGGCAAGCAGAAUCCCAAGCAUUGAAGAAUUUUCUAAGGCAUGCAAAAGGCUCACUAAGUCUCAAAGCCUGUCUAUGGCGAGACCGGAAGCCAAGCAUGCCACGAUUUGCUCGAUCGAGCAAAGGCGAGCAAAAUCCCAAGUCAUGUAGAAAGACCAUAUUCUAAGCCAAAGCCUGCUCGACCAAGUGAAGGCGAGCAAACCUUCAAAUGGAAAAAUAACUUGUAAAUACAAACGCAAGAAAGUAAUCAAAAACAGUUUUUAUUAAUUUAUCAAUAACCAACAAAGUUGUUCAUUACAACGCAAGAAAUAUGUUCAAGAAGAUGGCGGAUCAGUAAGCCGAGCAGCUUCGGUUGGCUGGACCUCCUCAGGUGCAGGGGGGUAUCACCAGUUGCGUCCGGUGGGGUGCUCGCCUCGCCAACAUCAGCAGGGAUUGUACGAGGAGGAGAGUUUUCCUCCUCAAUCACGAUUGGCUCCACCCCUUCGGCAUCUUCCUUGGCCGCCUCCUCGUCUAUAUGUUGAGCAACACCAGCUGCUAGGUCAUCCAUCUUCAUAUCAGGAUACUGCUUCCCGAGGACGGCCAUGAUGUAACGAUAGGAAUGCCGAAGUCCCUGGUCGUAUUGAUUGUCGGCCUCCUUCUCCAAGUUCUCGACCUGAACUCGGUGGGAAUCGCGGAGAGAUUCGAGCUGAGCCUCAUACAUAGCCUUCUGCCUUUGAAGAUCCUCCUUGACCUUGGUCAACUCCUCCUCGAGGGUAAUGGCUUUUGCUUGAGCAAGAGAUUCUUGCUCUAUCAGCUUCAGGUUCUCGACAUUCAGCUCCCCUGCUUUCUUCUCGGCAUGGUCAGCUCUGGUCAUCGCCGACUGAAUGUCCUCCUUCAUCUUCCUGUCAUAACGGCCAACCUUGGCCUUAUAGUAAGUGGUCAUGCAGUUGAGAUGGAAAGCGCUAUACUGCAUGGCUCCUACCAGCUCGCCCAGGGUGUAGCCAUCAAAGUCCUCCAGGUCCUUCUUGCUCACGAGUUUAGAUAACUCAUUGAGAUAGAGGACCAAGUGUUCUGCUCGGUUGUCAGGUAAGCGAGACCGAGGCCGACAGGAGGAGAAGAGGACGCAGGAUCUAUGGCUGCUCCACUAGUUUCCCCGACUUUGGCAGGAGCAGAAGGUAAAGUCUUCAAGGGAGAGACCUGCUGUACGAUGUUGGCCCGCUUUGCAGUAGGGGCGUCCUUGUUCUGGUCCGUCUUCGUGGUUUGAGGUCGAGAACGUUUCCUGUUCAGAGCCCCAAUCACAGCGUCCUCCAUCUUAUGGCCAGGGAGUAUCAAGCGAGACUCGAGCAAGUUGUAAGUAGUUAUCAGUUCUCGGCUCGAGCAGGAAUUGACUAGUACAGCCUCAACCCGUUUGAGCUGGUCAGGUUUGAGCGGGAAGUGAACACCCCACGAACCUGCAAUACAAACAGACACUUGGUUAGAGACAAACCAAUAAAGCGAGAACAAUUAUGGAUACAAGACAUCUAAAGCGAGCAGGCAACCUGGGACCGUGAAACGGGAUGGGACACGAUAAUCCUUCCCGUCCAUUUGUGCAACCUGACCCCAAGGACCCCCAGCAAAAAAGAAUUUUCUCUUCCAAGCCCCACCACCACCAGUUGGAAGAUCAGUUAUGGGUUUCAUGCUCUUGGUGCUAGAUUGGAAGUAGUACCAGCCGGCAUCUUUGGGGCUGCUCUUUAGUUGGUACAGAUGCUUAGUCAUCUGAAGUACAUGUUUUUAGGAGAUGAUGAGACACUUCCGGUGAUCAUCUCUUCAAAGCUUAGUACUUUAGAGGAAGAGAAACUUAUUAGAGUGCUAAAGGAUUACAAAAAGGCUAUUGGGUGGACAAUUGCAGAUAUUAAAGGGAUAAGUCCGUCCACGUGCAUGCAUAGAAUACUACUGGAGGAAGAUGCCAAACCUUCAAUUCAAGCUCAAUGCCGUUUGAAUCCACUCAUGAUGGAAGUAGUGAAGAAAGAAAUUCUAAAACUUCUUGAUGCAGGUAUAAUCUAUCCAAUUUCGGAUAGUAAAUGGGUAAGUCCGGUACAAGUGGUACCGAAGAAAACUGGUAUAACAAUUGUUGAGAAUUCUUAUGGUGAGUUAGUACCUACCCGAGUUCAGAAUGGGUGGAGGGUUUGUAUUGAUUUUAGAAAGCUUAAUUCACUCACUAGGAAUGAUCAUUUUCCUAUUCCUUUUAUUGAUCAGAUGCUCGAUAGGUUGGCAAGAAAAUCUCACUUGUGUUGUCUUGAUGGCUAUUCAGGUUUUCAUCAGAUACCAGUUGCGCCCGAGGAUCAGGAGAAGACUACCUUCACAUGUCCUUUUGGAACCUUUGUGUACCGACGUAUGCCAUUUGGUCUUUGUAAUGCUCCCGCCACUUUUCAGAGGUGCAUGGUCAGUAUUUUUUCAGACUAUGUAGAAAACACUAUAGAGGUAUUUAUGGACGAUUUUACGGUCUAUGCUGAUUCUUUCGAUGAUUGUCUCUAUAAUCUGAAGAAAGUGCUUGAAAGAUGCAUUGAAACAAACCUUGUCUUAAAUUAUGAAAAAUGUCAUUUUAUGGUAGAUCAAGGCAUUAUUUUGGGUCAUGUAGUCUCUGCUAGAGGAAUUGAGGUAGAUAAAGCUAAAAUAGAUGUUAUUAAAUCUUUACCUUAUCCCACAUGUGUGCGGGAAGUUCGUUCUUUCCUUGGUCAUGCAGGUUUCUAUAGACGAUUUAUCAAGGAUUUUUCGAAGAUAGCUCAGCCUUUAUGCAAGCUUCUUCAGAAAGAUGUGACAUUUGAUUUUAAUGAAGCAUGCAAGGUAGCAUUUGAUAAACUUAAGGAGUUAUUGACUUCAGCUCCAAUUAUACAGCCACCAAACUGGAGCCUCCCUUUUAAGAUAAUGUGCGACGCCAGUAAUUAUGCUGUUGGUGCUGUUCUCGGACAAAGGGUUGGAAAAGCUGCUCAUGUGAUAUAUUACGCAUCAAGGACACUUGAUAGUGCUUAGUACAAUUACUCAACAACGGAAAAAGAACUUUUAGCUAUUGUUUUUGCUUUAGAAAAAUUCCGUUCAUAUUUAUUGGGUACCAAAGUGAUUGUUUUUUCUGACCAUGCAGCUCUUAGAUAUUUGCUCGCCAAGAAGGAAGCGAAACUGAGACUUAUCCGCUGGAUCCUACUGCUUCAAGAAUUCAACUUGGAGAUCCGUGACAAGAAAGGAACAUAAAACUUAGUUGCAGACCACCUUAGUAGAUUGACCACGAGUGAAGAAGCAGCACUUUUGAAAGAUGAUUUUCCAGAUGAGCAUCUCUUUGUAACUCAAGGUAUGGUUCCUUGGUACGCUGACAAGGACACUACCUAGUGAUCUGACGAGGGCUCAAAAAGAUAAAAUUAAGAGCGAUGCUAAAUACUAUGUUUGGGAUGACCCUUACUUGUGGAAACAUUGCUCUGACCAAGUCAUCAGAAGGUGUGUAUCUGAGUUUGAAAUUCCUUCUAUUCUUCAAUUUUGUCACUCAUAUGCAUGUGGUGGUCAUUUUGGUCUCAAAAUGACAGCAUCCAAGGUGUUAGAAUGUGGUUUAUUUUGGCCUACUUUAUUUCGUGAUUCAUAUAUGUUUUGUAAGUCGUGUGAGAAUUGUCAAAAGACUGGUAAUUUAAGUCAUAGAAAUCAAAUGCCACUUACCCCUAUUCUUGUAUGUGAAAUAUUCGAUGUGUGGGGCAUUGGUUUUAUGGGACCUUUUCCCUAAUCUUUUGGCAAUGCUUACAUUCUUUUAGCAAUGGAUUACGUUUCUAAGUGGGUAGAGGCUAAGGCCACCCGGACUGACAAUGCUAAAGUUGUUGUAGAUUUUGUCAAGUCUAAUAUUUUUGCCAGGUUUGGUGUACCGAGAGCGAUGAUAAGUGAUAGAGGCACUCAUUUCUGUAAUCGAGUGGUGGAAGCUUUGUUCAAAAGAUAUCAUGUUACCCACCGAGUGUCUACCGCUUAUCAUCCACAGACAAGUGGACAAGCUGAGAUAUCAAACAGAGAAAUCAAGUCUAUUCUUGAAAAGACAGUUAGUCCAAAUCGAAAGGAUUGGAGUUUGCGAUUAGAUGAUGCAUUAUGGGCGUAUCGCACCGCUUACAAAACUCCCAUAGGUAUGUCUCCUUAUCGUUUGGUAUUUGGUAAGCCUUGCCAUUUACCUGUAGAACUUAAGCACAGAGCAUACUGGGCGGUUAAGCAAUGCAAUAUGCGGAUGGAUGAAGCGGGAAAGCAGAGGAAGUUGCAGCUGCAAGAGUUGGAGGAGAUUAGAAAUGAAUCCUACGAGAGUUCGUGAUUUUACAAGGAAAAGACGAAGACAUUUCAUGACAGAAUGAUUUUCAGAAAGGAGUUAUCUGUUGGUCAAAACGUUCUUCUUUUUCAUUCUAAACUUAAACUUUUUCCUUGUAAAUUACGUUCUCGUUGGGUAGGACCUUUUAUUGUUACUAAUGUUUUUCCUCAUGGUGCAGUUGAGAUUCGGAGUCCAACCUCUGAUAAAGCCUUUAAGGUAAAUGGUCAUCGUUUAAAACCUUUUUAUGAAGGUUUUUCGGUGAAUAUUGUAGAGGAAAUGGCUCUCGAGAGUCCUAUUUAUGGAGAUUGAUGCAUAAAUGUGUCUAGCCAAAGACAUAAAACAAAAGCGCUUUUUGGGAGGCAACCCAAAUGAUUUGUUUAUUUUGGUUUUUGUUUUAUCUUCUUUUAGUUUUGAUUCAGAUUUUUUUUAAAAUAAUGUGUUUGCUUAUUUUGGCCAGAAGAAAAUUUUUGAUAAGGCGUGCCCACGUUUUAACUAAUAAGUACUUCUGUAAUUUUUAAAGUAAAAUAGUUUUAAGGCGUGCCCACGUACUUAUUAGAAAAGUACUUCUGAAAUUUUUAGUUCUCAAAGUGAAAAAAAAAAAAAUUAAUGUGUUUGCUUAUUUUGGUCAGAAGAAAAUUUUUGAUAAGGCGUGCCCACGUCAUAACUAAUAAGUACUUCUGUGAUUUUUAAAGUAAAAUGGUUUAAAGGCGUGUCCACGUGCUUAUUAGAAAAGUACUUCUGAAAUUUUUAGAGUCUCAAAGUGAUUCAUUAAAAAAAUAUAUAUUUUUUAAAAAAAAUAAUUUUAUUUUAUUUUUUAAAAAACAAAAAAUGAAAAAAAGAGCUUUUCUUUUGUUCUUCUUUUAUAUAUUUAUUUAUUUAUUUAUAAUAAAAAAAUCAUCAUUGUUCAAAAAAAAAAAAUUUACUGUUCACAAAAUCCCUAAUUUUCCAGAUCUUGUUUUCUUCUCCAGCCGCUUGCAGCACACCAGCAGCAAACCAGCCCGCCGGAAAAUGCAAGCCCCGCAACGCAGCGCGAACCAGCAACGCAAACCACCAGAGCGCAACGCAAGCCCCCGCGCGCGCAGCACCAACAGCCCACGAAGCAGCCGCAGCAACACGAAGCAUCUCUCACGCACAACAGCCCCGCAGCGCAACGAACCAGCAACGCGAACCAGCUCUCGCGUGCAACAGUCCCGCAGCAACAAGCCGCCCCGCGCGCGCAACACAGCCACGCACCAGCAUCCCGCACGCAACCAGCAGUGCGCAACCAGCCCCAAGCUGCGCAGCAAGCUCAAGCCGAGCAGCAAUGCAACGCAACUAGCCUACGCCCUGUAUUCCAGCCGGGUAAAUUGAAAUCCGUGAGUGCAAUUAUUGUAACAAUGCCAAAGAGGAAAGCAUCUACUUCCAAGUCAUCGAAAAAGACACCCGUCGCAAAGAAAUCUAAGAUUGCCGCUCCCACUACGGUUCCAUGGAACACAAUUUCAUAUUCACGCCAAGCCGUGAGACAAAGAUCGAAACAUGGAAAAGGCAUGAGUGUUUUGCCACUUACGGAAUCCAAUCUCGGAGGGUGCCUCGCAUUCGCGACUCAACAAGAGAAAGAGAGGUACAAAGAUAUUUCCACGCGCAAAAUACUUCCAGCUAAGUAUAUUCAUUACCCGACUCUUGAAAAAUUGAAUGUUAAGGAUAAUUUUGAUUCUUUGAUAGAUAAGAUUGGGUUGCGUAAAUUUUUUGAUGUUGAUUGUUUGGGUUAUGUUGAGUUGAUUAGGGAGUUUUAUGCUACUUUUCAAUUUAAUAUGCCGAAUGAUUUUACUUUGCAUACCCUGGAUGUCAUUAAGUUUAGGUUAAUGGGAUGAAAUUUUUCACUCUAUCACGGAUUUUAACUAGCUUUAGGAUUCAUUGAUGAUGAUUAUUCUUCUAGUGAUGCAUAUUUAGGAACAACUUGUGACUUUAGCGAAAAUUUUGAGCCUUAUGGUCUUUGGCGUAAUUUAUCUGUUGAUCACAAUGCCUAUGACCCGAGCAAAUCAAAGAGUUCUUUCUAACGUGAUCCUGUUUUGAAAUGUGUGCAUCGAUUCUUAGCAUAUAAUUUUUUAGGCAAGAAAGAUCACUCAUGAGUUUUCUCUAAAACUGAAUUUUAUUUUAUCUGGUGCAUGUUAAAUGAUGUGAGGCCUAAUUUAGGUUUUUGGUUAGCGGAUCAAUUUCAAAGUGUGCUUAAACGGUAUAGGACUUUAUUUCUUGGUCCAUACAUUACUCUGUUAGCUAUAAACCUAUGUGUGCUUGAUCCCAAUAAUAAUGAUUUGCAUCCUGCUUGCAAAAAGGAAUUUUUUGAUAUGUCUGUGUUUGAAAGAACAGGUGUGGUCGAAUUCAAGGAGGGGAGAUUUCAAUUUACUGAACCAGGACCCACUCAAAUUCCAAAGAAGCUUUAUGCUAGGAGUGCUGCUACCUCUAAUGACGAGUUUGACGACGACACUGCUGCCCCGCCAACUAUUCCUUCUACAUCCGCACCACCUUUGAGCAUUCAGUUAGAGAAAAUGGAGCACAAGCUGAACAAGAUGGAGCAUAAUUUGGCCGCAUACUUCGAGAGUGUGGGAUUUACCCCACCAUUUCCGCCAAGCCCAUAAACGUUAUGUGGAUCAAAGCUCACAAUUCAGGGAAGUUUCUUUUUGCCUUUAAUCUUUUAUCCUUACGCUUUAAUUUUUAUGUGAGCUUUGAUUAUCUUACAUUAGGGACAAUGUAAGUUCUUGGUGUGGGGGAGGGAUUUUUGCAUUAUUGAUGUCUAGAAGUAGUAUUUUCACUCUACUCAUCCUUAAAUGAUUUUGGAGUUAGUAUGCUUCAUAUAUUAUUAUUUUUUUUCUUUUCUUUUCUUUCUCACUACUCUUUUCCCAUCUAUCUCAAAUUAUUUACAUCUAUUUUUAUUCUAUCAUGCUCUUUCAUCACUCACAUUUUAUCUUUCACUUUUCAUAUUACUACAUACAUCUUUCUCACUUCUUAUCAUUUUUACAUUUUUUUUUAUAUAUCACUCAUACCUUCUUCUCAUUCUACACCACUAUUGAUGGUUGAUUCAUUUGAAGAGUGUACAUGAUUUGAUGGCAAAUUUACCAACUUUGUGAGGAUUUGAGCCUAUGAGCAACCACUUUGCUCUAAUAUUUUUGUUAUGUGAAUAUCAAUCUUAGUUUGUUUAUUCUAGAACUUGCUUUGUUAUGCAUGUUGAAGCCGCAUUACGGGAUUUUAUGCAUUAAAAUGAUAAGGGCAAACCCUUUUCCAUUUUUCUAUUCUCGCAUUUUUUUUUUCUCUACCCGAAGACCUUUAUUUGCUAUCUUUGUUUGAGCCUUAACCAUUACCCAUCUAAUUUUCUCCGUCUACUUAACCAUUUUUCUUCUUUUUUAGCCUCAAUUUAAGGAGAUUUUUGGACUCAUUGUGUGGAUAUAUUUUGUUGCUUUUUCUACCUUGUAAUAAAGUUUCUCAAUUAGAUCAACAAGCAUUAUGCUUGAAUUAAAUUGUGCAAGGUUCGUUUCUUUUGUUUGAUUCAAAAACAACAAAAAAAAGAAAAAAAAUUGAAAAAAAAAGAGAAAAAAAAUGUUUACAUUCUUGGUGACUUGAGUAGAAAUAAGCAUUUUGAUAUCAUAAGUUCAUUCAAUGAGUUCAUUCUUCUCAUUUUGAUCUCUUUUUCUUUCGUAAACCUUUCUUUUUCAUUCAACCUAUUUAACCCCAUUACAACCCUUUUAAGACCCUUAGAUUUUUGCAUUUUAUUCAUGUUUUGUGGAUUGAGAUGUGAUAUAUGAGCAAGCUUAUGGUAAUAGCAUUCUUUGAUUUGAUUUGAGUGAAUAAAUGACACCUUAAACACUUUGAGUGCAUGGAGUGAAGUUAUUGAGAGGGCUAUUAAAUCUUGUUGCACUUGAAUUUUGAAUGGAUCUUCUUGGUGGUUGAAUGUUCUUAUUCUAUCUUAUGAAAUUCUAUGCUUUAAAAUCCUUGUCUCUCGAAUGUUGAUCGACUUAAUUUCUUGAGGUAUGCUUGCUUAAAAUUGUUUUUGGAUGAGUUGAGAUGAGAAUUGAGUGGAGAUUUGAGAUUAAUCUUGAGUUAUAUGCUUGAGGACAAGCAUCAUCUUGGUGUGGGGGAAUUUGUUAGAGUGCAAUUUAUGCACUAGUUUUGCAUUGUUUACUUCUUUUAAUAUCGAUGUUUUGCACUUAAUAAUAGUGAUUUACUUGUGUUUUACUUUUGUAGGUGCAAUUCUAUUGAUUAGUGAUAAAAUUGAGCUACAAGAUGAUGUUUAAGGAUGAUUGUUCUCUUGGAGAAAUUAUGAGCGGCAGAAGAACUUUGUUGAUAAGGCGUGGGCGCAUGCUGUCAACUGUAAACCUGCAGUUUUUAGUUUAACGUGUUUUGUAUUUUUGGUUAUUUUUGUAAUUACGGAUUUAAUAUUUCAGAUAUUAGUAUUUUAUUUUAAAUAGAAUUCUAGAGGAGAAGAGAGAGAGAGUAUUUAAGGGAGUAAUCUAUUGUGAAAAAGGGGGGAUUUUGAUUGGAGAAAAAGAAAGAAACCCUAGAUCUAAUUUUUCUCUUCUCUCUAUAAAGAACUAAACUUAUUUUUCUAGUUGAAGGUUAAUGAAGCUUUGAUUCAUCACUACUGUGAGAUCUUUCUUAUGCUUUAAUUAUUUUAUUACUUUUUGGGUAUUUGUUUAUUCUCUGAAUUAGUUUCAUGAUUAUGUUUGUUAAUUAGGUAAUUGGCCACUAUUUAAUUAUCAACUUAAUCUAUUGUCAAUUAAAGGAUUCAUCGUAUGAAGAUUUUAAUGUUUGUGACAAAUAACAUAGCAGAGAGUUGUGUUGUGAGAAUAAACAAUCUAAUUUAAAUGAAUCAUCAUAUGUGUUGAUUAGGAUUUGGGUCUCUCUGGUUUUUCAGGCUGUCAAUUGAUUAAUUCCUAUGAUCGUAUCUAGGGUUGUCUAUUGAUUAGGGAAAUAACCAACGGUCGUACCUUGGUUAUCGACUAGUUAAGGAGAGAUUGGCUAUUAGAGGGUCUCAAUAGCUAUAACCGGUCUAUUCAUAAGUAAUAAUAAUCUAUAUUUGAAUCAAUGAUCAGUAGUCGAAUCAAGCUGAGUUAAUUCCUUCAACCAGAGCUUUCUUCAAUUUGAAUUACAACUUUAAUUUGCAUUCUUGUUAUUUUAAUUUGAUUUUUAUUAUUGUCAACAAUUCCCCCAUUUUAUGUUUUGCGUUUCAAAAGGAUUUAAAUAAUUACCAAUCUCUGUGGACACGACCCUGCUCAAUCACUAUACACAAUUUAUUUAGAGUAGGAAUUUAUUUUUGUUGGCUUCAACAACCAUCAGGCAUUCCCUUCUUGAAGAAAGAAUGCAAAGAGCCCAAGAAAGCACUAUCCAUUAGACACGUUAAGAAUUAUUUUGCUUUUCAUUAAAAAUGAUAAUAAUUAUAAUAAAUUAGAUUGAAUUAAUAAUAUUUGCAUGUGGUAUAUAAAUAAUCAGUUUAGUCACUAAUUAGUCACUGUCCGAUUAUCUUCUCUUUCAUCGACUUCGAAACUGGGACUUCUGAGUUGGAUUAAGAAUUGAAAAAAAUGUUGCAACCCAUAAAGCGCGUAAAAUUAAUUAAAGGGCGCGUAAACUAAUUCUUCUUCUUAAAAGAAAAGUUUUGCAGGGAGAUUGAAAAAAGGCUAAUUCGUAUUGAAGAUCAUAAAUGAGUAUCUGUCACAAAUAGAUCCUUCUGGGCAAAAAUAUUAUUUUAUCAUCUAUCACUAUAAGAAUGAGAUGAAAAUUGUCCUCAUUUAAAGUAUUGACAACAAUGUUAUACUCAAUAUAAUGUAUAAAGCACGCAUAAUUUAAUAAUUGGGGCUGCUAAUAUCUUCCACGUAAUUGGAAGCUCAAAGAGUUUCCGUAUUAGCCGAAUCUAAGCGAUAAGUGUUUCCAUGUGAGCCAUAAUUUGGGAAAAAGACCAAUUCAAGUUAAAGAUCAUGGAAAGAGAUCCUUCUGUCUUUGGCGUAAUGCUUGGGCAACGUAAAUUGACUUUACAUUAAAACAAAACAAAACAAACACUGUCAACAAGCAUUAAUGUCAUUUGAUGCAUGAAAGACAAUUAGUCCCAUUUUUUGUCCUGUUUACUUGACUUGGGCAAUUUACCGUCAACUUUUCUCAUCUACGUCAGGUAAUGUGGCUUUUAUUUGGAAUGAAGAAGCCAAUACUUGGACCGAGUGUAGCAUCACUGAUUUGUAUAUUUUUCAGGACUAAGUAAAUUAUCUCAAUUUAAAAAAAUAUAUAAUUACAAUUAUCGAUCGAACACCACUGAUUCCAACAAUUUAUCCAAAACUAUCUUUGAGUUUUAAGGAAUGUAACAUUUAUGAUAGAAUGGUCAAGUCUUUCAACUUUUUAGAUAUUUGAUAUAUGCCAUGUUCUAACUUACAAUGAGAAUAAAAUUAUAGUAUAAUUUUUUUAAAUUAGUGGAAUUAUUUUACGAUAAAACUAUCACAACAACAUUUAAAUAUAAAGUUAUUCUUUAAUUUUUCACUACUUUUAGUGAUAUUCUUAAACUCUUUUCUGAAUGGAGCAUGAAAGGACUACUUAUCUAGAUACGUUUUUUAUGCUUUCACUUCGCUUGAGCCUAGAACUUACAACUCGUAUUUUACGUUUCUCUUACUUUCUCUUCCAUUUUCCCGACUCCCAAACACCAUCAAUCCUUGAUGUUGUAGAGUAUUGGCUGUCUAGUUCUACAAACAUAAUAAAGAAAACAAGAGACAGCUGCCAUAUAUAUUCCAUAUUAAUUAGUCACCGUCCGAUUGUUUCCACUCCCACUGACUCUGUCGAUUCAUGCUCUGAUGAAGUGAAACGCUUAACGCACUAUUGUGAUGCGGAGGAGAGGAGGAAAAACACAAUUUUAUUAUUGCAAUCCUGACACGCGCAAAGAGCUUUCUUACUCGGCUCGGCGGCUAAUUCUUUAUAAUUUGUUAAAACUCAUUUAAUUGAUGAAUGUGACAUGAAGCUCUAUAAAUAGUUUAAUUUGUAAAAUUGUUAAAAUUUUAAAUUUCAAGUAAAGUAGAUAAAAUUAUUAACGUUUUUCAAUAUUUAGAUAAUUGAUAUACGUCAUUUACUGUGAGCGAAUGGCUGAAAUUUUUCAUAGAAAACACAAUGCUUGUAUUAAAAAUUUUAAGUGCGAAUCCAUUUAUUGUAAUCAGAUGAUGUGAUUUAAUUAUUUUUUCCUUUUGCUUGAUGUCCUGAAAAUUAUGAAUGCUUUGCAGGAUGUGGAAUAUUAAAAUUUUUAAUGCAUAUUCAUAUUGAAAACUGAGUAAACAUAACAUUAUUGCUUCUAUAAAUAGAUCAUUUCAACUUAAAACCUGUUACUUGUAUUUUACAUUUCUGUUCCUUAUCAUAAAGUUUUUCUCUGUUUUUUUUUUUUUUGGGUUUCACUUUUUCUUCCACUUUCCCGACCCACAAACACCACCAAUCCUUGAUUCUUUUCCUAGAGUAUUAGCCGUCUAUUGUUACAAACAUAGACAUACUGUUUGUCUAAUUACUAUUAAGAAACAACAUACUCUGUUCUGGGGUCUCUUCGUUUACUGACUUAUGUGACACGUUAAGAAUUAUUUUGCUUUUCAUUAAAAAUGAUAAUGAAAGAAUGCAAAGAGCCCAAGAAAGUACUAUCCAUUAGACACGUUAAGAAUUAUUUUGCUUUUCACUAAAAAUGAUAAUAAUUUUAAUAAAUUGGAUUGAAUUAAUAAUAUUUGCCUGUGUGAUAUAAAUAAUCGCUUUAGUGUCGCCCCAUCAUUAAUGAGUGACUGUCCGAUUGUCUUCUCUUUCAUUGACUUUGAAACUGUGACUUCUGAGUUGGAUUAAGAAUUGACAAAAACUGUGACUUCUGAGUUGGAGAUCAAUAAUUUUGUAAACAAGCCACCGUCUACGACCGUGGGUUGAAAGGAAAGAGGAUUAUGUUUUCAUUGUUUUGUACUUUGUUUCUGUUAAAGUAAGGUAAACAUCUUUCUUUUGCUUUGGCCUUUACUCUUGACUGUAUUUCAUGGUCAUAUUCAAUCUCAAUCUUCUGUAGGUUUGUGGCUGUUUUAUGAGUUACGAUUUUUUAUAGGGUUGCAUGUAGAUGAUACAUUUAUAUACAUUUUUUCUUUUUUCUUUUCUUCUUCGGUGAAGAUACUAAAAUUUAGUUUUUGUUAUCAUGUGAAAUGAAAAUAGUCCUCAUUUCAAGGAUUAAUGGGCCACUAAUUUCGUCUUCUUAAAAGAAAAUUUUUUGCUGCGAGGUAAUUGGAAGCUCGAAGAUUUCUAUAUUACAUAGCCAAACCUAAGUGAUAAGAAUUUCCGUAUGAGAUAUAAUUUGGAGAAAAAAAAAAACCAAUUCAAGUUAAAGAUAAAAAAAUCUGUGUUCCUUAAAAAACAUAAUUCAAGCCACACAAUUUUUCUUGUUUUAUUUGAAAAAAAGAAAAUUGUGUUCCUCACAAAAACACUUUAACAUUUGUUGUCUCAUAGAGGGAAAUGUCCUUCACUCUUUGACGUGUCCCUGGGGCAAUGUAAACAUUAAAACAUUGUCAUGUAGUUAAAACAUUGUCCACAAACAUUGUCAUGUAGUUAAGAAAAAUUUAAAUUUGACAAGUGCAAGAGAUUGGUGGGACUCAUUUGAUUCAAGAAAAACAAUCAGUCUCAUUUGAUACGCAAAGGGCUUUUUUACUCUGCAGCCAAUAUUUUGAUGAAUGUCACAUUACUGGUUUGUAUAAUUUUUCGGACUAAUAUAUUAUCUCAAUUUUAAAAAAAAAAUGCAAUUGCGAUUAUCAAACACGACUAAUCCCAACAAUUUAUCCAAAAAUUUGAGUGUCAAGAAAUGUAGUAUUUAUGAUAGCAUGGCUAGUUUUUUCAAUCAAACUUUUUAGAUAAAUGAUAAAUCAAUAUAUGACAUGUUACUAUCUUACUAUAGGAAGAAAAUUAUGGAAUAAUUUUUUGAAUUAAUAGAAUUAUUUUACGACAAAACUUUCACAAUCUAUUUUUAAAAAUAAACUUAUUCUUUAAAUUUCUCGUUACUACUCCUACUUGUCCUGUUAUACUACUUAAUGGCACUGGUGAAGCCUUGAAUUAUCAAACAAAAAGCAAAAACACUUCAACAUCUGUUCCACUGAGCACUGUUAAAAUCAUACGAUAAAAUGAGUACUUAUGUUAAAAAAAAAAAAAAGAAAAACAAUCAGUCUCAUUGCGUCCUCUUUCAUUGACAUAGGCAAUUUGCGGUCAACUUGUGGUACCCUUAUUGACACAUAAAGAUCUUUCUUACACUACGGCCAACACUUACUUUCAGGACUGGUAAAUUUUUCAAAUGUAACAGAAAAAAAUACAGAAAUAUAAUUUCAAUUUAUCCAAAAAUUUGAGUUUCAAGGAAUAUAGCAUUUCUUAUGUGUCAUGUUAAUAUAGAGAAGAAAAUUUUAAAAUUUAUUUUUUGAUAAAAAAACUCACAAUCAUAUUUACAAAAAAAAAGUUUUAUUUAAAAAAAAUUCACUCCUCUUCCUACAUAAUUUAAGAAUUUAACAUUAUAAAUUAAGCUUUUUAAUCAAAGUAAUAAUCUCUCCUUCGGUGCGCAAAUGCUAAAAUUUAAUAUUAUAUCCGUUGACGAUAUUUGAUCCAAAUUCAGAGAAUAAAAAUUCUAACAGAAUUAUGAAAUUCGUUACUAGAAAUUUGUAUAAAAGUCACGAGAAUAGAAGGUUUGAUCAUAGGAAAUUAAUAUGUCCCUAUCCGAUGCAAAAAUGAUUAAAAAGAAAAACAAAAGUCAUGGGCUUAUUUAGAAAAAAGAAAAAAUUACAUUUCAGCUUAACGCAUGCCAGUCUUUUUCUCCUCUACUUUCUUAGAAAUUUUGGUUUCACUAUAAAUUCUUGGUAUAUAGCAAUCUUAAGAGUGUCUUGCAUUACCAAUCCAAUUAAGCACACACUUACAAUCUAAAAUACUCUCAUCUCAUGGAAAAGCGUCAUUCACUCAGCAUUAUGAGCAGAUUUCUCUUACUCCGUUGUUUGAUUCUUAUUUCCUUAUUUAUCGCAGCUGCAACAGCCAACACAAGUACUAUUACCACAGACCGAGAUGCUCUGCUUGCCCUGAAAGCUCACAUAACUCAUGAUCCAACCAAUUUCUUCGCCAAAAAUUGGAAUACAAGUACUCCGGUCUGCAACUGGACAGGCGUCACUUGUGAUGUCCAUAGCCAUAGAGUCACAGUUUUGAAUAUUUCUCGCUUAAAUCUCACCGGCACCAUCCCUUCUCAGCUUGGGAAUCUUUCUUCUCUGCAAUCACUCAAUCUCAGUUGUAACCGACUUUCUGGUUCCAUUCCCUCUGCCAUUUUCACCACGUACACACUGAAAUAUGUUAGUUUCCGUAAAAAUCAGCUCUCCGGCGCUUUUCCUUCUUUCGCCUUCAACACGUCCUCUUUACAAUAUCUUGAUUUUGGUUUCAAUACACUGUCUGGUGAAAUUCCUGCAAAUAUUUGCAGUAACCUUCCUUUUCUGGAAUACCUUGCUUUGUCCCAAAACAUGUUUCAUGGAGGAAUACCGUCCGCUCUAUCAAAUUGCGCAUAUUUGCAACGAUUAGGUUUGUCAAGCAAUGAUUUCUCGGGGGUCGUACCUAAAGAAAUCUGCAAUUUGACCAAACUUAAGGGAUUAUAUCUUGGCGGUAACAGACUCCAAGGUGAGAAUAAUCACGGAGUUUAAUUAUGAAAAUUGUUCCAUAAGUUGUGAUAUGAAUAAUGUUCCAUACGACAAUUUGCACGCGUUGAUUAAUUUGCAGGAGAAAUUCCUCGAGAGUCUGGCAAUCUUGCCGAAUUGGAGCUGAUGUCGUUAUCAGAAAACGAACUCCAAGGUAUGAUAAUGAACUUUUUGCAAUUUCAUUCUAGCCUCUGGUUGCUUCUGUAUUCAUUCGUUUGUUCGUCAAUUAUGCUCCAUGUUUUAUUGCUCAGUCUAGUGGAUAAUGUUCAGUCUCAGAAUUUAUAAUACCUUGAAGGUUAGUAGCUUUGAAAAUAAGAAACUGCUCAUCUGCUAAAAAGUUAACUUAGUAUUUAAGUUUUUGAAUUGAACAUUUUGAAAAAAGUCUUGAGAACUGGCCCUCCUUAGUAUUUCAGCUGAUAAAUAUGAAAAAUAGGCUAGAAGAAAUUAUUGCUGUGUGUGCUUAACUGCUUAUUCUACUUGGGCUUCUGGCUUGAUUACAUGGUCGAGCACUUACACCUGUUAUAAUAAUAGGCUUUUACUCUCACCACACGUUCGAUAAUUUCUUAACCUUCCCAAUUAGGUUAUAGCAAUUUAUAUAUAAAUAAUUAAAGCAUACUAAAGCUAGCAUACAAUACUCAUGACUUAGGCUUGCUGCGUUACCCAUUACACACGGUCGAACACUUACACCUGUUAUAAUAAUAAUAGCAUCCGCCGAUCGACUAUGAGUGAUCAAAUUGUUUGCACAUAUGUAAUUUGCAGGAGCAAUUCCACGGGAGUGGGGAAAUCUUACAGGAUUGGGGAUCUUACAGCUGUCUGAUAAUUUUUUAACCGGUAUCACUCCUUCAUCUAUCUACAAAUUGCUUUUCUCUAUUAAAUUUGGAACUGUCAUUUAAUAACUUAAUAGGUAACUUCCCUUACAACAUGUCUGUGUGACAUGUUUUGCUUCUCAAUUAAAAUAUUUCACUUCUCUCAUUAUAAAUUCUCAUAUGAGGAUGUGUUGUUAUUACUAUUUAACAUUAUCUCGUUUUUUAUUAGAAAUUAAUUUGUGUUUAUGCAAAAAAAAUUGAGCAUUUAAAAAAAGUAUAAAAACACGUGGAAUAAAUCGAAAAUCUUUCUUCAUUCGUGAAUUUGGAUUUCUAAAAAAUUAUCAUGACAGCUAUGUUAGUGUCUUACUAAUGAUAUGCAUGUGUGACAGCUUCAUAAAUUAUUUUACAUGGAAAAUAUGAAAAAUAGACUUGAAAAAAAAAUUAUUUUACUGAAAUAAUAGUUAAAAAGGGAGGAGAAGUACAGUACUCAUGAAUUAGGCUUGCUGUGUACUUAUUUUACUUGGGCUUCGGGCUUGAUUACACACGGUUGAAUAUUUACAUCCCCCGACAUAGGCUUUUAGGGAUGAGUGGCGUCAAAUGUGUAUCUGCUUUUAUGUAUUAUUAUUCUUUGAAACAAAUCUGAUUAUAAUUCUUUUAAAAUACAGAUUAAAUAGCACGUGAAAUCGGAAAAUAUUUUACUGCGAUAAGAAUUCAUAUAUUCAUUGUACUAGCACAUAUAAAAUAGACUAUAAAUUUAGUUCCAAAAUACAUUCUUAUCUUCAUAUAAAUUUUACAUUAUUAAUUUAAAUUAAUAUUAAAAUAUAUUGUUUCUUUCACUAUGUUAUUUUAUUUACACAAUGAUGUGACAAUUGGAAUGAAUAAUACUUAUAAUUAUUUUGUAAAAAUAUAAAUUUAAUACUUUGUUAACAUUUUAUCUACAUAUAAUAAUUAAACUGAAACUUGUAUUUAAAAAAUUCUAGUUACGCAUAUUCAUUUCAUGACAUAAAAGUGUAUAUUUAUGCUAAUUUACCAUUAUCAACAAAAUGCUUUGAGAGACAAAUAAUCUAAUUUAUAUUUUUAUAUUUAAAAUACUUGCAUUUAUUAUAUUUUGAAAAAAAUUUAUUUGCAAUUAUUUUAAACCGUUGGAUUCAAAUUUUCGUAGCUAUUAAAGUCAAAGGGUAUAAAUGUAUAAUAGUCAAAAACAGAUUUGUAUGAUCAUUUUUCAAUGUAUAAAUUUUCUUAGUUAGUAGGAAAAUUAGAAAUUGUUGAUUUACUCAUAAAUAAAUUUCAUGUUUAGCAUUUCAAUUUUGGAAAACUUGAGCUAAACGUUGAUAACUUCGAAUCGGUCGAGCCGAGUUUCGCUUCCUUGACCCACGGACCCAUUGAAAGUUCUAUUUGAAUUGAGUUUCCCGGUGCUUAUAAAAACCAUUUCUUUUCCUUGUCGCAGUAAUUUAUUCACAAAUGAGUUGAUUAGCAUCAAAGUUACCUGAGAGUCUGAGACCAUGCUAGUAGGAGAAAUUUGAAAAGAAAUUAUUUUACUAAAUUAAUUUAUUUUAUCUUGUUGUAACUGAAAUACUACUUUUUUUUUUGGGCUGUCACUUGGGCUUGAUUUACUUUAAUAGUAGCAGCCACCGACUUAGGCGUUUUUUACUUCUCACCACACAAUUUGAUCUUUUAAUUCGUUUUAACCACAUAAUCUAUCUAUUUCUCACCUAUUGCUUACUUAAAUCGCAUACAUAUUUUACCUACAAAUGUUUAUAAAUAUUAGUCAAAUAUAUUUUAUUACGUUUCUCUCGUAACUGCUCCAAAUGUGUACUAUUAAUACUUAACCCUCCCUUUUAAUUUACCGUGCAAUCUAUCUAUCACUUAAAUCACAUAUAUAUUUUACCUAUAUUUUACCCCAAAAAAUAUAAAAAUAAAAGAAAAAGAAUAUGUGUAGCAAUUUGCAUAUAACUAACAAAGCAUUGACGGUGUGUAGCCUUUCAAUACUUCACGAGUGGCUUUUCUUGUGUGUUAGUACUUGUAAUAAUUGUGUAGUGUAUAAAUGACAUUUUAUUAUUAAAGUGCGUCCAUUUUUAUAUAUUACUUAUUAUUUGAAAAAUAAUCUGAAUAUAAUUCUUUUAAAAUACAGGGGAGAUACCACUUGAAAUUGGUAAUCUCCAAAAUCUGGAGGAGUUGGAGCUUGGUCAAAACAAAUUAAUUGGUACUGUCCCAGUUGCAAUCUUUAAUGUGUCAACACUCAGAUUUCUUGAUUUUCAAGAUAAUUCUCUCUCGGGAAGUCUUUCGUCCAUCGCAGACGUCCGACUACUAAAUCUUCAAGAGCUUCUUUUGUGGGGUAAUAAGUUUAGUGGCACAAUUCCUCGUUUCAUCUUUAAUGCUUCUAAGCUCUCUAUACUAGAUUUGCAAGACAAUUCAUUCUCCAGUUUUAUUCCCAACACAUUUGGCAACUUAAGAAACCUUCAGCGGCUGAGAUUAUAUGAUAAUUAUUUGACAUCUUCAACUCCAGAAUUGAGCUUUCUAUCCUCGUUGUCAAAUUGCAAGUCUUUAACACAUCUUUCCUUAUCAAAUAAUCCACUAGAUGGCAUUCUUCAAAGGACGUCUGUUGGUAAUCUAUCUCAUUCUUUGAAAGAAUUUUACAUGUCCAAUUGUAAUGUUAGUGGCGGCAUCCCUGAAGAGAUCACCAACUUGACCAACUUGACAACCAUUUAUUUAGGGGGCAAUAAAUUGAAUGGAUCAAUUCCGAUUACUCUCGGCAAAUUACAGAAGCUUCAAGGUUUGGGUCUUGAAGAUAACAAAUUACAAGGAUCAAUCCCAGACAAUAUUUUUCGUUUGACUGAACUGUAUGAGUUGGAGUUGGGUGGCAAUAAGCUUUCUGGAUCAAUCCCUGCAUGCUUCAAUAAUCUGGCUUCUCUGAGGAUACUGUCGUUGGGUUCCAAUGAGUUAACUUCUAUUCCCUUAACUUUUUGGAACCUUAAGGAUAUCUUGCAACUCAACUGUUCAUCAAAUUUUUUGACUGGCCCACUCCCAUCGGAGAUUGGAAAUUUGAAGGUUUUGGUUAUAAUUGAUUUUUCGAUGAAUAAUUUUUCAGGCGUUAUCCCAACAGAAAUUGGAGGCCUAAAAAAUCUAGAAUAUCUCUUCUUAGGAUAUAACAGAUUGCAAGGAUCAAUUCCUAAUUCAUUUGGUGACUUGAUAAGUUUGAAAUCCUUGAAUUUGUCUAAUAAUAAUCUCUCUGGAGCUAUUCCUGCAUCUUUAGAGAAACUCUCAUAUCUUGAAGAUCUAAAUCUUUCUUUCAACAAGCUGGAAGGAGAAAUUCCUACGGGAGGAUCUUUUGGAAACUUCUCAGCUGAAUCAUUUGAGGGAAAUGAAUUAUUAUAUGGUACACCCAAUUUACAAGUCCCGCCAUGCAAAACUAGCAUCCACCGCACAUCAUGGAAAAAUUCUCUUCUCCUCAGGAUUGUCUUGCCAUUGAGUACUACAUUUAUGAUAGUAGUCAUUUUGUUGAUCCUAAGAUAUCGACAGAGAGGAAAACGGCCAUCGAAUGAUGCUAGUAUGCCACUAGUAGCAAUGUGGAGAACGUUUUCAUACCUAGAACUCUGUCGAGCAACAGACGAAUUCAGUGAAAACAAUCUAAUCGGCACAGGGGGUUUUGGCUCUGUUUAUAAGGCGAGACUUGGGGAUGGGAUGGAGGUUGCAGUGAAAGUUUUCAAUUUGCAAUGUGGAAGAGCGUUCAAGAGUUUCGAUGUUGAAUGUGAAAUGAUGAAAAGUAUUCGUCAUCGAAACCUUAUCAAAGUUAUUAGCAGUUGUUCAAAUGAAGAGUUUAAAGCGUUGGUAUUAGAAUACAUGCCUCAUGGAAGUUUGGAGAAGUAUCUGUAUUCAAGUAACUGCAUUUUGGAUAUUUUUCAAAGAUUGAACAUAAUGAUAGAUGUUGCAUCAGCUUUGGAAUAUCUGCACUUUGGUUAUUCAGCUCCAAUAAUUCAUUGUGACUUAAAGCCCAACAAUGUAUUAUUAGACGAUAAUAUGGUUGCUCAUUUGAGUGAUUUUAGCAUCGCAAAAUUGUUGGCUGGAGAAGAUCAAUCUAUGACUCAAACACAAACAUUUGCCACAAUAGGCUAUAUGGCACCAGGUUUGUCAAUAUAAAAAUUUUCUAUUUCUUGUAAACUUCCUAAUAAGUUAUUUACGUUUCAUGAUCUUCAUUAGAUGAGGAAAUUCUUAUUAAUGAUAUAUCUUACUAUGUAACUAUUGCAAUUCAUAGAGUAUGGAAGAGAAGGACGAGUAUCCGCAAAUGGAGAUGUUUAUAGCUUUGGGAUUAUGUUAAUGGAAACUUUUACUAGGAAGAAACCCACAGAUGAAAUUUUUAACGGAGAAAUGACAUUAAAGCAUUGGGUUAAUGAUUGGCUUCCCAUUUCCACUAUGGAAGUUGUUGAUGCUAAUUUACUAAGUCAGGAGGACAUACAUUUUGUCGCAAAAGAGCAAUGUGUGUCAUUUGUCUUCAAUUUGGCUAUGGCGUGCACUGGGGAAUCUCCUGAGCAGAGAAUCAAUGCAAAAGAAAUUGUGAAAAAGCUCUUAAAAAUUAGAGACUCAUUACUUAGAAAUGUUGGAGGCAGAUGUAUAAGACAAUCAAAUUUAAAUUGAUUUUGCCCCUCCUUCAUUGCUUGCUAUCCUUUUCAGAGACUUGAACGGUUAUCCUUCAUACAAGUUUUUUUGAUAUGUUUUGUUAUUGCUCUUGCUCAUGUUUAUUUCUCUCUUUCUUUAAUUUGCAUGCAUGUAUUUUUUCAUGCUCUUUUCUGUUUUUGUUGAUUUGUAUGUAGUUUGUUUUUAGGGGUAAGGUUGAUUAUGUCCUCCCCUAAUUAGACGUAUCCUUUUUUUUUUAUUCAAUAAAGCUUCUCUAAUACUAUCGAGGUUCAUCAAAAGACAAUUUUAAAUUAAUUUUCUUUUCUAUGUUAGAUAAUGAAAUUCUAAUCUUCUUAGUGAAUAACUUCAAUAAUAGAGUGUAAGAGUAUUAGUAGUUAUGGUAGUUUUCUGAACCUGGAGUCAAGACCAAUUUAACAGCAACAAACAAGUCUCUUGUAUUAUAGGCAAAAUUCUUUUCAUUAAUCUUAUUUGUCUACAUGUUCUCCUAUUUUCUCCAUUAAUCUUCGCUCAAGGUUUCAUGCUUCCUCUUUGAUAAAGGAAAAUAUUACUUGCGAAUAUUUCAAUUUGACAUAAGAGACUGUUUUGCCAACCAUUUGAUAAAAUGGAUAUGACUGGAGCUUUCAAUCAUUGCCUCCACCAAAAUCCUUACAACGCCACUUUUAAAUUUUAUUUUUUAAAAUACAUUCAGUUUAAUUUAUAAAAAAUAAAUCCAUUUGUUAAAAUUAAUCUUUUUCUCAUAAAUUUCAACCUAAAAAAUAUAUUUCUUUUAAAUUUUUAAUUAUAAAAUACAUACAAAUUCUAAAUUAUUUUAUUAUUUUCUUCCUAUUAUAUAGUUUAUAUCUCCAUAACUCUAAACUCCUAUAAUUUUUAAAAAAUAUUUUUUAAUUUAAAAUAUAAAUAUAAAAUAUAGAAUGGAGUGAGUAUAAAAAAACUUGUUAAAAGAAUAAUGCAUUUAAGUAUUUAACUGAAUUUUAAAUUAAAAUAAGAAAUAAAUUAAUUUAUUUUUAUUAGUUAAGUAAUUUUCAAUUGAAAAAGAGCUUUUAGUAACAUUAUUGAAAUAUGAUUAAAAUUCUAUGAAUUAAACAUUUUCGUAUAAGUACUAGUGAUAAUUACAGAGAAAGUACGAUGAAGUGAAAAAACUUAAAUAUAAAUACUCUAGUAUAAUUUUACACAUGCAACUUAUGAACCAGUGAUCUGUAGAGCAUCAUAAAAUUGUUUUAACACAAUUAAUUGGUUUGAAAAAUUGCCAAUAAUGUCUACAGUGGGAUUUAAAAGAUUAAACUACAUAUAUAAGACAUGAUAUCAUUUAAGACGGCUUACAGAUUAUGAGAAAUAUUUUGAUCUUCCAAAUAUUUAAUAUGUCAAUUAGACUGAGUCUAUACAAUGAAAAUUUCAAAUAAAAAAUAAACCCUUUAUUUUCUUUUAAUCAAAAGUGUGAUCUUAAUUAUUAAAGUCAUUUAAUGUCCAUUACUUAUUCAUUUUUUUAAUUACCUAAAUGACAUUGAAAACUCUACCCAAUAUUAAUUCAUUCAAAUGUUUUGUUUUAAGGUAAUCGGAAACUGCAAAUGAAACAAAUGCUUGAAAUCACAAACGGCCUAAAAUUAGAUUUUCAUUUUUCAAUGUUGCAGUGACUUUGAUCUUGAUAUUGAAAUUUUAUUUGUAACUUAUAUAAAGGCCUCAAUUUUAUCAUAAUUGGUUAGUAAGGCUACGUAGGGAGCAUCGAUAAAUUUUGGGAUUGGAUUAUAUUUUUGGAACUAAAAAAUUAAUUUCAUCCAAUGUUAUGUUUGGCUGUUAGGACUAGCAACUUAGUCUAAAAUUAUUGAAAUUAUUGAUGUUUUAUAUUAUAAUCUUUUCAUUACCACUUUAAACAUUAUUGGUAACUUAAAUCAUUUUUUAAAUUAAAUAUAAAUUUUAAUUUAAUUAAUUAUAAAAAUUAAUUUAAUUAAAUAUAAAAAUCAUUUAAAUUAAAUAUUAACAUUAAUUUCAUAAUUUUUUACCUAGAAUUUUAUAUUAUAUUAAAUACUAAAAUUCUAUUCGAUAAUGUACUAUCAUUUAUUUAAUAAAUGUUUAGUAUGUUAUAUUAUUAUUUAAAUUAAUUUUUUAUUUACAUAUAAACAUAAAUUAAUAUUUACUAAUUAAAGUUAUUAUAAUUUGUUAAAUAAUAAAAGCUAAAUGAUUAUAUUGAAAAUAUAAAUAGUAUUCUAAUGUAUUAUAGUCUAAAUCUUACCCCUAUGAGUUUAUUUUAUACACCUUUUAUUAUAUUAACCACAUUUAUAAUGCAGUGCAAUGUAACAAAAAAUUAUAACCAAAUAUGAGUUAGCAUGAAAAUAAUAUUUUAGUGCAAUAUAAUACAAUGUAAUGUAAGCUAACAAAUGGAUAUUUAAUGGAAGCAAAAAUUGCAUAUGACUUGUGGGUCUCUUAAAAGACAACAAAAAAACCAAUAUGAUACAUUGAUUCUGUCCUCUUUAAUGGUGUCUUUACUAAAUGGGAAUAAGAAUAAGUUAGAAUUGGAGUGAGCUUGAAUCGAAAUAAGGAAUUAUAAUCAAAAUAAGUUGUUUAUUUAAGUUGUAUGAAUUAGAAUCAAAAUAAAUUUUAUUCAAAUUGAUGUGUUUAUUUUCUAUUGAAAUUAGAAUGGACUAUUACAAGUUGCUAAAAAACCAUUUGGUAAUUGUUGUCUCUAGUAUUAUUUGUAUAUGUUAUAAUGGUAACAAUAAUAAGAAUAAAAAUAGUACUAAAAAUGAAAAUAAUAAUAAUAGUAGAGACAAUAAUAAUAAAAUUAAUAAAUUAUUAUUAUUAUUAUUAUUAUUAUUAUUAUUAUUACUACUACUACUACUACUACUACUACUACUACUACUACUACUACUACUACUACUACUACUACUACUACUACUACUACUACUACUACUACUACUACUACUACUACUACUACUGAAGAUCGCUCGGUGAAGAUUGGAUAGUGAAGAUGAAGACGACGAAGAUCCCGGCAACCAACUGCUGUUCCAAAGAUGAUGUGCCCAAAUGGAGACAACCAAUGAUGACUAGCCAACUAGAUCCCAAUCUCGAUGUUGUGAUCUCGUAUGACCACAGAUAAAGCUAUGUGUGAUGUUGGCGUUAUGAUUUCUUUUUUAUUUAUAUUUUUUAAUUUAUUAGUGGUAUUUUCAAAUUUUUGUAAUUUUAAUAUGGACAAAUUGGAUAGUCCAGUAAACAGGAGACUGAUUCGCAACCAUCCUAAGAAUUAGGGCCCGUUUGGUAUCAUUUUCAAGGGCUUAUUUUCAUUUUCGUUUUUGGAGUUUAAAUGUAAUACCCGUUUGGUACGCUGAAUUCAAAAAUAAACUGUAAAACAAAUAAUUCAGAUUUCCAUUUACAGUUAUAAAAUUGAGAACGUGUUUAACACGUUCUCAGUGAAUCACAAACCAAAUUUUAGAAUAAAUCGCAAAACAAAACCCGAUCAAAAUACACCUUUCUCUCAUCUCUCUCAUCCACAGCUCUCUUUCUCUUCGUGACAGUUCUCCAACCAAAAUCAGCUACUGUUACUGCGUCUCAGCUCCAUCUCGACUAGUGGUGGUGGUGGUGGUGCGUCUCUGCUCUGCUUCGGCCAUGGUGGAUCGACUGAUACUGCUGUAUCUCUGUUGAGGAUUGAUUGGUGCUGCUGCUGUUGCGUCUCGGCUCCGUCCCGACUGGUGGUGGUGCGGCCGUUGCUGCUGCAUCUCUGCUCUGCUUUAGGGAGGGCUUAAUUUCAUUUUCUGCUUAACCGAUCGAAUCUAUUUUUCGUUUUGAAUGAUUGCUCGAAGCAUGCCUUCGAUUUUGCAUUUAAUUGGGCAAACAAAACAAAAAAAAAAAUUUAUGGAUUCAUUCGUCAUUUUCACAUGGAUUGAGAUUGACCAUUACAUUUCUUAUUAUUUGUUGGCAGUACAUUAUAAUGAUGACACAUAUAUAAAUCAUAUAAUUAACAUUAUAUUAAUAAUAAAUUUAUACCUAAUAAUAAUAUUGAUACCAAUUAACAUUUUAUAUCAAUUUUUAAAAAUUUUAAAAUUAACAAUUUUUGGGCAAACUAACAAUUGUUAAAAAAAGAACAAAAAGUUACUGAUUAGAUAGAGUUGCUUAAUGCGCAUGGUGUGUUUGUGUAUGUAUUAGUUAAAUUUUUUAGUAAAAAUUAUUUCUGAAAAAAAUAUUACCAAACGCAUAUUUUCUGUUUUUAUCAUUUUCAAUUGUGUCUACCAAACGCAUAUUACUGUUUUCAAUUUUAAAAUAUAGGAUAUAGAAAAUGAUACCAAACGCAUAUUUAAAUUCGAAAUACAGUAACUGUUUCGUUUUUAUUCUCAGAAAAUACAGAUUCAAAAACAAUACCAAACAUGCCCUUAGUCUCUCAUUUUCUAUUUCUAAUUUGAUGUGAGUUCUACUAUUUCGAUUCCAAUUCUUACAUUUAUUUGUGAGACAAAACUAUGGUGCAACUGUAGACUGUAGUACCAUUGGAUCCAGCCACAAUAUCAUCAUGACUGGAUCUAAUGGCUGAAACCUGAAAGUAAUUGUGGUAUGGUACCACAGUUGCACCAUAGUUGAACCUUUAUUUGUGAAGUAAAAUGAUGUUAAUAAUUUCGAUUUUCAAUUCGAGAAGUAAACACAUCAUAAUAUUUUUUUAGAUGCUUCCAUGGCAUAAUCUCAUUGGUCCAUUUUUCUUCACGCCUUAGAUUCAACUUCAAGAUUCAAGAUUCAAUUUGAAGCAAACACAACUGCAAAACAAAUAUAAUAAGCGUUAAUAAGCCUGCGGCUGACUGGCUGUGGCCAAGCAAAUGUAACAUAUAGUGACCGAAUCAUAUCUUAUUAUCUUACGCCUGAAGCAAAACAAUGUUCCCAUUCCACGUGUCACUCUUUGACCAAUCCCCGAACUUUCUUCAUAUUUCCAAAGAAACCCUUACAAAGUCAAGAUAAUUACCUUCACUCUACUCAUCCUUACGGUCUUCAUUUAAAAGGAAAAAUUAUAAAAAAUUCUCCUCAUUCCUUAAAAAUCUAGGGUUUCUCAAGAAUCGCUAAACAUAUAUCCCAAUCAUUCAAAAUCUCAAUUUAACCUCUCUAGGGUUUUGAUUGUCGAGGAUUCGCUUGAAAAUUUAGUAUUUUUUAGUGGAUUUUGCUUGUCUCGUAUGCUUCAAUUGUUGUUCGGUUCUGAAAAUAAUUUGGAAUUUUAGGGAUUUUCAGAUUAUUUAGUUUUUUUUAGUGCAAUUUCCUCUAGUUACGGUUUCAGUUUGAAGGGUUAAGUGCAAUUUCGAAUUUUUUUAUAAAAUUAAAAUUAAAAUUCCUAAAACGAUUGGGCGCUUAAUAAUUAAUUGAUGGCUAGCGAUACUACAACUGCGGCCGCAGCUGCGGAAGAAGCAGAGGCGAUGGAGGAGUAUGAUAGCAAUCCAAAUGAAGUGAAACGCUCUCUUGUGAUGCGCAGAAGGGAUGCCAGCGAUGAGGAGGAGGCGGAGGAUGAGAGAGAUUCAGAGCUUCCAAUCGCUCAAAGUGUCUACAUUCCUGCGGGAGAAGCGGAGGCUGUGGAUGAGUAUGAGAGCGAUCCAGAUGAAGUGAAACACUCUCUCGUUAUGAGCAUAAGGGAAACAAGCGAUGAUGAGGAGGAGUGGACAGAAUUUGAGCGUCGAAUAAAUUGAAGGGUCCAGAUUCACUCUUACAUUGAAUCUGAUGGCCUAAGUGGUGCUCCAGCUGAGUAUGAUGAUGAUGAAGAGGACGAAGAGGAACAUGACAGAGAAUUAGAAGAAGAAGAUGAAGAAGGGGAUGUUUAUGAGUAUGAAGAGGAAGACGAGUUUUAUGAAGAAGUGGAGAGGAAUGACGAGGCGGUUAAAGUCAAAGAAACAGAGGGUAAUGAUGCAAGAGGAGUACAGAGGGCGCAGUGGAAGUGAGUAAAGGGAAUUAUGAUAAUGGCAAUGGUGCUAAAACAAUGAUGCAGCGAAGGAGGGAAUGGAGGAAGGGGAGAAGGAGAGUAAUGAGCCUUUUGCACAGCAGCCGGGGCUUUUUAUAUGGGACAAUGUUGCAGGUCGACACAGGUAUUAUUUGAUUUGAGUCAUCUAUAAAUAACUGAUAGCUGUACUUUCAUUAGGCUUGUCGAUUAGUCUAGUCUCGUUUUUUGGUGCUGUCUAAUGAUUGUUUGCUGGAAUCUGUGUAGAAGGCUUUUGGCGUAGUAGGUUGAAAGGAGAGAAAGUUCUCAAGUAAACAUCUGUGCUUUGUGGAAUAUAAUUAAUAGGGACAAAGUAUACUAAAUUACUUGAUAGAUAGAUGCCGAGCUAAUCAUGAGCUAUGAUAGCAUUAUCCGUGCUUUGUGUAUUUUUAUUAGGGCUUGUCUAUUUCAAAGCGUGGAGUAUAGAAUUUUUGGGUUAAGUUUGAGUGAUGAAGUGUUAGAUAGGUUUCUGUUUUGCAUAGUUAAGCCGUCAAUACGAGCUAUCGAAGCAAAUAUGGAGUAGGAUAUCUAGUUUUGGCUUUGGUCUUAGUUUGAAGAUGGCUACUGAUUAUGCAGCUAGGUACGUAUUAGUGUUUGUGGAUUUCUAAAUGCUUUCUUUUAAAUUUGACUAGAUUAUUACUAGAAGUGCAUGGAUCUUACACUUAAUUAAUUAUAUAUCCAUUUGUAAUGUUCAAAAUGAUAAUGUACUAUUGCUUGAAAUUAUGCUUUCAAGACAUCAUUUUGAAAAUCCAUGGUUAUAAUGUGUCUCUAAAUUCAGUAAUACAAGUUCUAUCAAUUGCUGUUGGAUGCAGUGACCUGAAUAGUUUAAUAUUCAUUUGCAGAAGAGUUGAGAAAGAAAACUAAAAAUUUCGGUGCGUUCUGCUGGAAAUUUAAUUAGCUUCAUUUGAGCAUUAAUUACCGGCAUGAUCUCUUAGACUUCUCAUUGCAUUGAAUGAAUGGAUGAGUGCUAAUCCAUGCAAAGACUUCCAUGCAUGCACAAUGAAUGCUACAUCAAAGGUAUGGGAAAAUGUCAGCAAGCUUGGCCCAAAUUAUCUAGCUGGUUUGGUGGCUGCUAGAUUUGUUCAUCCGGAUUUUGGACCAUUUUCCUUGACAAUGAGAAAAGCUCCAAGAUCUGUAAAUCAAAAACUCAUUGAAGUGCCAAAAGAGAGAUGGAAGUGAAUAACUAGAGAGUUAGUGAAAAGAGGGUGCAGUGAUUGUGUGGGAAUCUUUGGGUAUAAUUGGGGUUUGGAUGUGAGAUAAAAUAUUUUGAGAGUGAGGUUGUAACAAUUUUUCACGUAGGGAAAUUUUUUAUCUCGUUGUCCUUGGCAACUGUGGUUUUUUAUUUGGGUAAUAGAGUUUUUCAGGUAACUUUUUUGUUGUGUGAUCUGAGUAUUCUCUAUUGUAUUUCUUUUAUUUGUUAUUUAUUUGAUGUAUUGCUAGCAGAGAUCUUGGGUGGGAACCAAAAAUUCCCAACAAUUGUCAGUUGUUUUAAACGCUAUUCCGAACAGAGCAUGAAGGGAUUCACUUAUCUAAUUAUGUCAUUUAUGCUUUAACUUCACUUCAUUUCAUCUUGUCCGUCACCUUUACUAAAGUUGUGUAUGUUUGAGUAUUAGGUUCAUCACAAGGAUCAUAUUAUGUUUGAGUAUUUGGAUUCAAGACUGUUAUAAGGUUGUUACAGAUGCAAUGCUGUUGCUGUGUAACUGUAUGCCAUGCUCGCAAGUGCGCUGUAACAGAUUGCUCAGCUGGCACCGGAUAUUUUAAGCUAAUUUUGGUAAUUAGUCUAGAGUGUUCUGAUUUAUUCUAUAAAUAGCUCAUUUGAGCGUAGAACCUUUAAGGUGUAUCGUACAUCUCUGUUACUUCUAAUAAAGGAUUUCUUUAUUCCUUUUUCUUUCGCUUUCUCUUUCAUUUUCAUGAUCCCCAAACACCAUCAAACAUAGAAUUGCUGUUUUAAGAAACAAAGUACUCUAUCCUGUCACCCAGCGGUCUCCUCGUUUAUCGACUUGUGAACAGGGCUAAAUAAAGGGCAAAGAUAUUAGGCAAAUGGACAUAACGUGACAAGUUCUUGAAUUGAAUGGCUCCUCAUUUCUUCAUAAAUCUUUGCUUAAUUUUUUUUGUUCCCUCAACCUUUUUUGACCUUUUGCGCUAAAAUUCUUUUUUUUAUACAUUAUGCAAAAAUUGAUGAAAAUGAGUUACUUUAGAACAUCAAUAAAUUUUUAUUACAUGAUAAGACAAUAUCAAUAAAUUUUUAUUACAUGAUAAGACAAUUAUACUUAGAUUACUCUUAUUUAGUUGAAUUAUAUGUAAUAAAAUUAGUUUAACAAAAUUUAACCCGCAAAUAUUCCUCAUCAUAUGAUUAACGUACUUAAAAAAUCAUAACUGAUCGGCCGCUUGUUUUACUAUAAAAGAUUGGUGUGAUUUAAUUAUUUUUCUUUUUGCUUGGUGACUGUAAAAUUAUGAAUACUUUGGUAAAUAAGAUAAUUAUAAACACCAUUUUGAAAAUCCAUGGCCAUGGUUGUGAUGUGUCUUUAUCAAUCACGGAUACAAAAAUUAAUCAAAAUUAUCGAUUGUUUUAAAUUCUGUUUUUAACAGAGCAUGAAGAUGUCGCUUAUCUAGAUUUACUUUUUAUGCUUUGACUUCACUUAAUACAGCUUCUUCCUCCUUUAACUGUAUGCCAAAUGAUUACUACCAAAUUAAUUUCACAAAUUAAUAAGCUAACCUAAUUAAUUUGCAGCAAGGUAAUUGGAAGCUCAGAGAGUCUGUAUUAGCCGACUCUAAGCGAUAAGUGUUUCCAUGUGAGCCAUAAUUUGGGAAAAAGACCAAUUCAAGUUAAAGAUCAGAAAAGUCUGUCCCGCACGAAUACAAUAAUUCGAGCCACACAUUCAUCAAACGCUUGCAUUGCAAAUACACUUCAACAUGUUGUCUCAUAGGGAGAAAUCCUUCACUCUUUGACGUAAUGCUUGGGCAACGUAAAUUAGUCCCAUUUUUUGAUGCAUGAGAGAUAAUUAGUCCCAUUUUUGUCCUGUUUACUUGACUUGGGCUAUUUGCCGUCAACUCUUCUCAUCUACGUAGGUAAUGUGUCUUUUAUUUGGCAUGAAAAAGCCAAUACUUGCACGAGUGUAGCAUCACUGAUUUGUGUAAUUUUCAGGACUGGUAAAUUAUCUUAAUUUAAAAAAAAUAUAUAAUUACAAUUAUCGAUCGAACACCACUAAUUCCAACAAUUUAUCCAAAAAUAUCUUUGAGUUUCAAGGAAUUAAUGUAGCACGAAUGGCCAAGUUUUUCAACUUUUUCGAUAUUUGAUAUAUGUCAUGUUCUAACUUAGUACGAGAAGAAAAUUAUAGAAUAAACUUUUUAAAAAAUUAGUGGAAUUAUUUUUCGAUAAAAUUAUCACAAUCACAUUUAAAAAUAUUCUUUAGAUUUUCACUAUUUCUACUGUUAUUCUUUAAACUCUUUUCUGAACAGAGCAUGGAGGGUCACUUAUCUAAAUAUGUUUUGUGUGCUUUCACUUCACUUGAUUCAUCUUGUCCCUCUUUUAUAGCUUCUAUCUCGUGUGAGCUUUGAACCUGCAACUCGUAUUUUACGUUUCUAUUACUUUCUCUUUCAUUUUCCCGACUCCCAAACACCAUCAAUCCUUGAUGUUAUAGAGUAUUAGCUGUCUAUUUGUACAAACAUAGAGCUACUGUUCGUACUUUAGAUCUUCAGAUGGUUAGCUAACUAUUGUUUGAAUAUUAAAAUUAAUUUGUUAAAUAAAUGAAGAAAACAAGAGACAAUUACCAUUCAUAUUCCAUAUUAAUUAGUCACUGUCCGAUUGUCUCCGCUUCCAUUGAAUCUGUUGAUUCAUGCUUUCAUGAAGUGAAACGCUUAACACUCUGUUCUGAUCCGCAGGAGAGGAGGAAAAACACAAUUUUAUUAUUUCAUUCCUGACACGGGCAAAGAGCUUUCUUAGCCGGCUCGGCAGCUAAUUCCUUAAAAUUUGUUAAAUUUCAUUUAAUUGAUGAAUGUGACAUGAAGCUCUAUAAAUAGUUUAAUUUGUAGAAUUGUUAAAAAUUUAAAUUUCAAGUAAGGUAGAUAAAAUGAUUAAUGUUUUUCAAUAUUUAGUAAUGAACAUGUGUCGUGUUACUAUGAGUGAAUGAAUGAAAUUUUUGAUAGAAAAUACAAUGCUAGUAUUAAAAAUUUUAAGUGCGAAUCCAUUUAGUGUACGUUAUCCAUAAAAGCAAUUGCGAGUCUUGUUUCCCAUUUUGUUUAAUUUUCAUAAAUUUGACUCACGAUCAAUUACGAGUGAAGAGUUUGUUGGAAAAAUCUGGUCUUCCAUUUAUUGUAAUCAGAUGAGUGUGAUUUAAUUAUUUUUUUCUUUUACUUCAUGUUCUGAAAAUUAUGAAUGCUUUGUAGGAUGUAGGAGAUUAAAAAUUUUAAUGCAUAUUUAUAUUCAAAACUGAGUAAACGUAACAUUAUUGCUUCUAUAAAUAGGUCAUUUCAACUUAAAACCUGUUACUUGUAUUUUACGCCGUUUCUGUUUCUUAUCAUAAAGAUUUUCUAUGUUUUUUUUUUUUCACUUUUUCUUCCGUUUUCCCGACUCCCAAACUCCACCAAUCCUUGAUUCUUUUCCUAGAGUAUUAGCUCUCUAUUAUUACAAACAUACAGUCUGUCUAAUUACCAUCAAGAAACAACAUACCUUGUCCUGGGGUCUCUUCGAUUAUUGACUUGUGUGACUUGCGAACGGGGGGCAUUCCCUUCUUGAAGAAAGAAUGCAAAGAGCCCAAGAAAGUACUAUCCAUUAGACACGUUAAGAAUUAUUUUGCUUUUCAGUAAAAAUGAUAAUAAUUAUAAUAAAUUAGAUUGAAUUAAUAAUAUUUGCAUGUGGGAUAUAAAUAAUCAGUUUAGUCACUAAUGAGUGACUGUCCGCUUGUCUUCUCUUUCAUUGACUUUGAAACUGUGACUUCUGAGUUGGAUUAAGAAUUGAAAAAAAUGUUGCAACCCAUAAAGCGCGUAAAAUUAAUUAAUGGGCCACUAAUUCUUCUUCUUAAAAGAAAAGUUUUGCAGGGAGAUUGAAAAAAGGCUAAUUCGUGUUGAAGAUCAUAAAUGAGUAUCUGUCAUAAAUACAAGUCAAGCUACACAAUUGUUCUUGUCAUACUAUUUAUUGGCACUUGUGAUCCUUGAAUUAUCAAACGAAUAGCAACAACACUUCAACAUCUGUUGUCACAUGGAGGGAAAUCCGCUGCCUCUUUGAUGUAAUACUUGGCAAUAUACAUUGACUUUUCAUUAAAACAAGCAUUGGCAUAUUGUCAUUUUCAAAUUUUUAACGUCUUGUAAUUAAAGAUUCCUAUAUCACAUUAUAAUUUUCAAACAAAUCUAAGUGAGUCAAAUCAAAUUUAGAAAUUUGAGGUCUACUAUAGACUUUUGACAUAUUAAAUUUAAGACAAUUAAGUAAAUGCUAGACAAAAUCUAACUUGCAAAUAUACCUUACCACAUGAUGAACGUACUUAAAAAUCUUAAUUGAUUGCUCACCAAUUAAUUGUUGUUUUACAGUUUGGUUUGAAUGGUUAAGUUCAAGUUCGAAUUUUCUUUUUGUAAUUUAAAUUAAAAUUGAUAGAACAAAUGGGCUGAUCAGUAUGAUGAUGAAGAAGAAGAAGUAAAAGCUAUUAAGCAUUAUCCUAUCACCAUAUCAAAUGGACCGAAUUCAAUCAAAUGAAAUCUAGAAAAUAGAGCAGCUCAUAGAUGUACGUCGCUAAGUGGAGGUUCAUUUGGAAGUACUUGGUCGAAUUGCGACUUGCGCCGGAGGCUUCGUUUCGUUUUAGAAGAGUGCAGAGCAGCUGCCUUGUCCAUUAGGCACGCCAACGACUUUCUAUUGACCAAUAAUUUUGAAAGCGAUAUUAUUAAUUUACCGUCUAAUUUUUUUUAUAUUAUCAUUUCCCCAUCAAAAUUUUUUUAUAAUUAUUUUUUUCACUUUGUAUUUUGGUUUUUAUUAUUUUACUACCGAAAAAUAGUAAACACACCCGUAAGAUAGGUUAUCCACAAAAAUGAUUACCAAAUUGUCUUGUUUCUCCUUUUGUUUAAUUUUCACAAAUUCGACCCACGAUUUAAAUGUGAGUGAAGAGUUUUUUUUUGGGAAAAAAUAUGGUCUUCCAUUUACUAGAAUUAGGUAUUUGUGAUUUUAUUAUUUUUCUUUUGCUUAAUAUGUAUCUGGAAAAUUAUGAAUACUUUGCAGGAUUUAGAAUGAUUUGAAUGUUUGAACGCAUAUAGCUUUCUGUCCAUCAGCUAAUGCAUAUUCUGCAUUUUAUGAAUAUCAGAGCUGGUAGAUUGGAAGAUGGAUCUUAUUACAUGUCAUAAGAUACUUUGCUCAAAGCUGCAAUUGGGCAACGCCGUGCUGUUCUUAUCGGCCAAUGCAAGCCAUUUACUAUUCUUUCUAAUGGAGCAAAAUAAGAUGAUUCUUACCUGCAUAGAGAAUUAGAAAAGAAAAGGAGGAUUACUGAUCCACAGAGCUGUCAUUUGCUAGAGGCACAUAAAAUCUUACACUUAAUUCAUUAACCAUAUGUACGUUCUAAUGAUACUUAAGUAUUACCUAAAUUGGCCUUUCAAAAUUUCAAUUCGAAAAAAUCCAAGGUUGUGAUGUGUCUGUAUAAAUUCGCUAAUACAAGUUCUCUCUAUUCCCAAUUGUUUUAAACUCUGUUCUGAACAGAGCAUGAAAGGAUAUAUUUGUUUAUCUAGUUAUAUUUUUUAUGCUCUCACUUCACUUGAUUCACCUUCUCCAUCUUUUAAAACAGUUGUAUAUGUCGGAGUACAAGUUCAUCACAAGGAUCAUAUUAUGGCCUAAGGAAGGAGCACAGUUUAUUGUCUGCACUCAAGCUUAGCAGAGUAUUUUGGGAUUCAAGAGUGUUAGUAGGCUGUUGCUGUAAAACUAUAGGCCAUGCUGGCAAGCGUGCUAUGACUGAUUGCUAUUUGCACGUAAAAUUUACCCAAAACAAAUAGAAUGAGAAUACUUGUACAAAAGGACAAGAUUAAUAAAGUGAAUAAAUUUUAUCUUUUAGUGAAUGCUUCUUGUCUUUUCGAGUUUUAGUGCAUUUUCGUGUGUAAUUUUAUGUGCAAAUAGCAUUACUCGUUAGUAAUUAGUCUAGAGUGUUCUAAUUUCUUCUAAUAAGUAGCUCAUUUGAGCUUAAGACUUGCAUUUUAAGUUUUUAUUACUUUCUAAUAAAGAUUUUCUCUGUUCUUUUUUACUUUCACUUUCUCUUCCAUUUUCCCGACUCCCAAACACCACCAAUCCUUGAUUUUCUAGAGUAAAGCUAUGCAGUUCUACAAACACGAAACUACUGUUGGUCCAAUUACUUUCAAGAAACAACGUACUCUGUGGUUUAUUGACUUGUGACAUGGGCAAAUUAGUCACGGUCCGAUUGUCUCCUCUUCCACUGACUCUGUCAAUUCAUGACUUUGGCACACAGUAGACGCUGGCUGCCUGCUUCAUUUGACGUGCAAAAAACUUUCUUGAGUCGGGUUAAAAUCGAUUGAUUAGUUUGUUUGGUGAUGAUGAGUUAGUCGUCAAUUCAUGAGUUUGAUGCAGUGAAACGCUUAACGCUCUCUUGUGAUGCGCAGGAGAAAAGCCAGUGAUGAUGAAGAGGGCGAAAAACAUUAUUUUGUUAUUUACAAUAAGGCUAUCAAUUAUAUAAUCCAAAAUAAUUGGGUUUGGAUGGUCAUUUUGUUUUCUAAAAUAUCCAAAUGAAAACAGAAUUUAUAAAGUGGGAAAAUCAAGAAAUACUAUACUCUUCGUAUAGUGGAAGGAGAUUUGGUUGCCAUUAUACUAAAUAAAAGAAAAAUAAAAUAAAAUUACAAUACUUUAAUAAUCUCAUUCCCAAUCCUACUGGAAAUAAAAUUUUCUGUAUAUUUAUGAAAUAAUUACUGAUUUUACUUUAGUGAUUUUUUUUUAGGAUAAAACUGUAGUGCAACUGUGGUACCGUGCCACAGUUGCACCCAACCGUUGGAUUUCCACUUAUUCAAGUGGACCCAACUUAUUUGAGUGAAUCUAACGGCUAGUGCAACUGUGGCACAGUACCACAGUUGCACUGUAGCUUGACCUUUUUUUUUUUAAAGUAAGGUAAGCAGCUUUAUUUUCUUUGCAUACGAGCCUUCUUUCUUUUGCUUUUGCCUUUACUCUUGACUGUAUUUCAUGGUCAUAUUCAAUCUCAAUCUCCUGUAGGUUUGCGGCUGCUUUAUGAGUUACGAUUUUUUAUAAGGUUGCAGGUAGAUGAUACAUUUAUAUACAUUUUUUCUUUUUUCUUUUCUUCUUCGGUGAAGACACUAAAAUUUAGUUUUUGUUAUCAUGUGAAAUGAACAUAGUCCUCAUUUCAAGGAUUAAUGUGUUAGGAAUUUGGUGGGUGAAGCAGACACGCAGCUAAAGUAAAAUUAGAAGAAAAUAGAGAACAAACACAAAAGAGAAUACCAGAAAUUACGUGAUUCGGCUUUUAGCCUACGUCUACGAGCGAAGACAAAAGGAAAAUAUUAUACUAGUGAAAAUGAGUUACUAGUAUUGUAGUAUUUUAGAUCACUACCCAAAACCCCAAUACACCCAAACUCUCAAAUCACUAAGCACACAAAAUUCUUUACUCUGCAAGAAUUACUUCUCACAACUCUCAACUCUCUCUACAAAAUUGGAUGCUAAAUGAAAUGGGGAGCUCUCUCUUUUAUAGCCAAAAAAUGGCUAUUAAAUUAAUUUUUUUUCCUUUGGGCGGUACCAAAUUCUUCUUUUUCUUCUUUCUCUUUUGUUUCUUUCUUUGGGCAGCACCUCCCGACCAAGACUUUAACUCUUUCUUUGGGCGGCACCUCCCAACCAAAACUUUAACAUUCUCCCACUUGGAGAUUUGAUUGAGAAUCAAUCAAUCUCCACACCAUCCUUUCUGCUCCGUCAUUGUUAUGUUGCCUACGUUUCUGCUAGGCCACAAGAGGAUCUACUCCAGAAAAACUUAUCAGUAUUUAUCGGCUUGGUCAAAACAUCUGCUAGGUUCUCCUUCGUAUGGAUUUUCUAUAAAUCCACACUUCCGUCUUCCAAAACUUCUCGAAUGAAGUGAUACUGAACUCCUAUGUGCUUUGUCUUGGAAUGAAAAGCUGGACUCCUUGCAAUGUGCAAGGCACUCUGACUAUCACAAAACACAAAAAAUUUCUCUUAUUUGAGCCCGAGCUCCUCCAAUAAUCUUUGUAUCCAAAUAGCUUCCUUACAAGCUUGUGUAGCUGCCAUGUAUUCUGCUUCUGUUGUAGAUAAAGCCACAACGGUCUGCAGUUUCGAAACCUAGCUUACAGCUGCUCCCGCAAGUGUAAACAUAUAACCAGUAGUAGAUUUUCUUUUAUCAAGUUCUCCUGCAAAAUCUGAAUCCAUAUAGCCUCUGACAGUAAAUUCUGAUCCUCCAUAACAUAAUGCAACAUUUGAGGUUCCUUUGAUGUAUCUUAGAAUUCUCUUCACAACUAUCCACUGCUCUCCACCAGGAUUUGUCAUGUAUCGACUAACUGCUCCCACUGCUUGUGCAAUGUCUGGUCUUGUGUUGUGCAAAUUUUAAUGUACUCGCAAGCGCACGAAUCUAUUGUAGUGUAGAUCAAUGGUGACGAGUGUCGAUCCCACGAGGAGGAGGAUUUUAAUUGUGUAUAGAAUUAAUUUUGCAAAAUGGGUGGUUGGAAUUAUGGUGGAAGUGAUUUAAGUUAUCCCAAAAUUGGAAUUGAAAUUGCGAUAAUAAAUUCUAAAAUUGGAAUUGCAAUGGCGAGAAUAAGUUGAAGCGAAAUCUAUUGAAAUGACGUACUUGGGUAUCUGGAUCCGUAUCAACAUGCAUCAUGGGCUAAAUAAUCCGUAUUAAUGCCAAUUAAAUCAUGAGGGGGGAAUCCACACCUCAUGAACCACGCUCUAAUCAAUAUGGUGCUAAGGGCUUAUCGUGCCAAAUAAUAAUAACCUUAUACUAGAGAGCCGGUGUAACCAAGGCGGUAUCUAGACAAGAUCAGUAUUAUUUGUCGACGAUAAGUCAAAUCAUCCACAAAAACUAGAGGGGAAAAGAAAAUAAAUUUACCAAAUAAAGCCCAUGACACAUGUUGAGACUUCACCUUCAACCCAAGCUUGAAAGGAAAUUAGCUACUCAUAAUUGAACUAGGGGCAAAAUGGGAAUUUAUUAAAAUACAAAGAAAAUACAAGAUGGAGAGGGAAUUACAGAAAAUGGAUCCCAAAAAUGGAUUCAGAGCUAUCAAAUUAGGGGGGGGAGGCCCCCUUUUUAUAGAUACAUGGAGUAAAUCAUGGCCAUUGGAUUAAAAACAGUUUGGACGCUCAGGAUUGCGCCACGUCAUCAGUCAACAGUCCACUGUUUGACCACGCGGAUGAACAGUAAUGCGGUUUGACCCGGAUGAACAGUAACGCGGUUUGGUUGAAAAUAAUCCUGUGUGAUGCAUGCACCGUACGUGAGAUUUUUCGUCCACUGAUAUGCUGCCACGUCACCAUCAACAGUACAUAAGAAUUUUAGUCCAACAGGAUCGUGACACCUCAUCAGUCAAUGCCACAUCAUCGGUCAAUGCCACGUCAUCGAUUCGUUUAUGUGAACAGUGCCGUGAACAGUAACAUAUACAGUACCGUAUACGUGAAUAGUACCGUACAUGUGAAUAGUGCCAUUUUUCCUUUUAUGCUCCUCCUAAGGUUUUCGACCGUCCUGAGUUCAAAAGUGAUGUCCGUUUUGCCGUCUGAUCUCUCCUUUAUUGUGAAAUGACUAUAAUGCCCCUAAAAUACAUAAAAUACUUAAUUAAAAUAACACACGCGUAAUUACAUCACAAGAAGGUUAAAUACAUAAAAGUAAGAGUUGUUAGUAAGACUUGAAAUGUAAAAUGAUGGUUUUCUCCUUUAGAAAUAUAUAUUUUCUAACACUCAACAUCUUGUACAUAUCACAGCGAACAUCAAACUUUCCACUGCUGAUGCAUACGGUACUCAAGACAUCUCCUUCCUCUCUGCUUCAUUGCUAAGACAUAUACUUGAGGAUAAUUUGAAAUUAACAGGAAGUGGGGUAGAAAUUGACUUACAAUCUUGCAUGUUGAAGCGCCGUAAGAUUUUCUUCAAGUAAUUCUUCUGUGAAAGCCAAAUCUUCUUGUUAUUUCUGUCUCGAUGAAUUUGCAUCCCUAGAAUCUUGUUUGCUGGUCCCAAGUCCUUCAUUUCAAACUCCCUAGCCAAUUGUGCCUUCAAUUCUUGGACUCGAUCUUUGUUGGGGCUUGCUACCAACAUGUCAUCCACGUACAACAACAAAAUGAUGAAAUCAUUAUCUUCAAACCUCUUACAAUAUGCACAAUGGUCUGAACUGAGUCUGUUGUAUCCAAGGCUCAUGAUGAAGGAAUCAAAUCUCUUAUACCAACACAUUGGCGCCUGUUUGAGACCGUAUAGAGAUUUGUUCAACCUGCAAACCAAGUUCUCCUUUCCUGUUUCUACAAAACCUUUUGGUUGGAGCAUAAAUAUUUCUUCUUCAAGUUCUUCAUGAAGAAAUGCAGUUUUCACAUCUAACUGCUCUAGAUGUAGGUCAAAUGUAGCACACAUUGCCAAGACUAUUCUGAUUGUUGUGAGUCGAGCCACCGACGAAAAUAUCUCGUUGAAGUCAAUACCUUCUUUUUGAGCAUAUCCUUUCACCACCAAUCUGGCACGAUACCGCUUCACUUGGUCAUUGUCAUCACGUUUAAUCUUGUAGACCUAUUUGUUUCCAAUGGCUUUUCUUCCACAUAGUAGUGGUACAAGUUCCCAUGUCUUGUUCUUGUGUAGAGCUUCAAUUUCUUCCUGCAUUGCUGUCAUCCACAAAUCAACAUUUGAGCUUUCUAAAGCUUCAUAAAAAGUUGAUGGCUCUCCAUCCUCUAUUAGAAGACAGUACGCAACAUUGAUCUCUGUGACAUACUCUGAGUGCCACGCCGGCGGUUGUCUCUCAUGAGUUAACCAAUGAACUUCUGGAGCCUCAGACUCGACUGGUUCUUGUUCUUCGUGCUCUAGUGCUGCUUCAGAAGAAUCUGAAUCUUCUGGAUUAUUUUUGACAUAUACCGGCACAGUUUCUGACUUUUCUUUUACAGUGUCAUCAUCUCCAUCUUUCAUUUGCAGUUGAUCUUCUACAAAGAUAACAUCUCUGCUGAUGACAAUCUUGUGGGCAGUGGGGUCCCACAGACGAUACCCUUUACUCCAUCAACAUACCCCAAGAAGAUACACCUCCUAGAUUUUGGAUCUAACUUUGUUCUUUCUUGGGCAUUGUACAUUACGUACACAGGACAUCCAAAUGCAUGUAGGUAGGAAUAAUCAGCUGGCUUUUCAGUCCACAUCUCCAUCGCCGUCUUCAACCCAAUAGCUGUAGAUGGCGACCGAUUUACUAUAUAACAGGCAGUUUUGCCUGCUUCUGCCUAGAAUGAAUUGGGUAGACCAGCAGUCCUCAACAUAGCUCUUAUUCGUUAUUUAAGAGUUCUAUUCAUCCGCUCUGCCACUCCAUUUUGUUGAGGAGUGUAUGCCACCGUGAACUGCCUCUGAAUACCUUCUUGCUUACAGAAAGCAAGAAACUUGCCGUUUGUAUACUCUCCACCAUUAUCUGUCCUUAAGCACUUGAUCUUUUUACCAGAUUCAAGUUCCACCCGUGCUUUGUAUUCUUUAAACACUGGAAAUACAUCUGACUUUUUCUUAAUUAGAUACACCCAACAUCUUCUGGAAUAAUCAUCAAUGAAAGUCACCAUGUACUUUACACCUCCCAUGGAUAUAUCCGGUGAUUCCAAAACAUUAGAAUGAAUCAAGUUUAUAAUGUAUUAACUUCUAGCAAUAGAUCUACUGAAUUUUAAUCUAUACUGCUUACUUGUAACACAAUGCUCGCAAAAUGGUAAAUUUACCGAUUUAGGCCCUGGAAGCAAUUUUCGCUCAGAGAGAAUCUUCAAACCUUGUCUGACAUGUGGCCAAGUUUGAGAUGCCACAUCAUCGUUGACUCUUCUCUAUUUGAUGCGACACACGCAUCAACCUCCUGUAGUGUUUCUCCUUUAAGCAUGAAUAAAUUAGCACUGAUCUUUUCUGCUUUCAUCAAUACAAGCGCUCCUUUAACAAUCUUCAUAAUUUCAUUCUCCACAGGCGUUUUGCACCCAUGACUGUCUAUUUGUGCUAAAGACAAUAGAUUUUUCUUCAGGCCAUUAACAUGUCGUAACUCUCCAAUUGUGUGAAUUGUACCAUCAAAUAUUUUUAUUUUGAUAGUACCAAUACCAGCGAUCUCUAAGGCAUGAUCAUCUCCUAUAUAUACAGAUCCUCCUGAGAUAGGUUCAUAUGUGUGGAACCAUUCUCUCCGAGAGGUCAUGUGCCAGGUAGCUCCUGAGUCUAUAAACCAGACAUCAGAUAGUCAUUUUCUGCUUUCUGAAAUAGUUGUUGCCUCGCUGUAGAGAAUUUCGCCAUCAUCCGAGGUACUUGCUACACACCCCUGAGCAUUUGAUGACUCAGGUUCAUUACCCUCUCUUCUCUUUUGGUUACUCCAACACACUUUCUUGAUGUGCCCUUUCUUGCCAUAGUUGUAGCAUUUAACAUUUUUCUUACUUUUGAAUUUUGAUCUACCAUUAUUGUGACUCCCACUGGGGCCACGUUCCGUUGAUCUCCCUCUCGUCACCGAUAGCGCCUCCACUUGCUGCGAACUUGCUUGUCUGUUUUCCUUAUUUUUCCACCUGCUCUCCUCAUUUAAUACGGAGGCUGCAACAUCGUCGAAAACUAGACUGUCCACUGGAUUGUUGUUCGUCAGGUUAAUGAUGAGCUGAUUAUACGAAUCUGGUAGACUUUGAAGUAGAAGCUCUGCAUGUUCAUUUUCCUCUAUAUUAUGACCCAACGUUGUGAGUUGUGAAAAUAGAGUUUUCAAGGUGUUGAUAUGGUCGGUCACCAUUGUAGAUUCUGCCAUUCGAAGAGUAUAGAGUUUCCUCUUCAAAAAGAUUUUGUUGUGUAGUGACUUGGCCUCGUACAAUUUUGUGAGAGUAUCCCAUAUUUCCUUCGCUGUAUUUUUCUCUGCCACACUGGAUAAUACUCCAUCCGCAAGUGCCAAGUCUAGAUCAGAAAUGGCGUUGCCGUCUACCUCGUUCCACUUGUCAUCAGUUAUCUCCACGGGCCUUUCUCUAAUUGCUGCCAAACAAUUAUUUUUCCUCAAUACAGCUUUUAUCUUCAUUUUCCACAACGAAAAAUUAUUUCUAUUAAACUUCUCAAUUUCAUAUUUUACUGCCAUUUUGAUGAUAAAUACCGCACACAAGCUAGUGUACCACCUUGAAUAGUUGUGAGUAUGUGUAAGAAUACACACCAAGAAAGUUCCUAGUAAAGACUGGAGGGGUCACAAUGGUCCCACUUAAAACCCAGACUCCUUAAGCUCUUAUCGCCUUUGUAGCAGAACUUUCCUAUACAUGUACAAAACCACACAGUUGCUUUACUCACACCACUAUUCUGAAAUACAAGUAUGCAACCCAAGAUGGGGGUGAAUUGAGAUUCUAAAAAUUAUUCAAUUUAUAAAGAAAAACUUAAAACAAAUAUAAUCCAAAUUCAAAGCAAUAACAAUUAAGUUGAUCACAAUAUAAAAAGAUAAGGGAAGAGAAAUUCAAACACAGAGAUUUUUACGUGGUUCGGCCAACCUCGCCUACGUCCACGCCUCCAAGCUUUUCGGGCUUGAGGAUUCCACUAAACAAGCCUCCAAGGCUUCAAAUGCUUACACUUGACUUCCAAGGUGUCAAUAACCUUUACAACAAGAGAUUAUCCCAAUCUCUUUAACCCAAGUGAAUCCCAACACUUACAACCACUCAAAACAAAAGAUUUCAAAUUUGUUUUGCCUCUCACAAUAUAUAAGAUUACACAAUGAUGCCCAAUAUGUGAAUAGAUGAAGUAAGAAUGUGUUCUAAGCUAUAUGAAGAUUGUAUUCUCGAAUAUAAGCUCAAUAGUCGUGUUGUGAUCAAUCUUCUUUGAAUUUGAAUGAGCUUAUUUAUAUUUGGAGCUGAAAAACUAGCCGUUACAAACUAUCGGCCCUAAACGGUUUGCCGUUAACUAUUAACGGUUAACCGUUUAAGCUGGUCAAAAGUUACCGUUGGGCCAAAUUUUAAAUAAACGGUUUGCCGUUUUAUGAUUACCCUUUCGCCGUUAAAUUCCAGAGACCUGCAAGAUGAACAUCAGUUAUCCGUUUACAUUAAACGGUUAAGGAUUUGCAUGAAGUGACUUCUCUGGAUAUUAUCGGUUAACCAUUUGUAAUAAACGGUUCGCCGUUUGUUUUCAGUAACCUGCAAAACAAUUUAGGCUUAUUCGGUUUUGUUAAACAGUGCCAGAGGAGUACAACCUUCAAUUCUGGAUGUUAUCGGUUAACCGUUUCAAUAAACGGUUCACCGUUAAAUUCCAGUAGCUUUCCCAUCUUUUGUGUUUUCCGUUUUUCACAAACGGUUAGAGCUUAGGCAAUAUGUUGCUUUCUGGUAUUAAUCGGUUAACUAUUUAAAAGAAAACGGUUCACUGUUUAUUUUCAGAAUCACAUUUUAAACCAGUUUUUGCAGAGAAUCUUUUUCUAAUUUGAAAGUCCAUCUUUUAUGAAUAUGAAUGGAAUGAUUAUUAAGGCUUUCGUUUAUUAAGGAAUAGCUCCAACAUUUUUAUCAAAAACCAUUUAAAGUUUGUUAUCAUCAAAAUCAAUAUUAUUAAAAAAUUCAUGUUAACAAUCUCCCCUUUUUUUAUGAUGACAAACUUCAUUCAAUAUAUAGCUCCCCCUUAAUAUGUACUCCCCCUAAAUGUAUGGCCAAAUUAAGAAAUGUCCAAUAAAAAGAUUUUUGCUCAAGAAAACAUUUUUAAAUUCAUUUAAAUACAUUCUAAAUCUCCCCAUAAUUCUCUCCCCCUUCAUCAUCAAAAAGAAAAGAGAGAAAUAAAAAAAAAACAAAAAACGCAAGUCCGUUAAAGAAGUUACCCGGUUUUGGUGAGCGAAAAUUUUGGCAGAGUUUCCCUUUAAAAAUGAGCAAAACCACUAAUACAAAAUGAGAUUAAAACACUUCCAAAAUAUAUUAACAACAAUUCCAUCUUUCAACAAACCAACAACGCCAUGAACAAACAAACCAACACUUCAAUAUCCAAGAAACCAACAAUUUCAUCAACCAAUUACCAAGUCAUCCAACAUCAAGAACAUCACAAAAAUAUGUCAUCAAAAUCCAGAAAGAGCAUAUAGAGGUAACAGUGUGUAUAAAAAUAUAAAUGGAAACACGCAAACAACCAAAAUAUGAAAUGUAUGUGCGAAAAUAGAACUCAGAAACUAUGGAGGUGGAGAAGAUGUGCUCCCCGGAUCAUAGCCGAAAUAGCGGAGAAGAGUGCGCUGUCCAGCAAUAAGCUCAAGCUGCUGAUCAAUGCUCUGCUGCUGGAAGGUCUGAAAGUCAGAACGUAGCUGCUGGUGGGUGAGGCAGACAUGCAGCUAAAGUAAAAUUGGAAGAAAAUAAAAAACAAGAACAAAAGAGAAUACCAGAAAUUACGUGGUUCGGCUUUUAGCCUACGUCCAUGGGCGAAGACAGAAGGAAAAUAUUAUACUAGUGAAAAGGAGUUACAAAUAUUGUAGUAUUUUAGCUCACUACCCAAAACCCCAAUACACCCAAACUCUCAAAUCACUGAGCACACAAAAUUCUUUGCUCUACAAGAAUUACUUCUCACAACUCUCAACUCUCUCUGCAAAAUUGGAUGCUAAAUGAAAUGGGGAGCUCUCCCUUUUAUAGCCAAAAAAUGGCUAUUAAAUUAAAAAAAAAAUUUCCUUUGGGCGGUACUAAAUUCUUCUUUUUCUUCUUUCUCUUUUGUUUCUUUCUUUGAGUGGCACCUCCCAACCAAGACUUUAACUCUUUCUUUGGGCGGCACCUCCCAACCAAGAAUCUACAACUUCAGCCCCAGGAACAGAAUCGAUCCCACUUAAAAUUUCAAUUUUGCAAUGCAGCUGAGGGGCAUGUGCCCUGUAAGAAUUGAUCCUAAAAUUGCCAUUGACAUGGACCCCACGAAGCUUGAAGAUUUCUAUAUUACAUAGCCAAACCUAAGUGAUAAGAAUUUUCAUAUGAGAUAUAAUUUUGGGAAAAAAACCAAUUCAAGUUAAAGAUAAAAAAUCUGUGUUACUUAAAUUCAAGCCACACAAUUUUUCUUGUUUUAUUUGAAAAAAAGAAAAUUGUGUUCCUCACAAAAACACUUUAACAUUUGUUGUCUCAUAGAGGGAAAUGUCCUUCACUCUUUGACGUAUCCCUGGGGCAAUGUAAGUUGACUUUACAUUAAAACAAAACAAUUGAAACGUUGUCCACAAACAUUGUCAUGUAGUUAAGAAAAACUUAAUUUUGACAAGUGCAAGAGAUUGGUGGGACUCAUUUGAUUCAAGAAAAACAAUCAGUCUCAUUUGAUACGCAAAGAGCUUUUCUACUCUGCGGCCAAUAUUUUGAUGAAUGUGACAUUAUCUCAAUUUUACUUCUGUAGGUUUGUUGUUUGUAUAUUAUCUCAAUUUUUUAAAAAAUGUAAUUGCAAUUAUCAAACAUGACUAAUCCCAACAAUUUAUCCAAAAAAUUUUGUUUCAAGAAAUGUAGCAUUUAUGAUAGAAUGGCUAAUUUUUUCAAUCGACUUUCUGGAUAAAUGAUAAUUUUUUGAUAGAAAUGUUACUUACUUAUUACAAGAAGAAAAUUAUAGAAUAAUUUUUUGAAUUAAUAGUAUUACUUUACGAUAACACUAUCACAAUCUAAUUUUAAAAAGAAAUAAAGUUAUUCUUUAAAUUUCGCAUUACUAUUCCUACUUUUCUUGUUAUACUACUUAAUGGCACUGGUGAAGCCUCGAAUUAUCAACCAAAAAGCAAAAAUAGUUCAAUAUCUGCUGUCCCACUGAGCAUUGUUAAAUUCAUACGAUAAAAUGAGUACUUAUAUUAAAAAAACAAUCGGUCUCAUUGCGUGCUCUUUCAUUGACAUAGGCAAUUUGCUGUCAACUUGUGGCACUUUUACGAAUUUUCAAGACAGGUGAAUUUUUCAAAUUUAAAAGAAAAAAAUACAGAAAUGUAAUUUCAAUUUAUCCAAAAAUUUGAGUUUCAAGGAAUACGGCAUUUAUUAAAUGUCAUGUUAAUAUAGAGAAGAAAAUUUUAAAAACUUAUUUUUGGAUGAAUAAAAGUAUUUUCUGAUAAAAUAUUUCACAAUCAAAUUUAAAAAAUUUCACUCCUCUUGGUACAUAAUUUAAGAAUUUAACAUUAUAAAUUAAUCUUUCUAAUCAAAGUAAUAAUCUCUCCUCGGUCUGCAAAUGCUAAAAUUUAAAUAUUAUAUCCAUUGACAAUAUUUGCUCCAAAUUCACGAAAACAAAAUUUCAAACAGAAUUAUGAAAUUCGUUACUAGAAAUUUGUAUAAAAGUUGUGAGAAUAGAAGGUUUGAUCAUAGGAAAUUAAUAUAUCCCUAUCCGAUGCAAAAAUGAUUGUAAAGAAAAACAAAAGUCACGGGCUUAUUUAGAAAAAAAGAAAAAAUUACAUUCCAUUUUCCAGUUAUUAAAGUAAUUCUAAAAUCGCUAGGAUCACAAAGGAUAGGCUUUGGUUGACUGAGGUCAGCCUUAACGCAUGCCGGUCUUUUUCUCCUCUACAUUCUUAGAAAUUUUGGUUUCACUAUAAAUACUCGGUAUAUAGCAAACUUAUAAGUGUUCUUGCAUUACCAAUCCAACUAAGCACACGCUUACAAUAUAAAUACUCUCAUCUCGUGGAAAGAGUUCAUUCACUCAGGAUGAUGAGCAGAUUUCUCUUACUCCAUUGUUUGAUUCUUAUUUCCUUCUUUAUCGCGGCAGCAACAGCCAACACAAGUUCUACUAUCACAGACCGAGAUGCUCUGUUAGCCCUGAAAGCUCGCAUAACUCAUGAUCCGACCAAUUUCUUGGCCAAGAAUUGGAACACAAGUACUCAUGUUUGUAAUUGGACAGGCGUCGCUUGUGAUGUCCAUAGCCAUAGAGUCACAGUCUUGAAUAUUUCAAGCUUAAAUCUCACAGGCACCAUCCCUUCUCAACUUAGGAAUCUUUCUUCUCUGCAAUCACUCAAUCUCAGUUGUAACCGACUUUCUGGUUCCAUUCCCUCCGCCAUCUUCACCAUAUAUACACUGAAAUAUGUUAGUUUCCGUGAAAAUCAGCUCUCUGGCGCUUUCUCUUCUUUCAUCUUCAACAAGUCUUCUUUACAACAUCUUGAUUUUAGUCACAAUACACUGUCUGGUGAAAUUCCUGCAAAUAUUUGCAGUAGUCUUCCUUUUCUGGAUUUCCUUUCUUUGCAAGAAAACAUGUUGCAUGGAGGAAUACCGUCCACUCUAUCAAAUUGCACAUAUUUGCAAAAAUUAGGUUUGGUAUACAAUAAUUUCUCGGGGGCCAUACCUAAAGAAAUCGGCAAUUUGACCAAACUUAAGAUAUUAUAUCUUGGCGGUAACAGACUCCAAGGUGCGCAUGAUCACAGAGUUUAAUUAUGAAAGUUGUUCCAUAAGUUGUAAUAUGAAUAACGUUCCAUAAUACAGUUUACACACGUUGAUUAAUUUGCAGGAGAAAUUCCUCGAGAGUUUGGCAAUCUUGCCGACUUGGAACGGAUGUCGUUAUCAGAAAACAAUCUCCAAGGUAUGAUUUUAAACUUUUUGCAAUUUUAUUUUAGCGAUGCUUGCUUCUGUAUUCAUUCGCUUGUUCUUUGAUUAUGCGAUGAUUUAUUGUUUUUCUUUCAGAUAGAGAUAAAGCUCCAUGUCUCCCCUCACUCAUUUCAUUCUUUAAUUUAUGCAGAUAAAAAUAAAAAAAAUGUUUUCUAAUUUUCUUUUGUCAUAUUGCCACUUCCAUUUUGAAGCUCCCAAUUAAGUCGAUGAAAAUGAAUGAUGUUUCAUUCUUAUUCUUGUCAGCCUAAUUCUUAUAUAAUUGAAGAAUAAAUUGUUAUUACGAUAUUCGUCAGCCAAUAAAUUCUUCUUUUUUUUCCCCCCAAACAUGAGUGAUCAAAUUGUUUGCGCAUUUAUAAAUGUACUUAAUUUGCAGGAGGUAUUCCACGGGAAUUGGGGAAUCUUACAAAAUUGGAGAUAUUACAGCUGUUCCGGAAUAACUUGACCGGUAACUUUCUUUACAAUAUAUAUAGAGACAUCUUCCGCUUUUUAUUAGAAAUUAUAAAUUCAAGUUAAAUCUUAAUUAAAAGAUUUCAAGUCUCUCAUUAUAAAUUCUCAUAUGAGGAUGUGUCGUUACCACUAUCUAACAUUAUUCUGUUUUUUAUUAGAAAUUAGUUUGUGUUAAUUCAAAAUUCUGUAGCAUUUAAAAAAAUUAAAAACACGUGGAAUAAAUUGUUAAUCUUUCUUCUUUACUGAAUUUGGAUUUCUCAAAAAUAAUCUUGACAAGUAUGCUUCACUAAUGAUACGCAUGUGUGACAACUUCAUAAAAUAUUUUACAGGGAAUCACUAAUUAUGUUUAAAUAAUUAGAGAUGCCAGCAGUGAUACAUAAUUUCUUAACAAGCACCAUACCAAAAGAAAUCAACAAUUUUAUUAGUCUUAAAGAGUUACAUUUUCACUGCAAUUAUAACAUAAAUUUUUAGUCAUCAAUUGCAUAAUAUUUUAUCUUAACGGAUGAUGUUUAGUCUUGGAAUUUAUAAUAUCUUGAAGGUUAGUAGCUGUGAAAAUAAGAAAUUGUUCAUUUGCUAAAAAGUUAACUUAGUAUUUAAGUUUUUCAAUUGAAAAAUAGGCUUGAAGAAAUUAUUGUUGUGUGUGCUUAUUCUACUUGGGCUUUGGGCUUGAUUACACGGUCGAGCACUUACACCUGUCGUACUAAUAGGCUUUUACUUUGACCACACGUUUGAUAAUUUCUUAACCUUCCGAAUUAAAUCUGAUUAUAAUUCUUUUAAAAUACAGAUUAAAUAGCACGUGAAAUCGGAAAAUAUUUUACUGCGAUAAGAAUUCAUAUAUUCAUUACACACGGUCGAACACUUACACAUGUUAGAAUAAUAAUAGCAUCCGCCAAUCGACUAUGAGUGAUCAAAUUGUUUGCACAUAUGUAAUUUGCAGGAGCAAUUCCACGGGAGUUGGGAAAUCUU